rnacentral:lncRNA from 1 species
UUUGGUUCUACAGUUUAUUUUUCUCGAAUAGAUAACUUGAUCUCAAAUCUAUAAUUAUUCUAAAUUGUUUGUUGCGUGUUCUAAGGUUAAAUGGCGUCACAUGGAAAUGAUGAUGUGAACAAUGGAAGUAACACUGUUGGGACCGCUGUGAACCCUGUGGAGACCUCUACUGGCAUUCCUCCUGUUGAUGGGACAAUUGGUGGCGGGAUUCCUCUUAUUGGAAUGAACCCCACUUUGCCUACGGCUGCGGCCUCGACAAUCCAGUUUGGCACAAUACCUUUGCCAGUACCUAGGGUUGCGGCCUCGGUACCUUUGCCAUCGUUUCCGGCUCCAUUUCCGGUGAAUCAUGCAAUUCGACCGGAUAAGUUCGGUGGUACUGAUUUUAAGACAUGGCAGAAUAAGAUGAUUUUUUAUCUUACCACUUUGGGCCUUGCACGUUUCCUCACCGAGGAUGCCCUUGUUGUGGCUGAAAACGACACUGAUAUGCAUAGGCGUGCGGCUUGGGAUGCAUGGAAAAGUGCUAAUUUUUUGUGUCGCAACUAUGUCUUGGAUGGCCUACAGAAUUCUCUGUAUCACGUGUAUGUGGUAAAGAAAUCUGCUGAGGAGCUUUGGGAGUCCUUAGAAAAUAAGUACAAGACCGAGGAUGCUGGGUCUAAGAAGUUCUUAACCAGUCGGUGCAUGGACUUCGAAAUGGUUGAUUCACGUUCAGUGGUGAGCCAAGUGCAAGAGUUCCAAGUGCUCUUGCAAGAAAUGCAUGCUGAGGGUCUGAUCAUGUCAGAAUCUCUACAGGUGGCUACUGCUAUUCACAAGCUACCUCCUCAGUGGAAGGCUUUCAAAAGCUAUUUGCAGCAUAAGAGGAAAGAGAUGUCUUUCGAGGAUUUAAUUAUCAAGCUGCACAUUGAGGAGGAUAACAAACAGGCUGAACGUAAGUCAGGGAAUUCUUACUCUGAGAAGGCCAAUGUCCUAGAACACUGCCAGAGUUCUGGUACCAAGAAAGGUCAUUCUUUUAAAGCCAAACAGGGAAACGAAAAUUGGAAAGAUAAAAAGCAGACCAAGAAAGGGUCUCAGAUGAAGCCUACCAGUGGAGUAGGAAAGAAACCCAAGUUCCAGUUCAACGGGAAAUGCUUCAAUUGUGACAAAAUUGGGCAUCGAUCGACAGACUGUCGUCAGCCUCGGAGGGAUAACAAGCAGCGUCCUCAGGCUAAUAUGGUUGGAAAUGAGAGAGAUCAUCUCUCAGAUGACAUGUCUGACCUAAACCUCACGGCGGUGAUUAGUGAGGUUAAUCUGGUGGGGUCUAAUACUAAGGAGUGGUGGCUAGACACUGGGGCCACUUGCCAUGUCUGCUCCAACAGGAGCAUGUUCACUACUUUUGCACCAGUUACAAAUGGUGAAAAGUUGUUCAUGGGAAAUUCUGCAACUUCUGAAGUGCUUGGCAAAGGCAAGGUAAUCCUGAAGAUGACCUCUGGCAGAGAGCUUACUCUGACUAAUAUGUUGUACGUGCCAGAGAUUUGCAAGAAUCUGAUCUCUGGGUCUCUUCUGAGCAAGAAUGGUUUCCGCAUGGUCAUUGAAGCGGAUAAGCUGGUGAUUACCAAAAUAGGAGUUUAUGUUGGGAAAGGCUAUAUGACUGAUGGCCUGAAUGUAAUUGCUGUAACCCCAACUAUUAUGAAUAAUGAGAAAACUCCUUCUGUUUACUUGCUUGAGUCUCCUAAUCGUGGCAUGGUAGAUUAGGUCACGUAAAUUACAAUGCAUUACGUAGACUAAGCAAACUAAACUACUUGCCUAGGUUUCAAAUUGAUUCAAAUCAUAAAUGUGAAACCUGCGUUGAGGCUAAGCUUACUAGGUCUUCGUUUCAUAGUAUUGAAAGAAGUACCGAGCCAUUGGGACUAGUCCACAGUGAUGUGUGUGACUUGAAAUUUGUCCAAACAAGAGGCGGCAAUAAGUACUUUAUUACUUUUGUCGACGAUAGCACGAGAUAUUGUUAUGUGUACUUGCUUAAAAGCAAAAACGAAGCUAUCGAUAAAUUCAUUCUUUACAAGAAUGAAGUUGAAAAUCAACUUAGCAAGAAAAUAAAGGUGCUACGAAGUGAUCGUAGUGGUGAAUAUGAAUCACCAUUUGGUGAAUUUUGUGCUAAACAUGGAAUAAUUCACCAAACUACUGCACCUUAUUCACCUCAGCAGAACGGAAUUGCUGAGCGUAAGAAUCGAACGUUAAAAGAAAUGAUGAAUGAUAUGUUGAUUAGUUCUGGAUUACCACAGAACAUGUGGGGAGAAGCUAUUCUUUCUGUGAAUUACAUUUUGAAUAAAGUGUUAAGAAAGAAUAUGGAUAAGACUCCGUAUGAACUUUGGACAAGUCGGACACCUUCAUAUAAAUACUUACGAAUAUGGGGGUGUCUUGCUAAAAUUGUGGUGCCUCCUCCUAAGAAGGUCAAGAUUGGACCUAAGACAGUUGAUUGUGUGUUUAUUGGUUAUGCACAAAAUAGUAGUGCAUAUAGAUUUCUUGUACAUUAUUCAAAUGCACUUGAUAUUCAUCCGAACACGAUUAUGGAGUCUAGGAAUGCACAAUUCUUUGAGAAUAUAUUUCCUUGUAAAGAGUUAACUCCUAUUAAACGGACUAUGGAACCGUCUGCUUCUGGCAGCAGUAAAGAUCCAGUUGAAGAAGGUGAGGAUGAGCCUAGACGGAGCAAAAGGACCAAAACUUCUACGACAUUUGGCCCUGAUUUUCUCACAUAUUUGAUGGAGAAUGAUCCUCAAAGCUAUAAAGAAGCUAUAUCUUCUCCGGAUGGUCAUCUGUGGAAAGAAGCCAUCAAGAGUGAAAUCGAUUCUAUCCUACAGAAUCAUACCUGGGAAUUAGUAGAUCUUCCACCGGGCUGUAAGCCUUUGGGCUACAAGUGGAUCUUCAAGAAGAAGAUGAAAGCGGAUGGAGCCGUUGAUAAAUAUAAAGCUCGGCUAGUAAUCAAAGGUUAUAAGCAAAAGGAAGGCUUAGAUUACUUUGAUACUUAUUCUCCUGUGUCGAGAAUAACUUCUAUCCGGAUGAUAAUUGCUAUUGCGGCCUUGCGAAAUCUGGAAAUACAUCAGAUGGAUGUAAAAACAGCUUUCCUAAAUGGAGAUUUGAAUGAAGAAAUCUACAUGGAGCAACCAAAGGGGUUUUUAGCUCCAGGUCAAGAAAGGAAAGUUUGUAGACUGGUUAAAUCGCUGUAUGGUUUAAAGCAAGCACCGAAGUAUUGGCAUGAGAAGUUUGAUAAUGCUAUGCUUUCUAGUGGUUUUAGAAUCAAUGAGUGCGACAAGUGUGUAUAUGUCAAGGACACUAAUGAUGGAUAUGUCAUAUUAUGUCUAUACGUCGACGACAUGCUCAUUGUCGGUAGCUCUGACAAGAUUAUCAAAGCCACUAAGAAUAUGUUAAACUCAAAGUUUGACAUGAAAGAUAUGGGUCUCGCAGAUGUCAUUUUGGGAGUAAAAAUUACUCGAACACCAAAUGGACUUGUGUUAUCUCAAUCACAUUACAUUGAUAAGAUACUAGACAAGUUCAACAAGUCAGAUACUACUGUGGCCAGGACCCCAGUGGAUUUGAGUCUUCACUUAUCCAAGAACAUUGGUGAUGGUGUGUCAUAGUUAGAAUAUUCUCGGAUAAUUGGGAGUUUAAUGUAUUUAAUGACUUGUACGAGACCGGAUAUAGCAUACUCAGUUAGCAGAUUGAGUCGCUACACGAGUAACCCAGGUGCUAUCCACUGGAAAGCCAUUUUCAGGGUGUUACAUUAUUUAAGGUACAUUUGUGAUUUUGGACUGCACUAUUCUAGAUACCCUGCAGUAAUUGAAGGGUAUGCUGAUGCAAAUUGGAUAUAAGAUAUGUCAGAUUCCAAGUCUACUAGUGGAUAUGUCUUCACUCUUGGUAGUGCAGCUGUCUCUUGGAAAUCGUCCAAACAAACUUGCAUCGCAAGAUCUACAAUGGAAUCAGAGUUCAUCGCUUUGGACAAAGCAACUGAAGAAGCAGAGUGGCUUCGCCAGUUUGUUGAGAAUAUUCCAAGAUGGUCAAAGCCCGUGCCUACAAUUUGUGUCUAUUGCGAUAAUCAAUCAACAAUUGGCAUGGCACAGAGCAAUAUGUAUAAUGGUAAGUCUNNNNNNNNNNNNNNNNNNNNNNNNNNNNNNNNNNNNNNNNNNNNNNNNNNNNNNNNNNNNNNNNNNNNNNNNNNNNNNNNNNNNNNNNNNNNNNNNNNNNNNNNNNNNNNNNNNNNNNNNNNNNNNNNNNNNNNNNNNNNNNNNNNNNNNNNNUUUGUGAAAAACUGAGUUAAGAGAUCACCUAUGUGAGUGUGAAGUGCGGCCGCUUCUAUAAGGAUUGACAAGGCUACAUCCUUGAAAAAAUACUUGUAGAACUAGGCGACGUGUUCAUGGCCAAAACGAACACAACAUUGAGAACUAUGCUGUGUCUAGAAUGGUCCUGUGUGAGGUCUAUUGUCUUGAUUUACACAAAUGGCGAAACAGUUCAAGGUAUCAGAUCCACUGCUUUGCUGGUAAUACUCGAUAGAUUUUCACGAGGGAAGGUUCAAAGCUAAAUGCUACCUAUCCUAUGCAGGAUUGAUUCGUUUUACUCUCUCUUUCUCUCUUGAGUCUCUAUUUUCAAAAUUUUUCAUUCAUGUGGGGGACUGUUAGAAUAUUUUGAAUGAAAAGUUAGUUACGUUUUGAAUGUUCACUACAUCAGUUUCAUCAUUUUGAAUGCAUGUUGAAUGCGUAUGAAAACAUCAGUAACUUCCCAUUUGAAAUAUGUCGGUUUUACCCUAUUCAUUCAUCCAUGUUGUAACUUCCCAUUUGAAAUAUGUCGGUUUCACCCUAUUCAUUCAUCCAUGUUGUAACUUCCUAUUCAAUGUAUUUAUGAGCAAGCUCCUCCUAUAUUGGUAUAAAUAGAGGAUCACUCUCGGCUAGAAACAACAACAAAAAAAAAAAAACACAACAAAGAAAAAAAAAAGUUCAGUUUCCUCCUCCAUUUCCAGCAGCCCCGUUUUUUUUUCUUUUCUUUGCUAAAGUUCUUUGAGAGAUAGACAUAGCUAGUUCGUAGGUCGGUAACGUUGUGCAGCGUGAACCGUCAACCGAUUGUAUCCUGAGAAUCGAACACCGAUUAACACCUCUUGCACUCCGGUGAGGCGGCGAAUUCGAUUUAAGGAAACCGUGUAAACACGGGCCUUCGGUUUUGGUUGAUUUAUUCUGAUUCUCCAAUUUUUCCCUACAGUUUGUUGUGGAAUCAUCAGUGGGAGAUUGCAUAUUAGGAGUCAGAGUCCGAAGCAACAAGAAAUUAUUGUCAACAGGAUAAGCAUAUAGAUGUUUCCAAUGUCAAGUUCAAAACAUUUUGCUAGCUGUACCUGUAUACGUCACCGAAAGUAGCAUAAAGACAAUCUUAUCUGAAAGUCGAAGUGUGAUGCUCCGUUCUUGUACAUUACAAAUAGAUGUCUAGUAUAAGUUACUGCAUAUCCUUAUCAUGCAUCAAGUAUCUAUAUAAAAAUGAUCAUAUGUAUAAAUUACCUGCCACCAUAUCGACUCAACUAUCCUGGAGAAUAUCCAGGACUCAACUUUCUCCAUGGCAGUAAGUAAAAGUUCUUAUCUCUUGCCAAUCAUCAACAAUGUAUACGUGUGAAACCCUGUUUACUUGGUUGUCUUCUUCCAAAGUUAUUUUUCCAGAUAAACGAUGAAGACUUUGCAAUUGGAUUGAUUCUCUUUCCUCCUCCAUUUUACCCAACUAUCUUUGUAAGGGAACUGGUCGGACAUGAACUCCCAAAUGCUAGAGAGAGAAUUUCUCUUAAAGCAACAGUAUUCGACAGCCAAAAUUUUAACCAAGUACAAAAUUGUAGGAAAAUACUGUAGUCAGCCAGGGGUGGGCAUUUUUUUCCGAACCGGACCGGAACAGAUGAGAACCAGCGCAGAUCCUGUGAUUUUUGGGGCCUGAGGCGAACUCCAAAAAUUAGGCCCUCAAAAUUAACUUAAAUGCAAAAGGGAAAAAUUCAUAAACCAUGUAUUAACUAUGCACAAUUCAAAAACCAUGUUUAGAGUUUAACUAAUGCAAAAAUCGGAUUUUUAUCUAAUUAGUUAAAAAUAUUUAUUAAUCAAAUAUAAUAAAAUUACAAUUAUACAAUUAAUGAUCACGUGUACACAUUUAUAGGUCACAGAUUUAUUUCUUGGUCACAUAUCUUUAAAUUAAUUGGUCACAAAUUAUUUUGAGGUCACGAAUCAAAAGUUUGAUAGAUUACAGAUUAUUUCGUGGUCACAGAUCACAAUUUAUCCAUUAAUUUUAUAGGUCACAGUUUACGUCAUUGGCACAAAUCUAAAAAAUUAUAGGUCACAGAUGGUUAUAAAUCCAAAAUAUUAUAGGUCACGGUCACGUUUUUUUGAAUUUGAUGGUCGCAAAUUAUUUUUUAGUCAUAAAAUGAUCGAAUUUCAAAGUCACAAAUUAAUUGUCAGUCACAGACACCAAACACCGAUCUCGAUCCACCUCAGUACAUGGUCACAAAUACUCCACCACCAAACCCACCACUAUUGCCAUCUGAAUCACACCAUCGCCGCCUAAACCAAAUCACCAACAAAAACUGCCAUCGUGUCCUUUACCACACCACCACAACCUCCAACAAAACACCGACCAAGAAAGCCGACCACAAACGGCACCACCGAGCCCAUAUCCAUGCUGUAUAGAGUCCACCACCAUACAAGACACUGCCAUCGCACAACACACCAUCCAAAUCCAUCGCCAACCAAACACAUCACCACCGCAACCUCACGCCCACAGCCAGCACCAUUACCACCAGUAACACAAACCACAAAACUACUCCACACGUACUACAAAAAUCAAAUUCAUAGUUGAAGACUGUCGCUGCCACUACCAUUUUUGCAACACCACUGUCACCAAACUGCAAAUAGCAACACCACCGCACAGGCGCACACACCACCACCGGUCAAAUCCACUACUACCGCCUGUAAGUUGUAACCUACCUAGAUCGACUGUAUCCCUGUUCGUGGUCGCGAAGCAAAACCAAUAGAAUAGCCACCGAUGAGGAUGCUUUUGAGCGUCGCCUCCGUCGUGAUCGCCGUCGUCAUCGUGAAUCAUCGCCAACGGUGGCGAGGAUGGUGUUUCAUGAUUAAGAGAAGGCAGAUUAUGGAGAUCGUAGAGAGAGAAAACAAAACGUGAAAUUAGGGUUGGGGAAAUUGAAUUGGAAGAAAUUAAUAUUUAAAUUAUUAAAUCAAUACCUGAUUGUUGCAUAAUGAAACUCUAGCCCUGAUGUUUGAAUUGUGAUGUUUAAACCCCUAGAGUUAUGUAAUUUCCACAAUGCAAAAUCCAACAAAACCUAUUGUGUAUUAUACAACAUAUCGCUAACUUAAAACUUAAUAGUAAAACAACAAAUAAAUAUAUUAUACAAAAGAUUUAUAUUAUAAAAUAACAAAACUAACAACGUUUCAAAUAAUCAUUUAAAUACUAUCUGCCUUGUUGUUGUAGAGGCAAAAACAUUAAUCAAAUCUGAAUAAUUUAGUUAUUCAACCAUUUCUUUCUCUAUUGAUAACAUAGCUAAUCGGUUCAAUUUUUCUUGUGACAUAGUUGAUCGGAGGUAAGUCUUCGUCGACUUCAAUUGGAGAAACUUCUUUUCACAAAACAUUUCAAUCAUUUCACAAUUAAAGUUUUCAAUAUAAUUACUAUAUGCGCCUGUACAAUUAAUCCUACAAUAACCAAUCAUAUAAACUGAUCAAGCCACAAUUAUAUAAGCUGACAAGGCUUAAAACAUUUUCAAUAUAUUUAAUAACAAGUUAGGGCUUUAAUACUUGACAUCUUAGCACCUCACCAAGAACCAUUUAUUGAUAAUAUAUGAGAAAUCAAGAAGCAUACGGAUGAUUGCAUGAAUGAUUUUACCAGAACAAUCCUAUUAUUGGGAAUGUUAAUUCUUCAACGUGAUUUAGACAACGCUGGUCCUAUGAUUUUUGGGGCUUGAGGCGAACUCCAAAAAUUAGGCCCCCCAAAAUCAACUUAAAUGCAAAAUUCAACAAAAUCUAUUGUGUAUUAUACAACAUAUCGCUAACUUAAAACUUAAUAGUAAAACAACAAAUAAAUAUAUUAUACAAAAGAUUUAUAUUAUAAAAUAACAAAACUAACAACGUUUCAAAUAAUCAUUUAAAUACUAUCUGCCUUGUUGUUGUAGAGGCAAAAACAUUAAUCAAAUCUGAAUAAUUUAGUUAUUCAACCAUUUCUUUCUCUAUUGAUAACAUAGCUAAUCGGUUCAAUUUUUCUUGUGACAUAGUUGAUCGGAGGUAAGUCUUCGUCGACUUCAAUUGGAGAAACUUCUUUUCACAAAACAUUUCAAUCAUUUCACAAUUAAAGUUUUCAAUAUAAUUACUAUAUGCGCCUGUACAAUUAAUCCUACAAUAACCAAUCAUAUAAACUGAUCAAGCCACAAUUAUAUAAGCUGACAAGGCUUAAAACAUUUUCAAUAUAUUUAAUAACAAGUUAGGGCAAGCCAUUACUUACCUGAGAAAUAGAAUUUUGAUGAAAAUGAUGGAAUCACGCCGUUGAGAAUUCUGUAAUCACAAUUCACAAGCCUGAAAUAAAAAUUUAGCAUCAACCACCAAUACAAAACCAAAAGUGGAAACCAAAAUCAAAAAGUGGAAACCAAACCAAACCAUAGACAAAAUUCAUUCCAGUUGAUAUUGUUCACCUUACUACUGACAUAUCUCACAAAAACAACAAACCUAAAAGAUUUAUGGCGCCAACCAUGUGCAUAAGGUCUUUAAAUAACAUACGAUUGAAAAUGAGCACAAGUAAAGGAAAACAAAAAUUUGGUUACUGGACUGCUACGUAUGAUUUAUGUACUAAUUUGGGAUUUGGCAAUUCAUCAAAUAUAUCAUUAGCAACAGGACAACUGACAUAUAACAUUUUUGCUAAUCAAUAUAUGUUUUUAUUUUUUCAAUAGUAAUAAAAUAGAAGAAACACAAGAGUUGGGAAGCACAACCAAAGGAAAAAUUAGGCAAACCUUUAUCAACAAGACAAUAACACUCUAAUUGAGAUAAUUGUAGUCAAAGGCCCUUCUUAACAUCAAUCUACUUGAAAUAAAACCAUAUACACAGGCUAAGUAAGAGAAAUUGUAAUUUUUCAGGGAGUUUACUCUAUCAUGAAUCUUGACAAGAAAAAAUCAAUUACAUAAUAAACAUACCAUGAUCAAAUCGAAGAGGACAUACAAUAAAUUGACGAUUGGCACAAAAAAGAGAGGUAACAAAAACUUAAAAAGGGCAAUAAAUUAGGCCUUUAGGGUUGAAAAUGGGCAACUUCUUGUUCUUGUGAUUUGUGAAGGGUAAAGGGAAGGGAGUGGGAUUUGGGAACUGGCACGAAGUAGAUAAGUAGGGCCGGCCAAGGAAAUGAGGCCCUCGUCGAGUCACUGUCAUUAGUCCAAUGAUUCUUGGAAUUGGAUUGGAGGCAGAGGUCGAGUUGGACAUCGUAGUCAUCAAAGAGAAGAGGAGGAAUGAAAUAUAAAAUCCAAUUUUCCAAAAAAUAAUGAAUGGAAUGGAUCCUCUACAUUUACCAAAAAAAAUGAUCGGGCCAAAAAUAGGCCCCCUUAGAUUUUGGACCUGAAGCCCUAGCCUCAAUAGCCUCGUAGCAGGAUUGGCUAUGAUGAAAACCAGCCAGUUCCAAUCCAGUUCUCGGUGCCUUCGUAAGAAAUUCGGUUCUAACAAGUUUUAGGGUGGCGCUAUUUACAUCUAUGAUUUUUAUAUAUAUACAUCUACCUUUAAAAAGAUAAGUAUAAUAUAGUUUUAAUCUUAUGCAAAUUUACCUAAAUAGACAUAUAUAAAAUUAAAUAAAAAUAUAUCAUUCUAAAUUCACCCACUUAUAUUUGUUUUCACUAAAUUCUUUUCAACCUUUAUAUAUUCUUUCAAAAUAUGUGUUUAACUAAAAUAUUUGAUUGUGAGUCGAAAAACACCAGUCCCACCAACAAUGGGCAGUUCAUGAUACUCUUUAAAUAUUUGAUUGUGACAUCCCAAAACUUUAGUAAGUUUGUAAUGCAUAUCAUACCUUGUAUUGUGAUGUAUAUUUCAUGUAACAUAGUAAAAAAAAUUUUUUUUAAUAAUAUUAUAAAUUUAUGAAAAGAAUUGAAUUAAAAUUUUGGUUAGAAACCAUGUGGAAAAAUUAAGGAAAUUGAGGUAGCUACUCUCAAUAAAUGACCUUGCCACUCUAAAUAUGAAAAAUGACAAAUGGUAUAAGGUGGCUACCCUACACAUAUUACUUUGUCACUCUAAAUACUACAAUGACAAAUGGCAUAAUAGGGUAAAAUGUGGCAAAAUAAUGAUUAAGGAAAAAUAAAUUAAUUAUUAAUUUAAUUCUAAAUUAUUACUAUAAAUAGGGGAGAAGAGGAUAAAUGGAAAUGCAUACAACAAAAAUCAAAGUCAAGUAACUUUAUAAAGAUAGCACUUCAAUUGUUUUGCAAUUUGAAAGUGGGUAGUCUAUACCUACUUUUAUUUCAAACAUAUUUAUUGCAAUUAUGUUUAUUGGAUUACUACUUGCUCUUCAAAUCAAUUAUAGAUCCAAGAUUCUACCCAUUGAUAUUUACAUUGCAUUGGAUAAUGAUUGAUAUUAUUGAUUUUACACCAAAGUGGUGUAAUCAACUAAUGAGCUCAUAUAUUGUUAUUUUCAUAUUGCGCGCACGGGUAGGAUUGAACAUCUAUAAUUGGGGCCCAUUGUUUUCUUUUCUUAUUCAAAUUAAAGAAAGACUAUGGUAUAAAUUACUCACUGAAUAAAUCUAUUCGCAUUAUUUUAUUUUCUUGUAGAUGAUCACCAUCGAAUACAUUGACUUUACCUCGGGUGAAUGAAUGAGUUCAGAAGAUGGCUGAUAUUGAAACGGGUUUAUUCAAUUUGAUGUUAAUUAACUUGGUGUUGAUGGUAAAAAAAAAAAAAAAAGGAUGCUGGAGAAGGAGAUGAGAGUUAGAGAGGAUUGGAGAUGAUUUGGUGAGAAUAAUCUGGUGAUUUUUUAAUUUUUUGGAAAAAAAGCUAUAAUUGGUGAAUUUUAAAAGGUAAGUAGGGAAUAUUUGGAUAGGGAGAUAUAAUUUUUGAAGGAUUUCAAUGUAUGGAUGAAGACCGUUAGAUUUUCUAAGAUUGAAGAGUCCAAAUCAUUUGUCAUAAUUCUUUGUCAAAUGUAUUGGUUAGCGGAACGCUCCCCAUUAAAAAAAUUAACAAAUGUAGUAUAUCAGCAACAAUAAAAUGAAAAAGUAAAAUGAUAUCUUUUCAUUACUAAAUGAAAUUAUAAGAGAAAAAUUACAAAGACUACUUUGCUAAGUCAUUCAAAUGGUCUUGUUUGGACCUAAAAAAGAUGAACGUACUGAUGAAUUCCCCACUAAGAUGAUGUAGUAAAAAAAUCAAUCUUCUUAAUUUAAGGAAUGUCUGAAUGGCCUAUGCCUCACAAAAAGAGUUCUUCAGAUGUAAGUACUCCUUCAAAAUAUAAAGGCAUGAUAUCUCAUUUGCUUGAUGAUUUCUGAGUUUACAAAUACGGGGUUCACUCGAAGGUGAAGUUUUGUGGCAGUUAUCUCUCUAACACACCGAUCAAUUUUAGAACCAAAUGUUGCUUGUUCAAAUGGUCUUAGUUAGUAACAAUCAACUCAUAUCUUUGCAAUUUGUGAUCCUUGUAGCAACAGUUGUAAGGUGAUUAGACUCCUUUGUUUGCUUCUAGAUGUCGGCUCACUAUAAAACCAUUUACAACUAGCACGAAACAUUGCAAAAGAUCUUCUGCUACCUUCGAAAAUAUGCCUCGGGCUUUGAUGUUGCCAUAUAAUUGAAGAGGACGACAACAUUUAAUGAUCAUUGUGAAAGGCAUUCAGAGAAUUUUGUCUUUUUUUUUUUUUUUUUUUUUUUUUUUCAAUGUUCUGAAAAUCGACACGGUCAUCGACCCUAAAAAUGUGAAGAGUUAAAGAUCAAAAGAUUCAAAAGGGAUUGAAUUGGAUGCAAUAAACAAAUAAAUAAAUAAAUACAUAGAAAAAUAAUAAAAUACUAUGAAAGCAAUAAAUUUAUUUUAUUUUUAUAUUAAUAAUUCAAAGAAAUCUACCUAAAAGCCCAAGACUAGCUAAGCAAAAGGGGGGGGUUGAUUUGAUUAGAGCAACUUUUUCGAAAAAUAAUUUUAAGUAUACAAUUAAUGCUCACUUAAAUGUAGUAAUUAAUCAAAUAUUCAUAAAUAUGAAAAAAGAACAAAGACUAAGAUAAAAUCACAAGUAAUAAAUAAAAACAAAGAUAAGUAUAAGGAAAGAGAAGUCAAACGAUAUGAUAUGGAGGUUCGAUCCAAUGCAAUGAUUUACGUUCCCCGUUACCAAGCUCUUCAUCAUGAGCAAGUCCUUUUUCACUAUAUUGAUUGACUAUAGGGUUAUUAUAUUACCACUACACAUUUUAUUAAGUACACCACAUUUUUCUUAUUUAUUUAAACAACCUUAAGUAAAAUCACAUAAUUAUAGUUUUUGGAUUAAUGCGUAAAAGUGAAUACAUUUGUGGUGUACUUAUCAUCCAAAUAUUACACCUCAUAUUCUCAUCCAAAAAAUAAUAAUAAUAUUUGUGGACUUUUCAGAAAAUUUCAUCAACAAACAUAGAAAUUUGUUUUACAGAUUGAAGAGAAAUUCACUUUUCACCCACGAGGAUCGAGCGCAAUCCCUACAAGAAAAUCAUAUAGAAAAAUUGAAGUCAGCGUUACAAUAUUAAAAAAAAAAAAUUCAAAUGGAAGUUUUCGUAUAUACUGAAAUACUGGUUAUCACUUAUCAUUUACGUUUAUAGUCAUGAAACGAUUGUCCGAAAGCCCAAUUGACAAGCUUCAUGAAUUCUUAUUCCAGAAUUGAUUUCUAUUGUAGCCAUUAACGUUAGUUUGAAGUAUUCCAGGAUUGACAAAGACUGUUUUAUUUAUUGCAUUGCGUGGCUUAAGGUUUCUACAUGGGCACAUUUAUUAACGGAUUUUAUGGGAUGAGUGAUAGAGUCGACGAAGCAAAGUUCAGUGACUAAUGGAACAAUUGAUGAAGUUCGAUGCAUAAAUCGUGAUAUGAUGCUUAAUUCAAUGGCCAACGAAAUAUUUAGCUCCUGCUUAAUCAAUUUGGAAACAUAAAGUCAUAGAAAUUAUCGAACCGAAAAGCUCAAUGAAAUCAUGAAGGGCACAUCUUGGCUCUUAAAUGAAGCUAGUAACCUAUAAUCGAACUAAAUAAGCUCUAACUCGUGAACAUUACGCUAGUAAGCAAUUAAGUCUACAAAAAAUUUAAUUUUUUUGGUUACCUCUUAUUUGUUUAAAGAAUCCUAAAAGAGCCAUUUAACGAGUGAUGGGACAAUAGAGGCAUAGAGUCGACGAAGCCCCGAUGAUGAUCGCCCAUGCCUUUCUUAUACCUUUUUUCAAACAAAUAGCUUUUCUUGUGGCAUGCGGGCUUAUCAUUGGCAGCCUUUCUUUAAAAAAUCUAUUUCAUAUAGAUUAGCCUCUCUUUUCCUUUCCAUGGGUAGGGCCAGUGACUUCUGCUAGUGUUUUACUGUUGAAGAGACGGGGAGAGAGAGAGCGAGGGGGGGUCAUUUGGUUAUUUGGUUUAAGCUAGUAUUUAACUCCAAUCACGUAAUUCAAAUCAAUCUUUGUCUCGUGACCUUUGACACAGUGAAUUUGAACAGAGGAAAUAGUGGUGGAUUGUCGAUUGAUCCAUGCUAUUUUCCACAAUGGCCUUUGACCAAUUUUAAAUAAAAAAGGUAAAAACCCGUAAAAAAAAAAUGCCAAAAUAUCCCUUGAAGAGGAGAGAGAAAAUAGAGAGAAACUAAAAAAAAAAAAAAAAAGAAGGUGAAAUCACGUCAUUUCGGACUCAACCCGAGCAGAGAUUGUUCAUCUUCUUCAUCUUUUAGACUUGACAAUGUUAGUUUAUUUAUUUAUUUAUUUUAUUUUUUAAAUCUUAGUAUUUCAUUGUUUUGUACAAUGUUAAUUUAGAGAUUUGAUUUUUACAUGAAAUAUCAAUAAAUCUUGCCGUUUAUGAGUUUGUUACAAGUAUUGAGGUUAAUUUAUAGUUAAAAUGGAAUAAAAAUCGAAUUUUAUGAAUAAUUUAUGGUUGAAAUUCAUUUUUUGUGGAGGACCUUGCUGAAAAUGGCGAUUUCCAACUGCUCCGCCGAUUCGUUUCAAAAUAAAAGAUCUCGACGUCUAGGCUGAACUUGAGUGGACCCUCCAUAAUGGGCGCUGGGCCAUCUGUAACUGACGGAGUAGAGUUUUUUUAUUUAAAUUUUUUAAUUUUUAUUUUUUACUAUAAUUUCCUUUUUGUCUUUCUAUAAUUUCUUUUUUUUUUCAAUUUUAUAAAUUUUAUGUUUUUUUUUCAGUUUCUUUUUUAUUUGGACUUGAUUUUUCAUUUAUUUAUUUAUAAUUGAUUAAUUUUUCUUUCAUUUUAGAUUUUGUUCUUUUCUACAAUUCCCUUUUUUGUUUAAUUUUAUUUUUAUUCGUUAAUUCUUAAUUUUAAUUAUGUUAUUUCUUCAUAAUUUAUUUUUUUCACUUAAUUUUUUUAUAUUAAUUUUUACUUUUCUUUAAUUUCUUUUUUUUCAAUUUGGGUUUUUAAAUUAUUUUUGUUAUUUCACUUUACUAUAAGUUAAUUUUUCUAUUUCAAUUUAUUGUUUACUUUAAUUUCAUUUUCGUUUCUCUUCUUAAUGUGCGAUGAAAUGAAUUUAUUUCUUAUGUACAAUAGUAUGUAAUCUGAUUGGUUAAAUUCUAAAAUAUUAUGUUUUAUUCCAUAAUCUCUUGUAUAUAGAAUUGAGUAACAUCUUGAUAGAGGGAUAAGAGAUCAACUAGGAAAAGUUACUUCGUACUAUAACCUUUUUAUUUAUGCAACGGUUUUAAAGUGGCUCAAUGUCGCACAGUCAAAUUACAUCGAUCGUUUCUAUAUUCCUUCUAUUCAUUGAAGGAUGUGCAAUUCUGUGGCUACAUCAUCGACUCACUAUACUUUGACUAUUUAAGCCAUUUGAUGAGCUGCAUUUUUCCCAUGGGAAAUGGGAAGGUGUUAAGAUUCUCGGUCAUGAAGUUUGCUAUCAUGACGUGGUUGAAGUUUACUGGUGAAGAAGUAAAGUUAGCCCUAUUACGAUAAAUAAAAUGUUGCAUGAUUAAUAUUUUGAAGAUAAAGGGCCUGUUAAACCACAUAAUUAGAGAACGCAUUUAGGAAAUAUAACAUGUUGGACAAAUUAAAGUUGGGAUUGGUGUUUAUCCUGGAGAGUAUACUAGGCGUCAACACUGUAGGACGUCGAUCGGCCUUUUUUCAAUGGAUGUUGUUGAUGGCAUUGAUGCCUUUAACAGCUAUCCAGAGGGUUAAAGAUGUUAUAUAGAUACAUUACACAUCUUCAAGAAGGCGCAUGCAAGGACAGAGUUAGAGAAGGCCGAGCGCAAGUAUGUUGCAUAUGGCUUUCCAUUGGCUACACGGGUAAAUAAUUAAUCUAAUGAAUGUUAAAACAUUUUUUUUAAAUGCAUAUACAUAAUAAUUGUAAGUGCUAUAGAUAUAGACGUAUGAGACUAUCCCCAUCUUAGUUAGCAAGUAGGCGAUCAGAAAGAAGACAAACUGCCUUUGGAGCUUCACUACCUAGCACAUGAUAGGCCAUUGGUCAAAACUUAACAUCCAUCCUCGAGGAUCUUCGAGUGAGAACUAUACAUUGACGAUUUAUAUUUCACGUAUAUUUAUCGACUCAUCAUAUGACUAUUUCUUGAAUUGUCAAUAUGUCAACUCGAAGUCCAUACUAAGUUGCCAAUGUCGAUGGAAGAGAAGGACCAGUUAUACGUCUGUGGAUUAUCUAUUCCAACAAUUAACGAUGAUCCAUUGUCUGAGUCAUUGACUUUUUUGUGUUGCAAAAAAAUUAAUUUUUAAUCUUAUUUGUGUAGGAACACCGUCCAGUGGAUCGAUUAUCACCUCUACCAAGGAGAUCACCUUCACCGAGAAGAUCCCUAUAUCCCACAUGCAGACACUUUUCCCGUCAAUCUCUUGUAGCCAGUUAGAGAUAUUAUUACAAUUUAGGAGUGGAGUUAAGAGUACUGUAACAGGAGUUGAAAGUCAAAGUAGCAAAAUUAUGACAUCAUAUAAUAGACCUUAUAAUGAGGUUACAGCACUGCGAGACGAUUUAGCAAGCUAGUGAGGGUAUGAUGAUUGGUAUGACGGAGAGAGUAUCGGAAGGAUCGACUGUAUUGUUGAUAGAGAGAUUGGCGAUCCUCAGGACGAAAGAUAUGACAGUGCCCAUUACAGAGGAUAGUCAUGGCUAUUGGAUGGUGCAUUUGAUGCAUUUUUUGGAUCUGUAACAUUGGUGAUAGAAGAAGAUGAGGUUCGAUGAAGGAGGAGGAGGAGGUCCCAAUAACGGAAGUGGUAGUUGUCCUUGGGAUGGAGGGAGUACCCUUAAUGGUGAUAGAUCCAAUGAUCGCCUGGGUGACAAAGGAUGAAAUGGAAGGGGUGCUCGAAAAUUUGAAGGUGCCUUCGGAUGGUGGUGGCGAUAGAGGGGUGACAAGAGGACUCCCAACUUGAUGGAUAAUAUCACGAAUGAGGAUGACAUGACAAUUGUGUGGGAAUGGGCGAUAGAGCCAUAAGAGUGACGAAGGGAAAAAGCGUGUCUAUAAUGUGCCAGAGCAAGUUGUUUGCAAGAUGACAAUGUCAUAAUACAUUAUUUUUCCAUUCAUGAUCGAUGCAAAGAGGAGGACAUUCAUAAAUGGUAUGUUGUCCAACCUCUGCCGUGAUGUUAACCCGACAAAGAAAAAGGUUCAAUGGCUGGUCAGCAAGAUUGGACCCCGAUAAGUAUUUUAUAGUUUUGCUAAAGUAAACUAACUCAUCUAUGCAUUUUCUAAUUUUUAAUUUUUUUUAUUUUUUCAGAGUUACCUAAAAGAUAAGGGAUACUCUGAUAUCGAAUGCGAAAAAUGGUUCAACGAUGUAUAGAAGAGCAGAAGGUGCCUAGCCAACGACGUAAGUAACAUAUUCAUUGUUACUUAUAUUGUUCACAUAAUUGGUUAUUUUUUCAUUAAAUUUUUUUAUCUUUCUUAUUUCUUAGUUUUUUCUGUUAUAACAUAUCGACAUGGCUAUGGAACUACUAUGUGAUCGGCCUUGAAGACACCCGAAAUCAUUUGAUGUUCUUGGUCGAGUUAUCAUAAGCUGCAGGUAUUUUAUUGCCAUGCAGAUUGAGCAUUACAAGAUUUUUAGACUCGAACAGAUACAUGUUGUUUAGGUUACAUGAGGGAUUAUACGAGAGGGCUUGUGCUGAGAUGGGAAAAGUCAUGAACAAUUUGUACAUAUCUAUACAUUUAAGUGAUCACGAACUCACACUGCUUUGCAGUUGAGAUCGUUUUCACUGAGUUGAAGAUGUACGUAUACAAAUCUAAUCAUAACUGUACCACACAGGACUAGGUCGAGUAUAUACUCUAGUCUAUGGCUGCCAUCGUUCCCAUGAUGGCUAGAGUAGCGAACGUCAUGGUAUAAUAGAGUAGCCAUAGUGAGGAAGAUGAUGACUGCAAGACAAACAAAACCUUAAGUUUUUUUAUGCUAAAUUUGUUUUAGUUGUCAUUGGACUAACAUAUUAUUAUUUAUGUACAGGGGUUACUAUGAAAUUUUUGCAAUCAAGUAUCUUGGAUUUUGAGCAUCAGAAGUGGUGUAAAAUUGAUAAAACAAAUGCACAUUGACAAUAGGAGGAUGAAGCUAGCGUACAAUUUGUAUACAUAUAAUCGUAGUAAUAUAUAUAUAUAUGUAAAUACUGUUUAUUUAACUAUAAAUAUAUUUAAUUUUAACUUUCUAAUAGUUUAUGAAAAGGAAAAAAAAAAUGACGACUGAAGAUUAAAUAGAUUCAAUUGUAUGCAAUAGGAACACGAAGGAUCCACCAGGAAGAUAUUAUAUCAAAAAUGGUGAAAAUGAAAAUAUGGGGAUGUAAUUUCAACUUUAUAUAGUUGAUAUAAAAACAAACAAAAGGGUCUGGGUUAUCUCACACGCUAUCUCCACUGUAUUCCAAAAAUAAUUUACAUUAUGAUCCCCUCUAUCAAUAUCUUCGUGUUCAUUCUCGAAGACAUUCUCUUUCAUUAAAGUUACACAAAUAGGAAUCGGCUUGCAGCCUUGGUUUAGUUCAAUUAGCAAUUUCAUUUGCACUUUAGAAGGAACCUUUACUAGUGGAAUCAAAAUGGUUGAAUGCUUAUAAAAUAAAAAUCUCAAUUUUAAACCAUACUAAGAGGAAUCGACUUUGAGCACAUUUUGUAUAUCAUGGUACAUUUUUGCGUACGAUAUACUUUAUAUUAUCACAAUUCCAGUAACAUCAUCGUCUUCACUCAUUAUUUACAUUCCCAUCGACCAUUUGCAUUCCUUGAAAUUCACCGUAACAAUAACUCAAGAGACAUGUUAAUCCCAUAAGUGCGUUAUGAAUCAAAUUAUUAAAAAAAAAAAAAGAUUAACCAUAAAGAAUAAAUAAAUAGGGGUACUAAAAAUUUUUAAAAAAAUAAAAAGACCCAUUCUGGACAUUAUGGGACGACCUAGCCAUCUGGAUUCUUAAAAUACUAGAUUUGAUUAUGUAGAUGAAUUUUUUUUCUUUCAUUUUUCACUUAAAAAAUUAUAGAUCUGUUAAGUGAUAUGUAAAAAAAUUACCUACGAAUUAGCACAUAUUGAAAUAAAAUUUAACGAUUCAAAAAUAUACUAGUUUUUUUUUUCUUUUGAACAAAAUUAAAUAUACUUACCGAUUCGAAGUGUUGGAUAAGAAUGAAUUUUUUUUUGUUGAUCGUUUGAUAAAUUUAUGAGAUUUUAAGAUUGAAGUAGAAGAAAAAUGAAAGAAUCGUUAUUUGUAUUGGAAAAAAGGGAUAAAGAAAACGACUUGAUUUUUGAAAUUUUGAGGGGUAAGUGUUCGUAUUGUUUUGUAUUUAAAAGGUUCUUAUUAUCUUUUCAAUAUCACGAUAUUUUUGUAGUUUAUAACCUUAUUGAGGGAAUUUUAAUAUUUUUGCAUUUGAAAAGGCCGUUGUAGAGAAUAAAGAGUAAGUUUGGCUCCUGUGAUGAAUGGAUCAUUUGACGUGGCCAUUGUGAAAACUCUCCCAAUUUGAACAUUUCUCAAUUUCAAUUAUAAUUUUAAAUAAAUUCUGAAAUGCUUAAGAAUAUAUAAAUUUAUCUAAUUAAUGUAAAUGAAAGUUUGGACUUCCAAUUAAGUCCAUGAUUGAUGACCAUUACAAAGAAAAUUGCAAAAAAAAUGAUAUUUUUGGCGAAUGUGUGACUAAAAUGUAACGAAAAACUUUGAAUUAACGUAUACAAAAAUUUAUUGUAUGAAUAUAUGGUUAAAAAUGAGUAUGAUAAAUAAAGAGUUUUAAAAUAAAAGAAGAGUCAAAAAGUGACCAAGUCUUGUGUGUUACAUUUCUUAAAACUCAUUUUUUAAAAUUUAUUUUCAACACAUUUUAUGGGAUUCAUAAUUUUCAUUAACAUCAUAUUUCACCAUUUUAUAUUAAAAUCUACUACAAAUUUAAUUUAUAUCCAAACAAGACAGGGGCUAAAUGUUACUUCAUCAAGGGCCUUGUAUAAAUCUUCAAUAACGAUUAAGCAAGCUUGUUAAAAUAAGAUGCAUAUCGUAUAAGACACUCGAGUUGAAUAAGUAGGAAGUACUGAAUUACUUAUUCCGUGUUCAUGAUGUGUCAAAAUAUGAAAAUUCGAAGAAUCCAAUUAUAUGGUUCAAUACAUUAUUUGGGACAAGCACCCGAUGAAACUAAUUGAAUCUCGUAUCUCAACCAACCAUUUGGGACUGCUUUCCGAUUUUGCGUUAUGCCUCUACUAGUAUGGGGGCUUUAGCCUUACAACAAGCUCUACUUAAAUUGACUGAACUUACAAUUUCGAAGUGAGGUCGUAUCAUAUAAUUUUUUUAUUAUUAUUUUGGACUGUAUUAAAUUAUAUUUUCAUAUGUAUAUGAUUUUUGCGAUUUAGUGUAUUUAUAUAUUGAUCAAAAAUAUUAUAGUAUUAUGUAAUUAAACAUUAAUAAACGAUCUUGUUAUUGCGACCGUUCAUGAUCGACAGUCAACGUUCGAUAGUUGCCCUAGCUCAACAACAUUCUAAAAUUUUACAAGACAACAUCAAAAGGAUAUAUUGAAAUGGAUAUCUCAACGAACACGACAAUAUUGAACAAAUUUUAGAUUAAUCACUAUUCUUUCACUACACAACAAAAUGGGAACGAAAGAAGAACACAAACAAUAAACUGUCAUUGUUAUAUAUAAAUAUACCCUAACACAAAAUCGCAAUUUGAAUAUUCCAAGGAAACUUAGGAGACAAUACUUGCUAAACUGAAUCUAAACAUGUAGGGAUAAUUGUGAUGGAAAAGAGAGUUGAGGAAAGUGAAAUAUUUCCAAUUCCUUUCAAUCCAAUUGAUGAAGUCAAACCACCGUUUCAAAAUUUUAUAUCACAUCAUUAUUUUUUGAAAAGAAUCAAAUUAAGGAAGUAUUGAAAAGAAAAUAUGUUUUGAAGGAAACCCACAUCAAAAAUCACACACAAGGAGUUACUGCAAAGGUAAAGCAAAAACGACAUGAUAAAUCCACUUGAUCGGAAAACAAAAAAUAAAAAAUAAAAAUAAUACCAAUGCACUUAGAAAUUAAAUUUACACACAAAAAUAACAUAUUGAACCAUUAGAAAAAUCAUCUAAAUUGAAUAAUGAUAGUUUUUCAAAAAAAUUGGUUAAAAAAAAAAGAAAAAAAAAAAGAAAAACAUGGCUCUAACCUGAGUAAUUCUUUAUAGAACCUCCAAAAAAAAUAAAGGAGAAGAAGGAUCGGAUAAACAAAAUUUUCCCCCAGAAAAUCGAAAAUUCUAGCAAAAUUAAUACUAAUGGAUACAAAUAAGUAUAUUUACCUAAUUUGCAAUAAUUUGUUGAGGUUCUUCUAUCUUCAAGAAUUUGCAAUUGAAGUUUCCAUAUUUAUAAGGUUGGUGUUUCCUCGGAUAGAAAUUAAAUUCACACACAAAAAUAACAAAUCGAACCAUUAGAAAAAUCAUAUAAAUUGAAUAAUGAUAGUUUUAAAAAAAAUGGAUAAAAGCAAAAAAGCAUGGUUCUAACCCGUGAUAUAUAUAUAUAUAUAUAAUAAUAAUAAUAAUAAUAAUAAUAAGAAGAAGAAGAAGAAGAAGACUCUUUGCAUUAUGAGUAUCAGAUAAACAUAAUUUUCUCCUAGAAAAUCGAAAAUUUAGGCAAAAUUAAUAAUAAUGGAUACAGAUAAGUAUAUGUACCUAAUUUGCAAUAAUUCGUUGAGAUUCUUCUCCUAGGGUCCGUUUAAUUGUAAAGAUGAAAUUCGGAUGGAAAGAAAACGAAUUCCAGGGAAUUGAAUUGCCUAAAAGUUGUUUUACCGAAAAUCGUCAAUUAAUAAUAUUUGAUUGGUAUAAUUUUUAACUUGAAAAAUGUUGAAAUAAAAGUGUUUUUUUUUGUGUUCGUUUGGUUUCGUUUUUCAUGAAAAUUGUCAAUUUAAAGGAUAUCCACUUCUACAAUUGUUCCUAGAAUUUGUUUCCAUUGUUUAAAAUAAACAAACAAAUAAAUAAAUUCAAAAAUCAUCUAUAUUUUGAUCUUAAUUUGACUUUGUUUUACAUGAAAAUUAUUAAUUUAAGGGAUAUCUUCUUUUAUAAUUAUUCCUAGAAUUUGUUUCCAUUGCAAAAAUAAUAAUAAUAAUAAUAAUAAUAAUAAUAAAUAAUAAUAAUAAUAAUAAUAAUAAUAAUAAUAAUAAUAAUAAAAUUGAAAAAAAAAAAAAAAAAAAAAAAGAAGUUGAAUGGAAAAUCAAUCAAUUUCCACCGACCCAGGAGAAAGUGAAUUCCUCAAAACCAAGAAAAAGCUGGUCAUGUGAGGGCUAAACUAGAAAAUCAAUUACUUGAAAAUUUUGGCAAAUCAAACACUCAAAAACAUGGAACAAUAAAGCUACUUGUACAAAGUUGAAUUACAAAAGUUGAGUUUCAAAGUGUGUUGACAAAAUUCAAACUAUUGAUUUCAAAUAAUUUAAAAAUCUUUUUUUGAAAUGAUUGGUGUAAAUAUGAUUUUGUUAUUCAACUUUGUCAAUUCCCUUUGUAAGUGUAGCAUAACUCUGGAGACUAAGAUUUCUGCAGUCCUCGAGAAUUUGCAAUUGAUGUUUCCAUAUAAGGUACAAGUUUCACAAGAUAUUUAGGGAUUUGAAUUUUAGUUUGGUAUGUUUCUCUUGAAGAAGUUUAACCGUAUAAUGCAUAAAAAUAUAUAGACAGACGGAAAAUUGAAACUUAAGUUCCCAUAAAUUAAUAAAUAUUGUUGAGGAAUAACACUUCAGAGCAUUGGAAAAAACAAAUAACAAAGAUAAAAAUAACAGUUGAAAUCACGCAAGAUAAUAUUUCAUUCUAAAUUAUUACUUGCUCCUAUAAUUCCAAUCGUUAAUUUGCAUAAGCAAUUGUAAUGUUCAUAUAUAUAUAUAUGUGUGUGUGUGUAUGUGUGUGUGCGUGUAUCGAUUUGCUCCAACCAUGAUGUCUAUUCAACGUCUAAGAGCUGCUAUUUUCUUGAGUUCCUAUAAGGGCUCUAUCCUCUGGUAAAUUCAUAGGUCCCUAGCAAUUGCCUCUUCCAUGUGUUUCUGUAAUGACAAAAAAAUUGUAGUAUAAAAAUACGAAUGAAAACUAAAAGUUGAAACCUCAAUUCAUCCAUCCACUAUCAAAUACAUGGUCGAAAUGGUACCUGCAACAUAUCUUCAAAUGUUUUUUCUAAUUCUUUUAUUUCGCUUUCCGUGGUUUCCAGUUCGGCAAUUACCUCUUCCUCUUCAGCGUUCAACUCUUCUUGUUCGGCUUUUAUCUCUCGCAUCUCGGCAAGUAUCACAUCAGUCUUGUCAUUUAGCUCAUCCAGGUAGGCAUUUAGCUUUAGAAAUUUCUGCAUUAGAUAUAAUGAAUCCCAUAUGAGGUUCUCUUUAAUUUUCAGAAUACAAUCCAUUUCACCCCCACCAAAUUAUCACUCUUUCCCACAAUGCUCCCUCUGAUUUAUCAACUGUACAAAUAGUGCCCUUUCAGAUAUUAAAUUGACCAACGGAAGGACAUCAAAAACAGAGAAAAGAGAGUAAACUGAUUAAUUGUGUCAAAAUUAAACUUACAAGCAUAGUCUGCAAAUUUUGGAGAUAGGCGUGUGCGCGCUUCGUACAACCCUUGUGCCUUACAAGAAGCCCAAAUUUUCUUCUUAAAUGUCUGGCAUAGUAAACUUAUAUCAGAAUAAAAUAGGCUAAAAGGAAGCAUCGGUAAAAGGAAGAGAAAAAUAACUCACUUUGGUGUGCACUUCUUCUGAGUUCUUCUAAGGAUAGUUUUCCUUGUAAACGACAUCUUUAUAAUCUGUAGGAAGGUUUAACUUACAAAUCAAACAUUAAGAAAAGAUCUUUUGAAUAAAACCCACUUCAGAAAUCGUUUCAAGGAGUUAAUGCAAAAGGUCAAAGAAAAACGACUAGAGAAAUUUGAUUAUAUAGAAAAUUAAAGUUCACAUACACAAUAACAUGUAGAACAUAAGAAAAAUUAUAUCUUUCCUUUCCUUUUACUCUAAGCUACGAACCAUCUAAAUUACAUAAUGAUUGUUCCAAAAAAGCAACAAAAAAAAAAAAAAAAAAAAAAAAAAAAAAAAAAAGGUCAAAAGUGAAGAAGUUCGGUUCAAGCAUGAAAGGGUAAAUUCUUCAUAGAACCUCCAUUUAAUAAAAAAAAAAAAAAAUCGAGAAGGAGAAGAAAACUCUUUGCAUUAUAAAGUUCUGAUAAACAUAAUUUUCCCCCAAAAAAAAAAAAUAUUCGAGCAAAAAUAAUACUAAUGGACAAAAGUAAGUAUAUUUGCCCAAUUUACAAUAAUUCAUUGAGGUUCUUUUUUUAGUGUUCAAGAUUCCUAUUGUUGAGCUUUUUUCCUUAGAGAUUGAGAUUUUUGCCAUCUUUAUAGGCCAGUCAAAUUUAUUAUUAUUCGAGAAUUUGCAGUUGGAUCCAUAGAAGUUUUCCAAAAAGGAAGAAGUUUCCUCAGCAAUUUAGAGUUCUCAGUUUUAAUUGGCAAAUGAGCAGGAACAGGGCUACUUUGAGAUCAUUGGGCAUAUGACAAAGUAGCAACAGGAAGAGGAAGGAAGCUAACAGAACAAGGAUAUUCAGCUGAUGAAGAAAAGCCCGUAGAGACCACUGCUGCAUGCAAAAUUAUUGUUUAAUUUUUAUCUACAAGGAAGAACAUUCUUCUUGAAGAGGUUUAUAUCAUAAUUUUGUGUCACAUCAGAAUUUAUAACAUUGUUAAGAACAAUUAGACUGUGUGAGGUCUGACUGAUACCUGAGAAAGGGAAAAUUAAGUGACGACAAAGAGAGAAAAUUCAAUUUCCACAUAAUCUAUGGAGAGUACAGUGUUACAAUUAUAAUGGAAUAUAAACACAUUCUCUCAAAAACUCACCCGAUUUUCCCCUAUUAAUAUGGAACAUGAACAUGAUCAUUAUGAUCGACUGUACAAAAUUAAAGAAGAUAAGUUUGUUUCGUUGUACUAAUUUAGAAUAGAAAUUUCAGUCUUCGAAACUGAUUUAUAACCAAUUAGCAUCCACCAAUAUCAAACAGCUUUAGUACAAUUUAACAUGUCCAAAAUAUAUAUUUCUUCUUGAUUCCGGCAAGAGUAAUGUUAACUUCUGUUUCGUACUUCCAUUUUCUUCAAGGUUCACACAAACUAUCACAAUUAAAAAAGACGGAUACGAAGUCUAUUCAUGGAAGGGGUUAAAGAAUUGAAAGAAUGAGAGAUAGCAACAAGGAAAAGAGAGCAAAAAAAAUAACUACUACUUCAUUCACUCAAACCUUAUUCCAACACUCCAGUUGUUCCCUAUGGUUUAUCAGAUUCGGAGGCUUGGCAUUAUAUACUAUAACUGAUGGCAGCACAUAAUUACCAAAGGAAGUUCCCAAUCUGUCAUAGUUGUUUUUUUACUCAUUAAGCCUUAGUACAUCUUACAUCUGGAAUGCUGUGACUACCCGUAUUCGGUGAUCUCAAAAUCUCUUCAAGAACUUUUCAUAGCAAUUGAUACGUCUCCUGGAGGGGAACGCGAAAGCUUAAUUGUUACAAUAAAAUGGAACUAAAGUUAAAAAUCCUAAUCAGUUAGGUACACUUAAUUCACUGAUUUACUCUUAAGUGGGCUUCAGAUUUCUAAGUUCUCUCAGCUACAGCAAGCUUGUCCCGCAGUUGCUGAAUCUGAAAAAAUGAAAACCAGCCCUUAAAUAACCCCUUUCAAUUUCAGGAUUCUCUGUAUGUCAAACACACCUGCACCUCUCAAUUUCAGGAUUCUCUGCAUGUCAAACACACCCGCACCUCUCAAUUUUAGGAUUCUCGAAAGGGGACUCAAAUCAGUAAAUUCCCACCAACCACAACAGUAACUAUUAACCGAGAAAAAAAAUUAAGAAAAAAGAAAAAGAAAAAGAAACCAUAUCUAAUGUGUUGAAUCGCUCAAGUCUCAAAUCAGUGAAUUCCCACCUUCACAUGUCUCCGCUUCUCAAAAAAAUUGGAAUAUACUAAUUGAAAUAAUGAGGUACCAGUCAAAAGAACAACCAAUUAUUAAACAAUGAGGAACGUUAGCAUUGAUUGAAGAAGUAUAAUAUGUACUCAAUCUAACCAAGAAGUGUAAACAUGAACAAAUCAAACAAGUUGGUUUGAUUGUUAAACAAACCUUAAUCGAUACUAUCAAAAUCUCGUUGCCGACCUUUUGAAGUGAAUAAUCUGGAGGUGGAUAUGGAAGCAGUGAUUCGUUGGGUGUUUGGUUUCUUGUUCCUGGUUCCGUUGUGUGAGUUAACGAGAGAUGGUAAUGAUUUUAUAUAUGGGUAGAGAUGAGAGAGAGAACGUAGUGAGCAAAUAGAAGAGCUGAUAAAUUAGAAUUUUGGAAAGUUUGAAUUACCCAUCAAAUAAAAUUUAACUUCUCCUGAAAUAUUGUUACAUGAAAAAUAUUUUUUAUAAUAAAAAAGCAGUCUAAUAUCUCAAAACAGAAACUUGGAUAAAAAUAAAUUUUCUAUAAAAAAAUAUUGUCAAUGAAAAGCAUACUCAAAGAAAAUUCAAGUUUCAAAAACGUGAAAACGUAGACAAGCGGAUUUGCAACUAGAGUCCCUAUAAGAUAGCACUUGGGAUCCCAUAUAUUCACUAAAAUAUCAAUCAAGUCCCCAAUAAAUUUAUUUUCAUUUUAAAUUCUUCAAACCUUCAAUCUAGGUGCAUAUUGGUCCUUCUCAAAUCUCAAUAUAAAAAAAAAAUAAAAAAAAAUCCACAUUUCGUUCACUAAAUCAUGUAUUUAAAAUUUUGUUCAUGUAAGUGGCAGAAUUCUCAAUAAUCUUUAUAUUCUCUAAAUUUCCACAAAAACUAGAGAGAACCCAUUCCUUAAUCUCAUUUUAGCGAGAGCCAGUUCCUUGUUUCUCGUGAAACAAGGGGAAUAAAUGGGGUGGGGAGAAGGCGACAACAGUGGCUUAUGAAGUAGAAGAUUAUUCAUUUUUUUGACCUUUUUUUAUUUAUUAAUUUUAAUAUUUUUAUAGAAAUAUAAGGAUUGACUAGAAUUUUCCCAUUUAUGUAUAGUCGUUAAAUUAGUAUGAUUUGUAAGCAAUUAAUCAUAAUACCAAAAUUUUAAAAUUCUAUGAUUUUCACAUAUGAAUCAUUGAUCAAUAAACAUAUUGUUGACCUCCAAAAAUAGUUCCAAUAGGUUCCCUAAUCUCGUCCCCUCGAAACCUGAGUAAGUAACACCCUGUCAAGAGGCAAAAGCCCCCAAACGAGAAAAAGAUUCAACGAUCAUUUGCACUCCGAUGGUCAAGUUAAUGGCCGGACGGAAAUAGAUAUAUAGAGUGCAAUAGUAUGGAGAUGAGAAUUUGGCUAGAGAGUGUAGAACAUACCUUAGUUGUGUGAGUGAAUCCAUAUAUAUAGAGAAAUGGAAGUGAAAUUGGUCAAACGAGUUGGUGGGCCGAAGUCCAAGCCCAAUAAGGAGGUGAUCAUAUGAACUUAAUAAUAGGCACUUCGGCUAGCGCUUUGGCUGAACUCCUUAGGGCCUUGGUGGCGCCUCGACUGGCCUCGUCAGAGCCUCGGCUUUGGGGCCCAAUUUUGAUGGGCCUCAUCCGAGUCCAAUAAGAUGACCCAAUAUGAAGUGGUAAUUUAUAGGUGUAAUAGUAGUCCCCCAAGUUCGCGUCGUAUUAUUUAUAUGUGGGUCGGACUUGAAAUAUAAACUAUUAAGUAUGCGAAGUCUUACAAAUUGCCUCAGAAAGAUGGGUGGCUCCAAUAAGCGGGACUUACGAACUGCCUCGAAAAUAUGCAUCGAUCUUAAAUAGGCGUGGACUUACGAAUUGCCUUGAGAAAUAUGAGUCGCUCCAAUAAGUGAGGACUUACGAACUACCUCAGAAAAUGUGUGUGAGUCAGAAUAAGUGAGGACUCACGAAUUGCCUCGAAAGAUAUACUGCAUAUAUUUUUUUAAAAUUUCGAUAACAUCUCUUCUGUAAUAUGGACUAAACCAAUCCUGUAAUACAAUAAAAUAUAUCCAUGGCACAUAUACCAAAUAAAUUUGGGGUCCAUUUGCCCCUUCAAAUGCUCAUAACUAUAGGGUGUGACAUAUCAUAUUUCUCCAAGAUAUGUGCAGAGGGUCUGUCAUGCAUUAUAGUAAAUCAUGUGCUCGCACAGCUCAGUGUAUCAGUAAUGUUAUAGUGAAGCAAGUAACAUGAUGUUGACAAUAAAAUGAAAAUGAUGAUAACACGACAUAUGUACUGGCUAUGAUGAAAAUAAUAUAUGACAUGCUAGCAGUGAUAUGACAUUCAUGCUUGGAAGCAAUAAUGUGAUGCGUAUGUUAGUAGUGAUAUGGCAUUCAUGCUUGGAAGCAAUAAUGUGAUGCGUAUGCUAGCAGUAAUAUGUAGUCCCCCAAGUCUGAGUCAUAUUAUUUAUAUGCUGGUCGGACUUGAAAUGUAAGCUACUGUGAUAAAGUUGAUGUAUAGACGAUGCUCUGAAUGUAAGUAGCAUAGGUGACAGGGGCGAUGCGUUGGAUGCAGAGGCAAUGCUAUGAUUGUAGUAGCAGAGGCGAUGCUCUGGAUGGAGUAGCAGAGGCGAUGCUCUGAACUGAAUAUAAGUAGUUAUACUAAUACUGAAGCAUACUGAUAUAUAUCAGCCGUUGACUUUUUAAGAUUAGUUAAGUGUAUGGUUGUUGCUGCAGUUGUAGGUUCAACUGUCUCUACCGAAGUGCUGACUCAUAAGACGACGAGUGGGAGAUGCUGAAACUUGUGAAGCUGAAGAUCGGGACACAUCUUCGACUGAGGCACUGAAGCUUCGAUGCUAUUUGAGGAAAGAGCUCAUCUGCCACCGGUGCGCUAACCCACAGGGGACGACACGUUGGGAGAUGGCUAAAACUUUGUAAUGUUUAGGAGGGAACGCAGCCAUCGAGGCGAUGACCCACAGGGGACUCUGCGUCAGGUGCGUCUAAGUUUUCUAAAGCCGAGUGAGGAGCUCAUCUGUCAUCGGUACACUGACCCACAGGGGACGACGCGUUGGGAGAUUGCUAAAACUUUGUAAAGCUUAGAAGAGAACACAAUGACUGAGGCAAUGACAUACAGGGGACUCCGUGUCAGGUGCAUCUAAACUUUGUAAAGUUGAGUGAGGAGCUCAUCUGCUACCAUUGCGCUGACCCACAGGGGACGACGAGCUGGGAGAUGGUUAAAACAUUGUAAAGUUUAGGAGGGAGCACAGCGGUUGAGGUGAUGACCCACAAUACUCGGCAUAGGCUAAUAGAGAUGAUAGUCAAAAAAUGCCUUUGAAUGAGAGAGAUCAAGCUAACAAAUUUUUGCCAAAUACAUGGUGUGUGCAAAUGGCCAUUUCUAAGAUAUGUAGGGGUAAAGAUAACUCAUUUCCAGCCAUUAAAAUAAGCUCCAUCAUCAUCCCCUUGAAAUUAUUUGAAGAAGAAUUAUUUGACAACAUUGAGAAUUGCUUGAACAUCCAAAGAAACCAAUUGGCAAAGUUGCUAAUUGGACCCUUAGCUAGAUGCAUUGACAACUUGCAAAGGGAAUGAGAGUUGAUGCUCUAAUAAUUACAAUAGCGAGCCAACGGCUUUCAUCAAGAUCAAACAGAAAAGUGUAGAAAUUCCCUGAAAAGCAAGGUCUGUCCAUGGUGCUUUUCGAGUUGAUAAUAUGCCCCAAAGCAAGAAAUGAGGCUCUUCCAAUUCCAGCCCCAAAGCAAGAAAUGAGGCUCUUCCAAUUCCAGCCAUAUAUUGGCGAAAAUGGUUGAUGUUGUUGAUAAAAUAUUGUACUUAAAGUAAAUUUUGAAUUAGAAGAGCACAUGAACUGUAAAUAGGCCUAGUAGAAUCAUAGUACCAAAUGUUGGAGCAUUUUAGACAUGUCCAUUCAAUAUGAUAAACUGUUGGAGCAUUUUAGACCCAUUCAAUAUGAUAAACUGCAACCUCACAUGAACUAUAAAUAGGCCCAUUCAAUAUGAUAAACUGUUGGAGCAUUUUAGACCAAAGGAAUCAAAUUGGCCCAAUAUAAUAAACUCCCGGCCCAAGAGAAGUCCAAAUUAGUCAUCCAAAUUUUUUGUUGACAAGUAGCUUCUACUGGCACACAAAGCAGGCGAAAGUACACGCUUAUUUUUGAAUUAAUGUAUUUGUACCAAAUGUCUUACCUAAUUUUUUAUCGAAUUGACAAGUGGCGGGUCAUCCAUUUGGUAAAUAAUUUGGCACAUACAACAUUUCCUUUUGAUGUGUAUGAAAAUUAUAGCCCGACCCCGAACUUUCAAGCAUGGCCCGAGGUAAAUACCUCGACCACUCUCAUCUCCAAAUAUCGUUUAAAAUGUGGUCGGGUCUCUCAUAAGUCGGACCUAAUAAUCGGGUCCUACUAAGGUCGGGUCCACAUGCCAAAAUAUUGUCCUCUUCUCGAGUCUCUUGCGAGUUUUAGUGCUCCUAUGACUCAACUGUUUAUCAUUAUCUAAAUACUAAACGUGUUACAAUUCAUGCCAAACCUAAAGUGGUAAUUGUGAUAUAACUCAAUCACUGUACAAGAUAAAGAUUACAGGUGGUUGAAUCCUGAUACAACUCAACCACUGACAUCUAUAAAUACAGGACUCAGCUCCAUUAUUCGGGUAUGUCUUUACAAUACAAUUACAGCACAUACUUUUACACAAUUUCCCUCUCUGACUUAAGCAUCGGAAGGGCGACGAGCACACACCUCGUUGCCUUUGUUUCAGGUACUGGAAGGCUCCGUUUGUGCUCGAUCCCAGUCCUCAAUCUCGAGAAAUCAACAGGUACAAUUUUUGACAUCAUCAUUGGCGCCGUCUGUGGGAACCAGAUUACGGUUAACCAUGACGGAAACACAUGGAAAAAGUCUAUCUAAGAUUCUGAGAAAGUUGGAGACGGGCUUUGGAAAAUAUGGAUGGGGAUGGAUUACUUUUGACUCCACGAUGUAGAUCCACAUAAAGAACAGGGGGAAAAAGGUGGAUCUGGGAAAGAGAGUUGAUAAGGUCAAGAAGGUUCAUUAUUCAGCUUGGGUUUCAGAUCGGAGGUGAAAUAAGGAAAUAGCCCCAAAUCAAAUAGAGAAAUAUGACUUCCUAUCACUCGGAUUAACCUGGUAGCAGUUAAACUCUACCUCUAGCCACAAUAUUUUUUAAAAAACCCCGCCAUUCUUCUACCUCCAGUUACGAUCGGAAGCUCUAGGUCCACCGCAAAUCAUGUAUAUAAAAUAACCUCUGAGGCAGAAACAGGAGAAAAAAGGGAAAGCCGUGUUCGGUCACCGCCGCCAAAGCUACUAUCAAAGAGAAAAUUAAGGAUGUGAAGACACCACUGGAUCAGGCCACGCAGAAGCACCACUCGUUCAGGUUCGCCACUUUCCUAGAGAGAGAGAGGACGCGGCCGCCGCCAUGGACAAUAUGGAUGGGGAGGAGCUUUACGACCGUGUACUCACUGUUAACUAUGCUCUACCAGAGAAAAUCAAGGGUGGUGAACAAGGAUGGGCCGCCCAGCCUAUUUGGGCGGAUGAUGAUACAUAUAAACUUGACGCUAAACAUUAAUUUGAUGGAGAUAAAUUAAUUUGAUCACAAUCAAUCUACACAAUCACCGUUAACGAAGGUAACCAUCGGUCCGUGGUCCAGGUUCUGCCUUCUGCCCAUUGUAUCUACAUUAAUUUGAUGGAGACAAACAAGUAAUGUGAUUUCCAAGCCAGAAUAUUGGUAGCAUUUGUCGUGGUCUUUCUGCAAUCAAUUUAUCCUCUCUCUACAGCUGGAUUUUUUCUUCAAAUUGACUAGUUCACGUGCUCUUCCUUGGUGCCUUUGGGCUGAGACAGGUUAGUUCACUCCAUAAGCAACUUGGGCAUCUAAUGAGAUUUAAAAAGUUUGGCCUAUGAAUUUAUUUUCCUUGGAUCCUUUUUGUACUUGCAUUUGGGUCAUUACAAUUUAUUCCCACUUCUACAUCUAAAAUAUAAUUGGGCUGCUCCGAUUUGAAUCCAUUAUCCACUUGGGCCUCAAAUUGGAUUUAAAAGUUGAAAUUGUUCAAAUAGAAUUGGGCCUAUGAGUUUAUUUUCCUUGGACCUUCUUUGUACUUUGCAUAGAUAAUUAUUGGGCUGCCACAAUUACUCCCAUUUGGAGAUUUAUAAACUUUGAUUGGGCCUCUUGCUAUUUCACCCGAUAGGAAUUUAACUGGGCAAAUAUUAUUAUUUACCCUCUUUCUCAUUUUAAUCCCAAACUUAAAUAGUGGGCUGCUUAAUAAAUUGGUAGAAAUAAAUUCCUCAACUUUGAAAAUCAAUUGGAAUUCUCAUGUCCUCUUCAUAUGACAAUAUGAAGGCAAUAAAGAGCAUAGCAGAAUGGGUACUUGCAAAUAUAUUAGUUUGAAGACACCAAUCACACAACAUACAUUAUCUGUGUUUUAAUUCUUGAAAAGCAUAUAUUUUGGUGUUAUCAAUGCUCAUGCUUAUGGUAUGAUUAUUUGGUUAUGAAUUACAAUAACAAUUGGUUCACUCACACUAAGUGCUCAUCAAAGCCCUGCUCCGCGUAGGCACCUAAAGCCCUGCUUCGCGUAGGCACCUAAAGCCCUAUCACGAGUAGGCACAUCAAAGCCCUACCACAAGUAGGCACAUCAAAGCCUUGCCCCGUGCAGACACCAAAGCCCUGUCACGAGCAGGCACCUCAAAGCCAUGCCCCGCGCAGGCACAUCAAAGCCCUACCACGAGUAGGCAUAUCAAAGCCUUGCCCCGCGCAAGCACCAAAGCCCUAUCACGAGUAUGCACAUCAAAGCCCUACCACAAGUAGGCACAUCAAAGCCUUGCCCCGUGCAGGCACCAAAGCCCUGUCACGAGCAGGCACCUCAAAGCCAUGCCCCACGCAGGCACAUCAAAGCCCUACCACGAGUAGGCACAUCAAAGCCUUGCCCCGCGCAAGCACCAAAGCCCUAUCACGAGUAGGCACAUCAAAGCCCUACCACAAGUAGGCACAUCAAAGCCUUGCCCCGUGCAAGCACCAAAGCCCUGUCACGAGCAGGCACCUCAAAGCCAUGCCCCGCGCAGGCACAUCAAAGCCUUGCUCCGCGCAAGCACCAAAGCCCUGUGACAAGCAGGCACAUCAAAGUCCUACCACGAGUAGGCACAUCAAAGCCUUGCCCCGCGCAAGCACCAAAGCCCUAUCACGAGUAGGCACACCAAAGCCCUGUGACAAGCAGGCACAUCAAAGCCCUACCACGAGUAGGCACAUCAAAGCCUUGCCCCCGCGCAAGCACCAAAGCCCUAUCACGAGUAGGCACAUCAAAGCCCUGUCACGAGUAGGCACAUUAAAGCCUUGCCCCGCGCAAACACCAAGCCCUGUCACGAGCAGGCAUAUCAAAACCCUGUCCCGAGCAGGCACCAUCAAAGCCUUGCUCCGCGCAAGCACUAAAGCCCUGUCACAAGCAGGCACAUUAGAGUCUUGUCCUGCACAAGCACCUCUAAGCUUUGCCCCGUGUAAGCACCCCUAAGUCUCGUAAUGAAUCAAAGUAAUAAACCCGACCACGAGUCUGUCCCGAGCUUGUCAGGCUCAACCUAUUAUUAAAUUCAUUGGAGCACAGCUCGAGAUAUUAUUUCACAUUGGGCUCGGGGGCCUGUCCUCGAGCUCAACACAUUGUCUACUCCCAGUCAGAAGGGCUUGGGAUAAUUGCUUCACAUUGGGCUCAUGCCUAUCUUCGAGCUCAAUUCUUUUUUUCAAAUCCCAGCCACAAGAGCUCGGGAUGGUUGUAUCACGUUGAGCUCGGGGGCCUAUCCUCGAGUUCAAUCCAUUGUCAAAUCCUAAACACAAGAGCUCGGGAUAAGUCUCUCACAUUAGCUUGAGAUUAUCCUCGAGCUCAAUACAAUCUAAUCCUAGAUGCAAGGGCUCGAUAUAAUUAUUGCACAUUGAGUUCGGGCUAUAUCUCCUAAAUGAAUCUUUGUCCAUUCGUCAAACCCAUUACUUCCAAAACUUUUAACAAAGCUCGAGGUUGAGCUCGUUCUUUUCAACUUCUAAACAAGGUAGAGUCAAGCUCUUUCACAUCAAGUACUGAUAAAGCUUGAGCUCGGUCAUGCCAAAUUCUUUUACAAGGUCGAAGUCGAGCUCAGUUCUCUCAAAAAUUUCAACAAGAUCCGUGUGCUCGGGGGCCUAUCGACUUGACAUGAGCAUGCCUAUUCUUGAACUUAAUAUACUUAUGCAUCUCAUGCCAGAAACUCCCACAUUGCACACGAGCUCCUGACAUGGAUGCACGGGGGCCUAUGAUGUGUAUGAAAAUUAUAGCCCGACCCCGAACUUUCAAGCAUGGCCCGAGGUAAAUACCUCGACCACUCUCAUCUCCAAAUAUCCUUUAAAAUGUGGUCGGGCCUCUCAUAGGUCGGACCUAAUAAUCGGGUCCUACUAAGGUCGGGUCCACAUGCCAAAAUAUUGUCCUCUUCUCGAGUCUCUUGCGAGUUUUAGUGCUCCUAUGACUCAACUGUUUAUCAUUAUCUAAAUACUAAACGUGUUACAAUUCAUGCCAAACCUAAAGUGGUAAUUGUGAUAUAACUCAAUCACUGUACAAGAUAAAGAUUACAGGUGGUUGAAUCCUGAUACAACUCAACCACUGACAUCUAUAAAUACAGGACUCAGCUCCAUUAUUCGGGUAUGUCUUUACAAUACAAUUACAGCACAUACUUUUACACAAUUUCCCUCUCUGACUUAAGCAUCGGAGGGGCGACUAGCACACACGUCGUUGCCUUUGUUUCAGGUACUGGAAGGCUCCGUUUGUGCUCAAUCCCAGUCCUCAAUCUCGAGAAAUCAACAGGUACAAUUUUUGACAUCAUCACCUUUUAUUUUUACGACCGCGCUAUGGUGACCGAAACGGUUAACAGAAACUUUGACCUCCUAACAUGGAAAUACAACCAUUAAAUCCAAUAGGGGCGCGCCACUUGUCAAUUCGAUCAUCCAUUUGGUAAAUAAUUUGGCACAUAUAACAUCUCCCUUUAUUUUUACGACUACGCUAUGGUGACCGAAACGGUUAACAGAAACUCUGACCUCCUGACAUGGAAAUACAACCGUUAAAUUAAAAAGGAAGACAAAAAAUUAAUAAACCAAACAAGGACCCGGUCUAAUGUGUCAAACCCCAUAACUCACUACCCUCGUUAUCCCAUUUUUCCCAGACGAUUCUACCAGAUUUAAACCCUAAACUGCCGACACGGAUUAUCUCACACCCUCCGAGGUCAGCACGAAAAGAAGGCAUAUAUACCCUUCAUCGCUUGCUACCCCAGAAGGACCCAUUCUUGUCUUCGUUUGUUGAGUGUAUCCAGCUUCACCAGUGUUGAUUUGGUUUAUAGCAAGUGAAAGAAAGUUCGAAUAUGUAGGGUUUUCGAUGGAUUGACUAUACUGUUAAUUUUUGGGGGGUUAAUUUUUUUUCUCAUUCUGUAGUCAGUAGCAGUCGUUGGGUCGAAGGAAGGUUUUUUUUUCUUUUUAUUCUCCUAAAUCGUGUGCAUUGUAAACUAGCUAAAGUAUUGGCUUGGAUAUUAUGUAUGUUGUUUCCAAUUGCAUUAUACCAGAUCCAACACAAUGUUUUAGAUGAUUUCGUUGUUGCUUAUGAGUCGGUUUUCAUUUUGCACUAUCCGGUUGUCACUAAUAUUAAAUCACUCGAGUCUUAUAGUUGGAAGAUUACGGGGUUGGUAUGUGGGUAGAUAAAAAAACUAUGAUCGAACACUUGAAAUUUGUUCUGCAAAAUUUCCAUUGAUUCUUUGGAUAGUUUUUUGUAUUCUGUAAUCUCAAAAGAACAUGAAGUUAGCUUCUUCUUCUUCUUCUUAUUUUUUAUUUAUUUAUUAUUAUUAUUAUUAUUUUUUAUGUCACUUCUGAAUGAGGGCUUUCAUUCAGGAAUGCCCCUAAGUUUUUAUUUAUAAUUUAAAGAACUUUUCUUUCAAUUUCUAUUUCUAAACUCUCAGAUGUUGAAAUUUUGAUUUUUCUCAUUAUAAUGUGUAAUAUUUUUAGAUGUCUGGAAUAUGUACAGAUAACAAUAAGAUUGCUUUAAUGGAUGCAAGCUCUUAGUAGUUUGGAAUAUGUACCGAAAGCAAUUUAAUGACCUUAUUCACUUAUGCAUUUCCGGCAGUAGUUUCAUCGCUACGUGGUAGUUAAGUAAUGUCGUUUUCUAAUUGCGUCAUUGUAUGAGGACUCAGAGAGUGUGUUUGAUUGUCAUGAAAAAUAUUAUCUAGAAAAGAAAAUAUUUUUCAUCUUUUGUGGAAAAUAAAAAUCACCUCUACCCGAGGAAAAUAUUUUCCUUAAAAACAAGAAAAAUUAGGCAUAUUUUCAAAAGUUGGAAAAUGUUUUCCAUGAAAAAAAAUAGCAAUCAAACACUCCAAGUAGAAAUUUGGGUGGAAAAUUGAUAUUUUUCAUGAAAAAUAAAUGUAAUCAAACACACCCUCAAUAUGAAUUGUCCAUGUGGUAUUAUGUUUUUUGUUAUGCGAUGUGGAUGGGUUGGAGUUGCCAUUUAAGGAAUGUGUAGUAUCAAGGUCAGAAAGUCUUAUCUGUUCAUUUUGAUGGAUACUGCAUGGUCUCUUCUUUUCUACUGGUAAUUUAUAUCCGUGGAUCAAGAUAUUGGAUUGUAAAUUUUGAAGUAACUUAUAUCCAGUAAAUGAGGUAAAGUGUGUGUGUAAAUAUGAAAAUAAUGACUAUUAAAAAUAUUGAGGCAAAACCAACUUGGACUUUGAUCAAAUUGCGUCGUCUUACCAUGUUUAAGCAUUGUCUCUUUGUUAUGUAAAUUCUGUUCAUUUCAAUGAAAUGAUUUAUAUAGAAACAGCAGCAAGUCUUAUUAAUUGGGUCCUUAAGACACAUUUCCAUCCUCAUGUGCCUUCCAGCAUAAAAUGAAAUUAUCUAAGUUCUUCAGACAGUGUUAUAUUGCUCGUCACCAAUCAAGAGAUAAAAUAAAACCCAUGUAACACUUGAGAUAAUAUGAGCAUCCAAUCUACAUAGUUUCCAAUAUUCUUCAGCCUUUUAGCAUCCAAUACAUUAACUCACCUUGCUCACAAGCGCUAAUAACUUACAAAACAUGAAGCACAGAAGUUCUCCUGGACCAACCAUUAAACAAUAUAUGUAUACAGAACCCCUCUACGAGUUUGCCUCCAAUUUUCCUUGAAGAGUCUCCCACAACCAUUCUUCCCUUUAUGCUCGAGAACAAAACUCAGACAGUUCUAUACCUCAAAAAUGAAAACUACGUUGUCAACAAUUAUUACAAUAAGUACAAGAUAAAAACCGUUGAAUAUUACUUAAAACACACAAAUUAACGAGAUCACAUCACCCACCUCAGGUACAGUCACAGUCACACCAUUCCAUCAUGUUACGCCAUGACCCAGCAAUUUUGUAUUUUCAAGAUCAUUCUCGUCAUCGGACUCCACCAACAUAACGGUUUCAACAUCGUCCAAAAUUUCUUUCCCUGCGACAAAAAGCUGAUUGAUGCAACAUAUUCAGUUAUGGUCGUUUAUAACAUAUACAAAUUUGGCUUCUUAUGAGUACGUUGUCUACAGGAGAAACUUCCAUGGAAUUAACAAAAUCAUCAUGUUUCUACUUAACAAAUUCCUGCCUAUUCUGCUGAAAAUAAGUAUCAUGUUUAUACUUCAAAUCAAAUAAAAUUUCAGAUUUCACACAAUGAAAAUGGAGAUUUAUCUACACACAUCAUCCUAUACAUCAAAUUCACAGAACAAAAUUACUCUACUCUAACUUUGAAGAGUUCUAAUUGUUCUGAAGCUUUCCCGUCAUUAAAAAAAAAAAAAAAAAAGGAAUCACACAACAAACAUAAAAAGAUUGAACCCAGAUACAAAUAAUCCCCUUAUCAAAAGAUGUGGAACAUACUUGAAGAAAAUCGAUAGUAACUAAAAACAGUGUGGCUGGAAAGAGGAAAAGUUUUUAGAUUUGAUAAAUUUUUUUCCCAAAUUUGAAGAAAGUUACAAAGAAAGAUGAUGGUGCGACACAGCAUUUCCAACAUUUACAGCUUCAUAAAUCUUACUUAGCAUUUCAAACACAACGAAAAUAGAGAUUUGAACUCAUUUCUCUUCCCAGAUUUUAAAACAAAUUUCAAAUUUCAAAAAUAAUUUUAGAUUUUACAGUAAAUUUCAGCUUUUACCUUUUCUGUCAUAAUUUCGAGGCAAUGGUCGGAACAAAUGUGCGGCGAAAUCGAAAAUGGCCAAAUCUAGAAUGAAGGUGUGGCCAAAUCGAUGGUGUUGGCGCUGUAGACUUCGGAGGUAUGGCUGGAUUAUGAGCAGCAAAAUGGAGACUGUGUAGAUAAGAAAUGAAAAGGCAAGAAAGAUGCCGUCCAAAUUACUAAUGAAUUAGGAACUAAAAUGGGUAAUCCGACCGCGGUUUUGGUUUUGAUUGGUUUUUAAAAAAUCAAAAACAAAAUAGAUUAAAGAAUUAUUAAUUAAUUCAUGGCACGUCAUUCUGUCAUGAAACAGGUCAAAGCGCAUGGUAAAGUAACAUUUUCCAUAAGAGAUUCCCUCCUCGCUUUGCCGCUUUAGUUUAAGGGCCGUGCUAUUUGCACAGAACCCUGUGCACAGGGUUCUGUGCAAGGAGAGAAAUCCUUAGUUUAAUUGGCCAAACCUAAUUCCAAUUUUUUCACCUCCAAAUUUCUUGUGUGUGAUAAAAUUCUUUUUCCUGGAUUUUGCAAGAAAUUUUAUUUAGCUCGUCAAAUUGCCACGAUUGGCUGUGAUAUAAUUCUUUCUCCUUGACAUAAUAUUCAUUUUGGGUCAAAAAAAUUCGGCUGAAUGGACUACACAUUUGAGCUCUUCGAGUUUCUUCAAGGUAUGCCAAUCAAUCCUACUAUUAAUUUGUAAAUUGUGUAGAAAAUAUAAGUACAUAUCUUGAAUUUUGAGAUUACGUUUUCAAUUUCUCGCUAUGGAAAAGAAAAUAAAUAUGAAGGCUGUUCUUCUGUAUGAAUUUUGAGAUUUGACAUAUUUGAAGUUUUGAAGUUGUCCUUUUUGGUUGGUUGUUGUGGUGAGAUAGAGUGGGAUUUUAUCCCCAAUUUUAGGGAGACGAGGGGACCAGCAAAUAAAGGGGAAGUGGCUGGAAGAGGGGUAAUGGAAUCUGCCGUAGUGCUUGAUAACCAUGCUAUACAGAACACACGCUUUCCCGUUGGUUCAAUCAAAGACUAAGCACUUCUAAUGGAUUUCAUUAUACACGUGUUUAUUUUAAUCAAAUGACGUAGGAAUCUGCCGUAGAUUGAGGGGUAAUGGAAUUUUUUCAAGGCAUGAGGAUAACAUAACGUGGGAAUAUAUUAUUUUUCUUUUGUGGAUUGCAGUGCAAUUUGCUUGCUUUGUGACUUUUGACAUUAUUUUUGAUAUUUUAAUUUAUUUUUUCGAUUUUUCGAAGAAGAUAGUUUUUCUGAAUUAGAAUGUGGAUCAUAUAAUCAAGAAUUUAGUACAAUUGGCACUUUGGCAAUGGAUUCCAAUUCAUCAAUUUCUUUUGUAUAUUUUAUUUCUAUGGUUGGAAAAGCAUUGUGCGUUUAAUAUUGCAAUGAUGAUACUCUGAUUGCAAAUAAUAUAUUCAUGUGAAGAUCUCCUUAAACUGGGACACAUAAUUUAGUCAAGAUUCUUUCUUCUUAUUCUGUAUAACAGUGCACUUUGCAGCUGAUUCUGUAUUGAGUCUUUUGACCACUAUGUCUUAUUCUGCAUUAACAAUUUACUGUUUGUUUUUAUGCGAAUUCAUCCAUGAUAAACAUGCAAAAUAUUGUCAUUUAAGUUCAUCAUUAUCUCUCUAAUUUUCCUUUAUUCUGGGAAGUGCCAAACAACUUAAGUAGGUCCAAGCAAAAAUAAAAGUACUUUUGUCACUCCAAAACCUACCACAAUUUAUGUUGUAUACCAAAAUUUCUAUAUGGAACAGAUAGAUCCUGUUAUGGAUUCUCAAUUAUUUGGAUCUAAAAUCUUACCUACAUUUUAAUUGUUCACACGUGAGAUGUUAUGAUACAAUAUUCUUUCUUAAAAUAAUCCACUAAAAGCUAUUAGAUGUUUCAGAGAAUCACUAUUUUAACAAGAAGUUGUUAUUAUUAUUGUUAAUAUGAAAUUAAAAGAACAAUUUAUUCAUAGAUCCCAGCAGAUAAAGCAAUCUUUCUUCUCUCUUUUGAGAAAAGCAUGAAAAAUUAACUAGUAAAUAUAUGAUGAUUUGCUUGUCAAAUAAUCAGUUUUUUUCAUCUAAAGAUAAGCAGAACCAAGAAUAUAUCACUGGUUUGUACAUGUCAUCACCGAGGCCCUGCAACAACUUGAACCGAGGUUAUUAAGAUGAGAAUAUAUAACAUAAGAAUUGAGAUGUCAACAAAUGGAAUUGAUAAUAAAUGAAGUGAAAGACGACGACUCAUAAGGUAAUUGGACCAUAUUUUUGUUUAGGUUAAAAGAAAUUUAUGCACUAGUAGAACAAGUUAUGAAGAGGAAGAGGUAGAUCAAUAUUAAGAUGUCAUGUUUCCACAUUUAACGAGGAUAUAUUUUCAUCAAAUCUUCUAAUGUUAGCUAUGAAAUGACCAUAUAGAAUAGGAAAAAAAUUCACAUAGCAAACCUCAAAUUUAUUAGGAACAAGACCUUUUCUUUCUUUCUUUCUUUUAGCCAUGUUACCUUUGGGGCGGUACCUCAACAUCUUGUUUCUUGCUCACGAUAAAUGGAUAAAGUUGGCUCGAGCUCUUUCUUCACUGUAUGAGCAGUUAGAGCAGAGCGAGAAUGGGGAAAGGGAUGGGGGUGAAUCUGCAUCAUAAGGACUAGAUGUAAUGGAUAUAAAUAUGUCAUGUUAAUCGUAAAAAUUAUUUUACUUUGUAUUUUUAAUGAUUAAUGAUGAAAAAUGAUAUCCUCAUGUUUAGCGGUGCAGGUAGAAGCUUUUACUAGAAAUGUCUUCCUUUGCAAAGCACAUGUUAUAUGAGUUGAAAACAGAUGUUAUGGACUUAUCACAAUUAAAGAAGAAUCACUCAUACAUGAAAAUAUGAAUUCAGUAAAUAGGUUAUUAUCUCUUUUUAAAUUAAAUGUGUCACAAAUAUUGUCUAAAGAGCAAAUAUUUGAAAAAAAGGGAAACUCUUGUAAUAGGCACAGCAAAAGGUGAAAAUGUUCGUAGAGCUGAAGAAAAUGAUGAGGCAUUGGAUGAUGAAGUAGAGGGUUCCGAAGGUAGGGUGUUUAUUUGUUAGUAGUUAAUUUUCUUACUACAUGAAGUUCAUUUACAUGUUCGGCUUUUAUUAUUGAUUUUGCAAGUGUAGGUGUAGGUAUAAGCACUUGCCAAGGACUCCCGAUGACCUUCCUACUCGAGGAGAAUGUAAACAAAUUAAGACCUCUCGUAUCGUUCGUACAACUCGAGAGAAAAUUCGAUUUUUGUACAAUUCAGUAAGCAGACGAGCAACAAAUUCUGGAGUACAUAGUUUGUUAGUUCAUGAUAUCGGAGCUAUCAUUCAAUCACAUUGCCCAAUGAAUACUGGUUAUUGGAGGACCAUUUCUCCAAGUGAGAAGGGCCUUAUAGAUGAGAUCACAGUAAGCAUAUGUGUGCAUGUGUUUAUGUUGUUGGAAAAUUAAUAGCCAAAGAAAACUAUAUGAAUAAAUUAAAAGCGCAUUAUUUUGUGAAUUCGUUUAGUUUUACUUUAUGACUUGUUUUCUAGAAUUGGGUAGUUUCUUAUAAUUAUGGUUUCUUUUUAUUUUAAUAAUAUUUUUAAUUAUGUCAAUUUCAGAUGAACUUCGAGAUAGAUUUGAAAGACUCAAGAUUGGCAAAUGAUAUUAAUAGACUAUAUAAUGGGAGGUAUAGUGAGUUCAAGGUUGAGUUGAGUGCAUACUAUAAAUUGCGCAAGACACAUAAGAAUGGAUUAGCCAAUCCCCCUUUAGAGAUGCUUGAUAGAGGUGUAGAUCAAUGGGUAGAACUGUGUAAUCAUUUCAAUUCCGAUAAGUUCAAGGUAUUUAUUGUGUUACUCAUUACUAGUUCACAACUUUUACUCCUAUUUUUGUUAUGUAAUAUGUGUGUGUAUAUAUUCUGUACUUGCAGAAGGCAUCAUCUGCAAAUAUAGUGAAUCAAUCAAAGAAGAAGUAUAAUCAUUGUACUAGUUCACGUCUUUUCUCAUACACAGCGAAAGAGAUGGCUGAGGUAGUUAACUUAUAUGUUAUCAACAUGUAAUUAAUUAAUUAUAAUCGCUAAGAAUUUGAAUAUAGUAUUCGAAACAUGAAUUUUUUAUUAUUAGGAUGGUUCGAAGUUUCCCGAAGUCGACACAUUUGAGUUCGCUUAUGCAAGAAAGAACAAGUGUUGGACUUAUAAUGUAGCUAAAGCUCAACAUGUAAGAAAGGCUCAGCACUAAAACUUUAUUUUCUUUAUCAUGUUUUAUACCAAGUUAGACAAAAAAGAAUAUAUUGCAAAGUUAGAUCAAUAGAGGCCAAAAAACUUAACAUUAUGUUAAAUAGUAUAACAAUUUUUGUAUGAUUUUGUUGUGGCUAUUUUGGAAGUGGACAUUGGCAUGGUCAAAAUGUUUUAAAGAAUCGAUUAUAUCUCUUAGGUUGUACAAUAUCUCUUGUGUGCAGUUGUGUUAUAUCUCUUGCAAAAAAUUUCAUUUUAUGAGUUGCUUUAUAUAUAUUGUGAAUUGUGUUUUUAGGAUGAGAUGCUUGUCAAAGAAUAUGAAUAUCUUAUACAGAAGGCAAAGGAGCACCAACUUCCCAAAGAUAUUCGUUUGCAGGAGAUACCAGUAGAUGAUCCUGAUGCCGAAAUUGAUAUCAUGAUGUCUGUUCUAGGUACGAAGCCUGGACGUCAAAUUCGUGGGUUGUGAGAUGGUCGCCUUAGAAACAUUCGUACAUCUUCUAAUGUACACAAUUUGGAGAAAGAGUUAGGACCAGAACGCACUGCUCGAAAGACAGCUGAUGCAACUCUAGUAAAGAUGGAGCAAAUGAUGCAAUAUAAGAUGAAGGUUGUUGAGAUACAAUUCAAUUCUAUAUUGCAGUCUUGGUAUCAUUCUAUGCAUCAACUAUGCGGUAAAGUUCCUGGUUUUGUUGUGCCCCCUUUUACACCAUUGUCAAUAGAGAAUAAUGUUGAUGAGGAAGAUCAUUUGGUGAUGAUCAGUCGCAUAUCUAAUUCAUGAGGAUGAAUAGUUAUUUUGUUAGGUGCAUAAUAAUAGAUAUAAAGAAUGUUUGCUAUACUCAUUACUCUUUUUGAGUUUAGAUUUAAUCAUACUUGGUGAAGGAAUUUUAUUUGUGUUUAGAUAAAAUAUUUUGUAUUUAAUGUUAUAUCGAUUGACACUACAAGUCUUAGUUAAUUUAUUGUCAUUUUGUAUCUCUAUAUUAUUUUGAAGGCGCUAAAAAAUUACUGUAAUAUAAAUAACAAAUAAAAUAUAAAAAUAUAGUUUAAUUUCUCCCUACGAAUUGUUUAAUAAUAGCCUACGCAUAAGCUUUUCCUACAAAAAAUUGUUUAUAGAGAAAAAAGGGUUUAGCCCGCAAAAUAAUAUGUUAUCUUGUCGUCACAGAUUCUUAAUUGUUGGGAAAAAUGGAUCUAGGGAUGGCAAAAAAAUCUGCUCAACCCAAUAUCCAUGGGACCCGUCCCGAAAAUACCCGACAAAUUGGGUAUAUGGGAUGGGUAUGAGGUGAGGAUCAUUGCCUCGAAGCGGGUAUGGGAAACAUAGUCCUCAACUCGUUACCCACCCCGUUUAAUAUUAAUUUCAAAUAUAAGUUUUUAUCAAACAAGAAUAAUAGAUUUAUCAUCAUUUUUAAAGAAAAUAUAAGUUGUUUUUAACAAAUUGGUGAAAAAGUAAUCAUAUUUAUUAACUAAGGACAUAAAAAACUAAAAGCAAAAAAUAAAAUGAAUAAAAAAAUAAAAAAAAAUAAAUGGGACGAUAAAUGGGCAGGAGACUUGCCCCGCCCCGUACCGUCCCGCCGCCACCUUGCUCCUGACCCAUCCCAAACUUAAACGGGUAUGGGGCGGGAAACUAUCUAGUGGAGUGGGAUGGGUGUGGGGAAGUGUGCCCUGACCCAUACCCGCCCCGUUGCCAUCCCUAAAUAUAUCUUAGCCUACAAAUAUUCUUUCCGCACAAAAAAAUAUUUAAACGGGAAAACACGAUUUAGCCCACGACAUAAUUUGUCGGGAAAAGCGAAACCUUUACAUGGGCGAACGUAACUUUAGUAAACGAAUAAUUUUGUCGGGAGACACUUUACGCGAUGAAUUUUGUUUGUCUCCAAAGGGUUCGUACAGAAAAAGCUUAGCCGACAAAUUUAAAAAAAUUGUCACCUUUUACCUAUCCAUCGAUGUUUGCUCCACAAAUGUGCCUACAAAUUUAUUUCGUUUGCAAAUAUUUCGCCCACAAAUAUGAACCUUUCCCCUACAAAAAAAAGUUGUAGGGAAAACAUAAAAUUCUUGUUGUGAGUGAGAUUAGAUUGUCUACAGGUAAAAGAAAAUAUCCAAUAAUGGUUUAAAAAAUAUGAUCCCAUUAGGCGUACAAAAUGCAACUCAUAGAAUCCUUACAGAAUGACGUGUCUUUUUCCUUCCAAAUAAAAACUGAAUGAAAGAAAAGAAACAAAAUAAAACAAAAGAGGGAGGCAGCGCGAUUUGGAGCCCUAACCCUAAAAAUCGCCGCAUGAAGGACGAUUGUCGGAUUCACGAUUGAUGAAACGUCAGUGUGAAAUCGACCUCCGAAAGCCCAUCUUUGCUUUUCCUUUUCAUUGAUUCGAAAGCUUGGAACCAUCGUUUGCAGCAAUGAAGAGUCUGAAACUGUAGCCGCACUCGUCUUCACUUUCGACAGCCGCAUCUCAUCCGAUUUUCUCCACCUCCUACUGUCGCAUCCCAUCCAGUCUUCAAUUACUUAUAUUGUGCAUUGUCUUGAGUAGUGCCCAAAGAGGAAUUGGUGGAGUUUGAAUGUGUUCAGUAGUUUCCACAUAGUAAUUGAUCUCACUGGCCUUCAGGUACGUUGAAUUUGUGUUUUUGAAAAUCAUAAAUAAUACAAUGUGUAAAGUUUUCGACAGUUAAAACAUAUUCAAUUUUUGAGCAAUUAGUUUAACAUUUUAUAGGUUAUAAUUGAUUUGCAAUUUAUACAGAUAAUUGAAGUUAUGAAGAGUUAAUUAGAUUCUUUCUUCUUUCUUUCUGCUUAUUCACAUGUGCCCUAAUUCUAAGUGAAUGCAAUGAAGCAAAAAAAGUUGCCCUUUUAAUCCUCCCAAAAAGUGUGCCGAUCAACUAGCUAGAAUUCUUCACAGGGGCUUCACUGCACAUGGGAAUCCUAUUAGGAAAUUGAAGAUACAUAGUGUUAGCUUUCAAGAAAAAAUAUUCCUUGUUAAAGCAUUUGACACCAGAAAUUUGUAUCAAAUUGAAAUAGGUAGUCGAAGAUCUGGCUCUGUUGGUUGUUUUUGUCAUAUUUGUUACAAGGUUUUUGCUAAUUAUGGUUUUGUCGAUUGGUUUACAGGAACAUAUUGUUAAGACUAGCCACGGUUAUGUCUCUGUUACUAUCUUUGGAGACUUGGACAAGCCUGCUUUAAUCACAUAUCCUGAUCUGUUAAGAUUCAACUAUUGUUCCAAUCUAAUUUUUGUUUCAGGAUGAUAGGAAGGAAUGUUGGGGUUUGUCAUGGCUAUAGAAGCAUUGACCACUUCUUCACAGACUACUCGAUAAAAUGAAGAUGCCCAUGGGAGAUAGAAAAAAAGGACGAUUAUUCAAAACAUGAAGUGUUAAGUGUGGGUACUUUGAUUGGGUCCUAGAUGAAGAAUCAAGCGGUGAAUCGAACAAGCGAAGAUGUGAAUGUUGUAACCAUCGAGGAAGUGAAAGAUUUGCCAAGCAUGUUCGAUAGCCUAGCUAGAAUAGUCGAAAAAUGGGAAAUCGAAAUUUCAUUGACAUUUCAAAAGGGAAACAAAAGUGCCGAAGUUAAUGGAAAAGGAAAGGGCCGUGCUCUAUAAGGCGGCAACCUUGGAUUGCAUGUAUAGAAGGCUAAUAUUAUUGAACUAUGUAUUUGGCUUGAUUUCGAUCUGUAGCUACUGAUGUGUGAUGAUUUUAUUGAACUAUGUAUUUGGUCAAUUUAAGGACUUUAUUGAACUAUGUUGGACAGUUCUUGGAGCCUUCUUUAAUCGAGAAACGACAUAGGAUAGUUUUUAAUUGGAAGAAGUUUAUUGUCCAAGUGCCCAGUGACACCUUCAAGUGGCCAGUGUACUUAACACUACAUUGGUCACCCAUUACCAUUACAUACAUGUAGUCUGAUCACUUAAACAAUAAAAAUUUGACAGUCAAUUUCAACAAAAUGCCUGUACAUUAAUCGAAAAAAAAUCCCAGAAUAAAGAAAUAAAAUUCAUUCAUAGAACCUGUUUUUGGCCAUACAUCCUGUAAAGUUCAUUAAUAGAACAUGUUCAUUGUAUAUAAUUUUAGCACAAUAAAGAUGAAAUGAGGUACCAUAAAUCCCGUAAUCUAUCUAUCAUUUACCACACAUGCAUAUAUUAAUACAGAUGAAAUGAAAUACCAUAAAUCCCAUAAUCGAGGCAUACAAAUGAAAUGGAACACAACAUGAAGGGCAACCUCCAACUUCACUUGUAAUAUGAGUUUCUAGCAUUGCCAUGAGUCGACGUUAUUGCAUGAAUAUUUGGGACAGCAUUGAACAGAUUUACAACGUACAAAUAAUCUGCACCCGGUACCAAUGAAUGACGGUAAUAAUACAACAUGAGGCGGUAAGAAAUCUAGUAAAAUUAUCCUCUAAUACUCCAAAUUAACUAAAAGUGUACCUGAAGAAAAUUGUGUGGCAUUUGGCUCGUUCAAAAGUACGGACCUGUAUGUGGAAAAUUUGGGUUGGAAAACGCAUGACGGAAGGGAAAACAAAUUGCCUCCAAUUAUAAUGAUUUAAACACUUGUUCACCUUGUGAAUUGAGUAUAACAUUAGUGGAUGAUGGUGCGAACAAAUUAGACGACGCUGAUUGUUGCGUACACACUUGACUUUCGGUGUCACCCUAUGUCAAGUACCAACAUAAUUAUAACUACACAAAUGAAAGCAUGGAAAAUAAUUAUGUUUACUUACCAAUAGAAGCUGUGAAUAUGAGAAUGGUGUGGGCUGCAAGGGCUAAAGAUCCUGAGAUGUCUGGACGUCAGGUGUAGACUUUUCCAUAUUAGUACGCUUGUCUCCCGCUCUCAUUCCUCAACCAAAUUUCGAAGUCGCAUGUAUAUAUAUGGAUUGGACUGAGAUUUGUCUUGGUGUUUGAAUAGAGGAAAUUACCUUUGCUUUCUUCGAGGUUGACUCCAACGCACUUUUUUCUGUAGUUUCCGAAGAGCUUCCCUCCUGUUGGACAAUUUAAGAUCCAAUAUGCCAACACAUGCGGUAUUUUGCGAACUAGUACAUUGUGUUGCGAAAUUAAGAUAUUACUAGGAAAGGAAAUUACUACCACAACUCGACCUUGUAGUCCUCAAUUCCAUAGCUUGGGAUUUUAUCCAAUCCAUUAUCGCCCGUGCUCGCCCUUCAUCAUUUGCAGCAAGGUCCGCCACCUCCGAAAAAGCCUUACACAUAUCAUCAUAUCUCAACUGUUCAGGUGUACUUACCAACCUGGUGUAGUUCAUUGCGACCCAAGUGUGCGUUCUAUUGACGUCCCUCCUCCAUCGUCGCAAUAUGUACCUCUCUGGCAUAACUGUGAAGUCAUUACGAUCGAGAACUGUGAUCGCAUGCUGGCAAAUAAUUUCUCGAAAUUCGAACAAGUGGCAACUAUACAUCACUUGACAUGUGUCCAACCGACAUGAGACUGAAAAAGUUUUCUUCUUCCUACCCUCGCUACUACAAACUUCCAAACCUCAUAUUUCAUCCGUCCGGCCCCUUUGCUUCUGAAGCGACUUCACAAUACAUCUUUUCUAAUGAAAUUAUCCUGAGCUUCCUUAAAUUUUGCAAUAGUGUACAGUGCCUGAAAUUGUUUUUCCAUCUCAAAGCUUGUUGCAUACAGUACCAUUUGCGAGAACGAUUUGAAAUCGGCUUGGAACUCCUUCUCAACCUUAUUUCUUAGUGCUCUUUCAUACUGCUCAACAAAUUGCUUCAACAAGGUUUUCAAGUGGACAUAUCCAUCAAAGAACGCAUUCAUACUCUCACUUCGGUGUGUUGUUGACAUCCCUGUCCAGAAAGCCAUUUUCAAAAAAUAAGGUACCCAAGAACCUCAUUUUUCGAACAGACCCGAUAACCAAUCAUUAUCAUGCAAGUUAAACUCAUCCAUCAUUGCUCUCCAACCAUUUUCGAAUUCAUCAAUGGCUUGUGAAUCAUAUACCAUUCUAUGUAUAGUUGAGAAUAUUGAACCUUUAUCUACAUGGUAGCCAAACUUCUCGAGCAAUUUCUUCAUGAUGUGCCAUAGACAUCAUCUAUGUUAUGUAUUUGGAAAGACAAUCUCAACUGCAUUUUGCAUGGCUCUAUCGUAAUCGGUAAAAAUUCCACGGGGAGGUUGUCCCUGCAUGCACUGAAGUCAUGUCCUAAAUAGCUACACAAAUGUACUUGUAUUCUCAUUUGAUAACAACCCACAGCCAAGCAGCAUUAAUUGUCCAUGAUGAUUUACACCCACAAAAGGUACGAACGGCAUGUCAUAUUUAUUCGUCAGAUAAGUGGUAUCAAAUGUGAUAACAUCGCCCAACUCUUUAUACGCCUGCCUACAUCUAUUAUUUGCCCAAAAUACAUUCUUAAGUCAAAAUUCAUCGUAGCAAAGGAAAAUCCUGAACACCUCUCUCGCAUCUGGGAAAAGUGAGCUUGCAAUGUUGUUGCAUCUCCUUCUCCUAGUUGUAACCAUCUCAUUUGUUCAAUAUAGUUUCGACAGUCUUUUUCAAUGCAAGUCAUGUUUUCAUACUCGCCUACUUCCACAACUGCAGAGUUGAAACUUUUGUACAGUGAAAUUUCAGCUAUGUCAUUCAAUUCAGUCUUCCGUUUUUCUUUUGCAUUCAAUUAUCGGUUGCACCGAUACAACCUAGACUUGGAAAGACUUGUCUUAUGGUUUUGCUCUAGGUGGACGGUGUUAAUUCUCCAUAUUGUCGACAGAUAUAGAUAUCCUCAUUUUACAAACUAUCUAACUUGUUGGAUGCGGUUUCAAAGCAAUGCUUGUAUUACUGCUUCUUCGCCCUUCGCGACUACAUGUAAACGUUACAAAUCUAAUGACUCCGUCAUCCCCUUUUUUUGAAUUUUGUCUCCGAACUGGGAAACUUACUACAUAAGCAUGUCGUUUGUAAAAAUCAAACACCUCUUUGUCAUCUAUAAACGUCAUACCCACUUCAAGCACAGUCUCUCCAUCACCUACUAACGUUUCGUUGUCCACAAUGUUGAUAUUGUCUGAAACUACCUCAUUAUCGGACUGUACAAUUGAUUUUCAUUCAUGGCUUCCAUAACUUUCACGUCCUGCGACCAAGUCAAUGGUAACGUUCAACAGAAUGAAAACCAAUAACAGCAUAAUAAGUAGAUGGAAAUGACCACAUUGCAGCAAACAAGGAAGCUGAGCGAUUUUUAUUAUAACCAAUUUUCCAACAUAAAUGAGUAGUCAAAUUUCCAAAUUUAGCACCAUGUUUCACAAUUUAGCACUACUUUUUCAAACAUUUCCUACAGCCCUGCUUUGCAUAUUUUAUGGAGUUAUGCUGAUCAUUAUGUAAAAGAGAUCAAACUCAGUGGGUAUUUUGUUGUAUCAAGAACUAUUUCUUUUUCCCACUACUGUCCCUUUUCUUAUUCUGUUGAUUUCCACUUAGAAAUAAGGUCUCUUUUCAUUUUAUGAUAAUUUACAUUUAUGUUCUAUUCAUCACUAAAGAGUCCAUUCUGGUAUUGUCCUGAGUGCUUCUAUCAAUGCAGAAACAUAAUCUCCCAUUUCCUUAAAGUUCAGCACAGUAUAUAGACACCAUAAAACUCGUAAAAUAUUUUGGCUCUACAUGUUAUGCUAUGGACUUACUAAUAUUAUGGAAAUCAACGAAACUGCUCGACAACAGCUAAAAUGUCUCUAGAAAACUCACUCAAAAUCACAACCGAAUGAAUAGACAAACCCAUCUUUGCAGCAUCUUUGAGUUUUUUUUUUCCAUUUUAUUGCACAUGAACUAGAUCUCUGCUCCAACAAGCUAAUUUUAAUAAGUUUAACCUCUUUUACAUAGUACAUUACAACACAACUAAGCACAUUUUUCGUCUAGCUUAUGUGUAACAGCUGGAGAAGACGAUCUUAAAAAAUGGUCAGCUCAGAUUUCUUACACCAAGUAGAUAUCCAUAAGCUCAUAUGUUGUAACUACUGCAUAUGAGCUACAAAAAAUGUGUCGAAGAAGACGGACAUGAAUGUCAUUGGAAAGAGGAAAAAUUACUUACUCCUUUACAGCAAAUGACUAAUUGACGCACACCUCAACUACCGAAGAUGACAGUCUUCAAAAACGUGUAGUACAUUAUAAACAGCAGAUGAUCUUCAUCUUUGUGUAGUACAUUAUCUACCGAAGAAGACGAUCUUCAUAAUGUGAUGGAGAAAUAGAUUGGGUACAGAAAUUUUAGCUGGGACGUGAUUCGCUUUCAGUGCAUCUAGGGCUAAGUUUUGGGAGAAAUGUUCUCCUUUCCCUCAUUUUCACUCACUCCUUCCGGCUUUUUUGCUUUCUUUCUUUUUUUAAAAGGCCACGUCACCCAAUUUUUUCCAAUUUUGUAAGUCCUCUAUGAUCCCUUGUUUGUACAUCUAGCUUUUUCCUAAAAAAUAACUACUAUAUCUAGUAUUUUCACUUUCUUAUAACCGUUUUACAUGGCCAAUGUUGGCCUUAAACGGCAUAGAUUGCCUAGGGUCCCAAACAUAUGAAGACACCAUAAAAAUAAGGCUCACAUAUUUUUAUAAUGUAAUAUUGACUGAAAUUAUUAAUAGUCAGAGUAAAUUUUUGAGGUCCAUAAAAUAAGGUCCAAAAUCUUCUUUUCGACUGAAACGUGAUGACUAUGACACUUCUCAAAAAAUCAUGUCUUCUUCUUUCUUCUUCCUUCCUUCAAAAUUCAUUCCUACCUUUUAUCUUCAAAUUUAAGAACUCAAUCACCAUCUUUGUUUUAUUUUGAAAUCUUGAAUCAUAAAUCACAAUAGAAAAUUUAGAUAAAGUGAAAAAAAUGAAUUUUCUUUAUUCUCCAAAAUCAUUGUAUUUUACUAUAUGAAAAAGUAGGAAAUUAUCUCUCGCCUAAAUCACCUAGUUGAAGCCGACAGCCAGGACACUGGAGAUAAAGUAGCCAGCCAAUUUUCUGUUGGUGUAAGGAGUAAUUACAGGAAAUCUUAGUUAGGAAAUGUUCCUUGUAUAGUAAACCCCUAUUUUGCCCAUUAUAUUUGCCAGAAAAUUCUGCCAUUACCUUGUAUACAUGAACGGGCUGUCCCUAUUCAUUUGUAAGCUCUACAUUGGAAUGAAUAUACAAGAAAAGAAGAUUUGCAAGGCCUGACAUGGUUUCAGAGCGAGAUGAUCUCGGUAUACCGGCCUUUCUCUCACUUUAGCCCAGUUUCUUCUUCAUCCUUAUGGUAGCCAUCGGAGACAUGACCCCCUCUGAUGACCAACAACUAAAUACAGACAUCUCUUCAUAGAAUUUACCUACAAACUGACUGAAGCUUUGAACAAAGCCUAGAACCCGACUACAACAGAAUCUUCUACUACUCAAAUUGGCAUAAAAAUAGAUGGCUCCAACUAUGCACUUUGGUCUCAAGUUGUUGAGAUGUAUAUCUUUGGCAAAGACGAGUUGGGAUGUAUCAAUGGUGAUACUCCGCAACCAUCCCCAACUAUCCGUCCUUUCGCAAGUGGCGCACUGAGAACGCCAUAGUCAAAGGAUGGCUCAUCAAUUCCAUUGAUCCAUCACUGAUAGGGAAUUUUAUCAGAUUUCCAACUGCAAAAAUGGUUUGGGAUUCCAUUGCCUUUAUAUACUUUGAUGGGAGUGACACGUCCCAAGUUUACAACCUUCGAUGACGUGUGAGUCAACUACACCAAGCUGGAAGCUCUCUUGAAAAAUACUAUCUGGACCUUCAAGGAUUGUGGCAUGAAAUCGAUUUUCGUCGCCCCAAUCCUAUGAAAUGCCCAGAUGACAUUAAAAAAUACAAUACCUUGUUCCAGGAAGAAAGGGUGUACAUUUUUUUGGAUGGGCUCGAUGAUAUACUCGACCAGAUAAGGAGAGAUGUACUUCAACUACAACCCUUCCCAACUGUGGAGCAAGCAUUUGCACUAGUUCGUCGAGAGACCAUCCGAAGGCCGUGAUGAAUGGAAGUAAAUUUGACGAAACUCCUAGACAGGUUCUGGCUUCUAGGAGUAUUAAAUUUACCCCCUCUGGUCAAUCCAAAAUGGGCGGAAGCUACAAAAAACCUUCGAAGACUCGGCCCCUCUCCGAUGGAGAGAAAUGCUCACAUUGUGGAAACAGGAACCCAAUCGUGACAAUUGCUUUCAACUUCACGGAUACCUGGACUGGUGGCAUGAACUCCAAGCAAAAAAGGGGCAGGAAGGUGUUGGUUUAGAAAAAAAAAAUAUGAAGCUGGAAGAGUGGGUACAGCAUCAAUUGCUACUACAAAUCUUCAUCUUUUCCUCAUUCCACCCGAGGAGUCCACCAAAGCCGACACUUCCUAUGCAAACUCAGGUAGUGCUUUUGCAUCUUUCAAUGCCCCUAGAUAUAUUCACAGAGAUUCUUGGCUCCUUGAUCCGAUGCCACGGAUCACAUGACGUUUGAUGAAGUAGAUUUUAUGACGACACGAUCACCAAAAAGAACUAUGAUUGCUAAUGAAAAUGGCGUAAUCUCCCCAGUAACAGGGGCUGGUUCUGUAACUCUGUCCCCUUCUCUAAAAUUAUCUAAUACAUUGAUUGUCCCGUCACUCUCUCAUAAGCUAUUAUCUGUUAGCCAACUUACAACUGAAAAAAAUUGUGUUGUGCUAAUUUAUCCCGAUUUUUGUCUUAUUCAGGAUAUUCUCACCAAGGAGAUAAUUGGGCGUUGUUCUAGGAGGGGGGGUUAUACUACAUGGAUGAUUUAGUGUAGGCCAAGCACAUCACAUGCACCGUUCGCUUGGACCCAAGGAACAACAGAUUUGGCUGUGGCACCGCCGGUCGGGUCAUCCAUCCUUUAGUUACUUGAAACAUUUAUUUCCUAAUUUAUUUUCUCAAUUGUCGAUUUCUGACUUUAAAUGUGAGACCUAUAUUUUGGCCAAGAGCCACCGAACUCGCUACCCUUUGAGCAUGAAUAAAUGUAAUACUUCAUUUACUUUAAUUCAUUCUGAUGUGUGGGGUUCAUCGCCUAUCUCUGUUGGAUUUAGUAUACGGUGGUUUGUAAUAUUUGUUGAUGACUGUACACAUAUGACAUGGUUAUAUCUGUUGAAACACAAAAAUGAGGCACUCAAUGCUUUCCAAGCAUUUCAUAGUAUGGUUCGUACUCGGUUCUCGUCAAAAAUUCAAAUUCUUCGCUCGGAUAAUGGUGACGAAUACAUCAAUCAUCACUUCCAAGAUUAUUUUCGAAAACAUAGUCUCCUUCAUGAAACUUCUUCCCCCCAAACACCCCAGCAAAACGGGGUUGCUGAGCGCAAAAAUUGACAUAUUCUUGAGACCGCUCGGACACUUCUACUUGGUGCUCAUGUACCCCAGCGCCAUUGGUCAGACGCUGUCUCCACAGCUAUGUACUUACUGAAUAGAAUGCCAUCAAAAGUCUUAAACUUUAAGACUCCUCUUCAUGCUCUCUCUGCUAGAAUCCCUCUACUAGUGGCAUUAAUGCUCCCUCCUAACAUUUUUGGAUGCGUAGCAUUUGUCCAACUGCAUAAGAAUCAAUGCACUAAGCUGGACCCAUGUGCAAUCUGUUGUCUUUUCUAAGGAUACGGUGUCUAUCAGAAAGGGUACCGCUGCUAUGACCCCUCUACUAAGCGAACUUACAUCACCAUGGAUGUUACAUUGCAAUUAUACUUCAUAAUUUUUUUUAAAAUGCAAAUGAAUCCAAAUAAAUUGUUAAAAGUGUAAUUAGCACAAAACGUCCAUACAUUUCAAUAUUAUUGUGAAAAAAUCCAUAACUUUCAUUCUUUUGGCAUUUUCAUCAUUAUUUUCACAUUUCAAUGUGAAAAUCAUCAUUUUCAUCCAUUUUUCAAUUAAAAGCUGUAAAAUGACAAAUAUACACAUGAAAACUAUUCAGUAUAAUUUUUUCCUAGUUUCUUAUGCUUGAAAUCUAUAAUUCCAGAAGCUGCAAUCUCAGUCAAGAGUUCUCUAUCUCUUUUAUUGCCAUGAAUCUACUUAUUUGUCUAAUUUUCUAGGGUUUUGGUUUAUAUUUUGUUAGGCAAAUUGUUGUCAAACGAUCUCAUUAGAUGUGAUGUUAACUCGAUUUUUUUUAGUCGACAUAGACCAGACUGACUGUUAUUUCGACGCCUCAUGGAACGAUCCAACCCCAAUUUGUGUGGGCCAUUUCAAGCAACCUAAUUUAUUAGCGUUGCUCAUGGCCCGUCCCACUUACAUGGACGGCUAAAUGAUGGUACCCAUUUUAGUGGCUCAUUAUUCUUGUGUUGGGUCUUUGGGCCACUAUUUUACCUUAAGUUUACUUACCUUAUUGCCCAUUCUACUUGGUCAAAUGGGUCACCUCUCCUUUGCUUCGGUGGUGCAAAAACUUACGGCUGCCUCUCCUUCACUCUUCUGUCCACUCUCGAUUUACCCAUUCCUAUUGCCUUUGUGGUUUAUUUCUUGCGUGAUAUUGACUUCCUGUGUGGUCUCCUUGGUGGGUAAUUCAUAGUAACUGUAAGUGGAGGAACCAUUUGGGAAUUUUGGGCUGUUGUUCUUGGUGGCGUCGAUUGAUUGGUGAAACUGAGCCCGGUAAAAUCUUGGUAGCCUUUGUCUUCUGCACAACAUGAUUGUUAAUAUUCCAACAAUAGUGCUGAAAUUGACUCUGCAUUGGGGUGGGUGUCCUUAGAGUUGGCGUUUACUUUCUAGUGGUGGCUUAAUUUGACACUUUUUGCGUGAAGUUAAAAUGUUUAUUUUCUAUUCUGUUAUGAUAUUUAUCCAUAUUCGUGAAUAAUAUAUUGUCGCUUUUUCAUUAAAAGAUCAUACGUUAUGUAAUUUGAAUUUUUUAAUGGAAUAUUUUUGCUUAAUCUUAUAAAGAGCUUAUCAAGUUCUUUAACUGCCUAUUCUUUAGCUGUUAAUUUUACAUUUUUGGGGGUGGAUGUGAAAUAAGGUUCUAUAUUAAAAAACGGCAUGAUGUUCACUUUUUUGUUAUAAGGUCAUAUACUAUCUAGCUUAGCCUUUUUUCCCCCUUUUCUUCUAGAACAUUCAUUUGCUUCUCUCAAUCGUCGAGCCUGAUCGAUCAACUCUUUUUCUUGAUACAUGAGAGUACUCUCACUAAUUUUCAUUCUUCAUAUGUUCUGUCACUUGAAAAAAGACAUCCGAUACAUUCGACUUUCUCAAAUUUCCAUCCUAGGCCCUUGACUAUAUUAUGUUCAUUAAUUAAAUAGUCACAUACCAUGUCAUUACUUUAAUAAAAACUUAUGUACCAUAUUUUUCAACUAUUUAAAUGUUUGAGCUCAUUUUUCAAGCUUUUAACAAAUAAGCGUUAUGAGCCUAAAUUCCCCUAUUAUCAACUAAUUUAUUAUUUUCAUAUAAAUAAUUUCAACAACUCAUUAUCAUACAUCUAAUUUGAUAACGAUAAGUUAAUGAGUAAAAUGUUAUUUUGGAUGAUAAUUAAUUAAUAUUAGUUAAGCAUACUAUAUAAACAAAACGUAAUGGAAAUGUCUUUUGUUGAUGACUUCUUUUGAAGCCAGCAAUGUGGAAAGAACAUUCAAAAUUACUUUUGAUAUCAAUUUUCCAUCAAUGGAUCAUUGGGGUCCUUUGGCUCACACAGUGUUCCAUUAGUAAAACCAAUUUCGUUUUUGAUCCUCAAGGCUCUCUUCAUCGAACGAGCCCAAGAAUGAUAAUUGCUAGAUCCAAAACAUGAGUAACCAGCAUAACAGUGCUUCCAUCAUUGCUCCCAAUAUAGUAUGGACUACUGGGAUGAUUUGGAUCAUGGGGAAGAGCUGCUGGGUUGCUUCCACCAGUUUGUAAUUGAUUUUGACCUUGGUUUAGAUUGGUGUUUGGAGAAGGAUUUAUAUUUCCAUAAUUGGAUUCCCCAAUUUCUAGCUCUGAUACCAUAUUGGAUUUGAGAGAAAAAAUGAAUUUGAGAUUGUAUUGUAUUUAAGAAAAAUGAAUCUGAGAAUGGAAUGAAUGUUUAUUCCAUUAAUCUGUGCUCUCAAUAUACAAUGGGGCAAUGUAUAUAUACAGCAAAAAAAAAAAAAGAAUAGAAUCUACACCUAACUAAUUUACACAGAGUACACAGCAAUGAAAACAUAACAAAUCCAAGUUGUACAAUAACAAAUCCCUUCUAGACUAUUCUCCUGUUAUUACUGCUAUGAGGUCCACGUGGCCUGUAUCCUCUCAAGACUUUAGCCAGGUCAUCUUCGAGCUGUUCCAACUGGAUCAUCCUCUAACUUUACAUUCUAUUUUGGAAUAACCAAUAAAACUUGUUUGCAUGGAAAGCAAUCACUCAUCCACGUAGUUUUACACUCCACGUCUUAUGUAGAAACUAUAUAUGUAAUUUUAUAGAUAGAUUUAAUUUUGUAUCGUGACAGCUAAUUAGUUUUUAAAUAAACUAUCCUGUCAAAUAACCUAUUCUUUAAUUGAUUUUAUCCAUUUCCAUUUUAUUUUGUAUGGAUAUUACAUUUAUUAAAUUUAAAUAGUAUCCAAAAUCACAUUUUAUGCAUAAACUUAUCAUUAUCAAAUAACAUGUAUGGUAAUGAGUUGCUGAAUGAAAAUUUCUACGAUCAUGAUAAAUUAGUUGAUAAUAUAGCACAUGACAAAGUGUUAUUGUUGUCCCUCUGCUUGGGUUAUCCAAACAUAGUUAAGUGCAAAUACUUCGAUUAUUCAGCGGGUAAAUAGAUGUGUAAAUAGAUUAUUGGGCAGACCAUGGUAGGUUGUUGCAGAUGACAUACAUAAGAAUAAAAGAACACCUACAUGUUUAAAUGGAAGGAUAAAAAGAUUACAAUGUCGUCAACAAAGAGUGCACAAAAAGCUUCUAAAGUGAAAGGAAAGCUUUUCUGAUUAUUACAAAUUCAGCCAAUGAGUUUCCAUGUGAUGAAAAAGAAUUUGGAAGAACAACUAAGAGAGAGUGUAGCAGUUGAACAACCUGUAGAGAUGAUUGAACAGGUGAAGAAGAAUUUGAAAGCCUCCAAUGUAAAGUAUAAAGUUGUUGUUGAUACACAUAGGCAUCAUAACACGUUUCAAAUGGGUGAUAUGAUUAUGGUGUUCUUGAGGACAAAGCAUGGAGAAAGUUGAAAGAAACUAGAUAGGAAGAAGAAUUGACCUUCUCAGAUUCUGCAAAAAAAUAAUGACAAUGCAAUGGUACUUGUUUUUCUUGAGCAUGUGAAGAUUUCCAAGACGUAAACAUUGCAGAUUUUAUGAGUAUGUUUUAGAUAAUGAUAAGUCUUUUGUAUCCUGAUGAGCACUCAGGGUAGAGUUGUUUUGGAGUGGAAUGGGAUGAUAUGGAAAAAGAGAAAGUCAUAAAUCAGUCAAAAUGGUGGAAGCGAAUGAUCUGAAAGCAUUUUUCGAUUCUCUAAAUUGUUCUCGGGCGAUACUUUUAAGGUCAAAAUUUCAUCAUUAUGGGUAUCUAUUUUGGCCUUUUUUUAAGAAAAUUUAAGGGUAAUUUAGUCAUUUUAAUGGUGUUUUUUCCCUUUCUAUUCAGAUUUCAACAAUGCUAUAGGUACAUAAAAAUUUUAAUAGAAAUCAUAUAGAUAGAUACUUGGCAGAUUAUUAUAGAAAGAUGACAAAAACACAAACAAAAAGCGGCCAUACAAGUGCUGCCAAUGUAACACCGGUACAAAUUCCAUCUACUUUUUCUUGUACUUGCAGCUUCCACCAGUUUGUAAUUGAUUUUGACCUUGGUUUAGAUUGGUGUUUGGAGAAGGAUUUAUAUUUCCAUAAUUGGAUUCCCCAAUUUCUAGCUCUGAUACCAUAUUGGAUUUGAGAGAAAAAAUGAAUUUGAGAUUGUAUUGUAUUUAAGAAAAAUGAAUCUGAGAAUGGAAUGAAUGUUUAUUCCAUUAAUCUGUGCUCUCAAUAUACAAUGGGGCAGUGUAUAUAUACAGCAAAAAAAAAAAAAAAGAAUCUACGCCUAACUAAUUUACACAGAGUACACAGCAAUGAAAACAUAACAAAUCCAAGUUGUACAAUAACAAAUCCCUUCUAGACUAUUCUCCUGUUAUUACUGCUAUGAGGUCCACGUGGCCUGUAUCCUCUCAAGACUUUAGCCAGGUCAUCUUCGAGCUGUUCCAACUGGAUCAUCCUCUAACUUUACAUUCUAUUUUGGAAUAACCAAUAAAACUUGUUUGCAUGGAAAGCAAUCACUCAUCCACGUAGUUUUACACUCCACGUCUUAUGUAGAAACUAUAUAUGUAAUUUUAUAGAUAGAUUUAAUUUUGUAUCGUGACAGCUAAUUAGUUUUUAAAUAAACUAUCCUGUCAAAUAACCUAUUCUUUAAUUGAUUUUAUCCAUUUCCAUUUUAUUUUGUAUGGAUAUUACAUUUAUUAAAUUUAAAUAGUAUCCAAAAUCACAUUUUAUGCAUAAACUUAUCAUUAUCAAAUAAUAUGUAUGGUAAUGAGUUGCUGAAUGAAAAUUUCUACGAUCAUGAUAAAUUAGUUGAUAAUAUAGCACAUGACAAAGUGUUAUUGUUGUCCCUCUGCUUGGGUUAUCCAAACAUAGUUAAGUGCAAAUACUUCGAUUAUUCAGCGGGUAAAUAGAUGUGUAAAUAGAUUAUUGGGCAGACCAUGGUAGGUUGUUGCAGAUGACAUACAUAAGAAUAAAAGAACACCUACAUGUUUAAAUGGAAGGAUAAAAAGAUUACAAUGUCGUCAACAAAGAGUGCACAAAAAGCUUCUAAAGUGAAAGGAAAGCUUUUCUGAUUAUUACAAAUUCAGCCAAUGAGUUUCCAUGUGAUGAAAAAGAAUUUGGAAGAACAACUAAGAGAGAGUGUAGCAGUUGAACAACCUGUAGAGAUGAUUGAACAGGUGAAGAAGAAUUUGAAAGCCUCCAAUGUAAAGUAUAAAGUUGUUGUUGAUACACAUAGGCAUCAUAACACGUUUCAAAUGGGUGAUAUGAUUAUGGUGUUCUUGAGGACAAAGCAUGGAGAAAGUUGAAAGAAACUAGAUAGGAAGAAGAAUUGACCUUCUCAGAUUCUGCAAAAAAAUAAUGACAAUGCAAUGGUACUUGUUUUUCUUGAGCAUGUGAAGAUUUCCAAGACGUAAACAUUGCAGAUUUUAUGAGUAUGUUUUAGAUAAUGAUAAGUCUUUUGUAUCCUGAUGACAACUCAGGGUAGAGUUGUUUUGGAGUGGAAUGGGAUGAUAUGGAAAAAGAGAAAGUCAUAAAUCAGUCAAAAUGGUGGAAGCGAAUGAUCUGAAAGCAUUUUUCGAUUCUCUAAAUUGUUCUCGGGCGAUACUUUUAAGGUCAAAAUUUCAUCAUUAUGGGUAUCUAUUUUGGCCUUUUUUUAAGAAAAUUUAAGGGUAAUUUAGUCAUUUUAAUGGUGUUUUUUCCCUUUCUAUUCAGAUUUCAACAAUGCUAUAGGUACAUAAAAAUUUUAAUAGAAAUCAUAUAGAUAGAUACUUGGCAGAUUAUUAUAGAAAGAUGACAAAAACACAAACAAAAAGCGGCCAUACAAGUGCUGCCAAUGUAACACCGGUACAAAUUCCAUCUACUUUUUCUUGUACUUGCAGGACAAUUCAUUCAGAUUUAUUUUGAUGUUUCUUAAUUUUUUUUUGAUUUUGUCUAUAGAAUUAGAAUUUCACUUUGAAUAAGAUUCAUUGUAAUUAUUUAAAAAUAUGUUAAGGGCGUGACUUUUUACUGAUUAAUAAUAAUUCAAUUUAUUCCGUUGAUUAGUGGGUUGUAAUAACCGUCACCUUCUUUCGAGCGAAAAUCAGCAAUACCCGUUUGUGUGAGGAACAAAAUUAUUUUAUUAUUAUUUAAGUUUCCAGCAUGCAUCAUAAAUCUUCUAUUUCAAAAUUAAAUUAUUUUCCUUUAUCUAAGUGUAUUAAAUGGAUGGGUUGGGUCUACAAAGAGAUUCAAUGGAUCAGUAAUAAGAGGUUAUCAUUUUAAUAAUAAAAAAGUAAAACAUGUAAUAGCAGUAAAUUUGGCUUGCAAAUUUUUAAGCCUAGUGGUUAUAGGACUGCUCCUUUUAGGUUCAAAUUAUAUUGGCAAACUUUCGUGUCCAAAAUAUUAUUUUAUCGAGUUGUAAUUAUGGUUAAGUUUUCAACCUGGGAAGGAAUCAAAGUCAUCUCAAGAAUAUGAAGAUGAGGCAAAAAAGGUCCCGUGGCUGUCGAUAAACCACUCACGUGGUUUUAGCAAAGAUCGAUCGUUCGCCAACCACUGGAGGGAACUCGAGCAAUCGUGAUAUCAAGCCAAAUAGUUCACGAUUUUCACCAAUCCCAAACAACUCAUAACUAUUAUGAAUAUCCAAGCCAAAAUUCGUUCUUGGGGCAUGUUGAGCCUUUAUUCAUUCAAUAAAACACUUCGUUAAAGAUCUACUAAACAAUCUAUAAUUCCCUUGCAUCAACCAAAAGAUCAAAACACCAAAUAAUGCCCUCCGAAAUAUCUUUCAGAGAGAUUAUAGGAGUUUCGAUUCAUAAAGAAUGAGUUCAUUCUCGUGAUCCACGAGGAGAAAAGAAGUCUAGAAGUUUAGGAGUUGUGGCAGGAGUGCACAAUCAAAAAUUUCUUCGAUGGUUAUAGGUUGGAGAUCAGAGUCUACUAAGGUUUAGCUGUAAUUGGAUCAAUCCUGUAAGUUUAAAUUUUUUCUAGUGGAUUAUUUACUCAAAGAUUUUUUUCUCGAAGAAGUCAAACGGGUGAAAUAUAGUCGAAGUAUUCCCCACACAUCAAUUUCCAAUUGAAAAAAUAAUGCUCUAGAUUUUUGGCCUCGGAUUGGAAUGUUUGGAAAAAUGAUAUUUCAAGAAUAAUUGUAGUUAUUUGAGUUAGACUUUCAAUACACUUUGAACUAUCUCAAUCGAAUAUCGAAAAAGAAAUAUCAACGACUGCUUAGAGAUAAAACGUCGCACUCCUAAGGGUUUGUAGCAUGCACGAGCUUGGCCCCUCACCAUGGUCGCCUAAAGCCAAAUUCACAAAACCAGGCACGUACCUCACACUAAACGAAGCACAGGCCUUGAAGGAAUUUGGGGAGAAAAUUUUAUUUUCUUCCUUAAUUCGGCAAGUUUUUGGAUGAUAUAUUUAGCAUCUUUUAUAACCUAAGGGAGGUCUAGAACGUGAAGAACCUUUCGUUUAUCAUUGAAGAGAGUCUAGCAAUGGCGAAAAAGAGUUUUACAACAAGAAUUUAAAAUUCAAGGCUCAAAUUGGAGUCAUUUGUUGAAGAAAUAGAGUUUUCAAGAUCUUCUUCUGGCUAUUUCGCACGAGUGAUGUCUUUCCAAUUAUAGUUUGUAUAAUUUGAAUACAAUAAUGCUAGGCUAAACUUCGCUUGUAUUAGAUGAAUGAUGAAGCCUAUUAAUUGAAACCAAAUAAUUACUAUUUUCAAUUCAAAUAUUAAAUAUGAAAAUUCUUAUGUCAAAUUCAAAUUUUAAGCUUACCAAGUUUACGUUCUAAUUAAUCAAUUCGACCUUACGUGCGGAAUUAAUCUAACUAAAUCAACAAGUCACUUUAAUUAGCUGUCUAGUUGAUUAAACAUACAUUCCAAUUUCCCUAAGUUUGAAUGCCGCAAUAAUAAUAUGGAAAGCAAUUAAAUCAACACACAAUAUGAUGAUGGAGAAACCUCAACAUGGGUAAAACUGCGGGACCAAGUCAGUAAGUUCUACUAUACCAAUUCAGCCAGUACAAGUUCUGCCAAAUUUCAUACCCAGUCAGGCCCACUGUUCCAAUCUCACGAUCUACUGUCGUAGAUGCUACUAGUCUCCCGCUAGUUUCCCUAUCUACCUCCUGCAGCUCAAUCUACUGUCUCAUACAGCCUCUUGCUCUUUAACUGAUUGUAUCACCAAGUAGAAUUCCAAGAACCUCCUGCGCUUCUCGUCCACAUCUCUCAAUCCCCUAGUGAAAGAGUCCCUUCCUCAACAGAUGAAGAAGUGCCGGUGUUUUGUCUUCACAAACUUGAUGUUUUUCCCCACACGGUUGGUUGUCGGAUCACAAGAAUUAUAUAGAUGAAUUCUCCAAUUGAAUUGCACUCUUGGAUCUCUUAAAUGUGAUAUGAAUAUUUUUCACAAUGAUAGAACAAUAUGACAACCCCCUUAUCUCACAUCCCAGAUUUUGGUAUUUAUACUUAAGAUCAAUAUGUGUCUUGGGUCAUGAAAAAAUCUCGAAAAAUGUGAAACACGAUUUUCCAGAUGACACUGUCACUCGAGCUACGUCGAGCGAAAAGCGAGCGACGCGAUUUCACUCAAGCGAUGUACCGACGACAAGUGAGUGACAAACAUUUUGCUUUUGUCCGCUCGAGCGAGGUCAGGCGGGAGGCGAGCGAAAAUGCACCGAUUCUUCAACUUCAUUCCAAACUCAAACCCUAACCCUAACCUACCUCAACUAACUAUACAAAAUUACACCCUAGGUCCCUGACUUUUACACCAUAGUUCAAUUCAAUCCCUGACUUUCAUAAAAUUACAAUUACGCCUAUUUUAUCCAUAGAAUCACUAAUAACAUUUUUAGACCUAAUAAACUCCCCCUUUGGCAUUUUGUGACAAAACCAUACAAAUGAAGUCAGAACUCUAUAAAAAGUAAGUCAGGACAAAUAACUUAUACUACACUACCUGGCAAACACAUUAGUUGAGUCUUGCAUUCCUUUCUGUACCUGUUUUCUGAAAUCCACAAACUUAUAUAUUAGUGUAAAAGCACGUGAUACAGGAAAUAUAAAAAUUAAAACACUUAAUCACAAUUCAACAUGCUAGUUUGAGACGUAACAUUGAUGCCAAUCAAAACACCGACCGAAACACCAAUACCACUAAAUAUCAAAACUCAAACAGAUAUGGAUGUGAUAUGGAAUGCAAUGCUUCUCCUUACUGCAAGCUUUCAUGCUUUUAUGCAGUAGGUGAAUGUAUCUAUGUUUCUCUCCAACGACCCAGACAUAGCAAUGCCAUGCACUUAGUGUCAAUCAAAGAAAUCGUGUGCAUGCAUAUGCACUUUCAUUAUUUUUUUCCCCUCAGUUACACAUUUCUCUCCCCCUUUUUGUCAUAAAUUCAGAAGGGAGUCACAGUAAAAACAAGUUGAGAAAUAACACAUAAUAAUUCAAAAAUGUAGUUGAUAGCAUGCAAAAGCAAAAUUAACAAGUAGUACACAUCCCCACAUACUCAGUUCAGACUAGAAUAGAGUAAAAAGUACAAAUGACCCACGUGUGUAAAGUGUCACCAAUCCAAUGUAAGCUAGACUCCAAACCUUAAUUUUGUGAGAAGGGACAUGCCAAUCACUGCUAAUAAAUAUACUCUCCUACUAAUGAAAAUCAAAUCAUGUAACGUGUAGUAGGACCUAUAUUUAUUAUUUUUACUUAUCUCCCCCAUACUAUGAGCUUAUAUAUUUUUCAAUUUUUCAAAUAAUUCCAGUUCAUAAUAUUUUUCAUAUGUUUCUCAUUUUUCUCAUUUUUUUCAGUUCAUUAAUUUUUCAUCUUAAGUGCAGGUUCUUCUCCAUUAGACGACUAAGAUAACCCCUGUAGUGAGCUUUAGACUCGUUAACCCAAGUCAGUUGACCAUAUGCACUAGGUUUUAAGAGGCCCCGCAGGCUUAAUUGCUCGAGUCAAAUAGGCCCCGAAGAAGAACAUUAAGAUAUGAGCUUUAAUGCAAUAGGGGAAGAUUUUUGGGUUAAGGUCUACAUAAAAUGGUCAAUUCAUGUUCAAAGUCACCCCAUCAACAUGUGACAGCCAUUCCAAAUCUCACACACGCGGUAGAGUCCCAUGAACAAGUUCAUAGUGUGUGCAGUGCACAUGAUGCAUGCAGACACUUAUACAGAUUAAUCCAACUAGACCUAAACAAGAAAUGAAAAUUAUUCUACAGCGUAUCAAUUUUAGCUCUACAUUAUCAAACGUGCAAGUUCAAAGUCAUGUGUCAUGCUGUAGCAAUUUUCAUAACCAACAAUUUUUGUCUUUUUAAAUUUUUCGAUGUUUUUAUGUUUUCAUUUUUCCUAAACUGAAACCUCCACACACAAAAUAAAAUAAAGCAAGCACACAAAGACAAAAAUAAACAUGAAUGCGCCAAAAGAAACAAAUGAAAAAGCAUGCAUGAAAUAACUAACAAAACAAAACAUAUACAUGUGAUGCAUGCAAUAAUUAUAUGUUAAUUAAGAACCAAGUAUGCAUCAAAAAUACCUAAUCAAGUAGGUAUAUGAAUGUUCUUUCCUUUAAGAGCGCCAUGAUCUACAACCAAAUUUGGGAGAUCGAUCUUCUUUACCCAAACCUGUCUAGAACGGGGAUUGUUUUUAGAUAGCUGUGUUAUCAAUUAAGUCAAACGAUUCACUUGAUCAGCAAGGAAUCCAAUCUCACCAACAGAUACUUGAUUUUUGUUCUUUUUCGGCUCAAGUCUUUCCUAUUAUUCAGGUACUGAUGAUAUCUAGGGCGGAUAUGACCUAACUCACCACAGUGAAAACAUGUAGGGACAAACCUAAGACCUGUGAUAUGCUUAGGCUAAUUUCUACUCUUAGGCCGACGGGUCGUAUUGCGUCUGGUAGACCUACGACCUGAAGAUCCCACAACAUUUGGUAUGGUGUUAGUCACAAUGUUUGGCUGGUCAGUAGCACGAACAAAGAUGGUCUGUGAUAUACUAGUAGCAUUCAAAUCAAAACCUAGACCUCCCUUAUCACUAGCCGGCUUGCCUAUUCCUAGAAUAUUAUCUAGCUUUUCAGAACUGCUAGAAAAGAUAAGUAUUUGAGGCCUAGACAACUCUAGCUUGCUCUCAAGUUGCUUAACCUGAAUAACUAAGGUCUCAUUCUCAACGGUCAGCUCACUUAAUCUCGUAAAGGACAUCUCAUUCUUACUGGUGAGAUCACUAACCUGUGCCUCUAACCGUUCAUUCUCUAGCCUAAGCUCCUUCACUUUUUUGCUUAGCACCUGGUUAGUGGCAAUGAUCUUGAGUCUUUCCCCAUACAUCUUCUCAUAAGCCUCUUCUAGAUCUUGUUCACUUCCGCUCUCAUCACCAGAUUCUUCACUACUAUCUAGGUCCUCUUCUCUUUCACUCCCCCGAUCGGAUCCACUCUCAACCCUUGCAACGAAGGCCACAUAUUUUCCACUCUCCUCGCGGGUGGAUUUCUCACUCUGAUUUCCGAGCUAGACUCGUCGUCAGUGAGAGUAGUAUUCAUAGCAUUUUCUUCAAAUCUCUUAGUACUAGGUCACUCAUUCCUCACAUGACCGAAACCGCCACAGUUAUGGCAUCUCACGGAUUUAGAUUUCUUCCUAAAUUCACUCGAGCAACCUCUUUGUCUCUCUUGAGGCUUCUUCUUAUUCCUAAAUUUUUUUCAUAAUUUCUUAGCUAGGUAGCCAUCUCCUCAUCAUUGCGUGAAUCAGAAUCAGAAGAUUUCAUCAGGGUAUUCCUAGCGAUUUUCAAGGCUAUGAAUUUUUUCUUAGCGGGAUUGUCUAAGGUCAAUUCAUAGAUCUGGGGGGAUCCCACUAACUCCUCUACCUUGAUAGUGUCUAUGCCCUUACUUUUCUCAAUUAUCGUAACUUUAGGCCUAAAACGCUCAGGCAAGGAUCUAAGAAUUUUUCUCACUAUCUUAGGCUUGGGGAUCUUCUCAGCUAGGUUGAAGGAUGAAUUUACUAUGUCAUUUAAGCUCGCAUAGAAUACAUCAAACAUCUCAUCCUCUGGCAUCUAAUCUCUUCAAACCUAGUGGCCAACAUCUGCAUUUUUGAAUUUUUAACUGCCUGAGUUCCCUCAUGUGUGGUUUCUAAAAUAUCCCAAACUUCCUUUGCUACCUCACACAUGGAUACUUUCCUAAGCUUCUCGGGGGAAAUUGCCAUAAACAAGGCAUGAAGGGCUUUGCUAUUCAAAUUACAGCUAUCCAGUUGAGCUCUAGACCAAUUCUCGAUAGGGGUGGGAGUGACUACAUCAUCUAUUGUGGUACUAGGGGCUGGUGCUGACCAGCCAUUUACCACAAUCUGCCAAACACGCUCUCCAAGGAUUUCAAAAAUGCCCUCAUCCUCACCUUCCAAUAUGCUUAAUUAUUCCCUUCAAAGUGGGGCGGCACAUUCAAUGAAGUACUCAUCUAGACUAUGUAAGGUUAGGACAUGCACUCAGGCUCUGAUACCACUUGAAAAUUCACGGGAACACUUAGAUAUGUCAAAUUCAAAUUAUAAGCUUACCAAGUUUACGUUCCAAUUAAUCAAUUCGACCUUACGUGCAAAAUUAAUCUAACUAAAGCAACAUGUCGCUUUGAUUAGUUGUCUAGGUGAUUAAACAUACAUUCCAAUUUUCCUAAGUUUGAAUGCCGCAAUAAUAAUAUGGAAAGCAAUUAAAUAAACACACAAUAUGAUGACGGAGAAAUCCCAAUGUGGGUAAAACUCCAAGACCAAGCCAGUAAAUUCCAAUAUACCAAUUCAGUCAGUACAAUUUCUGCCAAACCUAUACCCAAUCAGACCCGCUGUUCCAGUCUCACAAUCUACUGUUGUAGAUGCUACUAGUCUCCCGCUAGGUUUUCGAUCUACCUCCUGUAGACCAAUUUGCUGUCCAAUACAGUCUCAUAAUCUUUAGCUGAUUGUAUCACUAAGUGGAGUUCCAAGAACCUCUUGCUCUUGUUCAGUUCCUGCGCUUAUCUUCUACAUCUCUAAAUGCCCCAGUGAGAAAGUCCCUUCCUCAACAAAUGAAGAAGCACCAGUGUUUUGUCUGCACAAACUUGAUGUUUUUCCCCACAUGGUUGGUUGUCGUAUCACAAGAAUUAUAUAGAUGAAUUCUCCACUUGAAUUGCACUCUUGGAUCUCUCAAAUAUGAUAUGAAUAUUUCUCACAAUGAUAGAACAAUAUGAUAACCCCCUUAUCUCAUGUCUCAGACUUUGGUAUUUAUACAUGAGGUCAAUAUGUGUCUUGGGCCGUGCAAAAAUCUCGAAAAAUGCCAAACACGAUUUUCCAGAUGACACUGUUUCUCGAGCGACGUCGAGUAAAAAGCGAGCGAUGCACCAGCAACAAGGGAGCGACAGACAUUGUGCUUCUGUCUGGUCGAGCGAGGUCAGGUGGGAGGCGAGCGAAAAUGUGUCGAUUCUUCAACUUCGUUCCAAGCUCAAACCUUAACCCUACCCUACCUCAACCAACUAUACGAAAUUGCACCCUAGGUCCCUGACUUUUACACCAUAGUUCAAUUCAGUCCUUGACUUUUACAAAAUUACAAUUAUGCCUAUUUUGUCCAUAGAAUCGCCAAUAACGUUUUCAGACCUAACAAAAUAUUUUAGUAAAUUCUUGUUUUCUUAUUCAAUUAUGGAUGUUUAUUUCGUUGUUUGAAUGAUUGCGCAUUAUUUAGACAAUAAUUUGCUUAUUGUAGUGUAAGAAGACUCAUAAUAAGUAGAACACUGCAUAUUUGACGCACGAACAAUAGGUUUUAGGAAUAAUAUUUAUUACAUAUGCAAUCAUGUGUGAUAAUCAUGUGAUUAAAUGUUUGCUCUGCAUAUGAACUCAGACUAGAUAUAGGAUCAAGUCGUGCUUAAGAUAGGUUUAGUAUGUCUUGGAAAAAAAUUAAAUAUUAAUGAAUUAUCGAUUGUCACGAGCAUUUGAAGAUCACCAAAUUACAUGGUUUAAGAACAGGAAAUCGAAGUCAACAGGUGGAUUCUAAAAUCCAAUAACAUUCAUCUCAUUAUUUGAUAAAAAUCAAUUAUUUAUAUAUUCUUAGAUUAAGUUGGAAUAACUACAAACAAAUCAACUCUUUUGUAUUAUAAACAUCGAAUUUGAUACAAACUAGUAAUUUAUAGUUAAUAGUUAUUCCUCAUGGGAUGAUAAGUUAACUCAUCACAAUAUUACUUGUCAAAAUUCCAUAUGCUUAUGGGUUUUGCUUAUAUUAGAGAUAUCAAAUGACUAUAUAUAGUUUGUGAUCGACAUAACAGUACUAGACAUACCAUUGAAAUUGUUCAUCCAGGAGCAAUGCAUGGAAUUUGUACAGUUCACUUACUAAAAAUCUUGAAGACUCAUUACGGGAGUUCGGUCACAAUAUAACAUAGGCAUUUAAUUCUGUUGUUCGAGCAUACACAUUAGAUGUAUUCAAAAUACCAUAUGCAAUAGCUGGACAUAAUGAAUGGAGAUAUUAGAGGAUAUCAGAUUAGUGCCUCUAAUUAUAUUUUACAUCCAUACAUGAACAAAUUUUGUGUAAGUUAACUGCAUAUUGAUAUUUUAUAUUCUUAGGAAGAAAUUGGUCAUGAGAAGUAGUCAUGAGUGCACAUGUCGACUAAUAGGUAUUCAACAAUAACAAUGAAGAUAGUGGAAUUGGUACAAAGGCAGCAAAGAACUAUCAUGUUGAAGCAUUGCCGGAGUCGUUGAGACAAACUAUCCAGACUUAAUUCGGCAAGAAUAGAGAAAAUGCACAUGGUAAUAGUUUCUAGCUUUUAUUUUGUAAUAUUAAUAAAAUGCUCCGUAAGUUCUAUGCAUAUUCAUUAAUUUCUUUAAGAUUUUGCUAAUGUCUUAUUUUUGCUAUAACUUAGGAAUAGAAUAGAGAAUAAAAUUUCCCAUUCCAUCCAUUUUCCUUUCUAAAUGGACAUAGCUUUAUGAUAAUAGAAUCACAACGGAUUGCAAUCACUACAAGAAAUAUGAGUUUUGCCGACCAAAAAAUUGGUCAGUGAAGGUCCAAUAUUAGUUGGUAAAACCAUUCACUUACUAGAAAAUGUUGGUCGGAAGCUAGUCGCCAAAAGCCAAGCAGUAAAAGUUUUCACCGACUAGAAUACAUUUUAGUCGGUAAAUGUAGAGUUUUUUCCGACCAAACUUAUGUUAGUCGGUAAAGAUACAACUUUUUGUGACCAUAUUUUGGGUCGGAAAAAGUCAUAUAUUAGUCGGGAAUAUGACUUUUGCUGACUAGGAAAUUAGUCGCUAAAAAUCCAAUAUCAGUCGGUAAAUCCAAUUUAUGACUGAAAAAUGUUGGUCGGCAACUAGUCGCCAAAAGCCAGCCAACGAAGGUUUUUAACGAUCAAACUAUACUUUAGUCGGGAAACAUAGAGAUUUUUGCUGACCAAAAAAUUGUUGGUUGGUAAUGACCUAACUUUUUGCCUACCAUACUUUUGGUAGUCAAUAAUAUAUAUUUGCCGACCAAUAAAAUUCAAGGCAGUAAAUUUGAAUUCUAUUUUCUACUAUGAUAUUGGUCAGUAAAUGUGAUUUAUUUUAUUUUUUGAACCUAUGCAAUAAUCAAAAUUAUAAAGUAGAUUAAAAGGCCAACUUGAACACAAGGUACUAAUAAAAAUUUCAAAAUAAAAAAAAAUCCAAAACCAAAAAACAAUUGUCACAACCAAAAGCCUCUAGCAAAAUAUAUACAAGGCAAAAUAGUAUAUCACAUCUUUACAAGUCAAUUCCAAUUCCAUCUAUGAAAACACAGUGUCUAAACUAUAAUGGAAUCCAAAAUAAAAAGCCUAGUCAAGUUCCAAAAAUCUGAUAAGACUAGUUUCAUUACAUAUUUCUCCUUGGUCACAGGAUGGAUCCAGCGUUUUGUACCCUUGUAAUGUAUGUUCUUCCAUAGCUGAAUUCACAAAAUUGUAUUGGAAUAUGAAGUUCCUGUAGCAAGCAACCAAAAUCAGAACGGUAGCAAUUUUGAUCAUUAUGGAUAUGCGUACAUAUCAAUGAAACAUUCACACAUAUUCAAUAUAUGGAAGAGUGACUUUUUAAUCUGUUGUCGAUAGAAAAAUGAAGCGAGUGACAAUUAAUUUUAAAUUUUCAUAAGAACCAUGUAAUGUAGUCAUGUUUCAAGAAAUUAUACACUGAUUUGACAACAUUGUAUUGUUCUUUCUAAUAACUAAGAAGAAAAAAUAGCGGUACAAACUCAAUUUUCUCACUCUUUGCUUUACGUCCUUUGAGAUGCUACAGUAAUGUAUUGUGAAUAUCUUUUCAAUUUCAUGGAAGCUGGGAAGAGAGACAUUCACCAAAGCAGAUAAAAGGCUGACCAAGAAGUGGAAGGCAGAUAAGAAUGUUCCAACAAACUCAGGAGGCUUCCAAGUACCUUUCUCGUAUUCCCGUACUUAAUACUAUUCCCUCUGGUCUUAAAAAGUUCAAGGUCAUGGCUGAAGCAAUAUCACUAACUUCUAAUCAUUUAGAGUGCCUUCCUUUUUUGAUACUUGGUAUACUGGUACUUAACUUAUAUGUGUGAAAGCAAGAGGGUCAGAUUUCUUUGAUCAGGAAAAUAAUUGCCUGAUACCUUAGUAAUGUUUAGAACUCGCAAGUUUACUCUAUCAAUUGCAAAAUUUCUUAAUUCCUAACAUGUAGAGAAAGAACAUAACCUAUUAACGUGUGUUAUAUUUUAACCUUUAGCAUUGACAUACUUCAAACCUUUGUUUCUUCCUUCAGUAAUAUUAUAACAAUAUCAUGUUAAUAAAAAAUAGAAUUAAGAACUAAAUAAUAAUCAUAGAAAUACCUCUCUGUGUUGGCACAUUGACCAGUGCAGGUUGGAUGGUAGUGUAGGCUACAAGCUAGGUUGAGUGAUCGUCUGCAUGGUAGGAACAUUCUACACGUUCUUGGGAUGGUGGCUUCUUUUUUGGUGGCAUUGGAAUAACCAACAAGGUAUGUAACAUAAUAGUAAAGAUAGAAAAUAUCAUAAUGCAUAUAAAAGAGUCUUAUAAUGAUCAAGAAAAGAAAUUGUGUUUUACUAUAUGGCAGGAUGUCAAUCGCUAUCACUAUCGGAAAUGAAUUCUAACUCUGUAUCAGAUUUUUGGAAUCUUAUGAUCCAUGUCAUCAAUUUCAAACUGGAAGUCCUCUUCCAUGUCAACUACAUCAAUGUUUUCCUCAUCUACUUGUUCAAAUGGAACAUCAAUGCGAACAUAUAGUCUACGUUCCCGGUGUCAAUAGACUAUAUGGGGGACAUGGGAGUAAAAUCACAGAAGUUUCAACUACAUCAAUGUUUUCCUCAUCUAAUUGUGUUUAUUUUCAUUAUUCUUAUGAAUUUUACAUUAAUUUUUUUUUUUUUUUUUUAUGAAUUUACUUGAAAUAAUAGGCAGUCUCUAUAAAAUUGCUCCAUUUUGAUCACGAGUUAUAGAGUGAGCAUGACGAAGGUCGAGUAUGAGUUUCCACUUCACACCUUCUCGAGUCAGAUACUCAUGAGAAAACAAGUGUUAUUAAUGCGAGCUACAUCAUGAAAUAAUUAUUUCUCGAUAACUUGAGCAAAACUUAUUCGAAAUAAUUAUUUCUUGAGUCCAAUGUGCAUUAUUUAAUGCAAGCUACAUAAUGAACCCAGAAUUUGCAUACUAAUUCUAAAUCUAUUAAAUUUUAAUUAUUUGACCCAAAAAAAUAAGAAUUUAAAUCUUAGUUCUCUAUAGCCCUUUAACUUUCAAAAGAAUAUAUAUAUAUAUAUAUAUAUAUAUAUAUACACAUAAAAAAUAGCAUUGAAAACAAUUAAUUCCAUUCUAUAAAAAAUUUCGAGGCUUUACAGAGUACUAUAUGUGUUAUUCAACAUUUACAUACAGGUCCAAGUAUAUUGCCUUAUAUAGAAGCUCCGACUUUAGACGUCAUUAUAAUCGUAAUCGAACAUUUCAAACUAGAAGUUCCAGUCCACUUCAUAAAAGAAAAAUAGAAACUGGAAUUGUUAUCCCCUCAUACGCUUGGACACAUCACCCCAUAUAAGGCUCUGUUUGAGCCCCAAUCAAAAGCUUCCUCGUUAGGCGUUGAACUUUACAAAUGCAAUCUCAUAUAUCACUAAGAACUUCAAAAGUUUUUCCAUUCGUUACUGAACUUUAAAAAAUGUAAUCACAUCCAUCACUCAGUGACUAAUGGUAAAGUUCAGUGACCCCCUUGAAACCUUACGCAAAGUUCAAUAACCAAUCAGGUAAUUAACCAAUUUUUAAUUUUCUUGGCCUUUUUCUUUCUUUUCUCCUUUUCCUGUACUCCUACUUCCACAAUUUUAUUCUUUCUAUUACCGUUGAACUUAGAAAAAAGAAUAGCUUUUUAUCGUGAAAUAAUUGAUAAGAUUGUCUACUAUCUUCUCUAAGAUUGAAGAGGGAAUUGAGGAUAGUUUUAUGGACUGCUUAAGCUUCGAUUGUCUUUCUCUCAAGACAUAUCUGAAUAUAAACAAAAAAUCUAUUAGAUUAUUAGACAAACAUUAUUUGAAAUAUUAUUAUUUUUUAAAUGUAAGGAGUAGAAUCGAAUCGAAAACUGGCGGUUCUGGUUCAAGUUUGGUUUUUAUAAUUAGUGUAUGUAUGGUUCUAUUCAUGAAAUACCCUAAUAGUAAUGGAUGUUUCCAAGUAUUAAAUAAUUUAAAUCAACUCACCUGACGUCCAAAAUGCUUAGCCAUAAUAAGGUCAAAUUUGAUAUAGAGUUGAUCAAAUAAUUAAAUCGUAAAUUUGAACCAGAAGACUCCUGCAAUCGUCUAAAAUGCUUAGCCAUAAUCAUAGUUAUGCAUGUAUAGAUUUCUACAAUUGAAUAUAGUUGAGUGAUAAAACACCUGCAAUUAUGUGAAACUCCAUAAGAAAGAACCGUGAAAUUAUUUGAAGGGCACCAAUAAAGUUCUUGAAGGAUUACUAAAGAUAAUUAAUCAAGUUAUUGUUAUAUGAAUUUUCAAUCUAGAUUUUCAUUGGGGCCUUGACUCAUCUACUAUGCACCAAAUAGAGCUCCAUGUAAUAUCAAAAUCAAUGAUUAAUAAUCAAAUGAUCAAUAUGAUAUCAAUAGAGUCAAGUUGACCAUCCUCCAGUGACCUCUAAAUGUGCAUUCCGUAACUGUCUUUAUGACCACCUAAUAAAUUUUCGUCUAUAGAUUAUGGUAGUGAUGAUCUUUCGAUACCUACUCAUUGUUGAAGAAAAAUCUCUAUUAAGUAAAAUUAUCCACAUUCACCAUUUUUUAUUUGUCUAGUUAGAACACACACACACAUUGAAGUUAACUUUGGAAUCACCCAUUGAAAAAAUCAUCGAAAAAUUAUUAUUAUAUUUUUUGUUUAUUUUACCAAUGAAUUACGAACUGAAUUUUAUCAACGAAAUUAUUUCCAGGAUAAAUCCAUCGAUAUUUUACUUUUCGAAUUUAAAAAUUUUUAAAAAAUGUUAGCAUUAAUUGGUCAUUGAUAAAACUUGAAAUUACAUUGGUAAGCGAUUGAAAUAUGCACUAAUUUCAGGCAUUAUAAUGAGAGAAAAUAAGAUAUUCAUUGACUCAUUUCAUCUCAUCGACAAAUAUAUCUAUCUAGGCCAACUAAUAGUUAUUUUGGUCAGUAAAUGUUGUGCCGCCAUAUUCCCUAUCAAAAAUUUGUCCCAAAAAUAAGUAUUCACCGAUCCCUUUCAUUUGGUAGACAAAUAUGUCUCAUCUAUGCUGACCACUAAUUAUUUGGGUCGGUAAAUGUUCUGGCGCUAUAAUCCCCGCCAAAAAAUUGGCUCAAAAAUGAGAUAUUCGCCGAUCAUUUUUUAUCUAGUAGGGAAAUAUAUCUCCUCUAUGCGACUACUAAUCAUUUUGGUCGGUAAAUGUAAGAUAUUUGCCGACCAUUUUUAAUCUAGUAGGCGAAUAUGUCUCGUCUAUGCCGACCACUAAUUAUUUGGGGUAAAUGUUCUGGCGCUAUAAUCCCCACCAAAAAUUUGGCUCAAAAAUGAGAUAUUCGUCGACCAUUUUUUAUCUAGUCGGCAAAUAUAUAUCCUCUACGCCGACUACUAAUCAUGUUGGUCGGUAAAUGAAGUUAUUUGCCGACCGUUUUUAAUCUAGUCGGCGAAUAUGUCUCGUCUAUGCCGACCACAAAUUAUUUGGGUCGGUAAAUUUUGUUGGCACUAUAAUCCCGCCAAAAAUUGGCUCAAAAAUGAGACAUUCGACGACCAUUUUUUAUCUGGUCGGGAAAUAUAUCUCCUCUACGCCGACUACUAAUCAUUUUGGUCGGUAAAUGUAAGAUAUUUGUCGACCACUUUCUAUCUAGUUGGAAAAUAUGUCUCGUUUACGCCGACUAAAGUAUCUUUUGGUCGGUAAAUAUUACUUUUAGUGGCCAAUAUUUGGUUGGUUGGAAAAAACUGCAAAGACUAUUUUCAGUGACUAUUUCAAUUGGGCCGGGGAAAAUUUGGUCGGGAAAACUCUAUUUUCUUGUAGUGGUAUAUAUUGAUAACAAGGUUUCAUAUGUGUGCACCAAAUUUUAACUAUAACUGAAUACAAUUGCCAAAUAGCAUUAAAUGAUAGUGCCUUAAUCAAACAAGAAUAAAUGAAAAGGUGCCAUUGUGCGGGUAUUAAUAAGAACUAAUUGCGAAAGUACAUAAUUCACUUGUUAGCGAAAGAUGUUGUAGUCGAUUGUCUUAAAUCAAAUUUCUUGUGUUGUUCAAUUAAUCACACUAUGUAUAGAUGUUAUAAAGGUACAUUGUAUUAACUUUCUUUUUUUUUUAUUUGAUGGGAAUGAGUAUAAAUAGAUAGAAAAAUGUAUUUGCAAUAAGGAAUCAAUGUUAUCUACAGAAUUAACUAGAUAUAAGGUGUUGGUGAAAAAUAGAACAAAUACGAUGAUAAGAGAUUAAAAUAAUACCUGUGCAAAAACAUGUUUUGGAGUCACUUGGUUUCAAUUUUACAUUGCAAAAAUCCAAAAUCUAUGUGCCUAGUUAACAAGGUCAAAAUAAUUGUUCAACACUAAAAGUUAUCAAACUUUCAUUUGUUGCUGGAUUUGUUCUGUCGUUCAUUCCAAACUUAUUCCUUUGAGAGGGAAUCAGAAUAAGUUUGCAAGUUUGUGUAGUCUUUUCCUGCGAUAGAGCUUGGAUGUUGGAAAUCUUCAUCUUCAGGAUGGUAAAACAAAAGUUCAACUCGAGCACCCAUAUAAUAAAGAGAGAAUAAUUUUUUUGUUCGUAGACCGUACACUGUCAUAAAACUGGUUCUAUUUUCUUAUUCCACAGUUUAUUAAUAAGUCUGUACUAUUUCAUAAUCAUAAUCACUACUUUUGCAAAAUAAAAAUAAAAAGUAUUCAGAUAGAAAAAUAUACCAUAUGUGCAAGUUAUGUGCCAAAAUUGAUAUGAAAUCAAAAAGAUAGUUGCUAUCUGUUCCAAAAGCAAAAGCCCUUUGGCACUCUUGUGGGGAGUUGGUUGUCUUCAAGAUAUUUUGCAAAGUGCAUACUUCAUUUCCAUUUUGUAAAAUUUUUAGUUAUCUCAUUAAUUAUUUGCUAUUUUAAAUAUUGUAUUCCAGUUAUUUUAUCCAACAUUGCAUUUUUAUAGCAUUCACUUGACAUUACUUCAAUUCUAAUAGUUCACAAAAAUUAUGAAAAAUUACCAACUUUUCUGAUGUAAGGGUAAAGGGUUUGAAAUACAUACCUUGCACGUUGCGGGGUCUCUUUGCAUUGGCUUGCCAUUCUUACAGUCAAAAUCAACAUUAAUAUUUGAAAGUCUGCUUGUAAACAACAGUUUGAUCAACAAAUAUAUGACUAAUACUUGAUCUAUGAGUGUGUAUGUGUGUAUGCAUAUGUACAUAUUCACGUAUACUAAGUAAAGAGAAAGAUUAUACUUGUACAAUCCUUAAGGUAAAGAAGAAUACCACUAGAAGUAUUUUUUAUUCUCACCUUUCUAGUGUGAACAAAUAUGAUUGAGAGUGAGUGCGCCUAUUUAUGCACUUAUAUGAGGUGGGAAGAAAGAUGAUACCUAUAUACUUCAUGGUACAUGAAGUGAUGGGUUACUCACAAUGCUUUUGUCUGUCCCUACUGGAUUUGUGUGCAGGUGUGUGUGUUCAUGUGUGUGAGAGUAUGCACAAAUACAUAGUGAAGAAGAAAGAAAAUACCUAGACAGUUCAUGGUCAGGAAGGAUGCUACUCUUAACAUUUGUAUCCUUCCUACAAGUGGACAAAUUUUAAAAAGAAAAAAAUAAUAGUAAUAAUUAAACAAAAUUAAACAAAAAAAAAAAUCGUAUAUAUGUAUGGGAACUUUCGAAUUAUAAAAUUAUCAAAAAUAUACUUAAAAACAACCAUAAAAUGAAGAUGUGCCUAUGUGUUGAACCUUAGACUAAUUGAACUGCCAACAUAGGGAUGCUUCCGAGUCAAUGCUUGCUCUUCUUCCCCGAUAAGGGUUGUGCUAGACCUACCACAAGAUAUUUGAAGUGUACAAGAACACAUUUAAAUUGUAUUAUAAUCAAAUGAUUUAGAAAAUAAAGAAGACUUGAACAAUUAAUUAAAUCCUUCAUAGUCAAUUCUAACUUAAAACGAAAAGGGACUUACCUAUUUAAAUAUGGGAGUGGACAAGAAUUGUAGUUGGGAACUCCAUAGUUGGCAUUGUCUCUGGUUAUAUUUCUGCUACGAUCUUUAACCAUUGAGCAGUAAUUUCUACCCAUUGUUAUUAUAUGUGACAAUGAGUAGUCAUCUCUUUUCUGUCCAAGAUUUUGCACAAAAGUUUCUGAAAGAUUUUGAGUCCGAGUCUCAUUUGGAGAAGGGGUGUGGAUAGGUUCAAUUGAAAUGUGAGAUUCUAUAAAACUGUUUGUAAAAUUUAAAGAACCGAAAUUUUCAAAUACACUCUGUGAAUACAUUUGAGGCUGCGUUUGAUGUGUCUCAUUUGGUUCAUCGUGGUCAAGGUUGAUAAUGUAGUUUUCAUUUAAGUAAGUUUGAUUUUGCAAGGAAAAAGAUGAAUUAGGGUUGGAUUGUGAAAGCCCCAGUCUUGCAGUUGUAGCUUAAGCAGAACCUGUAAGAACUAAAUCAAUUAACAAAUCAUAGGAUUGCAGCGAUUGAAUUCAUAUUUGUGCACAUAUUUUGCACGUGCAACUGAAAAUCUCUAUAACUUCUUUUGAAUAUGAUUUCCAAUGAUGGUAAAUAAAAUGGAAUGUACUACUUGUAUAUAAUGUGAUAUUCUUAACGGUGUCUACCCUCCUCACGUGGAAGAUGCCCCACUUUGAAUGAAUUAUAUUUUAUUCGAAACGAGUCCCCCUCCAUGUGAGAGUGGUGGAUACAGUUAUAGGUAUAACACAUACACGUAGCAUAACCCAAAUAAAAUAGAUAACGAUAUUUAUUGUGGUUCAAUAAAAAUCUAAUCAAAAAGUAAAAAUAAUUUAUAACGGAUAAAUCAAACUAUCAAUUCAUGGACUAGUCAUCAUAGUAAACUUGAAAUUCACUAGGAACUUGAAGAUUAUACUUCUCCAUGAACCCGUUAAGGUUGUAAGCCUCAUUUUAAGUUCUCAUAUUCAAUAUAAGCUACAUUUUAGUCAUAUCUUAGCAUAGUCAUACCAAGAAGAUCAUACCAAAAGGAAAAAAGAUGAAAUAAUUUCAUCUAUGAAUUAAAAUAGUAUUUUGUAGCAACAGUAUAUAAAACAUUCUUACUACCACACAUAUAUGAAUUAAUUCUCUUUAUUUUGUACAACCAUUGAACAUAAACAAAAAUAUAUAAUUACACUAGAUCAGGUGCAAAUGAUUUAUCCCCCUACAUUUUUAAUCUACCAAUUUCAAUUAAUAGACAUCACCAUGGACAAAUUCAAAGUAGAUUUGGUAGAUAGUGUUGUCUAAUUCUACAUAUUGUUGUCAAAUAUAUAAUUUCCCAGAGAUUUCUUUCAUAUUAUGCUAAUAUCAGCCAAAAUAAAAUAGUCAAUGUAUACAUAUAAUAAAUAUAGUGGCAAGACCAGUCCCAAGAUUUUGUGGGCCUUAGAUAAACUUUGUAUGAGCCUUCGCUCUAAAUAUCUUUAGGAAAAUAACCCACAUAUAAUGCUACUUGAACAGGGCCGAUGACAGGCCAUUAAACAGGGGCUGAGGUGCAUAUCAAGCCUUUUAUUUGAAUUUCAUCCACUUUAGUCCCUAUUUAAAAGCAUGUCACAGACUUGUUUGAAUAGCAGGCCUCAUAAACCACAUUCUCUCUAAGAUGACCUUAUUAUAUAAACAAGUCUAAUAAAAUUUGGUCAAUUAUUUUCCUAUUCCAUGGUCCCAUAAUUUCCAAAGGUAAAACUACUAAUUUUGUAUCAAAACCUUCAUAUUGCUCAUUCCUAUUUUUCUCAUCUCCUAUGUUUCUUGCCCAUAAUUUAUAUAUUCUUUAUCAACUAAAUUUCAUGUUUUUUAUCCAUAUUUCUUUUUCCAUUUUGAACUUUUUCAUUUUUAAAUUCUUAAUCAGCCAAAUCUUAAACUAUAUUUUCCAUGCUUGUGUCUGAGAUCGAUUUAGCUCUUGAGAUGAGUAUUUUUUUUUUCCUUUUUUCCUUUUCUUUUUUUAAAAAUUUUUUUUUUCCUUAUGUCCACUACAUACUUUCUGGUAGACAUAAUAAAUCAAUCCAAAUAUCAAAAUCAAUACAAUAUCAGAUUUCAAAGUAAUUGAAGAACAAUGUAACCUCAUUAAUUUUUUUUGGAGAUUUUAUCUUUCAAUCAUGGAAAAUUAACAAUUCAUUAAAAUUAAAAAUGACAUUAUUAUUUUGUCAAUAAAAGAAAGGUUGGCAGUCUACUUUAUCUCCAGUCGCUUAGCGGCCGGCUACAACGAGGUGACUUAGGUGAGAGAUAAUUAAUUUCCUACUUUUUUAGGUUGAAAAAUACAAUGACUUCGGAGAAUAAAGAAAAAUAUUUUUUUCACUUUUUCUAAUAUUUAUAUUGUGGUUUAUUAUCGAAGAUUGAAAAAAUAAAGCCAAGGUAGGAAUGAAUUUUAAAAAAAGGAAGAGCGUGCAUGAUUAUUAUUAUUAUUAUUAUUAUUAUUAUUAUUAUUAUUAUUAUUAUUAUUAUUAUUAUUAUUAUAUAUUUUUUUAUUUUUUUAUUUUUUGAGAGUCAUCAUCAUAUUCUAGUUGAAAGAAGAUUUUGAACCUUAAUUAUUGGACCUUAAAAAAAUACUAUGACUCGAUUAUUAUUAUUAUUAUUAUUAUUAUUAUUAUUAUUAUUAUUAUUAUAUAUUUUUUUAUUUUUUUAUUUUUUGAGAGUCAUCAUCAUAUUCUAGUUGAAAGAAGAUUUUGAACCUUAAUUAUUGGACCUUAAAAAAAUACUAUGACUCGAUUUUCAUAAGUUUGGGGUCCUAUACGCUGUAUAAGCCCAAUGUCGGCCUUGUAAUAAGGAAGUGAAAAAAAUCUAAAUAGUUAUUUUUUCUAAGUUGAAAAGUUGAUGGACAUUAAUUAAACCUUCAUUGAAAAUUCUCGAGUGAAUUGCCUAUUUAGUCACUGAACUUUACACUAGGUUUCCAUCAGGUCACUGAACUUAAAAAAUCACCUACUUCAUCACUAAACUUUCAUUUUGUAAUCUCGUUAGUCAUCGAGCUCAAAUUCCGUUAAUUUUUUAAUGGAGUGUUGAUGUCGCAUGCUGAUGUGGCCCAAAAAUCACCUAAAAAAAAAAAACGGAAAACACAUCAGACGAACUGAGAAUUCCAAACUACCUUCAUCGCCACCCACCGCUGGCUUCCACCUCCAAAAAACCACCAUCCCACCACCUAGGUCGCCAAGUAUAAUCACCACUAGUAUCGGCUUCACCCACGCAACAAAUCCCGACCAACAUCCCGGCCUCAAACCGCCCCAAAGAACCUCAGUAGCUACAAAACUCCUCAUCGUUCCGGCCAAAAAACUUGGCAAUAACCACCCUUCCAAUCACACCCAUCACGGCCAACGCAUACGGGUCUCUUCUACAGUCCAAGGCGCUCAAAAUUUUCUUUUACCCAAGGAAGAUUUAGUCACAGUUAAACUUGUGAUGUGACAUAAACAAUAUAAUAAUAACAGUUAAUUUAAUAAUCUUCAUUUUCAAAAUUUUCAAGGACCAACAAUAAUAAUAUAAUUGUGUUAACUUAUGAAAGUAUAAAGAUUAUUAACUACGAACUAUUAACCCUUUAAUCUUUUUUAUCAACCCAUCAUCUUCAUUCAUUUUAAAUAUGUUCCCUACUUCAAUAAAAUAAAAUAAAAUAAGGGAAAAAAAUACAUACAGCACAACACAGUAUAAAAAUAAUAAUAAUAAAUCACAUUCAGCAAUCAAAAUUUUGAUCUUAAAAGUCGUUUUAUGUUGUUUCAUGGAAAACGGUCAUCGAGACCAAAAAUAAAAAAAAAAUCCAUCGUUAAAAAUGAAAUUUCUUGUAGAACUCAAACCAUAACUGGACAAAUGAGGUUUGUAAUUAUUCAUAAAUAUAAAAUGUUAAGACUAUUUAUUCGCUAUCAUCAGCUCAAAUGAAAUUAAAUUGAUGAUAAGAAAAUUUCUGAAGAAAAAAUCACAUAAAUCAUACCAAUGUAUGCCUUUUAAAGCUGAACCUUCACCUAGUGCUGCAAAGCAAACCCCGACGGUUGAAUCCUAUACAACAUGAACAAACAUAAAAACCAAAAAAAACAAAAAUAAAUACAAAAGCUUUACAAUAUAGUCAUGAAAAUAGAUUAACACUUCAUUUAACACCAAUAAGUAACAACAGUCAAAUUGAUCUAAUCAAGAUGAAUAAAUGUCAUAAUCCUUACACUUCUACUUAAGAAUAAUUGGUAGAUCUUGUUUGUGUUGCAGACACUCACUUGAAAUAAUCAAUACAACUUAUUACACCGAAAAUUCUACCUUCUUCCACGUAAUUUUUAAAGUAUUUGUCUUGUGUAUCAGCUAUAUAUGCAACUUUUAUUUUCUUAAGUUAUCUUAGUUACUUUGUCUUGAAUAUCAUUUUGCGUUCUCGGCCUGUGCUAUUUUCCUUCAAACAUUUUUUUUAAUGGGGUAUGAACAUUUUUUUCGUAUUUUACAAAUUGGAUUGUUGUUACUUGCUGGGCUCAAGAGUUACUGUAUCUAUUUUCAUUUAGUUAAUUGGUUUUUUACUAGGAUCCAAAAAGUAUAAUUUACAACUUCCAACCCAUGCUAAUAAGUGGCAAGAAUAUACCCCUAACCAUUUAAUAUUGGAAUUAAUUAAGAAGUCUUCAAUUUUGUUUACGAAAUAAUGUUAGCAUGAGCCCCUUUUAUGUUAAAUGAUACAUUCUAUGAAAUUUUUUCUUCCUUUUACAUAGCAUUAUAUUUUUUUAAUUAAAUAAUGAUGCUUAAAAACCUAAUAUUUGAAUCCAAAUAUCAAAUCAAUCAUAUUCAAAACCGUUAAAUUUCUAUGAAUCUUCAUUGCUUCAAUAUUAAGAAAUAUCAUAUAAAACCUCAAUGUUUAAAUGUCCUAACUUAAUAUAAGAAUGCAUUAAUAGUUUCUCCUUUUAACAAAAUUUCUUCUAAAAUUAUAACAAUGAUCGUGCAACGCACGAUCCCUCACUAGUAUAAAUAUAUAUCCCUACAAUCUGUUCCUUGAGACAUAAUCCAGUAGUGCAAAAGAUAGGAAUGAGGUUAUCUCAAUCCUUGUUGACAGCCACAGUGUGGGGGUUCGAUUCCUGAGACAUGAGGUUAUCUCAAUCCUCUGAUGUAUUCUUUCCUCCAUUUUUGCACGCGAUUCUGUACAAGCCCAGAAAAAAAGCCUUCUUCCACGCAACAACAAAUGUUAUGCCUCUGUAUAGGCCCUACGGAAAUCUUCUCUCACACGUCAAAUUGAAUGCGUUGCAGCCUUUUACACGUUCUUUCCCAUUCUUUACCAAAAUACAGAGUGUUACCACACCCCCACUAUAUUGGUAUCAGAGCCAUGUUGUUAUCUUGAUCUUACUAUUCUGAUUGGAAUUAUCCAGUUUGAAAGAAACUAGGAAGAACACAUUAAAAAUUAUGUCUGAAUCUUCUAGUUCAUCUAUAUUAGCACCCUCCACCUCCUUUUGAAAAUCUAAUGCUUCUAAAAUCGACUCCCUUUAUGAAAUAUCUUACCUACCUGAAUCUGAAAAAAUCCCAAUUACAGAUUUACCUCUUGUCAAUCCUUACCUUCCAUAUAACAAACCUCGAAAUUCCUUCACCAAAACUGUUAAAAGUAUCAUUUCACCAUCAAAAUCCCCAAUUAAAGAAUAUGUCCAGGCAUCAAAGUUUGAUCAACAUCUUCUACCUGCUACUGAAAAGGAGCAGUUUGUUACCUUAGAUUUACCAUCUCAUCUUCCAAAAGUAUGGUUAUCUGAAGGUUUUACCCAUCUUCAUUUUGGAGCUGUAAGAAUUGCACUUACCCUCCAUGGAAGAAAAGGUCUCCCGGCUGUUUCUAGAAUUGCUCUUCUAGAUACACGAUUUGCUGAUUAUCAACAUGCAUGUAUUGGCACUGUGGAAACUACACUCAAUGCGGGAACAGUACUUGUUACUAUGUUUCCAAACUUUAAUAUGCCAAUUGCAGAUCCAUUAUUGUUGUCAGCUUUAAAAAUCCAGGUCCAAAUUGUUGGAGCAGUUCCAACAGCAGUUACAUAUGGAGCAACACUUCAUUACCAGAUGGCUUCCAGAAUUCAAAAUCACUUUCUUGAUUUUGCCACUCCUAAUGGGACGGAUGAUGCUUUAUUAAUUCAGAUGGGAACAAAUCAGCCAAGUUGUACAUAUGUUCCUAGACAGAUUCCUAGAUCUGAGCUCAUUAAAUUGGUCCCUCAAACCUGGGUUAUAGUUAUGAGCAACAUCACCAGGCGUCAAAAGACUCUCUGCCCAUACAAUCAGCAACUCAUCAUUUCAGGAGAAAGUCAAAUGGCGAAGUUGAGAUCAUGUUUCAAAAAGAACCUGCAAAUAAAAAGCCUCCCUGUUUUCCAACACAGUUUGCUUUUUCCAAUGGAGAAAUUCCCAUUUAUGGAUUUGAUGCAAAUGGCAGGCCAGUUUAUUGCAAAUCUGAUAACUCAGGACAUAUUUAUUGGGAUGUAUGUUUCUGUGCGAAAUGCAUAGAAGAUGAAGAAGAUCUAUUUAACGAUCGUCCUUCCAGGAAGAAGAAGAAAAGGAAGAAUAGCCAAUAAAAGUUGCGUGAAGCAAUGAAAACAAAUAUGCAGGAGUCGAUUUGUUAUGAGAACCCUGUGGAAAAUUUGACUAUUAUGUCAAGUACACUCCACCUCAUACAAGUGAUGAAUCUAUUAUUCCUACUGGUUGGGAUGAUGAUGAUGAUAAUGAUGAUCCAUGGGAUUGCGACCAACUACAUAAAAAAUGGGACUGGGAUAAUAGUCCACCUCCAUCUCCUCAGAUAGCUAUGUCUAUAGCUAUGUUUCACCCUCCUCAACAAGAAGAGUUUCCUCCAUUGUCCUCUUUUGACAAAGAGCAGUCAACUCAUGCCUAGAAGAUCAGGAAUCCCACAUUCAGAAAAUUGGAUGGUUCAGUUGACCAGCUUUCAACAGCGAAAACAGUUUUAAACUGGCAGUCAGAAAAUGCAGUCCAACAAAAUUCCCUGUUGAGAAAAAUUGACCAAAGUCAGCAAAGAAUUGAAAGGACUCUACAACAACAAGCAUAAACACUAUUAACCCCUCUUCAAGCCUGUAAGCAAAAGAUUGAAACCCUCCAUGCUGAAAUCAUGACCAUUUUACAAAACCGUUUACCCAUAACAGAUCAAGAAAGAGAAAUAAGAAAUCUCAAAAAACAACUCAUUUCUCUUGAAAACAAUUCCAUGAUCCCACAUUCUACUCCAUAUCACCCUAUCUCAUAUACCCAUAUAUCACAAACUUCAGGACCCAUGUAUUCAACAGCUUAUGAAUCCACAUCUUCACUCUUCACUCCUGAAGAAUGGGAAAAGAAAUUGACACCUCUUUCUCAUCCUGAUAUAAAGAAAACCAAACCAUUAGCCUCAUAAAAUCUACAAGUUUUACCUCCACCAAACCCAGAAAAAAGACCACAAAUGAUGAUAAAAAACCCCAUAACCACUUUCCUACAAAAAAAACUCAAAACCGUUCCUCUAUAACUCCUAUUUUAACCAUCCCAAAUGAAACUAGUUCUGAACUUAAAGAGUCCUCAGAUGAAUUUCUAGAAGAUCAUCCUCCUUUUUAUAUGGCUGACAGACCAUACUCAAGUCAAACUCAGCAAGGAAUUCCUGUUGUUGAUGAGCCAAAAAUAAUUGAUGAAGAAAUUGCUGAUCCUCAUGUUGUGAACAAUUAUUAUUCACAAAAUAGUACUUCAGCAACCAAAUUCACUUUUGAUGAUAUUCCUCCAGCUUUGUGGAAAGCAAGAUUUCAAGAAAUGAAAGCAUGGUGUUUAGCAGAAUUACAAAGGCCAAAUAUGACUCAUUCUACAAUCAUAAAAUCUUUUCUGGCAAGAAUCACUGGGUUCUUAAAAGAUUGGUAUGAUGCUCUUGGAGAAUAUCGCCAGAUCCAAUAUUCUAAUUCUCCAACAAUAGAUGCUUUCAUAGAAUCAUUAUAUUGGGAAUUCUGUGGAAAGACGGAUCAUUUGAAGGACAUUGUAGAGAAGAAUUUUUCAAAUUGAAAUGUUGUUCUUACAAUCCUAAAGAUCUGGAUAAACAUUUCCACAAUGUUACCAGGCGAUACUACCUCAUUGGUGGAAUGGACGAUACAAAUAUAAAGUAGGCUUACUUAGAGUCCAUCCCACAGCCUCUUGGUCAAGAGACACUCAGAAUGAUUGAAAUAAAAGGACAAUCAUUGGGAACCACUUCAUUUGGAGAGCUUCACAACUGGGUCAAGAGAACCUUGAAAAAACUCUGCAAUCAAAGAGAGUUUUUAAAGGAUAUCAGUACAAUAGGACAGAAGCUUGAAAAGGCGUGUGAAAUUGUCCAGGAAAUAAGAAAUUUCACAGGAGGAGGUUUAAAUUUCGGAACAAAAGAUUUUCCAAAUCUUUUCCUCGAAGAAAAAGAUAUUUUAAAAGGAAAUUCACAAAGAAAAAGGGAGACAGGUGUUUUAUCUGUGGAUAGAAGGGCCAUUUUGCAAAAAAUUGUACCAACAAAAAGAAGGAGAAAAUUUUACACCAAAUCUAUACAGCAACGAAAGUGGAAGAAGAAGCGGACCUUGAAUCGGUAUUCUCGAAAGAAGAUGAGCAGUCCCCUGAAACUAUCUUCGUACUGGAAUUUGACUCCGAUGAUGAGAGCACUAAUGGCUAUGACAGUAUAGAGGAAUGCUAUGGAAUGCAAGUAAUCAAUCUUAGUCUUCCAGUUCCGAUGAUUGAAGUCAAAAUAUUUCCAGGAAAAUAUGAAAGACCAAUCAUAGUUGCAGGUCUGUUUGACACUGGAGCAGCUUGUUCAAUCUUAAAUCCAGCCAUUCUCCCUAAAGACAUGUGGAAAACACAUCAGCAAAUGUUCCAGGCAGCCAAUAAUGAGUAUUUUUCAACAGAGUUGAUAAGUAAGCCAGUGACACUUCAGUUCUUUCCUGAAUGUAAUGUCUCACACAAGUUACUUGGAUCAUCUUUACCAGGAAAGGAUAUUGUAAUUGGUUUUGACAUCAUUCGACAAUUGUGGGCAAAACGUGUUAUUCCUCUUCCAAAUAGCCUUAGAUACAAGUCCUACUUUCUGCAAUACAUAUAGCCAACCACAUAUUUUUCCAUAACCAGCCUUGAUGAUAUAACAAGCCUAUUAAUCCGAGAAUGUUGUGCAGAUUCUCACACAGAUUUUCUCACCAAAUGCACUCACCCUCUAUGGAAAAAUCCAGAUUUUUUCAUAGCCCUACCUUUCAAAAGAAAUGAAGAUGUUAACCCUACUAAAACCAGCCAUAUUGGAAUGAGCCCUGAACACCUCCAGUUAGCAACCAAAGAGUUAAGCCAAUUGCAAGAUGAAGGUCUCAUUGAACCUUCUACUUCUCAAUGGGCAUGCCAAGCAUUUUAUGUCAACAAAAGAAGUGAACAAGUUCGUGGAAAAAUGAGACUUGUGAUUGAUUAUAAACUAUUGAAUCACUUCCUUGCUGAUGACAAGUUCCCUCUUCCAAACAAAAGAACUUAUUUGCCAGUCUGUCCAAGGCGCAGAUAUUUUCAAAGUUUGAUCUAAAAGCAGGAUUUUGGCAAUUGGGAAUUAAGAAAGAUGAAAGGCAUAAGAUAGGUUUCUGUAUCCCAAACUGCCACUAUCAGUGGACGGUUAUGCCAUUCGGUCUUAAGACGGCCCCCUCAUUAUUCCAAAAGGCUAUCACAAGAAUUUAUCAUCCAAUAUUAGAGUCAGCAUUAAUUUAUAUUGAUGAUAUUCUCUUGUUCUCAAAAAAUGCCGAUUCUCAUUCUCAACUGUUGUCUCAAUUCGCUGAUCUGACAAAACAAUUUGGAGUAAUGCUUUCUCAGAAAAAGAUGGUUAUUGGAGUCUCUGAAAUUGAUUUCUUGGGCAUGCAUAUUAAAGAUGGUCAAUAUUCGUUACAACCACAUGUUGGUCAGGAAUUGUUAAAGUUUGCAGACACAGAUCUCUCUAAACGAGAAGUCCAACAGUUCCUUGGGAUUGUAAAUUACAUGGCCGACUUUGUUGAUCAUUUAACUCCUAUUAUCAGACCAUUACAGAACAUGCUGAAAAAAGGUGCACCACCAUUGUCUUCAAAACAAGCAGAAGCAGUCCGAAAAAUCAAACAAAAAGUGCAAGAACUUCCAGCUCUAUCUAUCCCUACUAACGGGAAAAUGAUCUUACAAACUGAUGCAAGUGAUCUAUAUUUGGCAGCAUUUCUAUUGGAGGAGAAAAAUGGAAAAAGAAACAUUUGUGGAUACAAAAGUGGAGCAUUCUCAGAAGCAGAAAAACAUUAUCAUUCCACUUUCAAAGAAAUCUUGGCGGUAAAACGUGGUAUUGAGAAAUUUCAGUUUCAUCUCAUUGGACACAAAUUUCUUAUUGAAAUGGACAUGUCAGCAUUCCCUAAAAUACUUUCAUUCAAACAAAAACAAAUUCCAAAUUCUCAACUACUCAGAUGGACAGAAUGGUUUUCAAACUUUGACUUUGAUGUCAAACAUAUAAAGGGAAAAACCAACCUCCUUCCAGACCAAAAGCUUUUCACUCCCAACCUAUCCCUGUAAUCUGUAUGAUGAACCUUCCCUUUCAUUUGCUUUCUCAAAAUGAACAAAUUCCCCCAGAACUUAAUACUCUCAUAAGAGACAAAACCCUCCAUUCCCAAGCCAAAGAGUUCAUGUUAAAAUACCAGUCCAUUGUUAUCAGGCAAACAGGAAUUGAAACUUUUGGUGGUCUUGGAUUUCAUCCAAUUAUCCAUUUUUUUAAUUUGUUCCACAUAAUCCCACACCAAGCAGUUUCAAAAUUUUCAAAGGAAUUAUUUUAUUUUCUGUGGUACUUAUUGGAACUUUUUCAAAUUGGAGUUUCUUUUAAUGUUUGUGAAUCUCUUGAAUGGUUCAAAAAAAUCACUUUUCUAAGUUUUAACAAAAAUGAUCCAUUUCAAGAAGCACAUUUUGAGGCAAAGAAAUUCUUCGAAUGGUUUUAUCCUAUUUCUCAUUGGAUAAAAAUGUUUGAAGCAUUUUCUUUAAAAUUUAAAGAUUUGAGAACUUCCCAAAACAAUGUUUUUGUAAUUCUGAUUUUCCAAUGACAAGGAUAUUUUACAGAAACAGGUUCUUAUGAACACUUCUCUUAUGUCAAGGAGCAUGCAGUCCAACCUUUCAAUCUCCAUCAAGAUUGGGAAAAGUAUCCAAAGGAGUUUCGAGAAUUUCAAAAAAAAGGCUGAAAUCAACCAGACAAUUCCUCCACAAAUUUGGCAGACAUAGAAGAUGAUGCUCCAUGAGAAAUUCUACCUCUAGACUAUGCAACCAAGAUUCAGCAAGACGUUCAGAAACACAGAGAAGGACAAUGCCAAAUUUUUGGACAAGUAUUUGGACACUAUCCAUCUGCUACUUGGGAAAGUGAAAAACCCAUUGGAACCAGCUUUACUUGGGAAGGCCACAUCAAUGCCUUGGAGAAACAUCUAAAUAUCCAGAAACCACACCAGAAGGACAACAACUGCAUAACAAUCUCUGGAAUGAAUUUCAAGAAAAAAUGAAAAUUGAUAAAAUGGACGUGGACAAACCAGGACCAAGCAAUCCAGACAAACAAACUUCAAGAUAUUUGGACACAGAAAUAAAUUAUAAUGACAGUGUUUUCCAGGACUCUCAAGAUCCAUAUGAUUAUGGAACACAGUCGUAUGAUUUUGAUCUAACAGACCCAGACAAUCUUGAAAAAUUGGAAGAAAAACUUUUUGAAAAAAAAUUUGAUACUACAACUUGGCCUUGGUGGAAGCAACAUGGACUCUCCUCUAAUUCAGAUGAUUCAAAUGAACCUGGACGAGAAGCAAAUCUUGGAACACCUUGAUGACUCAGCAGCUCGUGUAAAAUAAUCAUUUUGUCUUUUGCAAUAAAAUCCCUUUUAAAAAGUAGAUUCUUUACUUUUUAAAAGAUGGUUGUAAAAUUAUUGUACUAAAAGUAGUGAGUCAUGCUAGUAAAGUGAUGAGUCAUGUCCUUUAAAGUGAUGAUUCAUUGGUAGUAUUAUUAGUUUUGUGUCGGUUAUAUGAUGAGGCUCCUCCUCUAUAUAAGGAGCUCUUAUUUGAGGAUCAUCUCGAGCUCAACUCUUCUUAAUAAAAAGUUUGUUCCUCUUAACAAUGUUUUUCUAAAAUCCUUUCUUUAUUCUUCCAUAAUCUUGACAACAACUGUGAAAAUUUCAGAAUGAAUAAGUAAGAACAAGAUCUAAGUAGUAUCAAAAGUAUGUUCUACAGUUGCCUCUUUGAGGAUCCUCGGCAUCAAAAAAUUUGACAAUACUGAUUAUAUGAUCCCAUAUGGUGGUUUAGUAAUAUGGAAACUCCGGCCAUUAUUGCCCAAAGGCUGGUUGUGGGCUAGAAUACUAUGGAUUUUCAAUUCUCUCGCAACCCAUUCUCUCUCUCUCUCUCUAUAAUGGACCAGGAACCACCGCCUGCAACUCCGAUCAUAUGUUGCAGAUCCAAUUUCGUAUUCAUCAAUCGGCUAAUCUUCUACUGAUCUUGCGGAUUCACGGUGUUUGAUUUUCGGUAAUUCUAUUAUUAUUUUUUUUAAUCAUUUGGUUUUCCCAUUCUUUAUCAUUGUCCUGCAAAACCCAUCAAUAGGGAUUUUCAAUUCUUUCUAUACAAUUUGUUUUGUGAGAUAUAUGCUAGAAGAUGAAAAUUGCGAUAUUUUCAUACUAGGACUUGAAUUUAAGGUAACUUCUUGAAGUUAUUUUGGAUUUAAGUUAGAAAUUUUGUCAUUCAUUCUAAGAAACAUGAUUUCUGGUAAUUUUUUAAACUCAUUGUUUGAAUCUUUGUCUUUCUAAUGAUUCUUCCUCCAUUUUGUAGAUUUUCUUCCUUGGUUUGGCUCAUGCAGACUUUGGUUGUUUUGUAGCCGUCCGACUUUUAGUACAAUUUUUAUUCAUUUCAUUAACUGGAUUUAGAAUAAAUACUAUUGAUGCUUCGAUGAAGUUUUUUCUUCCGUUGUAGAUUCUUGUAUCUUUGCAUUCUUUUUUGUUUAUCUGGUCUGAUACCAUCAUUUAUAGAAUAUGGUUUUUUGGUAUUUUCUUGAAACUGAUUUUUUUGAAUAAUGGGUCUUCGGAACAAAUUUGAGAAAAAUCGAUUGUUUAUUCUAUUGUGUUUGCAAAUUUGAGAAAUACUAACAAAUUUCUCUUCUUUUGCGAGAUUUCGAGGCCUCAUUUGAGGUAUAGUACUUCUUUCAUAUGGAGUUAAAAGUUAUUAAUUUUUUGCAUCAUUUCUUUUUCUUAUUUAUGGUAAUAAAUGUUUGUAGGUUUUGCAAAUUUUCAGGUUUUGACUUUUGAAGGAUUUCGAUGUUUUAUUUAAAGUACAGUAGUUUUCCUCUGAUUUUAAUAAAGUUUGGGGUUUUCUACUUCAUUUUUCAUCUUAUUUUUCUCAUUGGGCCAGUAGCUUAAAUUGGGCUUGUCGAGGGGAGUCUGCAUCAUCUUCGGCACCGACGAAUAAAGGCCACGUGCCGGGAGACUCGCUGUCGGAACGGCACGUGCUCUGGGCGCCUGCACUGUCGGGGGCGAAAUGGUCUGUAGAUGCCGUUGAUCAGGUGCGUCUGUCAAGGAAGUGGCUGGAUCUUGCACGAUCUGCGUUGAAGUCCCUAUUCGUCUAACAAUCUUCCAUCCAUAUGGGUUGUCAACAUCUACCUCGUACUUCCCUGCGUGGUAUGGUGCGCCGAAGGUUACUGCUACAUCUCGAGUGGCGUUGCUAGGGUUACCACCUAGGGCCGCUGCCUGUGAGUGGUCAGAGUGGCUGGGAGGGUUAAUUAGUGGCCUAAGGCCGGUAGAGAUGGGUGGGUAUUGGAAGGUUUUCGAGUGGUAGGUCGGUGGAUUUGGAUUUGGGAGGGAGCUCCAUAUUAGAGAGAGCUACGAAGAUUUUUUCUUCCUACCUUAAAAGCUCAUAUUUUUGGAGAAAAUCAUUUUUCUCAUUUCACAUUAUUAUUGUCUUUGAAUAUUAGUCCACAACUUCCAAGGCUUUCUUGCCACUAUUUAUUGCUCUUUAUGGAUUAUGUUACCUUUUAUGAUUAGAUAUCCUAUUGGAGUAUAUCUCUUGAUGAUAUAGACAAUACUAUUGCAUUGUACAUUAUGUUGAGUUGCUAAGGUAAGAGCUAACUUGAAGAUAGAAUGUAGUAACGGCGUAAAACUUGUUAUAUUUGAAGAAUAUUGCUUCAAAGGCAUGUCGAAAAAUGUCCUGAAAAGGAUAGACCACCUUCUUCUUUCUUGGGAAGUAAGGGCACCUGAAUAAUUCAUCUGAACACCGAAUCUUUUUAGGGGAAUUCUUGAAUUGUUCAUAUCAUCUAUCCACAUAAUCGUCUAACUUAGAUUCACUUGUGUUUGUUUUGUCUUCAGAUGAGCAAGAAAUCUUCCACAGAAUUUGACAUAGCAAAAGAUUCAAUUCUCUGAUUAGUCCAGAAAAGGAAAGCACAGAAAAAACAAAUUGGAACAUUAUAUUUUCUGGGUAAGGUGUAAGCUAUUUUUAUAGGGUAAAUGGCAGAAUUUAAAGUAAAAAUUUGUCAAUUAUCUAUCAAUACUUGAUUUGCCUGACAUACAUAUCUGUUUUGUGUCAAUUAUGUUUUGUUAUUUUCUUUAUUGUGUUCAAACAUGUUAUAGCAUUAAUACGUAUUGCAAGGAUCUUCAGUAAUUUGAAAAAAUAUGAUGCACUUCUUAUAGUUUGAAAUGAUGAUUCCACAACAAAAAUAUGUAUUGCAAGCAUCCUCAACAACUACGGACCCCGCAUGAAUAUUGAUGAUAGCCAAUUGUCAACAAUUUCAUAGAUCAAACAAUUCGGUAAUAAUUUAUCAUCACGUUGAUAUCAUCUGCAUUCCUUUGAUCUCAAUUGUUGGCCCGUUGUUAUCUCCAGAGCGAAAGCCCUCUUCUUAUUUCUUAUUGGGGCAGUAGCUUCAAUAGCUCAAUUCGAAAGACAGUUUGGCUAAUUCUAUCUAUCCAGAAUCUUUCUUGCUUUCCCAGAAGGCUAUUCCCCGAUCCUCUACUUGCAUGAUUGUCUAAUCUUUUCUAUUUAAAAGGUAAAGAAAUUCAAGGAUCCUGCUUUUGGUUUGGAUAUAGAUAAUGUUGUUAGGAUAAUUGGCUCAUGGUCUUACUAACAGUCAAUGUUUUGAGCUUGUUGAGACUCUGAAAAAGGUAAUUUCCAAACUUGUGCUAAGAUACUUUUUUUCCUUUCUCUGGUUCUUUUUUAGUAUUGUAUGAAACUAAAUGGUUGUCGUUACAACGAAAUCUCUUCAAAAGUUAUAACAGUUAUCGUGCAACGCAAAAUCCGCCACUAGUAUGUGUGUGUGUGUGUGUGUGUAUAUAUUGGGAUAGGAAAAGGCAUAUGAUAUUAGAACUUACAGGUAUAAGAGAUAAUAAGUUAACCUAUCAGUUAACCUAUCAAGUAAAAUAUAGUAUAGAUAUUUGUGGAUAUUUUGAAGAAGAUAAUAUUGUAGGAACAUAUUAUAAAGAGUUAACUGAAAUUUUAAGAAUUAUUAAAGAUUUACCUGUUGAUAUAAGAGAAAACAUAGUAAAGAGAAUCUUAGUAGAAGAAUAUAGACAUAUUCUUAUAACAGAAAGAAUUUCUUACGAUUUGGAACUCUGGAUAUAAAUAGAAAGCUUGAAUAUUUAGACCUAGAUUUAAGAAAUACUAGUAAAAAAGUACAAACAAUUGAUAAUAAUAUAAUUAAGUGUAAUCUAGACAAUAAGCAUAAAUUACAUAGUUUAUUCUCAGAAGACCCAAGUCAGAAUUGUAUAGUAGACUUUAUCAUAAACUUAUCAAGAAAUUUAGAAGUAGAAAAUAAAAAGCAAAAUAGUUAUUUAGAAAUUAUAAAAGAAAACAUUACAGCUAGAGAUCAAGAGAUUAAAAAUAUAAAAGAAUCUUUAGAUUAUAUUAAAAAUCAAAAUUCAAGUAUUUUAGAAAAACUUGUUAAAUUAGAAAAAAUACCAUCUAAGGUAGAUUUAACAGAAAUAAAAAGAAUUAUAGAUUCCAAUAAAUCUAAAGAGAUAGAAAUAGGAACUACAUCAAGUGUAGAAAAAGAUUUAAAAGCAUUAACAAAUACAUUAGAAAACCUAAGUUUUAGAGAAACAGGAAAAGAAAAGGUAACUAGGAAAUUACCUAAAGAAUAUAAAUUUCCAAGAUGAAUACGAAUCCUUUCUUAGGAAGAUCUAGAACAAUAAAUGAAGAAGCAUCUACAUCUAGACAUAAUACUUCAAGUAUAAGCAGAAAUAUAAUAGAAAGAGUUUUAAAUAGACCAGUACAAUAUAAUCAAAAUAUAGAAGAAAUUAUAGAUCCUCAACAAGAUUACUUAAGAUUUCAAACUAAUGGAUUAAGAAUUCUUAACCCAGAAAUAUUAUAUAAUAGAGGAAUUUUUGAAACAAGAACACAAUUCUUUAGAAAUAGUAGAGAAGUAUCUGUUCAGUGUAUAGGAAACCAAGUAAGAAAAUUAAAUUUAAUAUCAGAAGAUUCUAAGAGAGAAUUAAAAAAGAAAAACUUUAGAUUCAUGCAUUUAGGAUUAAUAGUUAUAGGAAUAAAAGGAUUAAUGAGAAAAAAUCUAGGAUGCAAGGUUUUAGUUACUAUAUAUGAUGAAAGAAUUAAUAAUAUAGAUAAAAGUAUGAUUGCUAGUACAGAAGUUGAUAUGAAUAAUAAUAAAGGUAUAAUUUAUUGUAAUCCAGAUUUUUUAUUAACUAUUAAAGAUUUCUCAGAAAAAAUUAAAAUAGAAUUCAAACGAAAGGAUAUGAAGAUGUAGAAAGUGGAGAUAACUUAUUAAUUAGUAUAGGAUUUUUAGGAAGAUGUUCAAAUAAUUCUCAGACAAAAUAUAAGAUUUAUAUAGAUAAAGUAGUAAAUUUAAUGAGUAGUAAAGGAAUUAACAUGGUUAAACCUAAAGAAUAUUCAUCAGAACAAUUAGCAGGACUAGAGUGGGAUAUGGAUAAAUUUUUGGAAAACCAAGAAACAAUUAUAGCACCACAAGAAGUAUUAACUUAUAAAGAUGAAUUGGAAGAACUAGCUUAAGAUUUUUAGAUUAUAAUCAUGUACAAAGACAGAAUGAUUUUGAAGAAGAAACUAAUCCCGAAGAAGAACAAAAUGAACCAUUCCAAAAUCAAGUACACUUAGAAUUAAUAGAUGAAGAAUCUGAUAGAAUAAUUUAUCCAAAAGAAUUAGGAAUGAAUUUAAACAAUAAAGAAUUACUAGAACUAGAAGAUCAAAUGUAUCUUAAUAAGACAAUUACAGAAUCUGAAUACUUAUAUUAUGAUCAAGAACAGAAUAUAAGAAUAGGAAUUAUUAAAGAAGAUAAUAACUCAGAAAAUUCAGAUUUUAGUUAUAUAAAAGAACUUAUGGAAGAUUCUAAUACUUAUAAAACAUUUGGUGACACUCCUUUUGAUAGAAAAAUUAAACAUGAAGCAAUGGUAUACGGUGGAGGAUUUCCCCCAAGAGGUGCUUAUCCUUUAUAUAAUAAUACAGAAGGAAAAUACAUAGCAAGAGGAAGUGAAAGACCCUUAGAAAAGAAAAUAGAAUUCCAAUCAGAUCAUAAAGCACAAAUUUUAAAUAUUACAGUACAUGAUCCACAGACAUGGAAUAAUGUAAUAGAUGUACGGAAGAAUACUAUAAUAGGACAUUACAUUAGAAACUUUCAAGAAAUGGAAGCUUUAGAUAUGUAUAGAUACUUAGAAACAUUCUUAGGAGAAAGUGUAAAAGUUAUGUGGGAAGCAUUUAAAUUAGAAAAUAAAGAAGAAUUUGAACAAUUAGUUAAUAUGGGUAGUAAUCCUUAUAAUUUUGUAAAUAAAAUACAAAUAUUAAUAACAGGAGCAGACCCAAACUCAGGACAUAUGAGUAUACAAAGAAAAGCUAUGAGAGAUUUAGAAUAACUUAGUCUUUAUAAAUGGACUAAAGGAAGAUAUGUUAAGAACUUUCUAAAUGAAUAUCAUUAUUUAAUUUUAAUAUCAGGAAAUACAUUUAACCAAGAAAUUGGUAAUAAACUAUUUCAUAAAUUACCAGGACCGUUAGGAUUAGAAAUCACAGAUAAAUGGAACAAUUUACCAGCAGUAAAAGAAGAACCAGAAAAACAAUGGAGUAUAGGACAAAGAAUACAACAUGUAAUAAGAUGCUUAGAAAAUAAAUGUGUAGAGUUACAAAUUCAAAAACAACUUAAAAAGACAGACUAUAAAUUUUGUAAAGAUAUUUGUACCCCACAAACUUAUAGAGCUUCUAGUUCAAGAAAAAACAAGUAUAGUAAUAAAGAAAGAAAGAAUAAAAGAUCUUUUAAGAAAAGAUAUUUUCUUAGAAAAUCUAAUAAAAGAAAACCCUAUUUAGAUGAAAAAAGACAUGUGAGGAAAUUUAAACUAGAAAGAACUUAUAAAAAUAGAUUUAGCUGUUAUGUCUGUAAUAGUAAUAAACAUUUAUCUAAGACCUGUCCAAAAAGAAUAAACAAUUAUGAUAAGAAAAGCACAUUAAUAGAAUAUACUAAUGAAGAUCUAAUACAAUUAAAUGAAUAUAUUUCAGAUAAAGAAUCUAUUUAUAGCAUUAUAUCAAUAGAAGAUAAAAAUUUAGAAGAAAAUAAAGAAUCUGAUUAUGAAAUAAUAGAUGAAUUCUCUAAUACAAGAGUACAAGAAGAAUCAGAAUCAGAAGAACUUAAUUUAAUGAAUAAUGUAAUCAUAGAAUGUAUACAUAAUUGGCAAAAAUAUAAAGGAGCAGAUAAUAUAGCUUGUUAUUUAUGUAAUUGGUACCCAGUAAGAAAACUUAGAGCCAAAUGUUUAGAAUGUUAUAAAGAAGCAUGUAUAAAAUGUUUAGAAGAAAAGAAUCUUAUUGAAAAAGAAGAAGUCAAUUCAGAAACUUUAAAAGAAAGAAUUGAAAUCUCAGAAAUAAAAAUUCUCUGAAAAAAAUUGAAAGUUUAGAAGAAAUGCAAAAAUUUAUAAUAAACAAAAUAGAAAUGUUAGAAUAUAAUAAUAAAGGAAAAACUAUAGAAAUAGAAGAAUAAAGUCAAAUUACAGAAUAUAAAGAAAAAUAAUAUGUUCAGGUAAUAUGUAACCCGGAAAAACUUAAAAGUAUUAAGGUAAAAUGUUACAUAAGAAUAGGACAAUAUGAAAUAAAAUGUCUAGGUUUAAUAGACUCAGGAUGUAGUAAUUGUAUAAUUAAUAAAAAAUUAAUACCAAAACAAUAUAUAACAUAUUCAGAUAAACCAAUAGAAGCACAACAAAUGGAUGGAGAAGUUUAUAUUUAUGCAGAAUUAUUACAAUCAGAUAGCAAGAUUAGUUUUGAGACAAACUCUGGUAGAAGUAUAGAAUAUACCUUAUCAAAAGAAUCAGUUUGGGUUAGACCUUUAAAUAUUAAAGAUACAGAUUUUAUUAUAGGAUUAAGUUUUUUAUUAAAAGACAAUGGAAGUAUUACAAUUACUAAAGAUUUCUUACAUUUACAAAAACAUACAUUAUUUACACCAACACAAACUACCUAUUUUCCAUUAGAGUGCAUAGAGAAGUGUGGUGGAAGUAGUAGUAAUAAUUGUAAGUGUGAAAAAGAAAGAGAAUGUCAAUUGAUAGAAGAAGAUAAUUUAGAAGAAAUAAAUCCUGAAAUUUUAGAAGAAAAUAACUUAGAUUUUGGAAUUAUAGAACUAAUUAAUAAUGAAAAAAUCUAUGAUAUGUUAAUAACAGAACAAGAAAUAGAAAAUUUAAUUUCUAGGUUAGAAAAGAUAGAAAUAAUAGGAGAAAAUGUUUUAAAAUACUAGGAGAAAGAUAAAAUAUUAUGUGAAUUAAAAAUUAAGAAUCCAGAAUAUAUAAUUAAAACUAAGAAUAUAGAAGCAACAAAUUUAGAUUUAGAAGAUUUUAAAAUACAUAUAAAAGAACUCUUGGAAUUAGGAGUAAUUAGAAAAUCAGAUAGUUCUCAUAGAUCAGUAGUCUUUAUAGUUAGAAAACAUUCAAAAAUUGUUAGAGGAAAAAGUAGAAUGAUUAUUAAUUAUAAAAGAUUUAAUGAUAAUACUAUAGAUGAUGCUUAUAACAUACCAGAUAAGACAGUUUUAAUAAAUAAAAUCCAAGACUGUAAAAUUUUUAGUAAAUUUGAUUUAAAGUCAGGAUUUGGCAAGUAAAAAUGCAUCCAAAAAGUAUUAAGUGGACAGCUUUUACCUGUCCAGAAGGACAUUUUGAAUGGUUAGUAAUGCCAUUUGGAAUUAAGAAUGCACCAAGUAUUUUUCAAAGAAAAAUGAAAAGUAUUUUUAAUAGACAUAGUAAAUUUGUAAUAGUAUAUAUAGAUGAUAUUUUAGUAUUUAGUAAAAAUAAACAAGAACAUAGAGGACAUCUACAAAUAGUAUUCUCAGAAUUUAUUAAACAUGGUUUAAUAAUUAGUAAAAAGAAAAUAAUCUUAUUUAAAGAAUUUAUAGAUUUCUUAGGAGUUAACAUAGGAGAAGGUAAAAUUAAGUUACAACCCCAUAUUACUAAGAAAGGUUUAGAAUUUCCAGAUAAACUAGAAAAUUUAAAACAAAUCCAAAAAUUUUUAGGAUUAGUAAAUUAUGCUAGACCAUUUAUAAAAGAUUUAGGAAAAAUAGCAGGACCUUUAUAUGCUAAGACAUCUCAUACAGGACAAAGAUUUUUUAACCAAGAAAACAUAAAAUUAGUCCAACAAAUAAAAGAAAAAAAUAAAAACUUUACCAGAAUUGGCUAUGCCAUUAGAUUCAGAAUAUUUAAUCAUAGAAACAUAUGGAAGUAUGACAGGAUGGGGAGCUAUAUUAAUAUGCAAACCCAAUAAAUAUACUGAUAAAAGUACAGAAGGAAUUUGUAGGUACAAUAGUGAAAAUUAUAGAGAAAAAGGAAAUCUAAGUAGUAUAGACGCAGAAUUAUUAGCUAUAAAUUAUGCAUUAGACAGUUUUGAACUAUUUAUCAUAUCUAAGAAAGAAAUAACUAUAAGAAUAGACUGUAUAGCCAUAGUUUCCUUUGUCAAUAAAAUGAAAAUAGAUUCAAAAAGAAGUAGCAGAAGAAGAUGGUUAAACUUUAUAGAUAGAAUCACAAACACAGGAAUUAAUAUAAAAUUUGAACAUAUUAAAGGUAGUGAUAAUAAGGCAAUAGAUAUAUUAAGUAGAAUAAUAAUAGAUAGAAAUUAUUAAAUUUGCUUAACAUAAUUUCUUUAUACAGAUGACAAGACCAAGACCUAUAAGACCAGGAAUUCCACCUGGGAAUUCAUUUGCAUCAAAACUAUUACCAUAGACUCCAUUUAAUCAGAACAGACCAAUGUUACAAGACAGAUUAAAGUUUGGAAACCAAGAACUUAUAGUAUUUCCAAAUAGUAAUAUUUCUUUUAAAAUUCUACCGCAUAUUUCUUUAUCUAGAGAAGAGAAAUGUAUUUUAGAUAAUUUAUGGAUUUCUUAUAAUAAGAAUCCAAAAGACCAAAAAUAUUUUCUUGCAUGCAUGAAUGCAUUGUCAGAACAUUUUAGUCAGAACAAACAAAAGUUUAAAUUUUAUGUUGUUAUUAAAGGAAAAACUCCAGGAAUUUUCCAUUCCUGGAUAGAAGUUUUAAAUUGCAUUAAAAAAUUUUCUGACCCUCUUUACAAAGGUUUUACAAAUUUUCAAGAAGCAUUAGAUGUUGCAAGACAACAGAUAGGAAUAAAUUUUUAUUUAUUUCCUUCUUUGAAGAAUUAUUCAGACCCUCCAUUAGACUUCUCUCCAAGUAAAGACCAGAAUAUUUUCUGCCAACAUUGUAAAUGUAUGCAGAGAAACUACGAAGUUAUUAAUGAAGCCAACCAGAACCUUUCACUAGAAAGAACCCAAUUCCAAAAGAAAGUGGCCCAAUUGGAAAAAGAGAUUUUGGAAUUAAAAGUCCAUUAUCCAACAGGUACUAUAGAGCCUAAUAAGUCCAUAGCUAGUCCAACCCAAACGGUAGCUGGUAAAGACUUAUCAAAUCCGUUUAAGGUUGUGGACUUACCAAAAGCCCAAUAGACUCAGGGGACUGUUGAUUCCUCUACUAAAUUAGAUAAUCAGACUCAACAGACUGAUGAAUCUGCUACAGAAAAGAGUAAAGAAAUCUGGGAUCUUUUAGGACAGCGCAGUGAAAAAAUUGAUUAUUUAGUCAAAUACAGUUCACCAGACCAUUUUUCGCCAGAACAUUUUUCAAACAAUCCAAACUUUUCACAAGCCCAAGAAAUUUAGUCUAGAAAAGGAAAAGAAAAAAUGAUAGCUCAAGAUAGCCAAGAAUGUUUACUCCUUCAAGAAUCACAAGAUCUUAAUUCAGAUACUGUUUCCUUAGAAAAGAUUUUCGAAAAAAUUGAAGAAUUUCAGAAGCAAUCCAAAAAAGAUGAAGGAACUUCUUCUAGAAAAAAGAAAAAGAUUACGAAGAAGAAAAAUGAUGAAAGAUUGAAAGAACAAAUUAGAGAAGCAGUUAACGAAACAUUUGAGACAAUCUUAAAAAAGAAUUAUGGAGAAGAAAAAGAAAUUUCAGAAUGCCCAGAACAAAAAGAAAAAGAUGAAGCCAGUAACUCCAGACUUUCAGAUAAAAACGAAGAUCCAUAGGAUGAAGGAUACAAUAAUUCAGACAGUGGAAUGUCAUUUUCAUCAGUGGCACGCCAUAAUCUCGAGACUUGACAAAGAUCUUCAAUAAUGCAUAACAAGACAAAUCUGAAAGAAGAAAAGAAGAAAAAAUUGAAGACUUUUUAUCAUCAUACUAUAGACUUUUAGAAAAAAAAUCUUCAUUAUUGCUGUACUAUUAGAAAAUGUGUCGGGACUUUUUGAAAAAGAAAAGAUUCCAUUUGAAUUUUUAGACACUUGAUAGACUUUUUUGUAAAGUUGGUGGAAAUCUUGAAAAACAAAAGAUUUCCAACUGUAGACCUUUAGAAUUUCUGUAAAAAGACGUAGAAAAUUUUGCCACUUGUUAGACUUUUGAAUGGUCAGAAGUUUCUCGGUGAAACGUGUGCUUUUCUUAGGGAUAGUUUAGACUUUUUGCUCCAAAGAAUUUUUCUAUUUAAGGAAUGAGUUUCAUUCGGUUUAAGCAGAAGUUUACAACUUGUGUAUUCUCUACUAUCCAAAAAACCCCUUUGAAACCUCUCCUCCAGAAAAAUUCUCAAUCCAAAAAAAUAUUGUAUAGUUGAAGCAUCCUUGUGAAUAUUUAAGGUAUUUUUGUAUUCUAUUAAGUUUAUUUUAGAACUUUAGGGACUUCCUAAAAGGGAAGUCCUUAAUUGUAAAUCUUUUUAAAGAUGAAUUUAUAAAUCCCUGAUUUAUGUUUUACUCUUUUAUGUUCAUGUUUUAUAUUCAAGUAAAUAUUUGUUAUGUUUAUCAUUUUAUCCUAUGCAUAUAAUAAAAGCAUAACUUGAUUUCUAGAAGCUAUACUGUUUUUAGGUUAAUCUUGAGUGACCCAGAUAGAUGAAAACUUUUGGCCGAAGUGAGCCUUUUGAUGUGUUCUAAAGAUGCUGGGAAAAGGGAAAAAUUAAUCUAAGAAUUUUAUAAGGGAGCGCCACGGUAACCUUAUAAAAAGGAAUCAGGUUCAAGUUUAUAUGUCAUAGGUGGUGAAAAUUUAAAUGUGAAAAAAAAAAGAAAAAAAAGAAAAGAAAAGGGAUUUAUACAUGAUUCUUAAGAAAGAUUUAUAGAAAACUAAGAAGAGUACUGAGUAGGAUUAAAGUUAUUCAAAGUUAAAAGUUUGAAAAAAACAGUCAUUUAUAACANNNNNNNNNNNNNNNNNNNNNNNNNNNNNNNNNNNNNNNNNNNNNNNNNNNNNNNNNNNNNNNNNNNNNCCUGCAGUCUUAAAAGAGAAUACUUGGUUGCCAUUGUUCAUUAGGCGUCACUUUUUCAUCUUGCCGAUUUUAUUUGUUUAUUUAUCUUUUAUACAAUGGAUUGUUUUACAGUCGGAUUCUUUCCCCAUUUUUACACGCAAUCACCAUUCCCCCUUCCAUUCCGUCUGGCUCCAUUUUCCACUACUGCACCACCAUACCCAGAAUCCGCCACUCGUUACCAUAAUCAUCGUUUUGUAGGGCAAAGCUCUAACUUUAAAUUUAAAAAAAUCUUAUCUUUCUUGCAUCUUCUUGACCUGAGUUUAAGCUCGCAGAAGAGGGCAAAACCUUACCUUCUUCUCACUUGAUUUAUUGUGGAGCUAGAUAGUUUGCUCUGGUAUCAUGGCUUUCUUAGUUGAGAUCUCGGAAGAAAAGCACCAAUUUUCGCCAAAGGUGUUCUCCGGUCGACGACUUUCAGCCAAAUGUGGCUGUCCUAUUCCUCGAAAACUACACUCUCCCUUCAAAAUCAGGUGCUUCUUUGGAAUUCCGUUAAUUCGAUGAUUUUCUUAAACAAUUUGAAGAUAAUUUUGCAGUAACCGAUUUUGUUUCGAUUACAAAUUUGAUGUGUGUUUGUGGUGGGUUCAACGAUAGAGGAUGUUUUCAAAUCUGUUGAAAGUUUUACUCAAUUUAAGGAGUUCAGGAGUGUGGCUUGUGGCGUUCUUGCUGUUUGGGUUUUGACUGCUGCCUCGCCUAUAAAUGCAGCUGAUCAAAUCAAAAUUUAAGAGCCUUUUCUUAGUUAAGUUUUGCAAUUAAGUUUUGCAUUUUUAUUGUGAUUUACCAUUGAUAGAAAAAUGCUUGGGAAUAAAAUUAAUACUUGAGGUAAUUUCUUGUCAUUACUGACCAUUAAUAUUGAAAUUCUUGUUUCACAAAUGAUCUAGCUACAACGACAAACAUUUAAAUGUGUAUUAGGAUUUAUUUUUGUUUGAGAGUUAAUCUAUUGCGACUCUCUUCCUGUAUCCUUAACGUUGUUCUGGGACGAUUUAUGUAAAAUAUGGGCUGAGUUUCUGAAAUGAUAUGCCAUUUGAGAUAAGAAGUGGUGGAAUUAAUUGAAAUGUGUAGGAGUUUGAUUUGCAGAGGCUACCGCCUGUCAAGAGAUAUGAUGGAAGCAGAGUAAUGUUGAGAAGCACCUCCUUCGGAAAAGUUUCACAGAUUAGUAGAUGCCUGGCAUUCCCUAGAAUUACAAUGGUAGUUGCAAUUAUUAAUAAGGACUUCUUGUUUCCACCUGCUUCCGUAUCCUUUUACUCUUUAUGAAAAAUGUAAAAAUUGGCACUUUGAUUCAUCUCAUUUAUAGAUUCAUAUGCUUUAGGUAGAGGGCAUUUUUCUGGUGUUCUUCCAAUCACAACUGCCAAGGUGCCUAUUCUGAAAGUCGAUGAUUGCGGAACUGGUGUUGAAUAUGAUAUAUUAGUUGAAAAUGGGGAUCGAAUCUUGAAAUCCUAGAUGAUUAUUUUGAGAGGUUUAAAAAGCUAAGCUUCUUAGUAUCUUAUGCAUCUAUAUAUUUUGUCAUUCAACUUUUCAGCUUCAUUUGUCCAGGUUCUAUUUCAUCCUCCUUAUGCAUCUAUAUAUUUUGUCAUUCAACUUUUCAGCUUCAUUUGUCCAGGUUCUAUUUCAUCCUCCUUAUGCAUCUAUAUAUUUUGUCAUUCAACUUUUCAGCUUCAUUUGUCCAGGUUCUAUUUCAUCCUCCUUAUGCAUCUAUAUAUUUUGUCAUUCAACUUUUCAGCUUCAUUUGUCCAGGUUCUAUUUCAUCCUCUUAGUCCAACAUAGAAUUGUUUGAUGGUGCUUUUAUCUUUUGAUUAAUUUGAAGCAUUUGAUCAUUCUGUUUACAAUAAGUUUAAUAAUUCUAUUUCGAAUAUAAUGUUCCGAUUGAAAUGUUUGCAGUGCACUUAUUAUUUAAUAUCUUUUGCAUUUGGUUAUAAGCAUUUAGAUUCUGUGUUAUAAGUCAUCACCUUAUGAUUCUUGCUUAAUCUACAAGACUGACCUAUUGUUGUGGCAAAUCCAACCAAAGGUAAUGGGCAUGCCCUUGUACAAUGCUCAAGUUUCUCAGCUGGUACAUUCAAAAGUGAGCUGCCAUUCUUGGGAGCAUAGGUUACACAAUAAUUUGGAAAAUGGAGAGAGCCAAUUUCGUCCAUGGGAUAUUGCAGUAUUCAUUAGUUGGCUUUGAGAAAUAUUCAAUUACUUAUAAAUGUUCGUUGGAAUUUAGAUGAAGAGAAAAAUUGGAACACAAUGAUCCAAGACUAUCUUUGGGAAAAAGUAUCAAGUUUGCAUGAUAUGCUAUCCACUCCAGUGUGGUUUCUAAUUGUAGAGUUCGUAAAACUAAAAGUAAUUUACCAUACAGGAGUAGAUCAUUUGUGUUGCAUUUAAGCUUAUUUUCACUCUAUAGGAGAAAUAGUCUUACAAGAUCAUAAGAGAGUUGAAAUAAGAUUAGGUAUAGCCAUAGAUGUAUAAUUACAUUAUAAAACUUACUAAGAGACUCCACAAAAUGCUUCGAAAUAACCAGCUUGUUGCCAUUAAGCGCCUCUCAGAGUAGUCAUGGCCCAACCAUCUACUAUAUGUCAAAUUCAUUUCCCAAAUUUAGAUAUUAUUUUGUGAUUUCUAGCAUACUGUAAUAUGCAUUUAUAAUAGGAUUUUGCUAUUCAUCCAAGGUGACAUGGGCCCUAGCCGAACAUGCGUCCCUCUAUUGGCUUUGUGCCUACCCCUACAAAUGCCCGUGGAGUGACAAACCCUUUAUAAUAUCAAAAAACAGUCAUUAUAUUUAUCCCUCUUCUUUUCGUUGGCUAAACCCCCAAAUUGUUGCAUCACCCUUGAAUAAAUGUAUAGACAGCAUGACAACUAUAUCUAGGUUUGAAACUUCUGUGUGCCAAACACUUUUAUAUGAUGAAUUUUUCUCAAUAAUAUAUUUAAAAUUUAUGCAUGAUUUCUCUAAUGGAGAUUCGUAUGGAUGAUAAGAAUCAUUGUUCUUAAAAUUAUUGGGCUCGUGUUUAAUUUAAUUGUGUUCGCAGUGAAGUUGCUCAAGUCUUGAGAAGUGGGCUAAUAUGCAAUCUAAUGUAAAAUGAAAAAAUACGUGCUUUAUGACAUUGAUUUGCCACUUCGUUAAGUUGAAUGUUAUUAUGCCAUCUAUCAUCUAAUGGUGAGCAACUUCAUCAUCUAUGAAAUAGGGAGGACCUACUCUGCCUUUAAUCAAGGCUGAUGUGCCACGAUCAGCCUAGAGGGAGACUCUUUUUGAGAAGGAAAGUGUCUUGAAGCAUUUGAUGCAUCUAUCUUUGAUAUCUGAUUAACUUCGUUUGUGACAUAAUUACUAACUCAAAACAUAAUUCAAUGUUCAAAAAAUAUAAACCAUGGAACCCCAAUGUUCAGAGUUUGUAACAUAAUAUGAAAAUGCUUUAAUCAGUCAACAUAAUGAAAUAUCUAAAUAUUGUAAAAUAAUGUCUACUCAACAAAAUUCAUUCUAAAAUUAUAGCAAUAAUCGUGCAACGCACGAUCCCCACUAGUAUAACUACACUAAGAAGAGGGAAUAGAAUGGCAUUGUUCACAAGCCAGAAGCCGUUGGCUGGAUGAUAAGCCAGAUUUUAGCCUAAAGCACGAAGGGAAUUAUUGAGCAGCUCAGUACUACCACGAUAUCCUUUCUUUUGGUUUCUAGACUAGAGUAGGGAGAAAGAAAAUCGAAGGUUUCCUUUCCCAGCCGCUAGUGUCUCUCUUCCCCACUCGUAGAAUUCGAUUUCUCCACCUUCCAGCGCAUCAUCGACACACCUACAUGGGCCCGUAAUAACUUUUUUCUCCAUUCUCUACUGGCUAUUCAUAAAUAUAUUCUUCAGAUGCAUGUUUUUUCACUGUAAAUAUAUAACAAAGAACUUACAAUGCAAUCUAGGAAGAUCUUAGCGCCCCUAGCGACGUCUUGAUGGAUGAUUGAGUUAGCAUAGUUCUUGAUGGUAUGUGUGAGGUUGUUCUCGUUCCCCACCUCCACUGCCUUAUUCACGGCCCAAGUAGCCGCAACAUUUCUUUGCUUCGUAAAUUAUUACUACCAAUAAUUCUUCCUUCUGAUUUUGAAACACAGUCAAAUAAGAAUCUACUUUGCACAUAUAAUAGGGUGUUUCCAAAAAGAAUUUUGCAUUCAAUUGCCGGGACCAUUUUCUUUGGGCUUUUGAAUGGCUUCUGAAAAGAUUUAGUGAAAGUAUGAUUUCAUUGUAUUUAGUGCAAAAUUUGUUCUUGGGAGUGUCGAUUGAUAUGCAAAUGACAAUAUAAUGUUUAGGAGAACCUGAAAAUAUACUUAGCACAUAUGAUGCUUAUAGGAUUAUGAUGUCCUUCAAAUUUUUCUAUCUUGAUUAUGUGCCAAAAGUGCUCCUUUUAUAUUGAUGCGAACCCAUGAGCAUCACACUCACGAACCCACAACUAGAUAGCCACAGAUCCCCAAGAACGUCAAUAAUCACCGGUUUUGGAUUUAAUCCUCAAACAAUGAACUAGGCAACCGUAGAUAUAUUAAAUCUACGACCUCCUAAUCACAAGGCUUGCGAAUCUCACCCGGAAUUUGUGGAUCUGACUCAAUAAUCACGAACCAAACAACUGCCACAAUCACUUGGAUAUGCCGACCUUUUGAUUACAAACAAUUAUUUGAAUUCACAACUAGAUAUGUUUGAAUGCCACAAGAUGCUAGAUCUUGAUAAGUUCGGUAUUUUGAAGCAUCAUGCCUCGAGAGAGAAAAUUCUCCAUUCAAUAUUUCAUAAUUUCAAAGUUCUUGUGUUAUAAUGAAAUGAAAAUUACUAUUUAUACUAAAUCUAGGAAAUAAUGAUAAAACGGAAUUUUAAAGUCCUAAUAAUAUAAAAACUACCAAAAAUAAAGUAUUAUGAGCAAAUUGGGACUCUAGAUUCUGGCCAAACUCGGCUCCUUUCAACAAGCAACUCCAAAUUGUCUUGGUCUCCAUCUCGAAUCAUAUCAGACCCUCUCUCUUCGAAAGGAUUUGCUCUCAAAUCCGUAACUUGAUCGCUCAGAUUAUAGCCCUUAUUUCCGAUCAUGGUAAGAACAUGAAAUGGCCCGUCACCUCUCGGAUGUAAUUUGGACCUCUUUUGUAACCGAAUCCUCCUCUUGCAUGUAUAAACCCAAUCACCCUCAUAAGGAUCAAAGUGUGCUCGCCUUGACUGCUUGAUCUUGCAAGUUUGAAUUGCUUCAAUAGCAAUUCCAUUUGAUGAGUACUCGUGUGUUCCACUUGCUUGACUUGGCCCAAUCACAAGAGGUGAUUUCAUGUUAAAUGGAAGCAAGUUUCUUGGUAUAUCACCCAUGCCCUUCAAUCUAAUGCAUAUAAAUCCAUUCCAGGGCAACUCCUUUACCUCUAUAGGUAUAACAAAUUCAACCUUCGGUAUUACAGAGAUUUUAAAGUGAUGGUGUUGUUGGUUAACUUUUUCCACAAGUUGAUGUUCAAUUCUCGGGUCGGGUGGUAUUCCAAUGGAUUUGAUUUCUGGAAUCGAAUCUCCGGUAACCUGCAAAAUAGAAUUAUUAAAAGUAGGGAGGGAAAUGUUAGUUUUUGAUAAGGCCUCAACUCCACUCUCAUUUUCAUUCAAGCUCACUUCCAUCACUUCUUUCCCUUCCGAAGACUCUAUUCCAUUUUCCACUUGUAGCUCCACUUCCAUUUUGGUCACUUUUCCAUUUUUAUUUUUAAUCUCGACUUCCCUUACACUUUUCCAUGGCCCUUCUCCUUUCUUCUCGUCAUGAAGCUUGGAUAAUUCUAGCUUGAAAUCCAGACAGCUUACCCACUUGAUGUGCUAUCCACAUGCUUCGUCAUACGUGUUUUACCACCCUUCGGAUACUCAACCCCAUAAGAUGAUCUAGGUCCCCCUCUAUACUCCCGUUCACGCCGAUCUCUUCCAUAAUGAUAAUUUGGCGCGCAUUGCUUCCUCAUGAUCGCCCUCAACUCAUCCCAAGUUUCAAUCGGCUUCUCACCAUUCCUUCGCCUAGAUGUCAUCAACUCAUCCCACCAAAUUACAGCAUAAUCCACAAAUUGUCUCACAACUAACCUCAAUUCUCUCUCCGGAAUAAUCAUGACAUCCAAACACUAAUUUAACUUUUUCUUCCUAUGCAAAGUACGCUUCGGGAUCCUUCCUACCCUUAAAUUGCGGGAUUGAAAUUUUGUUAUUUACCAUAUUCCUACCAACACCGUAUCCAACACAAUUUAUAUCAUGUUCUCCAUGCCUAUUGCCUCUAUUUUUCAUUCCCCGCAAAUCAACAUCAACCAGUGCAUCCCCUCUACUACAUUUGUCAUAUGCAUCACAAAUUUUUGUACUAGGCUCCCGUCUCCUCACAUCGAACACAGCAUCACAUUCAUCCCUACAAAUUUUUUUCAAUUUCACAUCCAGUCUGUCUAACUUAGUUCUCAAUCUAUUUUCCAUAUCCACCAACAUUUUCUCAAGUCGCAGCAUCAUCUUUUCAAACAUAUUGAUUGAUUUUCAAUUGGGUUGUGGGUGAGACUCAGGAAUUUUUUUUAAGACUCAAAGAAUUGGAUAGAAACUUUGGAACGAAUUAUAAAAAUUCAAGAAGUGGUCUUGAAUUUUUGACUGACUGGAGUGAACAACUUGGGAUGUUAAUAUGAAUUCAAGAAAGUGGUUAUUGAAUUGGAAUUUGACACAAUAACAAUCUUUUUUUGACGAAAAUAAUAAGAACUUGAAUUUAUUUGUUUGACAUUGUUCUGAUGAAUAGUGAUUGUGAAUAGUAAAAAUUUUUUUUUUGGACUCUUUCAAUAGAAAAUUUAACUACGACUCUGAUGAAACAAGCGAAAGUGGAUUUGGACGCAAAUUGAAUCCAAGAACAACUUUUGAAAUUUUUUUGGAAUUUUUAUGGAUCAAAGACUAUAAAAUUACUGAUUGCAUGAACAACAUAUUUUUUUUUAAAAAAUAAAAAAAUUAUGAAUUCAAGAAAAAAAAAAAAAAAAAAAAAAAAAAAAAAAAAGAAAACUGACUCAACAAAAAAAGGAAAAGAUAUAACCUUCGAUUUUGGAGCCUAAGUUUUGAUACCAACUGAUGCGAACCCGUGAGCAACACACACUCACGAAUCCACAACUAGAUUGCCACAGUUCCCAAAAACGCCAAUAAUAGCUGGUUUUGGAUUUAAUCCCCAAAUAAUGAACUAGGCAAUCUUAGAUAUCUUAAAUCUACGACUUCCUAAUCACAUGGCUUACGAAUCUCACUUGGAAUUUGUGGAUUUGACUCAAUAAUCAUGAACAAAACAACUGCCACAAUCACUUAGAUAUGCUGACUUUUUGAUUACAACAAUUAUUUGAGUUCACACCCAGAUAUGUUUGAACGCCACAAGAUGCUAGAUCUUGAUAAGUUCGGUAUUUUGAAGCAUCACGCCUCGAGAGAGAAAAUUCUCCAUUCAAUAUUUCAUAAUGUCAAAGUUCUCAUGUUAAAAUGGAAUGAAAAUUACUAUUUAUACUAAAUCUAGGAAAUAAUGAUAAAACGGAAUUUUAAAGUCCUAAUAAUAUAAAAACUACCAAAAAUGAAGGAUUAUAAGCAAAUUGGGACUCUAGAUUCUGGCCAAACUCGGCUUCUUCCAACAAGCAGCUCCAAAUUGUCUUGGACUCCGUCCCUAAUCAUAUCAUAUAUAUUGUUGUUAAUGGCAAUGAUUUUUCACACAAAUUGUACUGAAUUUGAGGCUUACCAGAAAAGAAAACAGCUUCCCAAAAUUUGUACUCAAUUCUUCAUAGAUUUUUAGAACUACUUUCAAAUCUGGAAAGAAAGAGGGAAAAGCGAAGCCUUUGGGACCAAUUUCUUUGGGCUUUUGAAUGGCUUCACUAAAAGAUUUAGUGAAAGUAUGAUUUCAUUGUAGUUAGUGCAAAAUUUGUUCUUGGGAGUGUCGAUUGAUAUGCAAAAGACAAUAUAAUGUUUGGGAGAACCUGAAAAUAUACUUAGCACAGAUGAUGCUUAUAGGAAUAUGAUGUCCUUCAUAUUUUUCUGUCUUGAUUAUGUGUCAUAAGUGCUCUUUUUAUAAAUUGUUGUUAAUGGCAAUGUUUUUUCCCACAAAUUGUACUGAAUUUGAAGCUUAGCCAGAAAAGAAAACGUAUUCCCAAAAUUUGUACUCAAUUCUUCAUAGAUUUUUAAAACUUUCAAAUUUGGAAAGAAAGAGGAAAAAGCGAAGCCUUAGGUGAGUAUUAGAAAGAGAAAUGAAAAAGGAUGCUUAUCUUUUUUAGAAGAUUAAAAGUUCCCAUAUGAAAACCCACCGACUUCCAAGCAGCUCUCUUAUUUAAGCUCAAUACAAAGUGGCUUGGCCGACCACAACAUACUCCCUGGCAGCUCAAUUAAUCUGGCUCAAUUCAAAGUGCCUUAGACCACUGUUCGCGAAAUAUUUCUUUCGAUUUAAAUUACCGCAAGUGUACGGGUCGUGACAAGUAAUAAAGUGGACUUUAGAAGUCCGAAUAUCGUCCCACAGAGAAAGAGUAGUUCAAUUUUAUUUAUUUUAGCCUUAACCAAAACUAAUUGAUUCCAGAUGAAUUUUAGAAUUUAAGCCCUAAUUUUGGGAGAAAUCCCUAAAUUGGAAAAUCCUAAUUUCAAAUCAAACCCUAAUUUGAGGGAAAUCCCCAAAUUGAAAAACCCUAAUUUCAAAUCAAACCCUAAUUACUUAAAUUCACUUAACGAAUGACUCAAUUACGAAAUGUUAUAAAAAUAAAUGAAAUGUAUUGUCAAUUUAUGAAAAUCUAUGUAAAACAAAUGCACUAGGAUCACGAAUCCCCACAUAAUUACUAAUUAAACCCUAAUUUCACAAUUUUGAUAAUUCAAUAAGAAUUUGAUAAAUCAAUGCUCCUAAAUCUAUUCAAUACUCUCUCUCGAGAUGUAUUGAACCUAUUCUCAUAAAUCAUCAGCCUAUAUCUCUAUGACGGAUGCAAUUAUACAAGAACGCAUGUAAUCUUUUUGUGAGCAAUUAAAGAUUUACAUAGGGCAUAGGGGUAUAUUUCUAUCCCCUAUCGAACCCUAUGAUGAAUUAUAUAUGUCGAGUUUAAUCUAAUUUUCUCAAAUUCAGAAUUAAACCACCAAAAUUCACACAAAUUAAGUGCACAUUAAUUGUGGAAAUAAAUAAAGCAAUAUAAUCCAUUUAAAUAUCCCAUUGAACUAAUAAUUCAAAAUCAUGAAAUAACAAGUUUAAUAAUAAUUACAUGGUUCAUCGAUCACCUAGUUGUAGAAAUCUAGCCUAUCAUGAUAAAAAUAACGAAAUCUAAUAAGUUGUAAAUAAAAUACAUCAUCGGGUUAUCAAAACUUGAAGAAAUCUUGUAAAUCUUCACAUCAAUUCUUGUUCUUGCCUUCAAAUCCUCUCCAAGAUGAAUGUUUUUGCCUCCCAAUUCGGUCGUGCGGCUUUUGGAUGUUUAUUUGCUAUUUAAACCCGUUCAAAUUAGGUUACCGAAGGAGUUGCAAUCAUAUAAGGAAACUGCAAAAAUCGGGGAAAAAUUAUACCUAUGCGACCGCAUAGGCAUAAGAAAAAUGACGUUUUUGAUCCCUGGAGGGUCACUCGCGACCGCAUAGGUUUUAUACUAUGCGACCGCAUAGUAGAGCUAACUUCUAAUUUGAGUCAUUUUGAUUCUCAAGCUUCAUUUCUUCACUCCUUGACCUCCUCUCUUGUUCCUAGUUGCUCCAAUAUUCCAUUAUAACUUCCAAUUGGUGCUUGGCUUGAUCAAUUGCUUGAUGCGUUCAUCGGGUCAACUUUCAGAUAAUUGCAAUUUGGUCCCUGAAUUUUCAUUUUGCUUCAAUUUGGUCCUUUUUUUGGCUCUUUUCUCCUGAAUUCCACUAUUUUCAUAGAAUUACCUACAUUGCAUGAAUUUGACAAAGUUAAGUAAUAAUUCAAUCAUUUUAAUUGUAUUUAAGUCAUGUUUGUGAUGUAAAUAAGUGUGCAAAAACACACUUAUCAAACCCCCCAAAUUUGAACUAUUGUUUGUCCUCAAACAAGAUAGUGAUAUAAUUCUGAACAAACAUGGCUUAAUACCUUGUCUUGGCUCAGGAUUGGACUAAGUAAUUGAUUUUAUGAAAUUUAUCAGUGCAAAAUGACAUCAACCUUUACCUGUUAAGUGCAUACUUGACGUGUGUGUGUGGAUUCAUGCUAACAUAUCAAGUUCAUGAUGAGUUUGAGUCCCGACAUCUAAGUGGUCAAAUAUCUCCUUACUUGCUCGAGAAAUACACAACCCCCCAAACUUAUUCUUUUUACUCAAUUAUCUCGGAGUUGUGUUUAAAAAUUAUGAGUUUACCUAGCUAUAGUUCUCACCCUCUUGUAGUUUGGAUUAAUUUCACUAUCACAAGUUCACAUGUCAACAAAUGGAGGCUCUCCUAGUUUUGAUUGCUUCGACACUCUAGAUUAAACUCGGUUACUUGCCUCGCCUCAAAGGUAUAGUUUCUUCCACCAAUUGUCCAAGGGCUUUUCUUCUUGUUAUUGUCUCUUUUUGUUUUUCUCACUUUUCUCUGGUUUUCUGAUUUUUUUUUAUCAUCUUCUCAUUUGCUUUCUAUAAACCCAUAUGACGAGUUUUAGGCCGGUGACUCCCAAACCAGUUGAUUUUAGGGCACCAGGUUUUUAAACUCUUGCAGGCUUAUUCACCUGAAUUAUAAAGGCUCGAUCAGAUGACACUUUUAUUAACCUCUUUACCUCUUGCUUUCUAUAUGACCCAUGCAUCGAGCUUUAGGCCGGUGACUCCCAGAUCAGUUGACCUUAGGGCACCAGAUUUUGAAAUAUCUUUACAGGCUUAUUUGCUCGAGUCAUAAAGGUUGAAAAAGAAGUGUCUUAUUCUCACAAAUUAAGUUUAUGCCCUUAUUUUUCUAGACAUCUGAUAUCCAAAACCAACCCUCAAUUUAAGAUUUUCACGUACUCUUCAUCCCACUGGUCUAGGCAAUCUACACAAUAAUUCAUGCAUGGAGCCUCACUUAGCUCAAUGUUCUCCUAUAAUAGCUCAACUAUCACCAAACUGUCUUAAGCUAGUUUACGGGUUAAUUCAAUAGAGGAUUAUAAUUAUUUUCUACUUUAUGCUCAAAACUCCAAUCACUUACCUAACAUGUAAAACAUGAAUGACGUACGUGCAUAUAGAAUGUCAAGUAUUAUAUCAACAAGUAUUAGUUGGCCUAAUUAACACCGACUCCAAAGUUUUGAAAUAUACCAAUCCAAUAGUAACAUCAUAGCCGGCAAGGCGAUUAGGCUCACACAAGCAUACAUAAGCAUAAUCAAUAUUCACUCACAAGCAUGCCUUAUGCAACAAUUAGUCAAAUUAAAUCUGGAUUGUGGAAAUGCAAUUAAUUACAUGCCGAAUGUCUUUUUCAAAUUAUGCCACCAUCCCUCAAACUUAUAAAAGACAUUGUCCUCAAUGCGAAAAUUAAGUUUAGAUGGUAGAAUUUAAGGAAAAUGAAUACAACUGAGGCAAACGAUACUCCCCUGAUCAAUACGGGGGCUGCGAUGGGAAGCUAGAUCCUGCAGUAUCAUCAGCUGGAGGUGGAGGUAGGCGCGCCAAGAUCUCUCUCAUCAGUGCUGACUGCUGUGUCAUUUCAUCAUGGAUUCCCUCAACACGUGUCUCCAAACGGCCCAGACGCUCCCAAGUUUCAUUUACCCUCAUCUGGAUACCAUCCACCCUGCCCACAUACACACUGAGUCGAUUGUUCAUAGUGUCCAUCUCCCUCCUAGCUGCCUGGGCAUCCUGGCGAGCAGCACGUGACAUAUCAGUGGAAAUGCGGAUGUCAUGGUGGGCUGUAUACAUCUCAGUCGUCAAAGUCCCCAUAGCCUGCUGGAGACUCUGUACGUCUCGGCUGGUCCCCGUGGUGGUGGUGAAAAUCUGGCGCCACAGCUGUGUAUUUAACUCAGCCUGUGGUGGAGGAGCUUGAGGCAUCUCUUGCUCUGCUUGCACGUGACCUUGCUCUUCCUGCUGUCUGCGUCUUUCAAUUUCUUGCUUUUCACAGUCAUUUAUCCUGGCUCUGUCUUGAGCCUUCAAUGUACUGCGCUUUAUGGUGGGGCUGGGUUUGGCAACCACUUCCCUGGAUACAAUGUUUAUACCAGUAGCUAUGCAAAUUCCGGAGAUGAGGCUUGGAAAGAUCAUUGAGCUGUGCCUAUCUCCCAAGGUACCCACAUGAUGUAUCUAAUUAUAGCAACGAGCGGCAAGAUCAACCUUAUUACCUCGCACCAAGUGAUAAAGGAAUCUAACUGUGGGAUCUGUGAAUGUGGUCUUGUGAGAGGUCAGCUCAAUGUUGUUGCACAUAAACAGCUACAGGAUGGCUAUAGAUGGUGUCAGCUCAAUCUGGUGCCACUCGGUGGUGGGGAAUGGCCAUGCAUUUUGUCGCCCCAAUAAGAUCUCCGCCACUUCAUGCCAAUUGAAGUCACUUGGUAUAGGGGUUAUGUUUUUCCACGUGAGCUGGUAGUAGUCUUGAAUAACCUCGGGUGAGAAUGUGAUCCAUUUUCCCUUGACCCAAGUCUGAUGCAGGUGGUCGGACCCUGGUGUGUCAAUUUCUGUAUUGAAGUUGGCGUAAAAUUCCCCUACCAACAAUUCAUAACUCCGAUGUGGCUGCUCCACUAUUUUAUCCCAUUCACAGUUAUGCACCAAAGUGGUCAGCUCGAAAUCAUGAAAGUCUUCCAAUUUAACAGCCCGCUCUGGUGUCAUUGUCCAUCGACUCACUAUGUUUUCAUAUCUGGCUGCUGCCUCGGAAGUCAAGAAUCAUUGUAUCCCUCCUUCAGGCACUCGAGUGCGUGCUGUGCCGGAUGACGAGCCAACCUUCUCCUUUCCUUUUGAAGUUCAUUUUGGUGGCAUCCUGCAAAGUUGGAAAAUAACUAGCAUUAGACAUCUUGUUGUACAGCGAGAAAUCGCAUGAAAUGAAAAGCACGUAAAUCACAAAUCCCCCAAACUUGUUUCAACAAGCAUGUAUACUACCACGGUGUGUAAUGGACAAUGUAUGAUGAUUAGAGUAGUAUAAAUGUAUAGUCCAUAUGAAAACAUAAGAAAAUUUGGGUGAAUAUGCUCAUAGUGAAAGGGUUGGAGUCAUGAUUGAGUGUACACCUUCGGCCUCGGGCACCAUUGAGAAUUAUCAAGAUUGUUCCAGGCAACCUCCGGGCAUAUGGAAAUAUGCAAUGAGGUCUAGCACAUACCCAAAUUUCAGCUCAAUCGGAGUUCGUUUGGUGUGUCAAAUAGUAGUGUAAAAUAAGGGACGGAGGGUGCUGUGGGCAUGCAAUGACUUAGCUAUAUUGUGUGUGUUGAUGUUGUCUAAGUCAAAUUGGUUGGUAAUACGUCACAACGAGUUAUUCUAUUCAUCUAAUAGUCAUAUGCCAUGCUAGAUGUUCAUAAUUGUAUUAGAUUACUAAAAUGAGCAUUUUAUCGGACAUGUUGUGGGUAUUAUAAAACCUUCAUAUGUUUGCCAAAACUUUACUAUGUCACAUGGUUCCCCAUUCAAAAAUCAAUCACCAAUCUCAUUCACAUUCAUCAAUCAAAUGAAUUUAAUGCAACAUGUACCAAAUUACCCAAAAAUUAUCAAUGUGGCAAUUUAUCAAACACCUAGCAUGCAUUCUUUAGAAAUCCAUAUAAAACCCAAUAACUCAAAAUUCGAAUUACCCCGUAACACAAUUGAAGUGCAAAUAAUUCACUCCAUCCACCAUCAACACCCCAAAAUGCAGAAAAUCAAUUCGAAAAUGACUUAAACAAACGAGCACAAUGGAGGAGAUAGUCAAAAGUAAUACCUUCAAGAUGAUGUGCAACUCUAACCUCGAGAUCCUUGUGUAGUGUAGGUGAAUGAAAUGUAAUCAAGUGUAGAAAUCGGAUCUAAGAAGAAUUUGGGCGAGAGAGGAUUUGGGAAGAAAUUGAUUUGAAAAUAAAAGAAGUGAUUCGGGCGCUAUGCGGCCGCAUAGUUAAAAUCUAUGCGGUCGCAUAGGUGUAAUGUUUUUUUGAUUUUUGGUUUCGGUAGGUGUUUAUGCGGUCGUAUAGACAUUUUUUUUAAAGAAAUACAAUAAAAUAAAUAAUAAAAAAAUGCCAUUUUUGUCUAAAUUUUUUUUUAAAGGACCCAGCUUUUAACGUCCUCAAUUUUUCAAAGACAUACUUUUAAAACAUUGACAUGUGAAAUUUUGAAAACACAAUUUGCCUCGAAAUGCGUGAAUUUCACAUUGAACUACCCAAAAAACUCAAAUCAACCCGAACUCGUGUGUGAUACUUAAGGACUCGUGUGAACAGUGCUUGGACUCUUUUAACAUGUCUAGAUGAUCGAUGACCACAUAACAGAAUACUAAAUGAAUUUGAAAAUAAACUUCCUAAUCUAAUGCAGAAAACAUAAUAAAGUAAAUAAACAGAUAAAAAGGAUACAGUGGGUUGCCUCCCACCCAGCGCUAAGUUAUAGUCGAUAGCUCGACUUUUCUGCGGCUGCUUCAUUCUGGCAUCUCGAGUUGAACGGUUGGCUUUUGGUUAGAGAAGUCACCGCCCCAGUAGUGUUUCAACCUUUGCUCAUUAACAGUGAAGGUACCUUAUUCUCAUUGCUCACUUGUAUAGCCUCAUAUGGUAGAACUUUUGUAACUGUGUAGGGACUCGACCACCAUGAUCGUAGUUUUCCUGGGAAUAGCUUGAGUCUCGAGUUAUACAGUAGUACUUGCUGCCCCACUUCGAAUACUCGCCUCUGAAUGUGCAUAUCGUGCCACUUCUUGGUUCGCUCCUUGUAUAGUUUUGCAUUUUCAUAAGCUUCCAUUCUAAAUUCAAGCAAUUCAUUCAGUUGCAGUAGACGCUUUUCACCGGUGGCAUUCAAGUCCAUAUUUAACUGUUUCAUAGCCCAAUAUGCCCGGUGCUCCAUUUCUAAUGGCAGAUGACAUGCUUUCCCAAAGACUAGGCGGUAUGGAGACAUGCCGAUCGGGGUCUUGAAUGCUGUUCUGUAAGCCCAUAAUGCAUCGUCCAGCUUUUUAGACCAAUCCUUUCUAGAUGAAUUCACAGUGACUUCUAGUAUUCUCUUCAGUUGCCGAUUAGAUACUUCAACUUGCCCGCUGGUUUGUGGAUGAUAUGGAGUAGCAACGCGGUGUUUAACGCCAUAUUUGUUCAACAGCUGCUCAAACUGGCGAUUACAGAAAUGCUUGCCCCCAUCGCUGAUUAUAACCCGCGGUGUACCAUAUCGGGUGAAAAUAUAUUUCUUCAAGAAUCCAAUUACUGUCUUUGAGUCAUUUGUUGGCAAUGCAACUGCUUCCACAUAUUUUGAGACGUAAUCCACUGCCACCAAGAUAUACUGGUUUGAGAACGAAGGGGGGAAAUGUCCCAUGAAAUCAAUUCCUCAAAUAUCAAAUAUCUCCACUUCCAAAAUAUUGUUCAGUGGCAUUUCAUUUCUCCUCGAGAUAUUCCCAGUGCGUUGACAUCUGUCACACCUCUUAACAAACUCAAAUGUGUCCUUCGCACCUCCUCACUAUCUGAUCAGCUCCUCGUCUAUAGAGAAUUGGAUCCUCCCAGAAAUAGUAUUUUAACUCGGCGAAGAAUUUUUUUCUUUGGUGACUGGAGCAGUCAGGCGGUGGAAUGGAAUUGGCCAAGUAAUUGACAAUAUCUGCGUACCAAUGUGCUUCAUCCACUCUCAACAUCUGUUCAUCCGGGAAGAUCUCAUUUAUAUUCACUAAAUGUUCCGUCUUCCCAGAUUCUAGUCUGGAUAGGUGAUCUGCUACUACAUUCUCGGUGCCCUUUUUGUCGCGUAUCUCAAUGUCAAAUUCUUGCAACAACAGCACCCAACGAAUUAAUCUUGGCUUUGCAUCCUUCUUUGUGAGCAGAUAUUUCAAUGCCGCAUGAUCAGUAUAGACGAUGAUUUUAGACCCGACGAGGUAUGACCUGAAUUUGUCAAAUGCAAAUACCACAGCCAGUAGCUCCUUUUCAGUGGUUGCAUAAUUUAUUUGUGCAUCAUUUAGAGUUCUGAUUGCAUAGUAGAUCACAUGAAAAAUCUUGUUCCUCCGCUAUCCCAAUACUGCACCUAUAGCGUGAUCACUUGCAUCACACAUCAAUUCAAAAGGUGAUUCCCAGUCUGGUGCUACAAUCACUGGUGCUGUCGUAAGCUUUUCCUUUAAAGUGUUGAAGGCUGUGAGACAAUCCUCAUUGAACUCAAAGGUUGCAUCUUUCAUUAGCAAAUUGCACAAAGGUUUAGUGAUCUUCGAGAAAUCUUUUAUAAACCUCCGAUAAAACCCAGCGUGCCCCAAAAAACUGCUAACUCCUUUAACUGAUGUAGGCGGUGGUAAUUUUUCAAUCACUUGAAUUUUUGCCUUGUCUACCUCAAUUUCUUUUGCCGAUAUCCUAUGCCCAAGUACAAUGCCUUCCUGCACCAUAAAGUGACAUUUUUCCCAAUUUAAAAUCAGGUUAGUCUCCUUGCAUCUCUGUAAGACCAAAUUCAAGUGGUUUAGACAUUCAUCAAAUGAAGAUCCAAAUACUGAGAAGUCGUCCAUGAAAACCUCAAUAAACCUUUCAAUCAUAUCAGAGAAUAUUCCAUCAUGCACCUCUAAAAUGUGGCUGAAGCAUUGCAAAGACCAAAAGGCAUCCUACGAUAAGCAAAAGUACCGUAGGGGCAAGUGAAAGUGGUCUUCUCCUGAUCCUCUGGUGCGACAGAUAUCUGAUUAUAGCCCGAGUAUCCAUCAAGAAAGCAGCAGUGUGAAUGUCUAGCCAACCUCUCCAAUAUCUGAUCAAUAAAUGGGAGUGGGAAGUGAUCUUUUCGUGUAGCUGCAUUGAGUUUGCGAUAUUCAAUGCAAACUCUCCAACCCGUAACUGUUCUGGUGGGAAUUAGUUCAUUCUUCUCAUUUUUCACCACUGUGAUUCCCCUUUUUUCGGUACCACUUGAACAGGGCUGAUCCAUGCACUAUCUGAAAUUGGGUAGAUAAUUCCUGCAUCCAAUAACUUCAGUAUCUUUGUCCUGACUACUUCCUUCAUGUUUGGGUUCAAUCUUCUCUGACUUUCUAUGCUAGGCUUGCAAUUUUCCUUCAUUAAAAUUUUAUGCAUACACAUGGAAGGACUGAUUCCUUUAAUGUCAGCUAUUGUCCAACCAAUCGCCGUCUUGUUCUCUCUAAGUACCCUGAGCAGUUUUUCCUCCUCCAUCUCACUGACUAUGUUCGAAAUGAUUACUGGAAGUGUAUUUGAUUCUCCUAAAUAAGCGUAUCUGAGAUGUGGUGGUAGUUGUUUGAGUUCUAAAACUGGCGGCUGCUGAACUGAAUGUAGUGGCUUUGUGUUUCCCAUCCCCAGUUCCUUAAAGUGCCUCUUUCGUGUGUAUGGUGGGUUGGUCUCCAAAAAUCUUGCACAUGUUUCAACUUCAAACGACUCUGACUGGAUUGAUUGGGAUUGUGCAAUACAUGCCUCAUAGGCAUCAGAUGGACUGUGUAGUAAGAAUGUUUCUUGUGCUGCCUUGUCAAUAAUGUUGACUUGAUAACAGCUGUCAGAUUCUGCUGGUAAUUUCAUUGCCUUGAAUACAUUGAAUGAUAUCUACUCCUCUCCCAACCUUAAAAUCAACUUACCUCUUUGAACAUCAAUUAAUGCUCUCCCUGUUGCCAGAAAUGGUCUGCCAAGUAUCAAUGGAACGUCCUUGUCCUCUUCCUUGUCCAGGAUAAGAAAGUCCGCUGGGAAUAUGAACUUCUCAACCUUGAUAAGCACAUCUUCAAUUAUUCCUCCGGGAUGUCUCAAUGACCUGUCAGCCAGCUGAAGUGUCACAGUGGUUGCUUUUGCUUCUUCCAAUCCUAGUUUCCUGAAAACAGACAAAGGCAUUAAAUUAAUACUUGCACCGAGAUCACAUAACGCUUUAUCAAAAUAUACUUCACCGAUUGUGCAAGGAACAGUAAAACUCCCUGGAUCUUUUAGUUUUGGUGGAAGUUUAUUCUGAAUUCUGGCACUACAUUCCUCAGUAAGCAUGACUGUCUCAUGAUCUUCCAGCUUGCGUUUAUUUGAUAUGAUAUCCUUUAGAAAUUUCGCGUAGCUAGGCAUCUAGAACAGUGCAUCAGCUAGUGGGAUGUUGAUAUGGAGCUUUUUGAAGAUUUCUAGAAAUUUUUUGUAUUGUUGCUCCACUUUUUGCUUCUUCAAGCACUGUGGAAAGGGAAUCGGAGGUUCGUAGGGGUUGACUGUGACUUUGGCCUUAUCUUGUGAUUCUUCUAAAUUUUUCUUUGAACUUGAUUCCUUUACAACAGUCUCUUCUUCAACGGAGGAAGAUGUUUCUCCAAUCACUCCUGGUCUCUUGACAUGGAUUUCAGGUAAUUGAACUCCACUUCGAGUUGUAAUGGCCUUGGCUUGCUCUUUAGGAUUGAUUUCUGUAUUACUUGGUAAGUUACCUGGUGUUCUGCCAGUCAAUGCGAUGGCUAGCUGCCCCAUCCGAGUUUCCAAAUUUUUGAUGGCUGCAUUUUGAUUUUGAAAUGUAGUUUCAGCCUUCUCCAUGAACUUUCCUAUCAUAUCUUCCAAUUGAGGCCUCUUCUCCUGUUGUUGAAAUUGCCCAUGCGGCUUAUUCUGAUUCUGGUUGCUCCACGAGAAGUUGGGAUGUUUCUUUCAGCUGGGAUUGAAAGUCUCACCAUAUUGAUUAUGCUGCUGGCGUUGUCCCCAUUGUGCGUAAUCUGCUUGCUCAAUUCCUUGCAUGAGUAUAGGACAAUCUGAUGUUUUGUGCUCGGCUCCACAUUCCUCACAAUUGCUCUUCUUAGCUUGUGAUAUGCUUUCCACCUUGUGAUACAGAGAAUCAAUUUUUGCAGAAAUUGUUGAAUAAGCGUUCACCUCAUAGACACCUAGAGUUUUCUUUGGAGUCGCUCUCUCAGAAGACCACAUGGCUGAUGUGGUAGCCAUUCGCUCAAAUAAUUCCAAUGCCCCGUCAACUGUUCUUGUGGAUAUUGAGCCAUCUGAUGCUGGAUCUACCAUGCUCUUAUGGUAUGGAAGUAAUCCUGUGUAGAAGAAUCGAAUCUGAGUCUUUUUAUCGAACCCAUGCUGAGGGCACUUCCGGAGCAUGUUUUUAAAUCUGUUCCAGGCUUCAUCAAAUGAUUCAGUCUCUCCUUAAUUGCAUACUGAUAUAUCAUGUUUCAGCUUUGCUAUCUUGGCUGGGGAGAAGAACUUUGUGCAGAACUUGUGUGCCAGCUCAUUCCAUGUAGUGAUACUUGCAACCGGGAGUGAAUCCAACCAUUCAAGUGCUCUGUCUCGUAGCGUAUGUGGAAAAAGCCUCAACCUAAUGGCGUUAUCCGAAAUCCCUUGGUAUCUGAAAUGUUGACACAUAUUCAGAAAUCGAGAGACGUGUGUGUGGGUUCUCCUCAGCCUUGCCAUAAAAUUGGUGUCCAUUUUGAAACAGCUGUAUCACAUUAGUCUUCAACUGAAAAUUAGGUUGCCCAAACGGUGGAUACACUAUGCUGGUCUGGCUUUGAAUCACUUGAGGAGUCAAGAAAUCCCCCAGAAUCUCAUUCCCUUCGUCCAUUGCCUCUCCUUCGUUAGCAUGAAUCAUGGGAUUGUUUAAUUCGUUGGUGAUUUGUACUUGUGCUUCGCAGUGAUUUCUUUGUCAUCGGUGAAAGGUGCUCUCAAUUUCAAGAUCAUCUGGAAUCAAUUUUCCUCCAGGCAAUCAUGACAUGCAAAUCUGAGAAUUAAAACCAGUACGAGCGUUGAGAUUCAAACAAUUUAAUUAACUAAAACACAAAUAGAGGAUAAUAAACUAAAAUAAAAAUAAGAACAAAAGUAUGCUAGUAAAAUAAAUAAAAAAUUAAGUUCGAAUUAGUGCCUCAAGAAAUAAAAUUAAACUAAACUCAAUCCCCGGCAACGACGCCAAAAACUUGUUCGCGAAAUAUUUUUUUCGAUUUAAAUUACCGUAAGUGUACGGGUCGUGACAAGUAAUAAAGUGGACUUUAGAAGUCCGAAUAUCGUCCCACAGAGAAAGAGUAGUUCAAUUUUAUUUAUUUUAGCCUUAACCAAAACUAAUUGACUCCAGAUGAAUUUUAGAAUUUAAGCCCUAAUUUUGGGAGAAAUCCCUAAAUUGAAAAAUCCUAAUUUCAAAUCAAACCCUAAUUUGGGGGAAAUCCCCAAAUUGAAAAACCCUAAUUUCAAAUCAAACCUAAUUACUUAAAUUCACUUAACGAAUGACUCAAUUACGAAAUGUUAUAAAAAUAAAUGAAAUGUAUUGUCAAUUUAUGAAAAUCUAUGUAAAACAAAUGCACUAGGAUCACGAAUCCCCACAUAAUUACUAAUUAAACCCUAAUUUCACAAUUUUGAUAAUUCAAUAAGAAUUUGACAAAUCAAUGCUCCUAAAUCUAUUCAAUGCUCUCUCUCGAGAUGUAUUGAACCUAUUCUCAUAAAUCAUCAGCCUAUAUCUCUAUGACGGAUGCAAUUAUACAAGAACGCAUGUAAUCUUUUUGUGAGCAAUUAAAGAUUUAUAUAGGGUAUAGGGGUAUAUUUCUAUCCCCUAUCGAACCCUAUGAUGAAUUAUAUAUGUCGAGUUUAAUCUAAUUUUCUCAAAUUCAGAAUUAAACCACCAAGUUCACACAAAUUAAGUGCACAUUAAUUGUGGAAAUAAAUAAAGCAAUAUAAUCCAUUUAAAUAUCCCAUUGAACUAAUAAUUCAAAAUCAUGAAAUAACAAGUUUAAUAAUAAUUACAUGGUUCAUCGAUCACCUAGUUGUAGAAAUCUAGCCUAUCAUGAUAAAAAUAACGAAAUCUAAUAAGUUGUGAAUAAAAUACAUCACCGGGUUGUCAAAACUUGAAGAAAUCUUGUAAAUCUUCGCAUCAAUCCUUGUUCUUGCCUUCAAAUCCUCUCCAAGAUGAAUGUUUUUGCCUCCCAAUUCGGUCGUGCGGCUUUUGGAUGUUUAUUUGCUAUUUAAACCCGUUCAAAUUAGGUUACCAAAGGAGUUGCAAUCAUAUAAGGAAACUGCAAAAAUCGGAGAAAAAUUAUACCUAUGCGACCGCAUAGGCAUAAGAAAAAUGACGUUUUUGAUCCCUGGAGGGUCACUCGCGACCGCAUAGGUUUUAUACUAUGCGACCGCAUAGUAGAGCUAACUUCUAAUUUGAGUCAUUUUGAUCCUCAAGUUUCAUUUUUUCACUCCUUGACCUCCUCUCUUGUUCCUAGUUGCUCCAAUAUUCCAUUAUAACUUCCAAUUGGUGCUUGGCUUGAUCAAUUGCUUGAUGCGUUCCUCGGGUCAACUUUCAGAUAAUUGCAAUUUGGUCCCUGAAUUUUCAUUUUGCUCCAAUUUGGUCCUUUUUCGGCUCUUUUCUCCUGAAUUUCACCAUUUUCAUAGAAUUACCUACAUUGCAUGAAUUUGACAAAGUUAAGUAACAAUUCAAUCAUUUUACUUGUAUUUAAGUCAUGUUUGUAAUGUAAAUAAGUGUGCAAAAACACACCUAUCAACCACAAAUUUUGGAGAGUUUGCAUUUUCAUUUCUCUCUCUCUCUCUCUCUCUCUUAAAUUAAUCUUUGAGGAGCAUGUUUACUUAGAAAGUGUUCUUAUCAGAUGAAGAAAUUGGGAAUUUUCUUUAUACACGUCAGAUAAAUUUUGUGUAUAGAAAUUAAUCAACUUCAAGUAUGUGUGACUGUGUAAUUAUGAAUGGUGGAUCUCAUUAUCUAUUUUAUUUGACCAAAAUAUUUAUGCACAAACAUGUUUUUCCAAUAAAUGAAGGCGUGUGUAAAAGCUAUUAAUUCUAAAGAAAUCUUUUGGAUGCUAUUGCUCUUAUUUAUGAAUUUUGAGGUGAAACUUUGUCUUCCUUUGAGAUUUAUUUCUUUUUUUCUUGAUGUAUGUUGAUUUUGAGCAACUAAAUUGAGCAUCUAAGAUAUUUUUCGAUGAUUAUAUAUAUGUGAAUUUGAAGUUUAUUUGAAUACUACUAAAGACUAAAUAUCUCUUCAACCCACAAUGCAAACAUAAAACAUCAACAAAUAGCCCAUCGCUUGGAAGAAUGUUUAUUUGAUUGCCAGCAAACAAAAAGCAAGAGCAGGAGUAGUGACUUGAGAAUUUCAAAUAUGCAUUGUGGUUCCUUUUUGCAUGCUUAUGUCCACAGUCCGCCAUAUCUAACUUCCUACAACUCCAUUUGUUGUACUGGCUUUUGUUUAUUGUACUUCUAAGCAUGUUAAACAUAUGUAUUCAAGUACGAUAUGAAACAACUCUAAUUUUUGCUUAGGAUUACCAUUAGCAAUGAAAAUACGUGUGAACACAAUUUAUAUAAUCCAAUAUAAUCUUCAUGCACUUUCUUAUUCACGUGAUAUCACACACAACUCUAGGGUGUGUUUGCUAGAAUACUUUCAUUUUUCAUUUUGUAUUUGUCUUGCGUUAUAAAGAGAAUUUGAAAAAAGAAUAGUUUUAAGGGAAAAUGUUGUUAUUUAUGGUGAGGGAAGCAAUAUUUAUAUUAUGUGAUAAUUUGUUAUUCGAGCCAGUAGUUAUCUUAUGAUGAUUUGUUAUUUAUAGUGAGUGAAUGCAAUAAUUAUCUUACGUGAUGAUUUGUUAUUCGAGCCGAUAUUUAUACUUUAUUAAAAUUUAUAUUAAAAUCCCGAUGAUUUGUUAUUUGAGGCAUUAAGUGCACGUGUUUUUCUUAUUUACUUAAAUAGUUUUAAGUAAAAUUAUAUCAUUAGGAUUUUAAUAUACAUUUUAAUAAAAUAAAUUAUUCUUUCAUCACAAAUAUAAACCUUUUUUUUCUUUUUCUAAUAAUUGCAAGUUUUUUGCCCCCAUGAUACCACUAGUAAAUGAAUUCAUCAAUUUGUUUAAUCUUAUUUUAUGGGAUUUGUUUUUGAUGGAAAAUUUUAUUGGAUUGACCAUAUUUUUCUUUCCAAUCAUGCUAUAUAGCCACAAUGAUGAAAAAUAAUUUAAUGUACCAAUUAAAUUAUUUAGCGUGUUUGUUUAUUCGUUUCUAUAUAUGUCAAAAUUUCUUUGAACUUUUUCUAUGAUAUUGAUUCGUGUUUAUUUAUAUCAAAUAUACAGAAGGAAUUGUAUUUUGAGUGUAGUUAGAAAAAUGGCUUCAGUGUCUAAGAAAAAUAAAAGACGAAGAGAAGUGUGCAAUGAUAGUGCAAAAUUGGAUAUUGACGUACAGACGCCAAAGAGAAAAUCUCUACGUUUUGUCCAGUUGGAAGGUGAUACAUGUAACUACAAGAGGAAACAUAUUCGUAACAUAUUCUUAAUGAUGUUGUUUCCACCUUUGUGUUAGUUUUUCCAUUCAUGUGGACUUUUUAUUUGUUUUUUUUUGUUUUUGGAUAACUAAGCAUAUAAACUAUUAUAUUUUAAUACUACAUUUAUAAUAGAAUUUGUCUAGUGGUACAUAAUGGAGUGUACCGAAUGGUAUACACCCCACUCACAUGGGUGUAGGGCCCAUGUGAAAGAAAUGUUAUUUUAUUCGAGUGGGUCCCUCGCUCAUGUGAGUGAGGGUGUACACUAUUAGGUACACCCUGAUAUAUCACUAUCAAAACCGUUUACAAUAUUUGUUCUGUAUACUUUAUUCUGACCAAAAAAAUGAUAUUUUGAAUGAAUUUUUUUCUCUUUUCUUUAUUUAUUUUUAUGCUGAACUUCUUUGCCAAAAAAUGUACUAUAUUACGUUUAACAUACAAAAUUGUAGAUUUUUGUCAGAGAUUUUACUCUUUUUAUCUACGCAAGCUUCAUACGAUAUUAAUGUAUUAUUUUUUCUAUUUCGUGUGGCUUUAACAUUUGAAUUGGUUUUGAAAAAUAAAAAUUUUGCAGCUGCUGGAGUCACCAAUUCAGAUUCAAUUUCUGUCUUUCAUAAUUGUGAAAUUGAAGACAAUUAAGUAGGUAAUAAAUAUUUAACUUAUUUGUAUUAAUAACAUAUUGUUUUUUGAAGUGAAAAAAAGAUCAUGUAUUCCUUAGAUAGAUGAAUAUGAUUAUUUUGUCAUGUUUGAUUUGUAUUAUGUAUAAUUAUACAAGGAAUGUUUUCGUAUUCAGUAGUCUUCGUUGUAAUGAAGUUUGUAACAUUGAUGUUGGACCAAAUAAGUUUAUUUGAUAUAUUUCUUUUGUCAAAAAUUGAAUUUAUAAUCACGUUUUACAUUUUUUUAAGGGGAUGUGUCUUUUGUAGAUUCUAAUGUGGUUUUUCAUGAUAGGUAGCCGUUCCGCGACUUAUACCCAUCAGCUUGGUGUUCAUUUAGAGCUAAUGCCAUCAAUAUUUACAGCAAAUGAAGGUUUGUUUUAGAUACCAAACAAAUCACAUGUAUUACCUUGUCCCAUGUCAUGUGAAUAUUGUGGGGCUCUAAAAUUUUAAGAUGAGCCGAAAGGUUUUUGUUGUUGUGAUGAAGCUAUUAGAUUGCAAGUGAAUGAUACGUCAUAUGAAUUACCUCAUUUAUUUACAUCAAAUUUUGCUGAAUCCAUUGAAUUUAAAACUUACGUAUGAACUUAUAAUAGCAAUUUCUCAUUCACUUCAUUUGGUGUGCAUUAUGAUAAAGAUUUGUGCAAAAGAAACAAAGGGAUCUAUACCUUCAGAAUUCAAGUUCAAAUAUAUCAUUUUAUAAAUGACAUUCUUGUACAAAACGGUCGCCCUUCUUAUAUGCCACUCAAUUUUUUUGACACAAAAUGAAAUAGAGCAUCGACUACAACUUUCUGAAAAGUUAACGAAGUGUAUAUUUUCAAAGCUUGUCAAAGUGAUUGAACUGAAUCCAUAUGCAAUUUUUUUUUUUUUUUUGGACUUUAACAAAUAUUCCAAAUUUGAACUCUCAUAGUCUUAAAAUUAGAUCUGAUUGUGGAUUAGAGCAAAAAGUAUAUAAUACACCAUGUGCAUUUCAAGUUGCUGCUAUUUGGGUUGAUGAUGAUUCUACUACUAAUAAACGAGUGUGUGAUAUAACUGUUUCUUGCAAUUCGGGAGAAAAACAUCAAGUACAUUAUUAUUCUGGUUGUUAUGAUCCUCUUCAAUACCUUUUAUUAUAUCCUUUUAGUGAAAUUGGUUGGCACCAAGGUUUUGUUAGAAUUGACAAACGUAGAAGACAACAAACAUGUGUAAAUGAAAAUUUAUUUGACAUUCAUCAAUUAAAUUCUGCUGCAGAAAUUUUUGCGGUGGAAAAUACAGGUGAAUAAUUUAUUUAUGCUUAGUACAUUUAUUUUUAAAAUGUUUAAAAUCUCAUAUUGUAAGACAUUUUCCUGUUCUAUACUUUUUCCAGUUGUGCAAAAGAAGACAACAAGAGCUCAAGUAUCAUGUAAGGAAUACUAGUAUAUAUUAUAGGAACGUUGUAAGGUUAAUAGAUAUGUUUGAUUGAAAAGUUCAAAUUAUACAGUGUGUGAUCUUGUGACACAAUUUUUCAUUUUAUCAAAUAUCAUAACAUAAUAAUAAAAAGUAGUUAAACCAUGCAAAAUGUCAAAAAAACUCAAGCCGCCACCGAAAAGCAAAAGCAAACGCAGACGCCAAGGAUACCCAUCCCAAAUGCACCACCAAUUUCGGCACUAUUUGUUGAAAUAUUUACAAUCAUAAACUAAAACACUAGAAAUUAAGACAAAUAAGUAUUAUUUAUAUGUAAUUCAUUGUAUAAAUUUUGAUGUACGUGUAACAAAUUCCUAAGUAGAUUCUAUGGAAAUAGAAGGCAUGGGGAACAAAAAGAGUUUAAAAUAGAAAAUUAGAGAUGAAACUAACACCAAAAUUUGAACAUUUACACUUUGAAAAGUAAGAAUCUGAAAAACAAAAAUCCUCGUUAGGGAAAUUCAGUGAUUCAUAAGCUUGUGUCUCAUGCAACACUUGCCUUGGUUAAUAUGAAAUGUGUGGAUUACAGUACAGUUCUAUUUUCUCACGAAAUUUGUGGUGAUUUGAAUUGAUUAUGAAUUAUUUACAAAAAAUAGAGCUGCAGAGUUUCCAAGUUUUAUCAAAAUUGUAGGAGAAACUAAAAGAAAUUUCAUUGUAAUAUUUCAAUAGAAGUCAGUUUCGAUUCUCGAAUUUGUAUUCUCAAGGAAUCGAAGAAAUAGUGACGUGUGAUUUUUGCUAAUUAAGCUCUUGGGGAUCGGUUGUUUAUGAUUGUGGGUACUCACCAUAUUAAGCUCCUGUUUGAUUCUAAAAAAAAAAAAAAGUAUUUUAAUUUAAAACAUCUUUUAUAAUGAUUUUUUUCAAGAAUUAAGCUCCUUAUACAUCGUAUUUGACAUUCAAUGAUGUGUAAAAACAUAAAAUCUGGUCAUUGAUUUGAAUAUGUGUUAUUCAAAUAGGUGACCAGAUUGCUUGCGCAUCAUGGAAUAUUAACAAAACUGUCAACCAAAAUAUAAAGGUAGCGAAACUAUUCUUUUAAAAAGCCCCAUUAGCGGUGUUAUUGCUCUCCAUUUCUUGUGCGAUCCAAAUGAUUUAUCCAGGUUGGCUUUUAAUCAAUCUCUAGUUGUUUAGUGCCCUAUUGUAUGACUUUUAUGGAGACCUUACAAGUGAACUAUUGGUGAGAGGUCCAACGAGUGAACUUUUUUCUAUUAGGAGAGUUAAUCGAUUCCUUCACAAGUAGCAAACAAAAAAUGAAGGGAAGAGGAAAUGGAAAAUCAGUGGCCGAGAUUUCGUGCAAUAUCAAACCAGUUCUUAUGCUUUCAGGAAAAGAUUCGCUUUACGCCUCAUAAAAGAACUAGCAGGUUGUUGGAUAAAAUUACUGACAUAAUUAAUUAAGCGGAUAACUACUUUAUUUAUUGUAAAAUAUAUGAAUUUAGGAAAAUCCCCAUACCUCACUUUUGUUCAAUGAAGAAGCAGACCAAGGUUAGCUUGAAAGAGUCUCGAUCGGUCGCCUUGUUCCUCUCCGCCCCGAAGCUGACCCACGGCAUAACGCCCAUUCGCUUCGCUAAGGGAAGGCAACGUACGCAAGGCUAGACGCGAAUGAGAGCAGUGCGCGAAGGAAUUCAUUCCUUCCUAAGGAAUGGAGUACAGGGAAGCCCAUUGUUGUAGCUCUCCUGCCCAUCAAAACUUGAAAGUAAUUGGCGUAAAAAAAUGCAUUUUAAAGCUUAAUUGGGGUGGAUACAAAUCAAAUUAAAAAUUAAUCGAACUGUACUUGAUCUAUUAGUAGAAUUAGGGAUGGCAACAGUUCUGUUUAGGUUCAAUUUUGGUUCGACUAAAACUGUCACCGAACCGUCAAAUUUUGUGUCAUACUAUAACCGCACCAUAACCACGUAAAUCAGUUCGGUUCGUAUGUCGGUUCGGUUCGAUUAAUAAUCAUGAAAAUAAAUUAUUUUUUAUAGGUCCAUCGGUCAAAUUUAUUAAAACAAUUUAUGAAAAGAGAGUCAAUGAAAAUAAAAACACAAUAUUCCAAACAAAAAUGUGAACAUUAUCCCAAAUUUCAAUUGCAAAGUACAAAUUUAACAAACAAUAUUAUGAAUAUAACAAUACUAAAUUUAUCCUUCAUUCUUGAUUCUUGUGCAUUGUAGUAACUUGAUUUAUGCUCAAUAAUUCAAAAGCUUCAACAUUAACUCAUAUUCAAUCUUCAUUCUCCCCCACAACUCUUAUUAACAUAGGUCAGAAUUCAAAAUUGAUUUCUAUAUAGUAAAUAAGAAAUGUAAGUAGAGAAUACAAUGAUACUACCUAAUCCAAAAUGGUUUUACCUAAGAUUUAAAUAAAAAAUGUACCUCUUUGUCAACUUCCUCUUCACUAAACCUUGUCAUUCCUAAUAAAAUGAUGGUUUUUUUUUAAAGCGGGUAAUCGGUUCGAUGGCAUAAAUACCAUACCCGCACAGCCACGAACCGGUUCAUUAAAAUCAAAUAUCAUAUCUGUUCCAUUGCACUAUAGGUUCGAUUUUUUUGCCCCAUUCGAUUCGGUUAACCGCGAUUUUCGAUUUUAACGGUUCAAAUUGCCACCCAUAAGUAGAAUUAAUAGAGUAAUAAGAAGAAAUUCAUAAGUUUUGAGAGUUAAAUUCAUUUGAAAAGUUGAGGACUAAAUUAUAAACUUUCGAUACUUGCAUCCGAUCGUUGUUGGACAAUCAUUUGAAAAGUUGAGGACUAAAUUAUAUCGUUGUUGGACAAUCAUGGAAUUUGGAGGAUUCUAUUGUGAAGAUUCGAAGAUGAAGGACCAAAGUGCAUAUAGGAAGGCUCGAGCUAAACAGGAGAAGAAAGUCAAGGAUAAACUUGAAUGGAAGGUAAAAGUUUGUAGUUAUGAUUGCGGGUUCUCAGAAAAAAUAAAAAAUAAAAAAUAAAAAUAAAUAAUCAACAGCCAUAAUGCUGUGCAAUUGCAAAGUAAUAUGAGCCACUCUGAUUAUUUCCUUAUUCGACUCAACUUCUACUUAGAAAUUAAUUAGGACACAACUUUUUACCUAAUAUUGGUGUCUAUAAAUACACAUCAUCAUCUACAAUUACGGAGGAAGCUUAAUGCAGAAAUUACAUGUAUAUUGCAAGGGAUAGAGCUCUAGAGGAAGCUUUUGAUCAAAAAUUCCAUAUUGCUUACAAACUUGUAAGACAAGUAUCAUACUAUCUCUUUCUUGCUCAUUUUAUGUAGCUCUUAUGUGGAAAGUCUUCCACUCGUACCUUUCUAAAGAACUCAAUUUACUACGAUCCUAUCGUUAGAGCGGGCUUUCAAGAGAGAGAUGCGCUACUCCAUCUGGAAACGUGCUUUCCAUCAUAAGGGCCCCAAUUCUUCCCAGGUAUGUGAAUUAGGAGGGAUGUCCUUGCUUUGAAAGUUCAAGUGGGUUUUCUUGUCCUCCUUUAUCUUCAAGAACUUCCUUGGAAUCCUUCAAUUCCAGUUAGGGAAUGUCUGUUCGUUUUAAGUAGUCAAAUCAAGUAUGUCAUCGAGAAGAUGGUUCAAAGGAAGACGCUUAUGGCGUCUUACGAUUUAAUUAAUAAAAUAUUUUUUUUCCUGAGUCAUUUUAUUAAUAAUUUCCAAAGGAUGACCACAAAAGGAAUCAAUGAUGCAUACGCAUGCGUGCUACCCUUAUUUUGUUUAUCACUUUAGCCCAAAUCCAAACAACAUUAUGGAUUGGACAGUACAAUAGAUUUUCGAGGCGUUUCCUCAAAAAAAAAAAAGGAUGGGUGGAAGAUGGGAAUUGAGAUAUUGUUUAAUAAUCAUCUAUCAUGUUAGUUUUAAUAUAAAACACAUCCAUGUAAAUUCCAUGCAAUAAUUGAUUGAAUUGAAGAAGAAUCAAAGAAGUUAAUCAAUGACCAAUUUAAGAAAUUCAAGACUUCUUUCUAUCUUUCUUCAAACUUUAUUUGCGCGUGAUAUUGUCUCAAUUCAAUUGCAUUUUAUUAAAAAAAAAAAAAAGGUUGAAUCCCAACCUUGAAGGCCCCCACCGCCCCGUCCCUAGAGCUUUGUGAGGGAGGUAAAUCGCGGGAUGUGCCCCAACAGGCCAGGGAACAAGAGCUGCCUGUACACUGCACCAAUUCAAUUGUGUUUUAUUAAUCAUAUGACACUUGGAUAGUUGUAUAGAUGUAAGUAUAAAUUCAAACCUGUAUUUUGGAGUUUUGAUGUUAAAUUCUGAAUUUUGACAUUAAACAUGUAAUUGGAUUUGAAAGAAUGUUAGAAGUUUAAUGAUAUUUUAGUUACUUGCUCACUAAUUUUUUUUUUCAGAUUUAAAGCUUGUAACAUGGGUUCAAGAAGAAAAUGCUAUAAGGCUCAAAGGGGUUUAACAAAGGGACAACUAAUUACAGGGUAGGCUAUUUGGUCCAGGUGGCCAAAUUAUGCAGCAAAGAUGGCCUUAAUCAUGUUCAUGCAUGCAUGUAUCAAUAUGAUCUCGAAAGUUCUGGCAAGUUCUGGCAAAAAAACCCAAGGAAGAAAAUAACUCAUGAAAGAAAGUAGUGAGAUUGAUAUGGAUGUGUCAGUCUUAGUGGCCCAAAAUCUCACUGUUUUUGUCUACAAAAUUUAGUUACUACCAUCCUUAAAGAAAAUAACUCAACCAAUUAACUUUAAGUUGAAAAGAUCAUUUAUUCAAUCAUGUUAUGAGCUCUUCAGAGACUUAAUUGAAUCUUGCAAAUGGUACACACAAACAAAAAUAAUUUAAAAUCACAAAUUUUCUCUCAAUUUUUCGAAUUUUUUUCUUGUCUUGUCAAAAGUAACGGAAGCAUGACCCAAAUCAAAAUUUUAAAAACAACCUAACCUAAAUUCCCUCCCCCACCCUUAAAAUUUACAUUGUACCCAAUGUAAAGUGAAAUGCAAAGAAGAGAACAAAUUUAGCAUAAAAUAUUAAUGUAAAAACGAAAUAAAAUGAAAAGGUAAAUGAACAAACUACCCUUGUGUUGCCUCCCAAGCAGCGCCUUUAUUUAUUAUCUUUGGCUAGACUUUUUGUUUGCUUCCUCAAUCGGCAUCAAUUGGGUUUCCAAGGCCCCAUGUUCUCACCUCCUUCAUUUGGAAACCUGCGUAGAAAGGUCACUUGUUAGAAACUGGUAAAAUAAUAUGCGAACUUUUAUCUAACUUUGGUGACUUUGGAGACGUAUUCAAUGCUGCAAUGGUUUCUUGCAAGAGAGUAUUUUGGGGUAACUCCUGAUCCACCUCCUCAUAUGCUUAUCAAUUGCAACUUUCACUGCAUUUUUUUCCAUCAGGUUCUAAAACUUCCUGUUCUAAAUUAUCAACCACUUUAAUAGAAUAAAUAGGGUUAGUUUCGUCAGGAUAUUUUAUGGCAUAUAAAUAUUAAAUUCAUUGAGUUUAUCGUCAAAUUCCAUAGUAAGCAUGCCACUAUAAAAAUUUAUUUUAGCUUUGUAUGUCUUUAAGAAUGGUCUUUCUAGCACAAUAGGGGUAGUUUGAUCACUAUAUCCCAUAUCAAGCAUAUAGAAGUCAGCGGGAAAAACCAAAUCAUUAAUUUUCACGAGAAUAUCCUCAACUACACCCUUAGGAUAGACAUUAGAUUUAUCAGCUAAUUGAAUUACCAUGCCACUGACGCCAGUUUCAUUCAAAGGUCCAAGUUUUAAAGAAGCGUAUAUAGAGUAUGGCAUGACAUUAAUAGAAACUCCUGAGUCUAACAUGGUCUUUUCAAACCUAGUGUUACCUAUCAUGUAAGGGUUGGUAAACAUGCCUGGAUCUUUGUACUUUGUAGGGAGUGUUUGUUGAAUGAUUGCAGAGACAUUUUCACCUACGUUUAUAUUUUCACACCUUUUAAUUUUCUGUUUUCUUUUAAUGGUACACAAUUCCUUCAACAACUUAGCAUAACGAGGUAGUUGUUUAAUAGCAUCUAACAAUGGAAUGUUUAUCUCACAUUUAUGGGUUUCAUAAAGUUCAUCAUUUAGUUCAUCUUUCCUAGAUUCUGCUAAAGCCUGAGGGAAAGGGGAUACCGAUUUAAACUCAGAAAGGGGUGAAAACUUACGUUUAAGUGCGCCAUCGUCAUUGGGAACAAUCUUUUCUUCAGUGGCAUCUUUCUUCUUUUCCUGCUCCAAUAAUGUAGGGGCUGCCUAUGGAAUUUCAAUAUUCUUAUCACUCCUCAACAAUAUUGCAUUUAUAUUUUCCUUUGGAUUAACCAUUGUUUGAGAGGUAAUUUUCCGGAACCUUGUGCUUCCAGCCUAUUGAUUGAGGUUGCCAUUUGACCUAUUUGGUUCUCCAAACUUUUAAUACUUGCCCUUGUCUCUUGUUGAAAUUGCAAAGUGUUAGUGGCAAGAGAUUUAACAAAAUCGUCUAAAGGCAUACCUGAACUUGAAGUUUGGUCCUGUUGUUGUCUAGGAGGGUAUGGUUGCCUGUAUUACUGGAAGUUUGGGCGAUUUGUAGGCAUUGGUUGAUUCACUUGUUGAUUUACAUAGCUAAGAUUAGGAUGAUCCUUCCAUCCUGGAUUAUAAGUGUUUUAGUAAGGAUCAUAAUUCCUUUGUGGUAGUCCAAGAAAGCCGCCCAUUGCAUUAACUUGUUCAAUGGGGCCUUCCUGAAGAGUUGGGCACAUGUCAGUUGGAUGCCACAUCACCGAACAAAUUUCGCACGCCUUCGUCUUUUGCAUAUUACCUGCAGCAAUUUGACGAACAAGGGAAGUUAGACUUGCAAGUUGUUGUUCAAGAGAUGAAACAUUUACCUUAUUAACAUGUUUAGAAGGGGUGUCGAGUUUAGUGCUGAAUUGUUGAGAAUUGGCUGCCAUGUUUGCAAUCAAGUUCCUCCCGCCCUCAGGAGUUUUAUCCACCAAAGCUCCUCCAUUUGCAGCGGCAAUCAUGCUCCUAUCAGUGGGUAAAAGACCUUUCUAGAAAUACUGGAUGAGAAGUUGUUCACUGAUUUGAUGAUGGGGACAGCUUGCACACAGUCGCUUGAAACGCUCCCAAUAUUCAUGUAAGGAUUCUCUAUUGUCUUACAUUACACCACAAUAGCCUUUCAGAUGUUUGCUGCCCUUGAAGCUGGGAAAUAUUUCUCCAAAAACAACCUCUUCAUUUCCUCCCAUAUUGUGACACUUCCAAAUGGCAGAUAGUAGAGCUAGUCCUUAGCUGAGUCCUUCAGGGAAAAUGGAAAAUCUCCCAAUUUGAUUUGCUCUUCAGUUAACCCUGUGGGUUUCAUACUUGUGCAUACUACAUGAGAUUCUUUUAAAUGCUUGUGAGGAUCUUCACCUGCAAGACCAUGAAAAGUAGGCAAAAGAUAUAUUAGUCCAAAUUUUAAUUAAAAAGUGGUGGUAGCAUCUAAUGUAGGAAAAGUUAUGUAGAGGGGUUGUUGAUGCAAAUCUGGAGCUGCAAGCUCUUUCAAAGUUUGAUUCCUAGCCAUGUUAAUCCUUAACCUGCGCAAAGUCCUUUCUAUUUUUGGAUCGUACUGCAAAUCACCUUGGUUAGAAGAUUGGGUUAAGGGCAUAAACAGUUAAAGAAGCUAUAAAAAAAAAAAACACUAAACUAAACUAAAUAAAAUAAAAUAACCAAAUGAACAAAGCAAAGAUUUUAUUUUUUUGGAAAUAAAAACUAAUGAAACAUAUAAAAAGCACAAAAAUAAACUAAAUCACUCCCCGACAGCAGCGACAAAAUUUGGUGCGUGCUGUGGUCACUCCAAAUUAAAACCUAUACCUUUUAAAAUUAAUGUAGCAGUGAAAGAAAGAAUCGAUCCCACGAAGAGUGUUUAGUCUAUCUUUUAUGCUAAAUUAACUAAAAUGGGGGGUUUUGGUUUUCUUGAAAUAAUAUAAAUCAUCGAAAUAAAUAUAAACAGUAAAACAAACCUUGAUCUAAUUCAACAUCCACCAUUGGAAAUUAAAAAUCGGUCAUUGAUUCACAAAUAAUCAUCAAUUCAUAAUUUUAGCAUUCAUUGUGAAAAAUAAAUUUCUCAUUCGAAACAAUUUUCUUAUUUCUUCUUAGUUUUAAUUAAUUAGAAACAAGCGAUCGAAUUAAUCCUCUUUAUCAAACAAUCAUAGACAAGCGCGAGAAUUUAAUUUAAUAAUGGCUUUGCAAAUUAGAGAAAUCAAUGAACUAGAUAACACAAGUCAAGCGUUUGCAUCUGGAUAAAUCUUCUCCCUAAGAUUUAAUAAUUUCCAUUCAGCAAAUUAUCAAUCUUAGUUGCUUCAUAAGUUAAACCAAUCAACAAUUACAGUUUGAAAUUCAACUUAGCUAUAGAUUGUAGAGAUUAAUAAACUAGCGUGCACUCUAGAAAUUAAACACAACAAUCAUAAAAAUAAUUGCAAAAGAAGAUUUAAUACUAAGCAUAUAAAUUAAUCAAUAAAAAUCAGGUGAAUCUCACAGUUAUAAUUGUUCCAAGACUUCCGUCUUCUUCGAUCAGGCAAAAGAAAUUAGUUGCACAUCAUAGAUCUUGAGCACAAAGAGAGAAAAGAAGUGUUGGAGGCGUUCUCCUACGUUCUAGGGUGAAUUAGGGUAUUUAUGUGGUGAAAAGAUUUGUUUCCAUACAUGGUUGGACGGAAAAAGUAAAUUAAAAAUUGCGCCUCAAAUUCCUUCCAUGUGGCCGCAUGGUAUAUUUCCGUGCUACUACAUGGAACAAUAAAAAAGGCUCCAGAAUGCUCUGAACCAGUUCAUGCGACUGUGUGGUUAUACAGUUUUCUUCGUCGGACAAUUUUCAGUAUUUUAGUUAUAACUAUCUCUCCUGAUGUGUGAUUGAGGUGAUUCAAGUUGCGUUGGAAAGCUAACUCAAAGAUAUGCAACUUUGCUUCAGAGGUCAUCUUCCAAUUCGAUCGUCUACCAUGUCGAAAACAGGUCACAAUAUGAUGCUAAAAAUUGAUGCAUAACCUUUUCGAUCGAAAAUUGAUGUGUGAUUGUAUUUUGAUUAUAUUUCACCUCUUUGACUUCUUUCUUCAUCCACUUGACCUCUAGAACUCUUGAAUCUUCAUUCCAUCGUUCGUCUCUCGGUUCAACUUUUGGAUAAUUGCAAUUCAAUCCUUGAACUUUUGAUUUCUUUCACUUUGGUCCUUCUUCACUCAUUUCCUCUAAUUUAUGCUAUAAUCAUCCUAUUGCGACCUCAAUCAAAAUAUAAGGGUACUCAGUACAUUUAGGCAUACAUUUAUCACCAAAAAUGAAUGUAUUAAUGGAUGUAAAACAUGACAUUUUAUGUCUUAUCAAGUACCCUGCCUCGGACAUGGCCUCGAUCCUUAGGGACACCUCAACUGUGACGGUAAGGGCCCUCAAGCCGGGCUCCAGUGGUGCCAAGGAGGUUCAGGGGAAGGUGGAGCGGCUAUCCAAAGAUAGCAGUUCCAGGAGGUGCCGAAGAGAUGACCUCCUAGAUGCCGUAGAAUGCAAAGGAGCCUCGAGGGAAGGAGAAGGUCCCCCGAGGACCAAAAAAAGAGGAAGCUGGUGCACGUCACCAGCUCAUCUGAGAAGUUCGGGGCCUCUGUGUCCCAUGAAACUAGAGAUGGCCCUCAGCCAAAGCUUCUAGAGUUCGCCUCCAAGGCAAUAAAGGUUGGAAUGGUGCGACAGGCCGAGGCUGAGGAGGCGAGAGAAGAGGAUGCAAGGAGGGCAGCUGAAAAGGUAGAGGAGGAAGCUGACAAGCAGAGGCCUGCAUGAGUGUAGGAGAAGUCUUCGAGCUUUCUGGCCGGGAGGGAGGAGGUCCUGGCCCCGUCAUUGGUGGAGGCACUGCCAGCCAAGAUUCAAAGUGCUACUGAGAGCUUUUACAAGUUCUGGAUGGACUGGUGGCAGCUACAUGCCUCUUCCUGCGAUGCAAUGGACUUAACAGGGCCUUAGUAAACCCUUACUGAUUUUCAAACGAGGACCCAGUCUUCGGAGAAGAAGAUGACCUCCCUUGCAGAGGAGCUGAAGAAGGCUAAGGCUGAGGCAGAGGCAGAGGCAAAGGCAGAGGAAGCAAGGGCUCAGAAGAUUGAAGAUGCUACUAAGUUGGAGUCUGCCUUGACUCAGAUCAAGGCCUUGAAGAAAAAAGUGUAUGAGUCCCAGUGCGAGGUGGUUUCCCUUACUAAGAAAGUCGAGGUCUCUAAUGACCACCAACAGAUGACUGCUGAGGCCUUGGAGAAGGCUAAUCUAGAGCUUACCAGAGCCCAGGACGCUUACAAGUUCUUGGAGGGCCAAAUAAAAUGGUAUAUGGAUGAGCUGGCAAAAGCAAAGGAGGAGGCCAAGGUGGUGAAGGAGGAGGAGGUGAAGGACUAUAUUGCCAACUUCUAUAACACCGCGGAGUACACACGCUUCAGUAUCUACUGGAGAAAUUAUGCCUAUGCCGAAAUGAUGGAGAAGGCUGAGGAACUCUACCCAAACUAGGACCUGUCAAAACUGAGGUCGAAGUUUGUGGAUGAAGUGCCUCAGAGCCCAGCUGAUGAAGUGGUUGGUGAUAAAGCAGCAGAGGCAGAAUAAGGGAGUUCUGAUGCUUAGGCUGCGGAGGCUCCAGCUCUCGAGGCACCUCCACCGUCAUCCGAGGCUUAGGAUAGUUUACUUUUCAGUUAACUUCGAUGUACUGGCCUCAGACCCUCCUUUUGUAAUGUUGAUUGAAGAUCAAUGUAAUCUAUCUUUAUUCUAUGUUGUUUUCCUUCCAAAUGCAUUGGCCUCAUUAAGUAGUUGAACUUAAGAAUGACCUAAUAACUAACUCAGGUAGUAACUUGAACUUGACAUCCUAACUCCAAUCACUUGCAAUUAUAACUCAAGUCAUAUGAACCAUGACUCCACAAAUUGAAGUACUUAAGCAAGUUAUGACAUCCAAAUAAAUUGAAGUAGUUACGUAAAGCUCGUAGCGAUUGAGCCUCAUGAAUCAAUGGGUAAAGGAGUUCGAUUCAUGUUGAGGAUUCUCUCCUUGGCGUUCAGCCUCGCCAAAGGGAGGUAAGUGGCGUGCGCCCCGGAGUUCAAGUGAGUUGGCCCAGAGAUGGGAUCCUGAUCUCUCCUCCGAGGUGAGGACACUUCCCAACAUGGUGCAUGGUUUAUCCAUGUUGAAGAUCCUCUUGGCGUUCAGCCUCGCCAAAGGGAGGCAAGUGGUGUGCGCUUCUGAGUUCAAGGGAGGUGGCCCAGAGAUGGGAUCUUGACCUCUCAUUCGAGGUGACAAUGCUUCCCAACAUUGUGGAUGGUUCAUCCAUGUUGAGGCUUCUCCCCUUUGCGUUCAGCCUUGCCAAAGGGAGGCAAGUGGCAUGCUCUUCGAAGUUCAAGCGAGGUGGCCAAGGGAUGGUAUUGAAGUCUCUUUCUCUUCGCAAGGCAAUAGUUUACGAAAUCACUGAACAUCAACUCAAUUUCGAUCUAAAGCAAGUGAAUGUCUCAAUUCUUUUUCUUUAUCCAGCUCACCCAAUGGAUCCAUCUCUUUUUUGCGUGCUCUCUCACUUCUGUCAAUCCUGACCUCUCCUCCGAGGUGCGAGGUGGUGUGGAACAAACUUGAAUUCGAUCAUGGAUAGUUUUAUUGAAUCAUAAAAAUGUUACAUGAGCUAGGAAAGAACAUCUAGCAAGGUAGUACACUUAUUGAUAAUAGAUUCGGAGGUGCUCAAUGUUCCAUGGAUGAGGUUGUGCCUUGCCGGCCAUGUCUUCAAUCCAAUAUGUCCCAGUUCGAAUCUUUUCCUUGAUUUUGUAUGGGCCUUCUUAGUUCGAACCAAAGUACCGGUGCCUGGUUCCUUGGAGGAGAGGAAGACUCUCCUAAGGACCUGGUCGUUGAUUUGAAAUGACAUCUUCUUCACCUUCGAGUUGUAGUACUUUGUCAUCUUUCUUUGAUAGGUGGCGAGCUUCUUUUGGGAGUCAUCUCUUCUUUCCUUAAUGAAGUCAAGGUCGCACCUCUGAUGCUCAUCGUUUGUUAUUUCACUAAAGUGCAGAUGACGUGGUGAUGGAAGUCCGACUUCAACGGAACUCUUCGUCUCGGUUCCAUAUGCCAUGAGGAAAGUGGUUUCCCUUAUGGGGGUCCUUAUAGUAGUUCGGACUACCCAAAGCACUUGUGGCAGCUCAUCUACCCAGGCUCCUUUUGACACAUCAAAUUUCCUUUUCAAGACAUGUUUGAUGGUUUUUUUCACAGCCUCAACCUGGUUAUUUGCUUGCCGGUGGUGAGGUGUGGAUAAAUGCUUCUUAAUGUCGAGUUCUUCACACAAACUUCUGACCUUCUUUUUAUCGAACUGUUUACCAUUGUCUGAGAUGAUUGAGUGAGGCAUCCCGAACUGACAUAUAAUAUUCUUCCACAAGAACUUGGACGUGUUUGCUUCUGUGAUUUUUGCCAGUGGUUCAGCCUCAAUCCACUUCGUGAAGUAAUCAAUAGCCACAAUUGCAAAGCUUACGCCUCUUCUGCCUUUUGGUAGAGGACCUAUGAGGUCCAUACCCCACUUUGAAAAAGGCUAGGGAUUGGAGACCGUGGUCAAAUCUUGUGAUAGUUACCUUUGGAUAGGAGAGAAUCAUUGGCAUUUGUCACAUCUUCACACAAAUUGGAGGACAUCCUUUUUCAAGGUGGGCCAAUAAUACCCCUGUCUCAAUAUUUUUUGUGCCAUAGAUAGACCUCCAGAGUGGUUUUUGCAAACACCCUUGUGGACUUUUCUUAGGAUGUAGGUAGCCUCUUCUCCUCCCACGCAUCGGAGAAGUGGGGAGGAGAAGCUCCUCUUGUAAAGUACAUCAUCAAUGAAGAAGAAAUGAGCUGACCUCUUCCUUAGUUUGUAGGCUUCAUGCUUAUUAGUGAGAAGUACCUGAUUUUUUAAGUAGGCUAUGAUGGGCUGUAUCCAGGUAGGAGCCUCGACCAACGACAUCUCGUUGGGGGCCUUGGUAGAUGGUAUGAGGAGGUGUUCGAUUAGGACUACUGUAAACAGUUCAGAGUCUUUGCUACUUGCGAGUUUGGAGAGUGUAUCUGCAUGUGCAUUUUCAAUGCGAGAGAUCUGGGUCAACCUAAAUUUCUCAAAAGAUGGGAUGAGGUUCAUUACCAUCUUCAAGUAGGAGGUCAUGGUUUUGUCCGUGGCUGAGAAGUUUCCAUUUACCUGGUUAGCUGGGAGUCACUGUUGAUAAGUAGCCUCCUUACUUGCAUUUCUUAAGCUAUUCUAGGGCCCAUAAGAAGCGCCUCAUAUUCCACUACAUUGUUGGUGGCCUUGAAUCCAAACCUCACAGUUGAGUUUAGCUUGUAACCUUCUGGGCUGAUGAGGACUACCCCGACUCCUGGACCGAUAUCUCCAACCGAUCCAUUCACGAAUAGGUUCCACGUGGAAGGCUCGGUAGGUUCCAUAACUUCUUCCACCUCGGUUAAAUUGGCAAACUCUGCCACAAAAUCAGCUAUGGCUUGACCCUUGAUAGCUGCCCUAGCUUUGAACACAAUGUCAAAUUGACUUAGCUCCACUGCCCAUUUCAGUAACCCUUCUGAGGCAUCGGGCUUUUGAAGUACGCGCCUCAGGGAAAAAUUUGUUUGCACGUGGAUGGUGUAAACUUGGAAGUAGGGCCUCAAUUUCCUGGAAGCUGUGAUCAAGGCCAAAGCUAGUUUCUCCAUAUCGGGUAGCAAGUUUCUGGCGAUAGGAGUGCCUUACUCGUAUAGUACGUGGGGAGUUGUGUGGUUCCUUCCUCUCGAAUUAGAACCACACUAAUAGCCUCAUUGGAGACGGCCAAAUACAGCAGAAGAAUCUCGCUGGGCUUUGGUUUGAAGAGGAGGGAGGCCUGCCUAGGUGCCUUUUCAGGCCCUGGAAGGCCUCUUCACAUUUCUCAGUCCAUUGGAACUUCUUCCCAGCUUUCAAUACUUUGGAAAAUGGAAGGUAUUUGUCGGUAGCUUUGGAGACGAAGCGACUAAGUGCUGCCACUCACCCAGUCAGGCUUUAGACUUCCUUUGGCUUUUGGGAGGACCUCAUCUUGCAUAGAGCCUCAAUUUUCUCCGGGUUGGCCUCAAUUCCUUAUUGGUUGACCAUGUAUCCCAAGAAUUUGCUGGAGGUAACUUCGAAAGCACACUUGAAGGGGUUGAGCCUCAUCAUGCACCUUCUCAAUAUUCGAAAGGUGUUGUUCAAGUGCGCUACGUGGUCCCCAAAUUCCAAACUCUUUACAAGUAUGUCGUCUACAUAGACCUCCAUCGUCUUACCAGGUCCACAAAUAUUUUGUUGACGAGCCGUUGAUAUGUGACCCUGGCAUUUUUUAACCCGAAGAGCAUCAUCUUAUAGCAAUAAAGGCCUCUGUCUGUGAUAAAAGAGGUGUUAUCCUCAUUGGCCUGGUGCACGAGAAUUUGGUUGUAGCCGGAGUAUGCGUCCGUGAAGCUCAACAACUCGUGCCCGACCGUGGAGUACCAGUUGGUCAAUCCUUGGGAGUAGAAAGUUGUCCUUAGGGCAUGCUUUGUUGAAGUUAGUGAAAUCAAUGCAUACCCUCCAUUUGUUGUUGUGCUUCUUCACUAGUACUGGGUUGGAGACCCACCUCGGAUAGGUGGCCUCUCUAACGAAGCCAUUUUGAAUGAGCUUCUUCCUUCAGGGCCUCAUAUCUCUUAGGGUUGGGAGCUCUUUUCUUUUGUCUAUGCAGGGCAACUUUAAGAUCAAUUUUCAAGUGAUGGCAACUGACUUUGACGUCUAUGCCUACCAUGUCCUCAUGCCUCCGAGCAAUGACAUCGAGGUUCCUACUUAGGAAAUCCUUGAUCUUUUCUUUCAAACUGUUGGACAAAUCUUUGCUCACUUUCAAGAUUUUAGUGGGGUCUUGAAGGUUCAUCGAGAAGCUCUCAAGUUCCUCGACUGGGGUCGCUUGAGGUUCGGGUUUAAUUACGCGGGGGUCAAUCUCAUUGAUUACCAAUAUUUUCGGAUUGGGCGGUGCGUCGAUCAUCUCCACAUCCUCUCGUUCGAAGGGAGCAUCACUUGGGACAUCAGCCAUGACUAUGUCAGGGAUAAUCACAUGGAUGUCCCGGAGCUCAACCUUUCUGAUGGAGCUUAGGUAGCACUCCUUCGAGCCUCUUUGGUUGCCUCUCAUCGUUGCCACCCUAUUUCUAUCAAAAAUUCCAUGCAUAGGUGGUGGAUGGAGGUGAUGAAUCCAAAUUUCUUUAGAGCUAGCUUGCCCAAUACUCCGUGGUAAGUCGAUCGACUAUCAACAAUGAGGAACUCCAUAAAGUUCAUCGUUGUUUGGGAUGACUCUCCAAUCUCCAUCGUAAGUUUGAUGUUUUCUCUUGGAGUGGUGCUGUCUCUGGUAAAUCCAUACAAGGGAGUAGAGGUGGGCGUCAAUUCAUGGUCCAGUAUUAUCUUGUCGAAGGUGGACCCAAAUAGAAUGUUGAAGAGCUACCAUUGUUAACUAACAUUCGUUUGAGCCCAUUCCGGGCUAUGACAACUCUCAUCACAAGUGCAUCACAGUGGGGGUAGUGAAUUCUUUCAGUGUCCUCCUGAGUGAAGACAAUGGGUGGAAUUUGAUUCCCCCGGGAGCUGUGAUCCACAACAUAACUGGUCAGCGGAGGGUUCUUAGCCUCCCGGGUGCAAUUUCUCUUAGCAUUUCACAUUUCAUCGCCUACGUAUGGGCCUCCAAAUAUGGUAUCCACCUCGUGGAUAGUGGCCUCAUCCUGAGCUUACCGAUUUCUUCGGUGUCUGCACCCUUUCCUAGGUCUCUCUACAUCGUGCUCCUUUCGUCGCACGAAAACAUCCCUCUCAUGGAGAGCGGCCUCUUCAUGCCUAGGUCAUUGGUCAUACCUAGGUGGGGGCCUGUUCGCCUGGGGUGAUUUAUUUCUCCUAUCCCUGGGGUUUUCUUGUGGGGUAUGGUGAGCAUAGUCCCGACAAUCUGUUGUGUCAUGGCCAUAGGAUCCAUGGUACGUGCAGUAUCCAAGGGGUUUAGAUUUGACCUAUUCCUAGGCCCUGAACCUCUGCCUCGACCUCUUCCCCUGCGAGAACCUUGUGGAAUCCCGAUUUGUUGAGUGUCUGUCAAUGGGUUGACAUCUUCAUAUGCCAAGGUUGGAACUGCAUUAACUGUGGUGGUGGCAAGUGCUUGCCCAGAACUCUCAUUACCAGCCUGGUUCAUCUGGUAGUCCAUCAAGUGGGAGGUCGACCCUCUGGCAAGCUGUCUUUGUGGAGGGGGGAGGCCUGUGCUUGCCCUAUUCCUAUGCUCAAUCAAUUAUUCAUUGAUAAUCUCCUGUCUCAUCAUCUCAAGUAGGGCGUCAUAGGUAACAGGGUCUUGGUUUUGUACGUCCUUCCAAAACAGUGUUCAUAUUCAGACCUCCUUUCAGUACGGAUAAUGCCUCACGGUUGGUGACUUGCACACAGUAUGUUAUCUCGUCAGUGAAGCGUGAUAAAAAGCUUUUUAGGGACUCUCCAUGUACCUGUCUCAUGUCUUGGAAACGUUGGAUGGGAUCCCUCUUUGCUCAUAGCAAACCUCUUCAAGAAGGUAGUCUUGAAUUCAUGCCAACUCCUUAUGCUCCCAGGUGGUAGCCUACUAUACCAAAUUUUAGCCGCUCUACUAAGUGUUAAGUGGAAAGCUCUGCAUUUCAUUGCUGGGGUGGCGCCCCUUAGGCUCACGUGAGUUUUGUAAGCAUUCAGAUGCUUCUCUAGGUCGUCUCUCCCGUCAUACUUUAGUAUCUUGGGCAGAAUACAGUGGCUCGAAACCUGAGCACUCCUUAGUUCCUUUGAGAACGGUAGAUUUUCAACGUUAUCGUCCAAGUCACAGGACCUCUGCUGUUCAUCCGAAUCAUUGUUUUCAUCGGCCUCAUAUCUUGGCGGUUGGUGAGAGGUGACGGGAAGGUUCCUAGCCUCCUCUUCCCUCUUUUGACGCCUAUUUCUAGGGGGAGUAGCACGAGGGACAUUUUCAUGCCUUUCCUCUGGCUGUUGGGUUAUUGGAAGUGGGGGCUGUGGUCUUGUCCAAAGCUCGCGAGACUGUUGCAUAUGCCUUGGUUCCACAAGCCGCUUCUGUCAAAUACACUGUCUGACCUCAUAGGUCUUCGUUCUUGCUCAUACGGAGGUAGAAAGUUGUCCUGGUUCAAAGGGGUCUCGUUGGGUCAGCCAAAAGCGUAGUUGGAAGAAACAUCAACUUCCACUUUCCUUUCAAUGGGGCUUCUACCUCAGCUAUAGUCUAGCGAGGCACUCCUUUGACUUUGAACCUCAUUUUCUUGCUGGUAGUACCCUUGGGGACAUAGGGAGGAAUAGGGAAGCCUCCCUGGCCUUGCAUUUGGGCCAUGAGUUCCCUGAUAGCCAUGUUUUGGCUAACAAUGCCCCUCAUGUUUGCUUCCAUGGUGACCAUCUCUCUUGAUAGCCGGGCGAUCAUUCGCAUACCUCAUCUUCUAUGGUGGUGUUGAAGUCGAUGCCAAGCCACUGGGGCAACUGCCGGUGGGGGCACACUUACGUUUUCUCUUACCCUUCUGGGGUGUGUCUUCAUUUGAACUCAUUUUCAUUAUGUUUGAUCUCCAGAUUUCUGCUAAGGGGUACAUGGGAGAGUAUUUAUAGUGUCACAAGUUAGAUCGUGACCUUUGGUUUGGGGUAAAUGUGGUCUCAUCCAGUUAGUUUACAUGUCAAAUUGUAGGUAUCAGCCGCACCUAGCCUACUAUAUAUUUAUUGAUUGGCAAAGCUGCUUCUACUAGUGACAAGACUUAACAUUUACACUUAUGACAAACGUCCCAUCAAUCAUUCAAACAAGAUCUUUAUAUAGAAGGAUCUCUCUUGGGAGGAGUGAUCAUGGAAGAUGCUGCUUUGUGAUUCGGAGCUCCUACCUCGGCUUCAGAGCUUCGGCCACACAUAAUACAUAUGCUUUGGGGCUUCGGCCAAUAUGGCCACGGCUACUUUAAAAGGGCCUCGGCAUAUAGUGAUGUGAACAUCCAUUUACUAUUUAUUUUCUAUUUGGACUAUUAGUUAUAUUCUAUUUGUAUUAUUAUUUAUAUUUCUAUUAUUGGGCUUGUUUAGCGGGUUUGGCCCAAGUCAUUCUCUUUAGGGUUUUUGUUUUGUUAUUUAUUUCUGUUUUGUUGCGUAUUUGAGACAGUUGAUGAAUUGAUGAAUUAAAGAAUAGAAUGCUUGGGUUAUUGCCUAUGGCUUCCUCUUUCUCCCAUUUCCCCUGAUUUCUACUUCUUCUCUCUGGCCCUUUCCCCCCUUCUUGCUGCCUUCUUCUUCUUCUCAUUGGAAUUCUACUUGCUAGUUGUGCUAUUUUGCUAUUUCUAAUUAUUUUGCAGGAAUCGUCCCUCAUGCUGAAUCAAAGUGGUAUCAGAGCUAAUAAUUUUUCAUCCACAAUCCAAAACUUUCUUCCUAUCCUCUUCUCAAAAACUUGUGGAACAACGCAAACAAAAAAAAUUGUUAUGAGGCAGCUGUUUUUUUGUUCAAUUUUCUUUCUAGUUGAUUAGGCAAAAAAAAAAAAAAAAAAGGAAAAAAAAGUCACUGUUCACACCCGGAAUUUCAGUUUUUUUUAUAGAUUUUUCAGCAGUUUCACAAAAAAAAAAAUCGUUUUUGUUCACGGGUACUGUUCACACCCGAAAUUUAUUUAUUUAUUUAUUUAUCAUUUUCUGCAGUUCCCAAAAAAAAGUGAAAAAAAAAAGAAAAAAAAGAGAAGAAACGUCUUUUCUAUUAUUUACAGGUACAUCUUUUAUUCUGGUUGAUCUGGCUUGACUACUUCGACGAACGAAAGGGAAGUUCUUGCUUUUAUUUAUUGUUGGUUUAUAUUACUGUUUCAUUUUGAAAUUGCAUCAAUUAAAUUUUUGCCUAAACUCACGUAAUUGGAUCCAUUGACCUCGUUAAAUCUCACUUUAACCUGCUUAUUUUACGUGAUUAGGUUUUGACUAGUAUUUGACCAUUGCUUUAUUAUUUUACAUAUACCAGCAAUACUAGCUUAUUGUAUAUAAUUUUAGUCCCAAAAUUUAAAUUUAAAAAAAAAUCUCAAAUUUUCAUUUUCCAUUACUUGCACUUUUUGUUCAUUGAUCUCUCUAUUGCAUGUCAUUAAGUUGCUAUUACAGUGCAUGCAGUUAUAUAUUGGUCAUCUUGUCACUUCUAGCUCUAGUACCUUAAACAUGAACCCCUCACAAUUCGAUACACUCAUCCGACAAAUAGCGGCUAUUCAAACUCAAAUGACCACUACUCUUGAAGAGAGUAAGACCCUAUCUGCUAGUUUGAAAAAUUUUAAACACAUCCCUCAUUCGAUUGAUGUUGAUAAUUCUAAGGUGUCCCAUAAUAGACAACAUCGUCGACAAGGUAAUCAAAAAUACUUUCGACCCGAUCGUAAGGAUAGGGAUAGGAAUAGGGAUCAAAUUCGUGAGCGAGAACGAGAUAAUUUUGAAAUUCUUACUCAAUGGAAUGCCCUUAAACAAGGAAAUCAAUUAGUGACUGAGUAUAUCGCGCAAUUUGAGGAAUUUCGAACCAAAUGUCAUUUAAUUGAGAAUGAGAGCACGACUUUGAGUAGGUUUAGCCAAGGUCUGAGAGAUGAUCUUAAGCGCGAGCUUUUCUUUCGAGGCGUCACUACUCUUAAUCACGCUUACUCUUUAGCUCGAGAUUAUGAGUUGAUUAUUAGUACUCCAUAUGAAAAGCGUGGUCAUCGUCGUUCACCCAUCUCAUUAGCGUCGCCUCAUCAUAAGUCUAUCAUAAAACCUUCUUCCCUUCUCUCUGUUUCUCCUCCCCGUUCCUUCUUCUUUCUUUCUUAUUCAUCCUACAUCAAAUUUGGUAUCAGAGCCGAACCAUGGGUAAUUUCUUUUCUUUAAUCCAAAAUUUAUUCAUAUUUCUUUCCCAAAAUCUGUUGGAACAGCACGAACUAAAAGAAUAUUUGGUACAGGCAGCAGCUUUUUUCUUCUUCUUCAAUUUUCAGUCUUAGGUGAAAAAAAAAAAAAAGGAAAAAAAAGUCACUGUUCACACCCGGAAUUUCAGUUUUUUUUAUAGAUUUUUCAGCAGUUUCACAAAAAAAAAAAUCGUUUUUGUUCACGGGUACUGUUCACACCCGAAAUUUAUUUCACACUCGAAAUUUCUUUUUUUUUUUUAAUUUAUUUAUUUAUCGUUUUCUGCAGUUCCAAAAAAAAAGUGAAAAAAAAAAAGAAAAAAAAUAGGAAAAAAAAAAGAGAGAAGAAACGUCUUUUCUAUUAUUUACAGGUACAUCUUUUAUUCUGGUUGAUCUGGCUUGACUACUUCGACGAACGAAAGGGAAGUUCUUGCUUUUAUUUAUUGUUGGUUUAUAUUACUGUUUCAUUUUGAAAUUGCAUCAAUUAAAUUUUUGCCUAAACUCACGUAAUUGGAUCCAUUGACCUCGUUAAAUCUCACUUUAACCUGCUUAUUUUACGUGAUUAGGUUUUGACUAGUAUUUGACCAUUGCUUUAUUAUUUUACAUAUACCAGCAAUACUAGCUUAUUGUAUAUAAUUUUAGUCCCAAAAUUUAAAUUUAAAAAAAAAUCUCAAAUUUUCAUUUUCCAUUACUUGCACUUUUUGUUCAUUGAUCUCUCUAUUGCAUGUCAUUAAGUUGCUAUUACAGUGCAUGCAGUUAUAUAUUGGUCAUCUUGUCACUUCUAGCUCUAGUACCUUAAACAUGAACCCCUCACAAUUCGAUACACUCAUCCGACAAAUAGCGGCUAUUCAAACUCAAAUGACCACUACUCUUGAAGAGAGUAAGACCCUAUCUGCUAGUUUGAAAAAUUUUAAACACAUCCCUCAUUCGAUUGAUGUUGAUAAUUCUAAGGUGUCCCAUAAUAGACAACAUCGUCGACAAGGUAAUCAAAAAUACUUUCGACCCGAUCGUAAGGAUAGGGAUAGGAAUAGGGAUCAAAUUCGUGAGCGAGAACGAGAUAAUUUUGAAAUUCUUACUCAAUGGAAUGCCCUUAAACAAGGAAAUCAAUUAGUGACUGAGUAUAUCGCGCAAUUUGAACAAUUUCGAACCAAAUGUCAUUUAAUUGAGAAUGAGAGCACGACUUUGAGUAGGUUUAGCCAAGGUCUGAGAGAUGAUCUUAAGCGCGAGCUUUUCUUUCGAGGCGUCACUACUCUUAAUCACGCUUACUCUUUAGCUCGAGAUUAUGAGUUGAUUAUUAGUACUCCAUAUGAAAAGCGUGGUCAUCGUCGUUCACCCAUCUCAUUAGCGUCGCCUCAUCAUAAGUCUAUCAUAAAACCUUCUUCGUAAUGUUCCUCCUAUUUGGAAAAAUAAUUAUAAAGGUCGUGAUAGUCCAAGAUCUUCUUCUCCAGGUAGAAAGCAUAUUGACAAUCAUCCUUCGGUAUCACUGGCUCCACUUCCUCCCAUUAAGUCCCUUUUAGGACCUCCCCCGUCUGAUGUUCCUCCAAUUUUGAAAAAUAAGGGUAAAAUUUUUUAUAAUCAUCAUUUGGCUUCAUUGGCUCCACCUCCUUCCGUUAAGUCCCUUCUAGGACCUCCCCCUUCUAAUGGUUCUCCAAUAUUGGAAAAUCAGGCUAGAAUUUCUGAAACUCCAUGGUCUUCUUCUCACUGGUUGUGCGUCAACUGUAAAGACUUUGGUCACAUUUCUUCUAAAUGUCCUAAUCGAACCUUAGUCAUGGAAGAACGAAAGAAUGUAAUAGAGGAACCGUUGGAAGAUCUAGUCUAUGAACCUAAACUUGAAGAUUUUGAUGACUUGGAUGAUAGUGAGGACAAUUCCUUAGGUGGAAUCCAGACUCUUCCCAAGACUUUGGAUACUAUACCCCUUAUCUCUGACAAUUCUCGAUCACAUGGUAUAUGUCAUACCCUUACCCAAGUUAAAGAGCUUGACGAUGUCACCAGUCACCCUUGGAAAAUCCGGUCACUUGUGGUUAAUACUAAGGCAAAAUUAUCCACCACUGACCAACCUCAAAUUGAUGGUCAAAACAAAAGUGCUAACCAAAAUCCUGACAAUUUAUUACAGUUUUUAGUCCAAAAAAAUCUUGAAAAUUGGGACUUGAUCCCUCCAAUUGUUCAAAUUGCAUAUAACGAUCCUGUGAACUGGUCUUUAGGUCUAAAACCCUUUGAAGUUAUUCUUGGAUGUGAACCUUUGAAACCUCUAAACCUUAUUCCUAUGCACCCACAUGCUUGUGUGUCUAUGUCAGUUGAGGUAGUUGUAUCACAUUUUCAUAGCUUGCAUAUUGAGAUCAAUAAACAAUUUGAAGCAAGUAAAGCAUUAUAUAAACCUCAAGUUGAUUGGCAUAAACAAUACUUUGAAUUUAAUAUCGGGGAUUAUGUUAUAUUGCAAGCAUGUAAUGCUAGUCUUUUUAAAAUUUCAAAGCAUGUUGGUCAAAAUGCCUAUGUCAAUGACCUUUUAUCACAUUAUGACCACCACCCUAUUUUAUUUGUUACUGACUUCGAUGCUUACAACGGCUAUUUUCGCCCCUCUGAUGACCCGUUUCUACUCCCACAUGAGAAUUCUCACACUGAAUCUUUUGCCAUGUCUGCUUCAAUCCCACCUAUCACAGCACACAAAAAUAAAAUUGAUGUUAUUUUGGAUGAACAGUUUGUGUUAACCAAUGAUGGAGAGAUUCAGUGCUUUCUUGUUUGUUGGAUGGAUCGACUUGAUUCUGACGGUACAUGGAUUCCCAAAGAGAGACUUCAGCGGCGUGAGCCAAAUUCAUUGGAGCUGUAUAAGAGUCAGCAAAAUUCUCAUUCGCCUAAGUUAUCUUGGUCAGCUCAUGUUUUUGCGGGUAAUUUGCAAUUGGCGUCGUCAUCAUUUGUGGAAUUUCGAUAUUUGGUUCGUCAGAAAGAUCGUCCCCCAUGGCAUGACUUGGAGCCUUUAGCAUCAGAUUCAUUGCAACAUUUUGAUUUAUCCACUCGACGGGGUUGAGUUUUUCUCCCACCCCGGGAGAGUUGAUGCGGACAUCUAUUUACUAUUUAUUUUCUUUCUUUUACUAUUUAUUUUCUAUUGAACUAUUAGUUAUAUUCUAUUUGGAUUAUUAUUUAUAUUUCUGUUAUUGGGCUUGUUUAGCGAGUUUGGCCCAAGCCCUUCUCUUUAGGUUUUUGUUUUGUUAUUUAUUUAUGUUUUGUUGCGUAUUUGAGACAGUUGAUGAAUUGAUGAAUUAAAGAAUAGAAUGCUUGGGUUGUUGCCUAUGGCUUCCUCCUUCUUCCCUUUCCCCUGAUUUCUACUUCUUCUCUGGUUUUGUCCCCCCCUUUCUCUCUGGCCCUUUCCCCCCUUCUUGCUGCCUUCUUCUUUUUCUCACUGGAAUUCUACUUGCUAGUUGUGCUAUUUUUCUAUUUCUAAUUAUUCUGCAGGAAUCAUCCCUCAUCCUGCAUCAUAUAGGCCUCGGAUGCUUAACAAGAGGCCUCGGCAUGUGGGCCUCAGGUAUUUUCAUAAGGCCUCGUCCAUGCACACCAUCUCGGCUGGAGUGCCAUGUGGUUCGGUGUGAGUGGGCCAUAGGCCCUAGUGGGUUGGCCAAGUGUGUCAAAGCGUGACACUUUCUUUAGAGAGAGAGAUGAGUAGGAGAUCUGCAACUUGCUUGAGGUGUUGUUUGGUGAUAUUCGUGGUAGUACCGGCACGCUGUGUAUCUGGGCUGGCUUUGUAUUGGAAAUUCAAGGGGGACCUCAAAUUGAAAGGAAUUUCAUCCUCUUGCCCUUCCUGUUUAUGUGAUUGCCCUUCACCACAAACCCUUUUUCAGAUUGCCCCUGGUAUGUGCCCCCGUGCUCCUUUCUGAUCUAUUUUUCAAUUUGAUUUUAUAGUUUCUGUGGUGAUGAAAAUUAAAGACUUUAACAUUGAUCAAUCAUGAGGGGCGAAAGAAUGGUAGAUGUUUCUAAGAAUAAGGUCUGCCUUGUUUAUGUUAUCACUCUCUCUCUCUCUCUCUCUCUUAGCCCAUCUCAUGCUUUCUUUCAUAACAAUUGGCUAAUAUCCAAGCCAAGAAAGUUCAGCCUUUUUUUUAAUUGGCUGUUAAGCUGAAUUAGCCCAAAAAUAAAUAAAUAAAUAAAUAAAAUUGAACUUUCCUCUUUCAUUUACUUGAUGAGCAGAGAAAAAAGUUGGAUCUCUAAAUAGUUGGUCACUCUACCAAAUUGGUUUUUGGCACCAAAGCUUAGCCAUUGUAAUCUGAUAGAAUUAUUUUCUUGUCUGUGUGAUGUGAUUGCGGCAACUAUUAUUAAGGUCUAUUUGUAUGGCUCUUGUAAAAUUUUCUUGUGACACGUUUUAAUGUGUAACGUGAAUAAUUUUGAAUGUUGUAAUUUCUUGAAGGGGAAAGCUUUACUGUUUGUGUUUACAAGUUUCUCAUGCGUGUAGAUAAGCCUUUGAAUUUUAUGUGUCAUGAAUCAGACCUCUAAUGACUACUUUUGGUGUGAGAUCUAGAUAGCCUUUCUUUAUUUGGAUGUCAUAUAGAAGUGUCAGGUCUGUUAUUUCCACUUUUCAUUAUUUUUGUGAAACAAAAAUAGAAAAAUUGUUUUACCAAAUUAUAGCGGUAGGCUCUAGUGGAAACAAUUUAUUGUGACAAUUUGUAAGUUUUAUAGGAUGAACUGAAUAGCACUUCAGAAUGUGUUGGUAGAAGAAUGAAAGUAUUUUAAUAAUGUUAACAAGGCAUUAAUGAAAGAAAAAGGGGACCCGUUGCUUAGUUAUUUCAGCAACAGCCAAUAGAGAAAAAGAGACUUUGCUUACUUUAUCUCUUAGCAAAUUCGUUACAGAUUUGAGUUUUCAAGGGACCUGCAAUGCGUAGAGAUAAACAAGGGAGAGACAGUUUACCGAGCACUUUUAAAUGGUUGAAAAAAGAAGCGCGGGGGAAGAGUUGGCCAAGCUGUGUUAAACGGAUUGCUUUUGCUACCACUGUCUACUACAUUUGGUUGGCUAGGAAUUGUUGUAUUUUUGAUGGUACGAAAGUGCAAGUUGAAUCCAUAGUUAGGAGGAUCAAAACACACUUAUACAAAGCAAUGUUCGUUUUGUAUCCGAAUGUUUUGAUUCUCCAUGAUUCUCUUGAAGGGUUGGAGCAAUAAUUUGAGUAUUUGUACAUCUCAAUUCAAGUUCAUGAUUUUUAAAAGCCUCAAGGUUUGUGCAUUGUGACAACUGAUUUUACAUUUCAUUUGAAAUUACCCUAUUGCAAUAGAUUGUGGAAAAGAUGACCUUGAUCUCGAGGAAAUGGAAAAGCAGUAUGUGGACUUAUUGUCGGAAGAGCUAAAACUUCAAGAAACUGUGGGUGAAGAGCAUUCUCAACAUAUGAACAUCAUAUUCGGGGAGGCACGAAGAUUGGCUCCCCAGUACCAGAGGAAAGCCGAAAAAUGCAAUGCUGCCAUAGAAACUUGUGAGUUGGCCAGAGAAAGAGCACAGGCUUUGCUCACUAAGAAGAUAACUUUAUUGUGGGAAAAAAAGAGUGCGGCAGCUUGGUUGGGAGGGAGAAUAAAUUACUACUCGCAACAUAUUUUGGAUCGAUGCUCUAUAUUUAUGUGAAUCAAUGUAUGCUCAUAACGUAUAGAGUACGUAUAUUUUUGCCAAUUUAUAAGUGCCUCUCUCUCUCUCUCUCAGAAGAGGGAAAAAUCUGAAAUCUCUGUGAUCUGACAAUAGAUAUGGUUUGAUAUUGCAAUUUUGUGUUUAUUAUUCCUCAUGUCAAGUUUGCCUGAUAUCCUCUAAUAAUGGCACACAAUUAGGUUAAUAAUAUGUUAAUUGAAUACAUCAAGUAUUCCGAAUUGCAAAUCUCUACUACUAUUGUUUUCUUCAAGGCGUUUUAUUGAUGCAAAAUGCACAGAUUUCUUGUUCUUGUACAACUGUAUCGUGUCAUAAGCUAUAUUGUCUUACUGUUUUACGGCUUGUGUUUAUAAAUUAUUUAUAAAUAUUCAGUCAUUCUUUAUUCACAUAUUUUGAGUCAGUAGAGGACGUAGACACUUUGAUUUAGAGUGUACAAUCAAUUUUGCAAAAAGGUUAUGCAGAAUUUUGUUAGACCAAGCAAUCACAAUCCUCAAUCUCCUCCAUUCAACACCUCCACGUAAUACUGCUUCUUCCAUAUCAGUAAUGACUCCACAAUUACCUCCAACGUGAUCUUAGCAUUCCAUUGAUUUUCCCUCAAUUCUAUCAAUCAUGACAAUUGUACAUUUCAGAACUUUAGUGCAUUCCAUAUUUCGUAUAAUAUACUUUGUUAUUUAAAGCCAUUGUAAUACACAGAAGAUGUAAGUUAGCUCUUCCAUUCAUCUUAUACAUUAAUGCUCUUCUAUGGAUUUGUUAUUUUUAACUUGGUAUCAGAGCUAAAAGGCUCACGCCUAUUUCAAUCCUACCAAAACAGCUUCCGCACCAUAAUUCCUAAUACUCAAUGGCCAUUUCAAACACUAAUAUACCACAAUUUCCCAAACUUAAAGGACCCAACUACCUCACUUGGAGAAUUUAGUUUCUAGCCUUCUUAAAAAGCCACAAUAAGCUUGGCAUGGUGGACGGCUCCACCCUUGCUUCUCCCAAGAUCCUCCCUAACAAUGUCGCUAACCCGACUUAUGACAGCUGGUCCAAAACGAACACUGUCGUCCUCUGUUGGCUCUAUGCCUCACUUUCUGAAAAAUUAGUAUCCACCGUUCUCGAUCUUGAGACCUCAAAGCAAGUUUGGGACUCUUUCCAAACCCGUUUCUCUUCCACCUCCCGCUCCUGAAUUACCCACCUCAAGCGCCAUAAUUUCCCAAGGCAACCUUACCUAUCUGGUCUACAUUGAAGAAGCAAGGCUGUUAUCAGAUCAACUAUCAGCUGUCGGUAAACCCGUCGAUGAGCAGGAUCUCAUCACAUACAUCUUGGGUUGCCUUAAACCCCUCUUUGCUCGAUUUAUCACCGCCUUCAAUUUUGCAACUUGUGAAAAGGAUUUCACCCUAGAGGAUUUUCAAGCAGAGCUUUUCAGCUUUGAAACACUCAUGGAGGCACAUCAACCCACUGCUUCAACAGACGCCUUUUCUUUUGUUGCUAACCGAAGCAAGGCUUUUGCUUUUAUUAAGAAACCAACUAAGCCCCCAGGUUUCUCCAUUCAGGCGCAUUUUCCUUCUCAUGCCACUCACCCAACUCCUGUGGGCUCACUAAAUACUGGGCCUAAUCAACCCACUUUACUUGAAAAUAUGCCCACAUACCAGAUUUGUGGGAAAAGGGGCCAUACGGCCCUAGAUUGCUAUCACCGGUUCGAUUUUUCUUAUCAAGGUCGAUACCCAACUUCUAAACUAGUUGCCAUGGCUGUUGAGGGAAAUUCUACAUAUGCCCAACAGGUGUGGUACGCACGCAGUGGAGCUAAUGCCUAUAUUACUAAUACUACAGCAAAUCUCACUUCUUCGCAACCCUACGUUGGAGAGGACACCAUUACUGCUGGCAAUGGAUCAGGUUUAGUGAUUACAAAUACGGGUACCACGUCCCUUAAAACAAAUACUUCAAAUUUUUCGCUUAACCAAGUCCUUCAUUGUCCUAAUGCCUUUUCCAAUUUAAUUUCCAUUAAUUGCUUUUGCCUUGAUAAUAAUUGUUAUUUUGUAUUCACUCGAUCUCAUUUUUGUGUAAAGGAGAACAAGACGGAGUGGCUACUACUUCAUGGGCAAGUUAAGAAUGGACUCUACCCAAUUGCAGGUGCUAAAUCUUGUUCAUCAAAGAUUUCAUGCUUUACUACCAAAGUCGGUUGUCUCUACCACUCUAGAUGUCUAGCAUGAUCAUUUAGGUCACCCUUCCCAAGUUAGUUUAAAUCAAUUAUCUCGAUCUAAGUAUUUGUUUAUUUCAUCCAAUAAAUUAGGGUCUUGUUUGGCAUGUCCCCUAGGGAAAGCCAAACAAUUAUCCUUUAGUGAGUCUACUCGUCAGGCUUCACGUCCUUUAUCUCUUAUUCAUUCUGAUGUAUGGACAUCUCCUAUGUAUUCUGUUGGUGGUUCCAAAUGUUAUAUUAUUUUUGUUAAUGAUUAUUCUUGCUACACUUGGCUCUAGCCAUUAAUUUAUAAAAAUGAAGUUUAUGAAAUUCUCAAACAAUUUAAAGCGCUGGUCGAAAAUAUCUUUUCUUGUAAAAUCUAACAAUUCCAAACAGAUAAUGGGGGUUAAUUUCUGUCUACCUAAUUUAAAAGUUUUUUACAAUAAAAUUAUAUUUUUCAUCACUUAACGUGUCCUCGCACAUCUUAACAAAAUAAUAUAGUUGAAAGAAAACAUCGCCACAUUGUUGAAACAGGUCUCACCCUAUUAGCUCGAUCCCACUUUCCCAACAUAUAUUGGCCAGAUGCAUUCCUAACAUCAGUAUAUUUAAUAAAUAGGCUUCCAACAAAAGUUUUAAAUAAUUAACACAUUUUUACAUGCUCCAUAAAACCAUACCUUGUUACUCUCACCUUCGCAUAUUUGGAUCAAAAUGCUUCCCUUUGUUAAGACCAUAUGAGCCUCAUAAAUUAUUAUUUAGAAGCAAAGUAUGUGUCUUCAUAGGAUAUGCCAAUCAACAAAGGGGUUAUCGCUAUCUUGACCUAGCUACAAGGCGGGUCUAUGUGUCAUGAAAUGUAAUUUUUGAUGAACAACAUUUUCCUACAAAGGGUCAAGUCCAAACUUCUCCUGUGUCGUCGAGCUCGAGCUCGCCUAGUACACUUUCUCCUUUUCCUCUUUCAGACAUACCUAUUCUACCAACCUCUGCCACCGAUCCAAUAGCAUCACCUACCCAUGAGACCCUCACCUAGUCACAAACUCUUUCCUUGACUCCCACCACAAGUCGAAACCCAAGAUCUUGAAACUCUCCAUCCUGAACCACUUGAAACCCAGUCCAUAGAACAAAUUUUCAUUACCUUACAUGAACCUCCCAUCCCUAUCCCACACCCUAACAGGGCAACAACCCGCUCAAUGACGGGUAACUCAAAACCUAAGGCCUUCUCUGAUUUUACAAUAUUUUAUACUACCAAGUAUCCCUUGUAGGUACUCUCCUUUGUUAUCACUGAGACUAAACCAUCUAAUUACACACAAGCAGUUGCCUCUCCAACGUGACAUGAAGCAAUGGGAUGGGAAUUUGAUGCACUAAUGGUGAAUGGGACUUAGUAACUUGGUAAGCAUGUUGUACGCAACAAAUGGGUUUAUAAAAUCAAGAGAUUGUCUGAUGGAAGUAUUAAACAAUUUAAAGCCCGUUUGGUUGCAAAAGGCUUUGAUUAACAGUGUGGUGUUGACUACACCUACUUCUAUUCGCAUUAUGUUAGCCUUGACCAUUUCAUUUAAUUAGCCUCUUCGGCAAUUAGACAUUUUAAAAGCUUUUCUACAUGGCUAUCUUGAUGAAGAAGUAUUUAUGGAACAACCAUGAGGUUUUGUAGAUAAGACUCGUCCUAAUUAUAUUUGCAAACUUCAUAAGUCACUUUAUGGUCUUAAACCAGCUCCAAGAGCUUGGUUUAGAUAAUUGUCCCAAACAUUUACUUGAGUAUGGUUUUGUUGAAUCAACCGCCAACUACUCACUGUUUGUCUUACUACUGAGACUGUGAAAUUAUUUGUGUUGAUAUAUGUUGAUGACAUUAUGGUUACUGGGUCAAUCACACAGGCAAUUGAUUCUUUUAUCCAGUCUCUAUCAACUAACUUCAUAGUUAAAGAUCUUGGAAAUCUGAGUUUCUUUUUAGGUGUUUAAGCAUUAUGAGAUUCUCAAGGCCUGCAUUUUCGUCAAACCCAAAACAUCAUAGAUUUACUACAUAGCACCAAGAUGGCUGGUGCAAAGCCACUUGGGUGCCCCACUACAUUUGGUCUGAAGUUAUCUUCUACAGAAGUUCUCAUACUGUCUGAUCCAGUAGAGUAUAGAAGAGUGGUUGGGGCGCUUCAAUAUUGUACUUUCUCUAGACCGGAUAUUGCAUAUGCAGUAAAUCAAUUGCUUCAAUUUAUGCAUUCUCCAUGUGAAUCUCAUUGAGCUGCUAUCAAAAGAGUGUUUCUGUAUCUAAAGGGUAGUAUUGGUACCGGUCUAUUGUUCACUCCAAGAUCUAUUACUCUUCAAGCUUUUUGUGACUCAGAUUGGGCCGAUAACCCUAAUGAUCGUUGCAGUACCACUGGAUAUGCAGUUUUUCUCGGAAAAAAUUUGAUAUCAUGGUUUGCCAGGAAACAACCAAUUGUCUCCAAGAGUAGCUCUAAAGCCGAAUAUCAAAGCAUGGCCAUCGCCACAACUAAACUCUAUUGGAUAAGAAUGCUCCUCAAGGAACUUGGUAUCUUCAUACCAUACACUCCUACACUAUGGUGUGAUAACAUUGGAGCUAUCGCCUUGGCUUCUAAUCCUGUUUUCCAUGCGCACACAAAACACGUGGAAAUUGACUACCACUUCACUUGAGAAAAGGUCCUCAAUAAAGACAUUCAAGUGCAACAUAUUUUCACCCAAGAUCAUAUUGUUGAUAUCUUCACAAAGGGGCAAAUAGUCGCCCAUUUUGUGUACUUCGGUCCAAACUGAUGGUGAUGAUCAUCCCCAUCACUUUGUGGGGGGUGUUAGACCAAGAAAUCACAAUCAUCAAUCUCCUCCAUUCAACACCUCCAUUUAAUACUGGUUCUUCCAUAUCAGUAAAGACUCCACAAUUACCUCCAACGUGAUCUCAGCAUUCCAUUGAUUUCUCCUCAAUUCUAUCAAUCAUGACAAUUGUACAUUCCAUAUUUCAUAUAAUGAACUUUGUUAUUUAAAGCCAUUGUAAUUUCCAAAAGAUGUAAGUUGGCCAUUCCAUUCAUCUUAUACAUUACUGCUCUUCUACAGUUUUGUUAUUUUUAACUAAUUUUACUUUUGAAAAUUUGCAUUAAAAAAGAAAAAAUCACAGCCGUUAAAUUUACAUGGGCUAUGACUUUUUGGAUGUAAACUUUCUAAAAAUUUCGAUGUCAUGCCCAUGUAAAAUUUUCUAAUAGAAUGACGUAAAUUAUAUUGAGAAAUUUGUUGCAUGAAAAUAAUAAAUGUUAAUGAAAUAAUUGAAAUAUUUUAAAGAAAAUACUAGUUGGACGCCUUUUUUAAGACGUAAAUUUGAUGUACUUUUAGCUAUUUUCACUAUCUAUUUGAUCAUUCGAUAUAUUUAUGAUGAUGUUUUCGAAACAAGUUUCAAGAUGAUGUAGGCAAUUUGUGAAUUCAGCUAAUUUACGAUUGUUGGAGAAUUUUGAAAGUUAGCAUGUUAUUGAAAUUUUUGAGAUACUAAUUUGAAACAGUUUACUUUGACAAGCCAUAAAUUUUAGCUAUGGUUGGUCGUUUUGCGCGGCAUUGACGGCAUAGAAAAUUAGGCGGUGAGCACAUUGAAAUGAUAUUAAGAAUACAAUAUCUCGACGUCGUUUGGUAUCCCGUAAUGACUUAAAAAAUUGAGACAAAAGUAUAAUCAAUGGUGGUAAAAAAUGGAUUUUUCCAAAAGUUGGGGUCACGUGACCCCAUGCCACCUCCUACAUCCGCCACUGUUUCAUGUGAUCCACAAGUACUUCUCAUUUAUUACCAUUCAUUUCUAUCUAUUUAUAAUUUAAAUCGAUUAUAAACAAUUCUCAAACAUGUUUGUACCUAAUUCAUAUCACAAUAAAACCUCUUUAAUGAUGCGUUGAUAAUUUAUGUUCAGAUGUUAUCGAUCUCUUCUUAAUUGAUAGUUUUCGAAUUGCAGCGAUAGAUAAGUAAUGCUAUUUAGUCCCACUUGAAUUGCAAUCUCAAUUUAGGUUACGAUAAUGUAGCAUUUAAUAAUAAUUAGAAUUACAUGACACUAGGAUUGCAACCCUAAUGAGGUUAAAUAACAUAGCUCGAUAAAUAUUCAUCUUAUUUAAAAGCAAUGUAGGUGUAACAUCACGAUGCUUGUACAAGACAUUCACAAAAGUCAUUUUUGCAAUAUUUCACUUUGUGCUCUCAAGAAAUUAAAGCAAUAUAAAAGCCCACAAUAGUUCAUUUUGUGUCUCCAACACUAAGGGUCAGCUUGACAGGAAUUUUGAAAAGUCACAAGACUUAAAAGCUGAUUUAAACAUUUUUGAAUACUUUCCUAAAAGUAUUUUAUCCGUGGAAAUGGUUUAACAUAACUUUCCAAAAAGCUCUUCGUAAAAACAACAAUAAAAUUCCAACCGAAUGGCCCCUAAAUAACAUUGCACAUGUUGACAAGACUCCCCAGCUUGUUUCUUGGAAACUCAGUCAGCUGUACUAUUCUUGUGAAAAAUGUAAAAACGACAUUUGAUAGCACUCCACAAAAAUACUGGUACUUUAAAAAUCGUAUUUUGUGCUAAAUUUGCAACCCAUUACCAAUACGCCUGUUUCUGGGGCAUGGAUUUAUUUCAAAAUUGAAGCCAAAUAGAAGACUCUACACCAAUCCUAUAGAGCAUAUUUUGUGCGCAACAUUUUAUACAGAAUUAGACCAUAUAAUCCAUGUUAUCAAACAUGUCAAUAAUGUAAAAUAUACGUUAUACAGGAAGUUUUUGCACGUUAAAUUUGAGAUCAGUGCUUCACAUAAGAUGCAUAAAUACUACUGUAUAGUCUGUCAUAUGCAUUAGUUUCUAACUAAAUUUUAAAAAUGCCCAUGCAACAUAUUUCUAUUCAAUGAUCAGCAUCAAAUGGCAACAUUGCCCAUAAGGUUUUUAUACUUAUUUUACACUGAUUUGUGCAGAAAAUUUUAUCAUUUUCUCACAGAAGAAAAAAUCAAUAAUAAUUAAAGAAGAUGGACAUAGACAAUGCUUUCCAUAGGCAAUGGUCAUACCCUAUAAUAAAUGUUGACAUUCUUAGCAUACAUGAUUCUAGAAAGUAAGAUGAUAACUUGAGUUUUCAUAGAUAUACAAUGCUGCCUCCUGGAGGGAAAUUUGUCAUUCUCGACCAAGAAAAUUGCCAACUCAACAAGAUAUGGACCACACAAGCUAAUUUCUAAUUCAUACCUUUCUGCAUUGACACAUGAAGUAAGAAGAAGUCACCCAUUCUACAGCAUCUUUCUAACUGAUAAGAUAGAAUCAAUCAUCUUUUUGGAAAUCUCAAACACUUGUUGUAUUUGGAUUCUAUUGUACUUGGGGCUGCACUAACUUGUGCUUUGUUUCGUUUUGAAAAGGAGUGUUUUUCCAUUGCAUUCACAAAUUCGUGCAAGUGCUUAAUGUACUCUAGGAAAUUUUCAAGAUUUCAGUGUCCUCCACCUUGGACCCAUAAUGGAUCUUAUUUCUCCUCAGAAAGUUCCCAUAAUUGCUUACCAUGGGACCAAUCGACAAUAUCAUCAUUUGUUCCCUACAAACAUUGAACCAACAGAAAUAAGAUUUGUUGAAAAAUGAAAACAAAAUUAGCUUGUGUUAGCUCAUGCCUGUUGGGGGGUUCAGAAUAUAGUAGAGGUUUAUCUAUUGUAUAGUCCCAUGGAAAAUAUAAAUGCCCUGAAAACAUUCAGUAAUAGAUCACAAGUGGUGUUCAUUAAUAUGGGCACACCAAAUCAAGAAAAUCUUUCUAAUCUUAUUCCUAGUUGAAAUUUUUUUUCUAUUCUAGAUAACUUUUUCAGGACCAUUUCCUCCUACACUUGCUAGUAAACCUAAUACCAGCAAGCAUAGCUAACUCUUGAAAUUUGAUUUUAUUCCUAAACUUGACAAAGCUUUUUGACGUUCACUUUCACAAGACAGAAGCUCAUAAAAGAAAACUUUAUUAAUCACGUUACUAUUAUUCCAAUUCCACAUUUCUCCUUUAAUUCGGGAUAAAUGUUAGUUUGAAAAAACCUUAACCCUUAAAGUCUCUAGAAGGCAUCAUAUUACCAGAUCAACGUAGCUAACUCUUGAAAUUUGAUUUUAUUCCUAAACUUGACAAAGCUUUUUGACGUUCACUUUCACAAGACAGAAGCUCAUAAAAAGAAAACUUUAUUAAUCACGUUACUAUUAUUCCAAUUCCACAUUUCUCCUUUAAUUCGGGAUAAAUGUUAGUUUGAAAAAAUCUUAGCCCUUAAAGUCUCUAGAAGGCAUCAUAUUACCAGAUCAACAGACUAGAAAUGGUAACACCACAUAGAAAACUCAAAAACUUUCAUUGUGAAAGUGAGAAAUGUAAUUGCUGCGUAGAAAAAUAGAUGUUCUGGAAAUGCAUUUGGAGAGGAGAAAAAAGGAUGAGAGACAGAUCAUUCUUACAUGUAUAACUAAAAUGGGGCAAGUUACAUUCUAUAUUUUGUCGAUGUCUUGCAAAAAAUGAACAGAAACUUUCUCAAUCACAAACCUAGAUAAAAAACUGGAUUAGGAGAUAAAAUUGAAGACCAACAGACUCUCGAGAAGCUUACUUUAAAAAUGUCGAACCAAAUGUCAAUUUGACAUUGUACAGAACUCGUAUUCCUAAAAGAAUAGCGCUAUGAAGAACAACAGCUCUCAACCUCGGUGAGCGAGCAGCCAAGUGUAGGGUGGACCAUUCCCGACAGAUUGACCAUACAAAAUAACAUCCUCUUGCUUGAUUCCAUAUUCAUUCUUCAAACAGUUAUAGACAACCUCGAUGUCAUGGUAUGUGUUGAACUCAGAUGGCUGUCACAUGAAAAGAAUGCAUUGAGCAUAAGAUAUAUCCGCUAAUGGUAUAUAAUAUGGCUUCUUAUUGUCUUACAUAUUAUUAUGGAAGAGAAUUUCGUGGACAAUUUACUUUGGAUAUUUUGUACUUUUUAUAUUUGAAAUGUCAUUUAUUCUACGCACAUCAAGGGCAUCAGAAAACAUCCAAUCAAAAAUCUCACCUUACGGUGGAUGCUCCAUAUCCCGAAUAGUCAUAGCUGCUAAAGGUAAAAGAAAAAACAUUGUUAGCAACAACUAUCCAAGAUAGAAGUUUUGAAAUACAUAUUAUUUUCCAUUCUUGAAUUAUUGCAAAAAAGAAAAAAUUAUUAACUCGAAAACACUCAUGACUCAUCCGACCAAUUAUAGCAGUUGGCUGGCAAGCUGAAAUCAGAACUACUUUCUAAUUGUGAUAGGCCGCUUGAAAUCAAAUUUAAAUUUGUAGACAAGAAUUUCUAUCCAAUUUCGAGGUCUCAUCUUAAACUACCAAACAGUUUCUUAAACGAUUCUAAAAUUAACAACCUUAGGAAGAACCAAAUAUACAACUAAACCAACAAAAAGGACAAAAGAACACCAGCUCAAUAUCAAAACAAAUCACAACCUUCAACAUCUCUCUGAAUUCAAAUGAUGAUUAACUAAAAUUAAUUUCCAAAGCCAAAUUCUGAUUUUCCAUCUAAAUCUGUAUUUAUAUCUAACACGUUAUAAUGAAAAAUUGCACAACAGAAGCGCAAGAAAACAAAAACACCCUGCUUAGUAAGGAAAUUGCUGAAAACCACAAUCUUGAAGGCACCCAUGUUCAAUACCAACAUUACAAUAAAAACCCAUUGAAUUUACAUUCCAAAAUAAUAAUAAAAACGCUCAAACACUGCAUAAGCAAAUACAGAUAUUCAUAAAAAAUGCAUACAUGACACACACAAUUUAUUUCCUAUAUAUACAAACUCAAAUAAUCAAGAAAUGGAAAUUUAUACGAACCUCAUGAUAUUGACACGAAGGUUGGCCCUGAGCUCGAUAAAGAGGUCCUGCAUUUGUCCCAAAUCGGCAGCGUUUCCAUGGGAGUACAAUACGGUGAACCUUCCUGUUGGGUGCUUCCAGAACGCAGUCACAACCUUAUUCCCGCCCUUGGUUUGCAACAAAUGGACGUCCACAUUUUUAUCCACUGUUAAACCACUCAUCACUAGCCACCCAUCCAAUUCAUCACAGUAGACAUCGUACGUGGGUGGGUUCGACGAGAAGAAUGCAAAUUUUGCCGCCACACUUGACGUCACAUUUCCCAUUUAUCACAACCCCUUCAAACAACAAAAAAUCAGCUAUCAAUCAAAAAUUCCACGCUUCGAGCCAUAAACACACCACCUACGACACGGAAUUUCGUUCCCAGUAAAUGAAUAUCAUAUCAAAUUUCAAAACUGGUUUUUUUUCUGGUGUUCUUUUUUGUUCUUCUUUCCCUGGUUUUUGAGUUAUUGAUAAUGGGGAAGUCGGGUGAUCCGCUCUAAAAGGAGGGUGGAGACAGACGGGUUAACUAAGAAAGAAGCAAAAGAAAAGUGUGUAAUUUGUGUAUGUAUUUGUCCGUUUGCAUGUAUUUUUUUUUUUUAUAAUAAUUAAACACUUUGAACAAAACAAACACAUCAUUAUCUUGGAUUGAUGACUAAGAUUCGGUCAAAGGCUGCUGUGGAUCUAUACAGAAAGAGAAUUACAUACUAAAAGGUUGAACCCCAACCUUGAGCGUCCCUUCCUCACCGCCUUUGUCCUGUAGUAUCGUGAGCGAGGUAAAUCGCAGGAUAUGCCUCCAAGGAUACAGGGUGGAAGGUUGCUUGUACACUUGCACUUACUCAAGAGCCAAAUCCAUAUUUCAAGAUUCGAACCCUUGACGCAGCAGCCUCAAGCAAAACUGGAUUUCUCCACCCUCCCCUUUUACGACUUGGAAAUGUACCCUGGGGGCGAAAGAGAAUUACAUAUUUGUUGUAUGUUUUGAUGCUUCCUUAACCAGUUUCGAGAGAUACAUUUGAGUUGGAAUCUGCUAUCAAGAAUUGACUGCCCAAUUCGUUGUUCAAUCAAAGAUUUAUUGACACAUAAUCUGUCCAACUUUUCUCUCACCGUCAUUUGUGCUUGAAAACAAGUGUAAAAUGAUAUGUCAAUAUAUCAUUUGAUAAACAGCAAGUCGGAUAAACAUUUUUGGACAGCAAAUCUCAACUCAUUUUGUGUUGCCUUUUUUCUUCCUGCUUUUUCAUAACUUUUUUGUUAUGUUUAAUAAAUGGUUGCUACUUCGAAAAGAAAAGAUGGGUAGGGUCGGAGUCGAGGGUAAUUCCAAAUUGACGGUGAAAAUGUGUUGAAAUCUCAAUCACUUAAAUGAAUUCUAUUUACAUAUAGUUACUUGCGCUUGGUCACCAUGCUUUUGACCUGUUAUUGACUUUGGGGUCAAUGUUACUAGGUUGAAAUUGUCAUGCUUAGUAGUCAGGUAGACUCAAAUAAGCGAAUUUGAGCUUCGUAAAUCUUGUUGAAUUUCAUGAACGAAUGAUUGAAUUUGAGCUCACGAGAAGAAUACCACUUAAGGCGAUUUUAUCAUGUUAUUGUUAAGUCCGUUUUAAGUCGAUAGUGAUGAUUGUUUGUCUUCAUCAUAACAAAAGCUCACUAAAUGCUAGUGACUGACUUAUGCCUUCUAUUUCGAGGUGGGGCUCCUUGCCUAUGCUUUUCUAUUCAUCAUGCUAAUUCUUUCUUUGUACUGCAAGUCAGCUUACGAUAUUAUCAUGCACUAGUCUAUGUUAUGGAUUAGUUUGUAAGGUUCUCAAUAUUUUACUCUCUCUUGAAGAUAUUUCCGAGUACUUCACAAAUUUUUUUGUGUCAUUACAGAGACGUGGGGGCAAGCUGCAAUCACCUGAAUCUUUUCCAAAUUUUGAAAGCUUUAGUUCAAAGGGAAGAACACUGGGUCAAUAAAGUGUAAAGAAUUGCUUGGAAUUUGGUGCCCCACCUAAAGCUAAGUUUUGAACAAAACUAGAGAUGAAACAUGGAGCUUUAAAAAGAGGUAUUCACAAUCAAACUCGGAUUAGUAUCGUGGGGUUAGAAAUUAAAAUGUAAGUUAUAAACAACAUAAUAUUAAUGAAAUUAUGUUAAUACAAUACUAUAAUUGUAGUUUACACAUCUUGAUACUUUGAAAACGUCAUAUAAUUACAUCAUUAUUAAUAUUGUCAAAUAAAUUAUGCUAUUUGUAUAUUUUUGUUUACCAUCUCGUUAACAAUUGUUGAGCCGGCAAGAAUUAAAUCAAGUUGAAUGUAGGAAGGAAAUGUUUUGAAAUAAAACUCAAAUUUAAUCUAGGAAAUAAAUGAAAUUCAAACUUAAUUCGAAAGUAAUUCAAAUUACACUUACUCUAAAACGAUCCUAAUUUUUUUUACAUCAUACUUUAUGUAAAAUUUGCUAAUAAAAUAAUGUAAAUUAUAUUCAGAAAUUUGUUGUGCAAAAAUAAAAAGCAUUAAUGAAAUAAUUAAAAUUUUCUAAAAGGAAAGGUGAAUUAGACAUAUCUUUUAGAGAAGUACGUUUUAUGCACGUUUAACUAUGUUUGAUAUCUGUUUGGACCAUUCGAUAUAAUUAUGAUGUAGUUCUUGAAACAAGUUUCUGGGUGACGUCGGCGAUUUGUGGAUUCGGCUAGCAUAUAAUCGUCGACGAAUUUUUAAAAUUAGUAUAUUAUUGAAAUUCUCGAAAUACUACUUUGAAAUCACCUACUUUGACGCUCCGUAAAUUUUGCUACGAUUGGCCGUUUCACGNNNNNNNNNNNNNNNNNNNNNNNNNNNNNNNNNNNNNNNNNNNNNNNNNNNNNNNNNNNNNNNNNNNNNNNNNNNNNNNNNNNNNNNNNNNNNNNNNNNNNNNNNNNNNNNNNNNNNNNNNNNNNNNNNNNNNNNNNNNNNNNNNNNNNNNNNNNNNNNNNNNNNNNNNNNNNNNNNNNNNNNNNNNNNNNNNNNNNNNNNNNNNNNNNNNNNNNNNNNNNNNNNNNNNNNNNNNNNNNNNNNNNNNNNNNNNNNNNNNNNNNNNNNNNNNNNNNNNNNNNNNNNNNNNNNNNNNNNNNNNNNNNNNNNNNNNNNNNNNNNNNNNNNNNNNNNNNNNNNNNNNNNNNNNNNNNNNNNNNNNNNNNNNNNNNNNNNNNNNNNNNNNNNNNNNNNNNNNNNNNNNNNNNNNNNNNNNNNNNNNNNNNNNNNNNNNNNNNNNNNNNNNNNNNNNNNNNNNNNNNNNNNNNNNNNNNNNNNNNNNNNNNNNNNNNNNNNNNNNNNNNNNNNNNNNNNNNNNNNNNNNNNNNNNNNNNNNNNNNNNNNNNNNNNNNNNNNNNNNNNNNNNNNNNNNNNNNNNNNNNNNNNNNNNNNNNNNNNNNNNNNNNNNNNNNNNNNNNNNNNNNNNNNNNNNNNNNNNNNNNNNNNNNNNNNNNNNNNNNNNNNNNNNNNNNNNNNNNNNNNNNNNNNNNNNNNNNNNNNNNNNNNNNNNNNNNNNNNNNNNNNNNNNNNNNNNNNNNNNNNNNNNNNNNNNNNNNNNNNNNNNNNNNNNNNNNNNNNNNNNNNNNNNNNNNNNNNNNNNNNNNNNNNNNNNNNNNNNNNNNNNNNNNNNNNNNNNNNNNNNNNNNNNNNNNNNNNNNNNNNNNNNNNNNNNNNNNNNNNNNNNNNNNNNNNNNNNNNNNNNNNNNNNNNNNNNNNNNNNNNNNNNNNNNNNNNNNNNNNNNNNNNNNNNNNNNNNNNNNNNNNNNNNNNNNNNNNNNNNNNNNNNNNNNNNNNNNNNNNNNNNNNNNNNNNNNNNNNNNNNNNNNNNNNNNNNNNNNNNNNNNNNNNNNNNNNNNNNNNNNNNNNNNNNNNNNNNNNNNNNNNNNNNNNNNNNNNNNNNNNNNNNNNNNNNNNNNNNNNNNNNNNNNNNNNNNNNNNNNNNNNNNNNNNNNNNNNNNNNNNNNNNNNNNNNNNNNNNNNNNNNNNNNNNNNNNNNNNNNNNNNNNNNNNNNNNNNNNNNNNNNNNNNNNNNNNNNNNNNNNNNNNNNNNNNNNNNNNNNNNNNNNNNNNNNNNNNNNNNNNNNNNNNNNNNNNNNNNNNNNNNNNNNNNNNNNNNNNNNNNNNNNNNNNNNNNNNNNNNNNNNNNNNNNNNNNNNNNNNNNNNNNNNNNNNNNNNNNNNNNNNNNNNNNNNNNNNNNNNNNNNNNNNNNNNNNNNNNNNNNNNNNNNNNNNNNNNNNNNNNNNNNNNNNNNNNNNNNNNNNNNNNNNNNNNNNNNNNNNNNNNNNNNNNNNNNNNNNNNNNNNNNNNNNNNNNNNNNNNNNNNNNNNNNNNNNNNNNNNNNNNNNNNNNNNNNNNNNNNNNNNNNNNNNNNNNNNNNNNNNNNNNNNNNNNNNNNNNNNNNNNNNNNNNNNNNNNNNNNNNNNNNNNNNNNNNNNNNNNNNNNNNNNNNNNNNNNNNNNNNNNNNNNNNNNNNNNNNNNNNNNNNNNNNNNNNNNNNNNNNNNNNNNNNNNNNNNNNNNNNNNNNNNNNNNNNNNNNNNNNNNNNNNNNNNNNNNNNNNNNNNNNNNNNNNNNNNNNNNNNNNNNNNNNNNNNNNNNNNNNNNNNNNNNNNNNNNNNNNNNNNNNNNNNNNNNNNNNNNNNNNNNNNNNNNNNNNNNNNNNNNNNNNNNNNNNNNNNNNNNNNNNNNNNNNNNNNNNNNNNNNNNNNNNNNNNNNNNNNNNNNNNNNNNNNNNNNNNNNNNNNNNNNNNNNNNNNNNNNNNNNNNNNNNNNNNNNNNNNNNNNNNNNNNNNNNNNNNNNNNNNNNNNNNNNNNNNNNNNNNNNNNNNNNNNNNNNNNNNNNNNNNNNNNNNNNNNNNNNNNNNNNNNNNNNNNNNNNNNNNNNNNNNNNNNNNNNNNNNNNNNNNNNNNNNNNNNNNNNNNNNNNNNNNNNNNNNNNNNNNNNNNNNNNNNNNNNNNNNNNNNNNNNNNNNNNNNNNNNNNNNNNNNNNNNNNNNNNNNNNNNNNNNNNNNNNNNNNNNNNNNNNNNNNNNNNNNNNNNNNNNNNNNNNNNNNNNNNNNNNNNNNNNNNNNNNNNNNNNNNNNNNNNNNNNNNNNNNNNNNNNNNNNNNNNNNNNNNNNNNNNNNNNNNNNNNNNNNNNNNNNNNNNNNNNNNNNNNNNNNNNNNNNNNNNNNNNNNNNNNNNNNNNNNNNNNNNNNNNNNNNNNNNNNNNNNNNNNNNNNNNNNNNNNNNNNNNNNNNNNNNNNNNNNNNNNNNNNNNNNNNNNNNNNNNNNNNNNNNNNNNNNNNNNNNNNNNNNNNNNNNNNNNNNNNNNNNNNNNNNNNNNNNNNNNNNNNNNNNNNNNNNNNNNNNNNNNNNNNNNNNNNNNNNNNNNNNNNNNNNNNNNNNNNNNNNNNNNNNNNNNNNNNNNNNNNNNNNNNNNNNNNNNNNNNNNNNNNNNNNNNNNNNNNNNNNNNNNNNNNNNNNNNNNNNNNNNNNNNNNNNNNNNNNNNNNNNNNNNNNNNNNNNNNNNNNNNNNNNNNNNNNNNNNNNNNNNNNNNNNNNNNNNNNNNNNNNNNNNNNNNNNNNNNNNNNNNNNNNNNNNNNNNNNNNNNNNNNNNNNNNNNNNNNNNNNNNNNNNNNNNNNNNNNNNNNNNNNNNNNNNNNNNNNNNNNNNNNNNNNNNNNNNNNNNNNNNNNNNNNNNNNNNNNNNNNNNNNNNNNNNNNNNNNNNNNNNNNNNNNNNNNNNNNNNNNNNNNNNNNNNNNNNNNNNNNNNNNNNNUUAUCUAAAUACAAAGCUGAAUCCUGAAUGGGAAUUGAAAUUUGUUAAAUUCCGCUGUGCAUGUUUAAAUCAAUUCCCAACAUAAUCAUCGCAUAUGGAGCACUAUCAUAACAAUGUGCAGAAAAUCAAAACUGCAUCAAGAUGAGAGGAUGUGAUUUGCCAGAUAAAUAUCACAUGAGCGAUGGUGCAUUUAGAAGCAGAGAAAUCACCUGGAUCGCCAUGGUCACCACCUCCAAAAAACCAAUCCCUUCCACAGAUGUCAUCCACAUUGGAUCCUAGACCUGCAUCAUAUUACCCAUCUUAUCAAUUUAAGGCAAGAUCCUUCACAUUAAGGUUGCAAGAAAAUAAACUAUAUUUAGUUUCAUAGAUUGAUGCACCUGUUGGCCCAUUAUGAGCCAGGAUCACAACUGAAUGAUCCUCAGGAGUACUUAAAGCAGUUUGAUAAAUCCUCUUUGCACUUUCAUUUAAGUCAUGGAUACCAUAUCUGAUAUAAAUAAUUGCAAUUGCCAGAAUAAAAAAGAACAUUGAGGUGUCUCUAUGUUAGCAAUGAUCAUAUCGUUUUUACAUAUUUUAAUUAAAAUUAGGUUUUAGGCGCUUCUACUCACAAUCACAAAGAAAUUAGGUGGUGGAAGUAUAAAUGCAUAGAGAAGAGGGGGGGGGUGGGGGGGGGGGGGGGGGGGGGGGGGGGUGUCAUUUAGUAAAAUUACACCCUGUUUAAUAAUUUCAUUAUUACUUCAGUUUAUAAUAACUUCUGAUCUUUUAUAUUAAAUAACAGAGUACCUUUUUGCUGCGACAUACACAUUCUUUUAAUUCACAUAUACAUGAAAAAAAAUAUAGACAUUGAAAAAAUCCACUUGCAGACUCUCUGUCUCUCUCUCAGCAAAUCAGUCGUGCUGUGGGUUGGAUUCAUUUUUAAACACUUUUCUGAAUGUUGCCGACUUUGAGACACUGAAAUUGUCUCUGAUUAGAGGAAUUAUACCAGAAACACAGGUAUCUUUUUAGCAUAACAUGGAAAUAGGGCAAUCCUAACUUAUUUAAAAACCAUCCAAAAGUAAGCCAAUGUAGAGAAAACACGGGUCAAAAGGGUAGUCAAAGGGACUUGAGCCCAUUAAUCUAGAGGAUAUGCAUGGGAAAAAAUAGUCAAUGUGCCUUCAUCUAGAUAAAUCAGUGCAAAAGUUUAGGUUUAGACGCAAAUAUAAAUUCUUUUAGAACAUUUCAAAGUAAAUAUACGUUCCAUUUAUCUAAAAAAAAAUCGAUACCCUUAUGGUGGUCGUGGUGGCGGGGGCGGGGUUGUUUCUGGUUUGGGAAAAGGAAUUCCAUGUUCCAAUAAUCUCCUCACUUGAUGCUGAAUGAACUCACACGUGAACUUUCAACCUCUUUAUCCCUUUCCCUCCACUCAACUUUCUAGUUUUCUCAAAAAGCAAUACCAAAAUGAAUAUAAUGGGUUGCAAACUUUAUCCUAUAAUCAAAGUUUGAAUAGAUCAAAAAUCAAAAGGGAUUUUGAUAGCAAUCUGCAACAAAAAGAGAAACUAUAGAUUUGGGAACUGUAUAAAAUGCAAGGCAUUGUAACUUAAUUUUUCCCCUAAAGCAAGAAGUCAGAUGCAUAGACCGUGAAUGAGUCAACAUCACAAUUCCUGGAUUGUGAACUAACUACAGACUGUAACAUGGAAACAUAGCGAUGGAAACAUUACUGAAGCAAUUUAAAUCUCCAGAUAAAUGGCUUUGAAGUUCAAAUUAAUCAACCUACUAGAUUCAGAUACUUGCAACUACCGUCAUGAAAAUGUUAGUGAGGUUACAAUAUUUUACCAGCAAAUAUUAGAGCUGAUGUAUUGAAGAAUGUGCUGAGCUUUAACACUACUACUUAAGGAGCACAACAGAGAGAAAUUUCAAAUUGUCAAAAUCAGAUUUACAUUAACUAAUCAAAUCCCCACCUUGCUGUCAUUUGCCAUGUCAACCUAAUGCACAAUAAACAUUGGAACUCAUCUUCUUUAUUUUUCUUCUAAUUACAAACACAAUAACACAUUUUAUACUCACUGCAGAUACUCCUAUGUGAGUUAAAUUAAACUUUCCCUGCAGAAAAGUUCUGAGUGUUCCAGGCAUCAUGAUUUCCCAAAAUAAUUGUUUUGGAAAUUCCAAGAUUGGCUAUACUUCUAACACGAUCAACAUUCUCAUUACCAAAAUCAUCUGGAGAAGACCCCCAAAGAAAAACGAAAAACAAAAGGAACUGAUGAAUUCUUGACAUCCCAACAAUUGACCUAAUCUACAGAAUUAGCAAGAAAUACAAAGAGAAAGCAGGCACGCAAAUAAGUGGAUAAACAGCGUCACCUGCCUGUGAACAGCACCAGAUCCGGCUGCAUUAUCACACACACAAAAAAUAAUGAAUACAAGAAGAGAUAUAAAAGCAUUUAGAGUAAUAUUAUAUGCAGGCAGCAUGGAAUUGAAACUAAAAAAUUUAGGGCCUGUCGGUACUGAUUCUUAGAAUCAAUUUUUUGACCGUUAGAUAGAAAAGUCUGUGAGUGAAGAAGUAAAAAAUGACGACUGACUAUGUUAAAUAACAAUAAAAAAUUGAUUUUUUGGCUUGAAAAAUCAGAACCAAAUGGGGGCUUAAUACCCACCAAAAAGCAUUUCUAAAAUUAUUUGCUUCUUUACAAUCAAUGAGACUCUAUACUACAAUUUUUUGAGAGAAGUGGAAACUAUAUAGUAUAUAGAACCCUUUCUUUUCCCUAAUGUCUUCUAAAAAAAAAAAAAAANNNNNNNNNNNNNNNNNNNNNNNNNNNNNNNNNNNNNNNNNNNNNNNNNNNNNNNNNNNNNNNNNNNNNNNNNNNNNNNNNNNNNNNNNNNNNNNNNNNNNNNNNNNNNNNNNNNNNNNNNNNNNNNNNNNNNNNNNNNNNNNNNNNNNNNNNNNNNNNNNNNNNNNNNNNNNNNNNNNNNNNNNNNNNNNNNNNNNNNNNNNNNNNNNNNNNNNNNNNNNNNNNNNNNNNNNNNNNNNNNNNNNNNNNNNNNNNNNNNNNNNNNNNNNNNNNNNNNNNNNNNNNNNNNNNNNNNNNNNNNNNNNNNNNNNNNNNNNNNNNNNNNNNNNNNNNNNNNNNNNNNNNNNNNNNNNNNNNNNNNNNNNNNNNNNNNNNNNNNNNNNNNNNNNNNNNNNNNNNNNNNNNNNNNNNNNNNNNNNNNNNNNNNNNNNNNNNNNNNNNNNNNNNNNNNNNNNNNNNNNNNNNNNNNNNNNNNNNNNNNNNNNNNNNNNNNNNNNNNNNNNNNNNNNNNNNNNNNNNNNNNNNNNNNNNNNNNNNNNNNNNNNNNNNNNNNNNNNNNNNNNNNNNNNNNNNNNNNNNNNNNNNNNNNNNNNNNNNNNNNNNNNNNNNNNNNNNNNNNNNNNNNNNNNNNNNNNNNNNNNNNNNNNNNNNNNNNNNNNNNNNNNNNNNNNNNNNNNNNNNNNNNNNNNNNNNNNNNNNNNNNNNNNNNNNNNNNNNNNNNNNNNNNNNNNNNNNNNNNNNNNNNNNNNNNNNNNNNNNNNNNNNNNNNNNNNNNNNNNNNNNNNNNNNNNNNNNNNNNNNNNNNNNNNNNNNNNNNNNNNNNNNNNNNNNNNNNNNNNNNNNNNNNNNNNNNNNNNNNNNNNNNNNNNNNNNNNNNNNNNNNNNNNNNNNNNNNNNNNNNNNNNNNNNNNNNNNNNNNNNNNNNNNNNNNNNNNNNNNNNNNNNNNNNNNNNNNNNNNNNNNNNNNNNNNNNNNNNNNNNNNNNNNNNNNNNNNNNNNNNNNNNNNNNNNNNNNNNNNNNNNNNNNNNNNNNNNNNNNNNNNNNNNNNNNNNNNNNNNNNNNNNNNNNNNNNNNNNNNNNNNNNNNNNNNNNNNNNNNNNNNNNNNNNNNNNNNNNNNNNNNNNNNNNNNNNNNNNNNNNNNNNNNNNNNNNNNNNNNNNNNNNCGGACCGGGUUUAAUUAAUUGGAUUAAUUAAUUAUUGGACCGGACCGAGCCGAGCCUGUUUGGGUUUAUAUAAAUACAUAACUAGGGUUUGAGGUCCAUUAAGGUUUUCAUUAUUCUUGCUGGCACAAGAGAAAACCCUAGAGGCUGCAAUCAUAUUCUCUGUGUGGAUCACCGUUGGAGGCUGGACAAUUGGACAGCUGUGGUGGCGAAUCAAAGUUGUGGAACAAAAAGAAAAGCAAAAGGAUUGCAGAUCUGGAAAAGGUACAAUCUUAUCACAAUUUCUAUCUAAACACAAAGGCGAUUUUUGGUGGGAAUCGAAAAUUAUUUUAAAUUUCGCUGUGCAUGUAUAAGUAGAUUCCCAACAGGAAGAAGAGAAGGAAAUUGGCGAGUAAAUUUUAAUGAAUGCUUACCCAACAAUAAAAUAUAACACGUUGCUCACCCAUCUAUCCAAUAACUUACCCGUUGCUCACCCAUUUCAUCCCCGUCAAUCUAAGUUAACGGAGUAUGCCACACUUGGAGGACUGAAAUCCCACAUGGCACAAAUUUUCGUUCUCCACUGCCUAGACUUCACAAACUGCACACCAAUUCACUGCUGAUACUCUUUUGACCACGAUUGCUGAUGAAUUCUAGAAGUUGGAGUGUUCUUACUGUCGUAAAAGAGCUAGCUAAUGGAGAACCAGAGAGGUAUGAAUAACAUCUGCUCGGUGCUAAUAUUCUUGACUGCGAUCGCUGCUGAAUCCAAGAAGCUAGAGUUUUCCAUUUUCUGUCCUAACAGAGCUUGUUAAUAGAGCAAGAGAGAGGUAAGAAUAACAUCUAGUCACUGCAUAUUGAAUACACCUUCAAAUAUGAAAAUGGAAUUUCUUCGGUCUCAUUCUCCUGUGAAACAAGAAAAUCAAUAAUAUUUUCAUCGGUUUCCAAUUGAUUUUCUAACUUAUUUCAACGGGCAUUUCAGUCUGAAAAUGGAAUGAAUUUGAUGGGCCCACAAGAAGGGGAAAUAGAAAGAGGAAAUUACAUAAACUAAGAUAUUUGAAGAUUCAAUUUCAUAAAUCAUAAAUGAUUAAGUUUGUUAUUUCAAAAAUAAGAUGAUUACAUAAUUAAUUAAUAUAUAAAAAAAUAAUUAAUCAACCGUUCCAAGCCCUAAUCCAUUCAUUUUCUUCUUCACUUUCUCUCCACACUCUCUCUCUCUACCCUAUGUCUCUCAAGUCUCUCUGUCUACCAGACCGGCAUCGGCACUGAUCGUCACAACAGCUGCUGCGAAAUCGUCAGCGGUCCCAACGCUUAGAUACCGCCGUUGAUUCUUUCCAUUCUCUCUCUAUCGUGGCUGAUACAGAAUCAUCAUUGUCAAUCAGAGCACUCGCAGGGGUGCCGGCGCUCAAAUACCGCGACUGAGGCUAUCUGAUUCUCUCCAUUUCUCUCUACCGCAGCUACUGCAAAAAUUAUCAGCGUCGAUCGCCGCUUUGAGUACGUCGCAGGCACUGCCAUUGGAGGCAGAGUGACGUCGCAGGCAUCACUGUGGUGCUGCGUGUGUUGUGGUUGUGUAGUGAGAGUGAGAAUGAUUAAACGAGUUCAACAUGCACGAUAACAUAAUUAUUUUUUCCUUUUUUUACCUUGACAAAGUUAAGUGAUCAUGAACUUUAAAUUUUCAAUGGCCCAAAGAUUCCUUUUCUUACUAGCAUAAUUUCCUUUCCUUGACUAAGUUAUUCAUGCCAUGAAAUCAACCUUUCUCCAUUAGAUUUUAAUUUUCACCUAAUUAGAGGUGUGAAAAUGGCCCUUUUUCCAAUCCCUACUUAGACGGUAUAUAUAUUUUUCCACCAUUUGUAUUGGAUUUGACAUGACUUACUUUUAAAUCAAUGGAACUUCAAAAUUUUCCAUAUUUUGGUAACAAGAAUGUCAAUGGAUUGAAUGAUCAUGUGUUCACAAAUCACAACUAGGAACAUGUUCAUUUUGUUUAGAACUCACUUUUCUCAACAAGUUAGGACUUACUUUUAGGAUCCGUUUGAUUGUAAAGAUGGAAAAGACGAACCAAAUCCAUAUAAGUUGGAAAAGAAAAAACCACUAAAACCAUAGGAAUUUGAUUUCCAUACAAUUGGCCAAAAAUAUUCUUUAAGUGUUUGUACUUAGAAAUCUAAACUUCAUUUCUACUUUCAUAUCAAAUAGUCAAGUAGAAAACGAAUUCAUCGGAUGUGAUAUUUUCGAUUAAAUUUAGGACAACUUAUAAAAUAUCCUUAAAAUUAGGGGUGUUUUGAAAAAUCAUAUGAAAAGCUUUUUCGAAGUAAAAAAUACUGUGUAAAAAUUAAAAAAGUGAUACAAUGUCAUUUUUUUUAUAAACAUUGUGUCACUUAAAAAAAAAAAAAAGCAUCAUUGUAUUACUUUUUUUUUUUUUUUAAUAAAAAGUGAUACAAUAUCGCUUUUAAUAGUUUAGUAUCACUUUCUAUUAAAAAAUUACAUAAAAUGUCAUUUUUAUUAGAUGUUUAUCACUAUAAAAAAAGUGAUUGAAAUUUCAAAAAGAUGAUUGAAAAAGUAACAAAUACUAAAAAAAUGUGACAACAACUUUAAAAAGUGACAAUUACUAAAAAAAGUGACAAAAUUUCAAAAAAGUGAGAAAUUAAAAAAAAGUAACGAAUUUUAAAAAAUGACACAAAUUAAAAAAAAAUUAUACAGAUUCGAAAAAAGUGAAAGAAAAAUAAGAAAAAGUGACACAAACUAAAAAAAUAAAAAAUAAAAAAAAUGAAAAACACUCAAAAAUGUAUGAAACUAACAUGCUAUGUAAAUUCAUUUAAAUUUGACACUUCGAUGAAACCAACAUGCUGCUUAACAAUAUUCAGGUGAUUUGCUAGCUAAUUAAUCAUAAAUAUUAAACUUGAAUUUGACACUUCAAUGCAACAUCAUAUAUCUUAUUAUAUAAGGGCAAAAUAAAUAAAUAAAACACACACACAAUUAUUGAACAUUAUUCCCCCAAAAUCGUUGAGUUACGAGGUGAAGUUGAAAAUUGAAUCCUAAUCGCCAAAAAUAGAGAAGGUUUUGCCAAAUGAUUUUACCCUUUUGUCCCCAAAGAAUUUUAUAUGUAAUGACGGAAAAUUCAAAUUUUCAACUUGAAGGAAGUAUAUUUCAGCUUCUUCGUGUUUGGGCCGUAUGUGGCCUAAUUUUCCCUUUUAAUAAUAUCUGAAUUUUGAAAUUGUAAACCUUCUUUUCUUAAUUUUGAAAUAGGUCAUAGAUAAACUCUUAGAAAUGAAUUUUUCCCAAAAUAUUCAAAAGGGAACGAAUUUGAUGGGCUCAAAAUUGAAGUAAAUUAAUGCAAGACUAAACUGAAAAUGGAAUUGGAAUUUGGGUCUACUUUCUUGUAAUGGCCCUAGUCGGAAUUUUAAUCUGGGUAACUGGGUUUGCUAUCAUAUUCACGGAGGAACUCUAAGGUUAAAAUUCAAGGCUCAAAUAGAAGAGGAAAGGAGAAGAUGACUGUUGUUGCCAUUUCACAUGCCAUGCCAUCACCUGAUCCGUGCCACAUGAGAUUUUCGUCUGCCACAUGGCACAUUCCAUUCAUUUAGUAGAUGGAGACGAGAUGGGUGAGCGAUGGAUAAAGAAUUGGAUAGAGGGAUGAGCCAGCAAGUAGUAAUAUACACAAAAAUUGGGUGAGCAAUAGUUAAAUUUACUCGAAAUUGGCAAUAAACUACCUUCUGUAGUUGUAGCGCCUUUGAAUCUUCUUCUGGACUCCAAUCAUCAUCUUCAAAAAAAUUUGAUAAAAUUUUCCUUAAAUUACAUCAAAUAAAAUAUAUUAUACUAAUAAUCAAUCCUACAAUAGCUUUAAAAACACAAAUUAAUCAUAUUUUAUAUACGGAAUUACACUUUUGCCAAUACAUAGGGAAAAAUGUAUAUGUAUUGUAAGGAUUUUUAAUCAAUUGAUGGGCUUAUAUAUGUGAAUUAUUGUGCAUUAAAUUAAGGGAAAAAUUCACAAACCAUGUUUUAACUAUGCACAAUUCAAAAAUCAUAUGUUAAGUUUAAUUAUGCAAAAAUUAGGUUUUUAUUUAAUUAAUUAAAAAUAUUUAUUAAAUAAAGAUAAUAACGUCUCAAUUAUACAAUUAAUGGUCACAUAUUCAUAAUUAUAGGUCACAGAUUUAUUUACCGGUCACAUAUCAUCAAAUUAAUUGGUCACAGAUUAUUUCGUGAUUACAAAUAAAAAAUUUUAUAGGUUAAAAAUUAUUUCAAAGUUAUAGAUUAUUCAAAUUACAGGUCACAGUUUGUUACAAAUUAUUUUUUAGUCACAAAUUAUCAAAUUUUAAGGUUACAGUUAAAUAAUUAGUCACAAAUACUAAAAUGAUUGGUCACAAAUAACAAAAUAAUUGGUCACAUAUACCAAACACCUAACUCUGAUACUGAUUCACCACAAAUUUUUGGUCGCAGGCACCUAAUUAGUUGGUCACAUACGCCUAAUUAGUUGGUCACAAACGCCGCUACCACCUCAAAAACACAACAAAACAUGCCGAAAAAUCACACGACCACAACCACCACCAACACCGCACCAGAAACACCACCGCACAUAAUCAACACCUCACCAGCACCUCCAAAACAACCGUCGCAGAUCCCCAUAGCCGCCAGAUUGAAAAACCCUAAACCCCCCCCCCAGUGCAUAUCGAAAAAGAGAGAAUUGCAGCUUCGUCGUCGAUUUUAGUGCUAACAACACAACAAGAAGGCCACCACCAACCAUAUCUGACCCCACCAUACACCCACCACGACGCCAACACCAACACCACCGCAACCACACCGAUCACCACCACGCACAUCUCACAGCAUAUGUAUUAGUACUAGUGCACCACCGUCACCUUCAUGAACUGGUGCAUAUCGAAAAAGAGAGAAUUGCAGCUUCGUCGUCGAUUUUAGUGCUAACAACACAACAAGAAGGCCACCACCAACCAUAUCUGACCCCACCAUACACCCACCACGACGCCAACACCAACACCACCGCAACCACACCGAUCACCACCACGCACUCACGACGCACAUCUCACAGCAUAUGUAUUAGUACUAGUGCACCACCGUCACCUUCAUGAACUGAGAAGAAGUGGCAUCACCUUGCCACUGCAAUCGAGAGAGCCGCUGCGCAUCGUCAAUCGGUCAACGAACCAUACCACCACCAUCAACGGUGAACAAUAGAGGAAUGGGUCACCGACGUCGAAGAGUGAGAAGGAAGAAAAGGGGCCGAAACCAUCACUUGCAUCAUCGCGAUGCUGCUGCAAAUGCCCAUCCCUGUUGAAACUAAAAGUCGCAUCACCUCCUCCAUCGGCAUCGGCGCAUCUCCUUCAUCGCCGGUUGCAGUGUUCGAAGGUGUCGUCGGUGGUGAAGAGAGAAAGGGUAGACGGGGAUGGGAAAAUGUUUGUAAUGGAAUGGGUUGAAAUGAUUAGGGAUUGGAAUUAAUUUGGGGAUUUAGAGGUUGAGUAAUUAUAUAUAUAAAUCUGAUUUUUGAUUAAUUGAACUUUGGACCUGGUUUUUUAAAAGUGAUCUCCAAACACCUGCCAUUGUGUAAUUUCCACUUAAAUUAAAGGCCAUCGAAUUUGGUUGAGCUCAUUUAAAGUGAUCAACCAAGACUUCGGUUUUAGGCUUUAAUGCAUCCAAUUAAAGCGUUGGUUUAUAAAUGUAUAAAGACCGGGCCCAGUUCCUUAUUUCCACGAUGGGCCAAAUUAGGUCAAACGGACAUCUGUGUAUAAAUAGUGGUUAUGGUCCUCGAGUCACACGUAGAAGAUAUUUUAAGUNNNNNNNNNNNNNNNNNNNNNNNNNNNNNNNNNNNNNNNNNNNNNNNNNNNNNNNNNNNNNNNNNNNNNNNNNNNNNNNNNNNNNNNNNNNNNNNNNNNNNNNNNNNNNNNNNNNNNNNNNNNNNNNNNNNNNNNNNNNNNNNNNNNNNNNNNNNNNNNNNNNNNNNNNNNNNNNNNNNNNNNNNNNNNNNNNNNNNNNNNNNNNNNNNNNNNNNNNNNNNNNNNNNNNNNNNNNNNNNNNNNNNNNNNNNNNNNNNNNNNNNNNNNNNNNNNNNNNNNNNNNNNNNNNNNNNNNNNNNNNNNNNNNNNNNNNNNNNNNNNNNNNNNNNNNNNNNNNNNNNNNNNNNNNNNNNNNNNNNNNNNNNNNNNNNNNNNNNNNNNNNNNNNNNNNNNNNNNNNNNNNNNNNNNNNNNNNNNNNNNNNNNNNNNNNNNNNNNNNNNNNNNNNNNNNNNNNNNNNNNNNNNNNNNNNNNNNNNNNNNNNNNNNNNNNNNNNNNNNNNNNNNNNNNNNNNNNNNNNNNNNNNNNNNNNNNNNNNNNNNNNNNNNNNNNNNNNNNNNNNNNNNNNNNNNNNNNNNNNNNNNNNNNNNNNNNNNNNNNNNNNNNNNNNNNNNNNNNNNNNNNNNNNNNNNNNNNNNNNNNNNNNNNNNNNNNNNNNNNNNNNNNNNNNNNNNNNNNNNNNNNNNNNNNNNNNNNNNNNNNNNNNNNNNNNNNNNNNNNNNNNNNNNNNNNNNNNNNNNNNNNNNNNNNNNNNNNNNNNNNNNNNNNNNNNNNNNNNNNNNNNNNNNNNNNNNNNNNNNNNNNNNNNNNNNNNNNNNNNNNNNNNNNNNNNNNNNNNNNNNNNNNNNNNNNNNNNNNNNNNNNNNNNNNNNNNNNNNNNNNNNNNNNNNNNNNNNNNNNNNNNNNNNNNNNNNNNNNNNNNNNNNNNNNNNNNNNNNNNNNNNNNNNNNNNNNNNNNNNNNNNNNNNNNNNNNNNNNNNNNNNNNNNNNNNNNNNNNNNNNNNNNNNNNNNNNNNNNNNNNNNNNNNNNNNNNNNNNNNNNNNNNNNNNNNNNNNNNNNNNNNNNNNNNNNNNNNNNNNNNNNNNNNNNNNNNNNNNNNNNNNNNNNNNNNNNNNNNNNNNNNNNNNNNNNNNNNNNNNNNNNNNNNNNNNNNNNNNNNNNNNNNNNNNNNNNNNNNNNNNNNNNNNNNNNNNNNNNNNNNNNNNNNNNNNNNNNNNNNNNNNNNNNNNNNNNNNNNNNNNNNNNNNNNNNNNNNNNNNNNNNNNNNNNNNNNNNNNNNNNNNNNNNNNNNNNNNNNNNNNNNNNNNNNNNNNNNNNNNNNNNNNNNNNNNNNNNNNNNNNNNNNNNNNNNNNNNNNNNNNNNNNNNNNNNNNNNNNNNNNNNNNNNNNNNNNNNNNNNNNNNNNNNNNNNNNNNNNNNNNNNNNNNNNNNNNNNNNNNNNNNNNNNNNNNNNNNNNNNNNNNNNNNNNNNNNNNNNNNNNNNNNNNNNNNNNNNNNNNNNNNNNNNNNNNNNNNNNNNNNNNNNNNNNNNNNNNNNNNNNNNNNNNNNNNNNNNNNNNNNNNNNNNNNNNNNNNNNNNNNNNNNNNNNNNNNNNNNNNNNNNNNNNNNNNNNNNNNNNNNNNNNNNNNNNNNNNNNNNNNNNNNNNNNNNNNNNNNNNNNNNNNNNNNNNNNNNNNNNNNNNNNNNNNNNNNNNNNNNNNNNNNNNNNNNNNNNNNNNNNNNNNNNNNNNNNNNNNNNNNNNNNNNNNNNNNNNNNNNNNNNNNNNNNNNNNNNNNNNNNNNNNNNNNNNNNNNNNNNNNNNNNNNNNNNNNNNNNNNNNNNNNNNNNNNNNNNNNNNNNNNNNNNNNNNNNNNNNNNNNNNNNNNNNNNNNNNNNNNNNNNNNNNNNNNNNNNNNNNNNNNNNNNNNNNNNNNNNNNNNNNNNNNNNNNNNNNNNNNNNNNNNNNNNNNNNNNNNNNNNNNNNNNNNNNNNNNNNNNNNNNNNNNNNNNNNNNNNNNNNNNNNNNNNNNNNNNNNNNNNNNNNNNNNNNNNNNNNNNNNNNNNNNNNNNNNNNNNNNNNNNNNNNNNNNNNNNNNNNNNNNNNNNNNNNNNNNNNNNNNNNNNNNNNNNNNNNNNNNNNNNNNNNNNNNNNNNNNNNNNNNNNNNNNNNNNNNNNNNNNNNNNNNNNNNNNNNNNNNNNNNNNNNNNNNNNNNNNNNNNNNNNNNNNNNNNNNNNNNNNNNNNNNNNNNNNNNNNNNNNNNNNNNNNNNNNNNNNNNNNNNNNNNNNNNNNNNNNNNNNNNNNNNNNNNNNNNNNNNNNNNNNNNNNNNNNNNNNNNNNNNNNNNNNNNNNNNNNNNNNNNNNNNNNNNNNNNNNNNNNNNNNNNNNNNNNNNNNNNNNNNNNNNNNNNNNNNNNNNNNNNNNNNNNNNNNNNNNNNNNNNNNNNNNNNNNNNNNNNNNNNNNNNNNNNNNNNNNNNNNNNNNNNNNNNNNNNNNNNNNNNNNNNNNNNNNNNNNNNNNNNNNNNNNNNNNNNNNNNNNNNNNNNNNNNNNNNNNNNNNNNNNNNNNNNNNNNNNNNNNNNNNNNNNNNNNNNNNNNNNNNNNNNNNNNNNNNNNNNNNNNNNNNNNNNNNNNNNNNNNNNNNNNNNNNNNNNNNNNNNNNNNNNNNNNNNNNNNNNNNNNNNNNNNNNNNNNNNNNNNNNNNNNNNNNNNNNNNNNNNNNNNNNNNNNNNNNNNNNNNNNNNNNNNNNNNNNNNNNNNNNNNNNNNNNNNNNNNNNNNNNNNNNNNNNNNNNNNNNNNNNNNNNNNNNNNNNNNNNNNNNNNNNNNNNNNNNNNNNNNNNNNNNNNNNNNNNNNNNNNNNNNNNNNNNNNNNNNNNNNNNNNNNNNNNNNNNNNNNNNNNNNNNNNNNNNNNNNNNNNNNNNNNNNNNNNNNNNNNNNNNNNNNNNNNNNNNNNNNNNNNNNNNNNNNNNNNNNNNNNNNNNNNNNNNNNNNNNNNNNNNNNNNNNNNNNNNNNNNNNNNNNNNNNNNNNNNNNNNNNNNNNNNNNNNNNNNNNNNNNNNNNNNNNNNNNNNNNNNNNNAAUGGUUGAUUAAUUUCAUUUGUUUAGCAAUAUAAUUUCGGCGGCCUGUUGACGUGAAAUUGGAUUCAAUAGUGAUUCAGAAGCUAUUGAAUCCAUUUUUUUAUUAUUAAUUCUGGAUUUGUUCGCACGAAAAUCAUCAUGCCGGCGUGCGGUCUCAAUUUUAGGAUGGAUUUUAGGGCGGGGGUUGAGUCAUAAUUUUGGUGAUUUUAGGCCCCUGCUUACAAUUAGGGUUGAGGUUUUAAUUUUAAGGUUUAAGCCCAUGAUGUUUUAAAGUUCAUCCAAAUUGGGCCUUAAGUUUUGGGUUUAAUAAUUCUGUACCCAAAGUUUAAAAAAAUAUUGAAUUUGGGCCAUUAAAGUUUUGAAUUUUGCAAUUAAAGCCUUAAAGUUUAUAAUUAAUUUAAAUGGCUCCCAAAGUUUCAAAUUUUAAAAAUUUGAUCCCUAAAGUUUUGACAUAGUCAAUUUUUGGCCCCUAAAGUUUUCAAUUUAUUAAUUUUGGCCAGUAAAGUUUUGAAUUAAUUAUUUUUGCCUCCUAAAGUUUUGUAUUAUUAACCCUUAGGCCCCUGAAGUUUAAAACUAAAUGAAAUAUGCAAAAUUGGUGAUUCCGUUUCUCAAAUUUUGAUACUAAGGACUCUUUUGAGAGAUAUAAUAUUCGAAAAUGAAUUAAUUGAAGCAACAUGUUGCCAAAGCAACCUCUCUUGUGGAAAUUAAUUAACUUAGAAUAUUAAAUGAUUUUUUUGUGUGUGUUAUUCAUGCGAAUAUCGAUUGGCCCAAAGGAAGGUCAAUAUUUAGCCAAAUUUCACAUGCAAUUGUGGUGGUAAACAUGUGACGAUUAUUUAGUUUAACGUGUAAUCAAUAAAUCAGUUCAAAGAAAGGUUUAUUGAUUGACAUGUAUUUAUUGUCAGUGUUUGAUCACUACAACAAGAGUACUACUUACAAGUCAAUAUUUCUGUCCAAAGACUAGAUAUUGAUGUUGUGCUAGGUAUCUUGUGAUGAGCCCUACCAUUAUUUGAUAAUAUUAUUAUUUGCAUAUUGAGGAUAUUCAUGUGAGCCAUUAUUUUUUAUAGUUCUCAAUUCAGCUUCAGGUUCUGCUAAUAAUAUCUCUGCUAGCAUCAAUUCAAUUACAAUACUUAAUGGUCAUGAAACGUGCUAUUCUAGAACUAUUUCAGGGCACUAUGUCUAAUAAAGUAAACGCAACUAAUGUUUUUCAUAAGGACCUUGAGAAGAGGUUUGCCAAUAAUGAAAAUGUUGAAACUUGUACAAUUUUGACAAACCUUACUUCAAUGAGGUAUAAAGGAAAAGGAAAACUGACAAGGAAGCUGCAAGCACAGUACCACAAAAAAAACAACAUAAGGAACAAAUUGAGGAUGGUUGUUUCUUCUGUGGAAUUGCAGGUAAUAAGAAGAAGAAUUGUCCCAACUCUUACGUAUGGCGUGUGAAGAAAAGUAUUCUUCUUCAAUUGGUUUGUUCUGAGGUUAAUUUAACUUCGGUAUCUAGACACACAUGAUGGAUAGAUUCUGGUACAACAACUCACAUUAGUGUGCAUAUGCAAGGUUGCUUGAGUUGCCAAAAUCAAGUGAUGGUGAAAGAUACAUCUAUAUUGGUGACAGCAAGACAAUGGAAAUAGAGGUAAUAAAAAAUUUUAGAUUAUUGUUAAAGACUAGAUUUUAUUUGAAUCUCGAUGAAACAUUAAUUGUACCAGCUUUUAGAUGAAAUUUAAUUUCUAUUUUCGAUUUGGAUAAAUCUUAUUAUUGUUGUUCAUUUGGGAAUGGAAUAUUCAGUUUGUUUCAUGAUUCAAAAUUGGUUGAUUCUGGUUCUUUAUCAGGUUACGAUAAUCUUUAUUUAAUUGAUAUAAUUGCUUCUUUUAAUGAAUCCUUGCAUGUAAGUACUCAAGGUAUAAAGAUAAAACAAACAAAUAAAAGGAGAUUUUAAGCCAACAGGACUUCGGACGUCUUAGAACUUACACACACAGACAUUUGUGGACCGUUCCCUACGAGGUCUUGGAAUGUUCAAUCAUAUUUUAUAAGUUUGUAGACGACAUUUUCAAGAUAUGGCUAUGUAUAUCUCAUUCAUGAAAAAUCAUAGUCGCGGGACGUGUUCAAAAAACUAUAAAGCCAAAAUUGAAAACCAACUAGGCAAAAGGAUUAAAAGCAUUAGAUCUGACCAUGGUGAUAAAUACUAUGGAAGAUAUGAUGGUUCAGGUGAACAAAGUCCAAGGUUAUUUGCUAAAUUCCUAGAGGAAUGAGGUAUCGUUUCAUAGUACACUAUGCCGGGUUCGCCCACUAUGAAUGGUGUUGCUGAGAGACGAAAUAGAACGCUUAAGGAUAUGGUAAAGAGUAUGAUUAGUCAUUUUACCUUACCAGAAUCUCUCUGGGAUGAAGCAUUAAAGACCGCAGUGUAUAUAGUCAAUAUAGUUCCAACUAAAGCCAUUGAUAAAACCCCUUAUGAACUUUGGACGGGCAAGAAGUCUAAUUUAAAACACGUAAGAAGUCUAAUUUAAAACACAUACACAUUUGGGGAUGUCCAACUAAGGUAAGGCCUUAUAGGCCAAAUCAAAAGAAACUGGAUGCAAGGACCAUCAGUUGCUAUUUUAUUAGAUAUUCUAAAAAGUUUAGGGGUUGCAAGUUUUUUUUGAUCCCACAACUAAGGCAAUUUUUGAGAUAGAAAAUGCUCGAUUCUUUGAGGAUGUCUAGUUUGUGAGGGAGAGUAAGGAUUACAAACAAUGUAGGUCAACAAAUCAUUCCAGAAGAACAAACUCUACAGCCUCAAGAACCAAUGUCAUUAAGAAGAUCCACUANNNNNNNNNNNNNNNNNNNNNNNNNNNNNNNNNNNNNNNNNNNNNNNNNNNNNNNNNNNNNNNNNNNNNNNNNNNNNNNNNNNNNNNNNNNNNNNNNNNNNNNNNNNNNNNNNNNNNNNNNNNNNNNNNNNNNNNNNNNNNNNNNNNNNNNNNNNNNNNNNNNNNNNNNNNNNNNNNNNNNNNNNNNNNNNNNNNNNNNNNNNNNNNNNNNNNNNNNNNNNNNNNNNNNNNNNNNNNNNNNNNNNNNNNNNNNNNNNNNNNNNNNNNNNNNNNNNNNNNNNNNNNNNNNNNNNNNNNNNNNNNNNNNNNNNNNNNNNNNNNNNNNNNNNNNNNNNNNNNNNNNNNNNNNNNNNNNNNNNNNNNNNNNNNNNNNNNNNNNNNNNNNNNNNNNNNNNNNNNNNNNNNNNNNNNNNNNNNNNNNNNNNNNNNNNNNNNNNNNNNNNNNNNNNNNNNNNNNNNNNNNNNNNNNNNNNNNNNNNNNNNNNNNNNNNNNNNNNNNNNNNNNNNNNNNNNNNNNNNNNNNNNNNNNNNNNNNNNNNNNNNNNNNNNNNNNNNNNNNNNNNNNNNNNNNNNNNNNNNNNNNNNNNNNNNNNNNNNNNNNNNNNNNNNNNNNNNNNNNNNNNNNNNNNNNNNNNNNNNNNNNNNNNNNNNNNNNNNNNNNNNNNNNNNNNNNNNNNNNNNNNNNNNNNNNNNNNNNNNNNNNNNNNNNNNNNNNNNNNNNNNNNNNNNNNNNNNNNNNNNNNNNNNNNNNNNNNNNNNNNNNNNNNNNNNNNNNNNNNNNNNNNNNNNNNNNNNNNNNNNNNNNNNNNNNNNNNNNNNNNNNNNNNNNNNNNNNNNNNNNNNNNNNNNNNNNNNNNNNNNNNNNNNNNNNNNNNNNNNNNNNNNNNNNNNNNNNNNNNNNNNNNNNNNNNNNNNNNNNNNNNNNNNNNNNNNNNNNNNNNNNNNNNNNNNNNNNNNNNNNNNNNNNNNNNNNNNNNNNNNNNNNNNNNNNNNNNNNNNNNNNNNNNNNNNNNNNNNNNNNNNNNNNNNNNNNNNNNNNNNNNNNNNNNNNNNNNNNNNNNNNNNNNNNNNNNNNNNNNNNNNNNNNNNNNNNNNNNNNNNNNNNNNNNNNNNNNNNNNNNNNNNNNNNNNNNNNNNNNNNNNNNNNNNNNNNNNNNNNNNNNNNNNNNNNNNNNNNNNNNNNNNNNNNNNNNNNNNNNNNNNNNNNNNNNNNNNNNNNNNNNNNNNNNNNNNNNNNNNNNNNNNNNNNNNNNNNNNNNNNNNNNNNNNNNNNNNNNNNNNNNNNNNNNNNNNNNNNNNNNNNNNNNNNNNNNNNNNNNNNNNNNNNNNNNNNNNNNNNNNNNNNNNNNNNNNNNNNNNNNNNNNNNNNNNNNNNNNNNNNNNNNNNNNNNNNNNNNNNNNNNNNNNNNNNNNNNNNNNNNNNNNNNNNNNNNNNNNNNNNNNNNNNNNNNNNNNNNNNNNNNNNNNNNNNNNNNNNNNNNNNNNNNNNNNNNNNNNNNNNNNNNNNNNNNNNNNNNNNNNNNNNNNNNNNNNNNNNNNNNNNNNNNNNNNNNNNNNNNNNNNNNNNNNNNNNNNNNNNNNNNNNNNNNNNNNNNNNNNNNNNNNNNNNNNNNNNNNNNNNNNNNNNNNNNNNNNNNNNNNNNNNNNNNNNNNNNNNNNNNNNNNNNNNNNNNNNNNNNNNNNNNNNNNNNNNNNNNNNNNNNNNNNNNNNNNNNNNNNNNNNNNNNNNNNNNNNNNNNNNNNNNNNNNNNNNNNNNNNNNNNNNNNNNNNNNNNNNNNNNNNNNNNNNNNNNNNNNNNNNNNNNNNNNNNNNNNNNNNNNNNNNNNNNNNNNNNNNNNNNNNNNNNNNNNNNNNNNNNNNNNNNNNNNNNNNNNNNNNNNNNNNNNNNNNNNNNNNNNNNNNNNNNNNNNNNNNNNNNNNNNNNNNNNNNNNNNNNNNNNNNNNNNNNNNNNNNNNNNNNNNNNNNNNNNNNNNNNNNNNNNNNNNNNNNNNNNNNNNNNNNNNNNNNNNNNNNNNNNNNNNNNNNNNNNNNNNNNNNNNNNNNNNNNNNNNNNNNNNNNNNNNNNNNNNNNNNNNNNNNNNNNNNNNNNNNNNNNNNNNNNNNNNNNNNNNNNNNNNNNNNNNNNNNNNNNNNNNNNNNNGUAUUGUGAAGGUAACAAAUUUCUUACACGUAUAUGUAUAACUAAGUAUGAUGAUAUGUGAGUGACUGUCUUUGGGGAGGGAGGGAGGGAGAGAGAGAGAGAGAGAGAGAGAGUAAGAGCUUACAACGUCGCCAACGACAGCGAUUCGGACGGAGCUAGCCAUGGAAAAGUGGCUUCCGUCGAGUUUAGACAGCUGAUGAGAAUAAAAGAUUCCAUAGCGAAAUGAGGCGCGUGUGGCCACGUACAAUUGCUGAACAUUAUGUGUAUUGUACAGUUCACCUACCAACAGUUUUGAAUUUUCUAGUUGGUAAUUUCAAUUUAUUUUAAUUCACUUCUUAUGUUCUCAUAAAUGAUGUCAAUUUGGCUCGUCAUCUCGGACCACCCAUAACUCGGCCCGAAAAAGGUUCGUGCCAGCUUAGUUCGAGACUUGGUGCAACCGAACCUAAGCUUCAAGUGAGCCCCAUCUUGGGGUGACAAGCCAAGCCCAAGCCGACCCGUGUAACUCACAGGCCGACUCGUAUAUAAUAAAUAAAAAAAAUUAAACAUAGCAGCUGCUACCUUUUAGGCAGCCAUGCAGUGCCUUUACAUUAGGUAGCUCCACGUUGCCUCUACAUAAAAAAAAAAAAAAUCGAGCCAUAUCAGGCCAAACCGAAAGCUCAAGUCAAGUCUCAAUUUUUUGGUCGAGCUUUUGCUUGACUCAACUCUGGCAAAAAAAAGCCCAUCUUUAAAGUGCUCGAGCUAAGCCCAAGCCUUGAUUUUUUACUCGUGAGCCGACUCGACUUGUUAACACCCCUAUGCUCUCACUUCUCAAGUCAAACAAGAAAAUUAUUUAAAUUUCAUUUUAGCUACAAUAUGACACCUAGUUAAGAGAAAGCUCACCUAGUGUAAUUAAAAAUGAGAUUUUUAAUAUAUUUUGAUAAAAGUCGAUGGUUGAAACAUUGUUGAUCCUAAAUUUUAACUUAAAAUUUUGUUAUUAUAAGUCACACCAAAUAGGAACAAAGUGUAUACAUCCUACUACACAAGAUAGAGGAAUUCAAAUAUAUAGAUGAGUGGGAGUUUACCUCGUAAACAAGUUCUAUGGAUUAAUAUUCUUUGUACGACAUGUAUAUGUAGAAGUUUAUAUAAUGCUUUGCAUACACAUGAUAUGGUGGAAUAUGAUUAGAUCACAAUUUCUUUAACCAAAUUAAAAAAUAAUAAUAAUAAUAAAUAAAUAAAGCCCUUUCCCGCUCUCUUUUUGCACCUUAUAUGUAUGUGAAUCAUAUGUAAUUGCUUUUAUAAAAAUAUCAUUAUUCUUAUUCUAAUUGUAAGUGUAAAUUCUAUUCAUUAUCGCAUAUAGUGGCUAUCGGUAGAAAUUAUUGCUCAGUGGUUUAAGAUUCUAGUAGAAAUAUCCUUGACUCCGAAAUUUAAAAGGUAUAUCUUUUUUUUUUUUUCAAUUUGAAUUAAGGGAUUUAAAUAUUUUAGUCUUCAUUAUUUUAUAAGUCUAUUUGGUGUAGAUUAAAUUCUCCGAAAAAUCUAGAGUUGAAGUUAUAGAUCCACAACUUUUCAAUCACAUGUCAUUAACUUUUAUAAAAAUUUAUUAAAAAUCUGAUUUUAAUAUAUAUCAAACAGAGACUAAAUUAUAAUGAACUAAUAUGUCUUUGACACUUAAAAAUCUUGUAGUUUGUCUAGCACAAGCCUAGCUGUUGGGGAACAACGCCAAGCAUUGACUGGAAAGUUUCCCUAAUCAGGCGCCUCUAGUAGCAUAAAGUUUUAUGUAUGCAUUUCUUCUUUUAUGGGUUUUCUUUUUUUUUUUAGAGUAGAUAUUUAAUACUUCCAUAAGCUUAAGGGUCCGUUUGACACAGCUGUUGUGAGUAAAGCUUCUAACAGUAGACUUUUAGGGUAGAGCUUUUAAUAAAAAACCAAUGAUUGUUUGGGUGUGAAUCUAUCCAAAAAGAGUAUUUUAUUAUAAAUUUUAUAUUUAUUUAAUUGGGUUGCAAGUUAGAAAGUUUGUGUGUGUGUGUGUGUAUUUUGAUGAUUUUCAAAUUUAAUUAAAUGUAAAUAAUAAUUUUUGUAAAGUCUAAGUAGUGUCAUAUACGUGCUAUAUAAAUUCAAAUAUAGUGUGGGAGUAAAUAUUUUGAAAUAAAAACAUUGAAAUAGAUAAUGAAAAAUUAACGAAAUAUGAAGAUAUAAGAGUUAUGCACUUAGCAAGAUAAUUUCAUGCUCAGUCGCUAAAGGAACUAGGUAUUCAUACUUGCAUAUUUUAUCUUCACUGGAAAGUAUUUAUAAAUAGUUGUUUUUAAAUAAAUAGAAAUGAGUAGUAAAUAAGUAAGUAAUACUGGUGAGUAGGCCUGGGCAUUUUAAUCGGAACCGAAUCUCCCGAAUCGAAAUCGAAUCGAAAUCGGAGGUUCCUGUCCGGUUCGCUCAAAAAAUAAAUUAAGAAUCGGAACCAAGAACUGAUUAUCAACUAGGUUCAGUUCGGUUCUUCGUUCCUGAACCAGAACUGUGGCUACUCAAGUAGAACCGAUUUUUAUAAAAAAAAAAAUUAAAAAAAAUUAUUACAUUUUAUAGGUUGAAAAAACAUAUAAAACCUAAAAAUUCUAAUUUUGGUAGUAAUUAGUCUAAAACUCUAAACUCUAACUUUGAAAAAUAAGAUUGACUCCUACUUUUUUACAUCUUGCCUUACAUUAGAUUGAUGCAUUUCAUAUGUUAUUAUAUGUUAAUGUUUACAAUUUGAGUUUUUUUAAAUCAAAAAUUUCAAACGAAUUGUGGUAUAAGUUGAUGAAUCAAAACGUUUAUGCUUUGCAAUUUAAGUUUUUUUACUUUCUUGUGUUGUUAAUAAACUUAAAUGAUUUUUUUAAUUUUUCAUAACACGUGGCAACUUAUUUUGACAUAUUCAUUGCUUGCAUUGUGUUGUACAUUUUUGUUAUCUUGAGUUCGUGAUUCUCUUUUUAAAUAUAAUAGUGCCUUAUAUGAGAACAGUCAUACUUUGACGGUGUUGGAUGUUGUUCUAUCAAGGGUUACUAAUACGACAUCAUUCGAGUAUGUCAAGAAUCAUCUCAAGGUUGUGAAUGAUCAAUAGAGGAUUCAUCACUUUUAGAUAGUAAGAGAUUAUCAUCUACAUUUCAUCAGGUUGAGUCGAUAUCGAAAUCCUUGAUCAAGGUGUACUCAUAAGUCGAAAAUAAGUUUUCGACUUAUACUGACUUAACAUGGAGUGAAAGAUAUGAUCAAUAAUCAAGAUUAAUACAUUUUCAUAUCUUGUAAUUGAUCGGAUCAUAUUGAAGAAGGGAUUAUAAUUUGACAGUAAACGAACAAAUUUGGUUUUGUCAUACCACGUGACAUUUCCUGUCACAUGUAUUGCCCUAACACAUUACUAGAUGUUAAUCUAAGACGACGAGUAUGAAUUGGUGAUAAAUUAAAAGGAGUGUUUUAAUUUAUCAAUUUUGAUUAGAUCAAAAUAAUAAUUCAUGUCAUUAGGUAUCGUGAUUGGGAACUUGAUGGGUCACACACAAAUGAAAAACUGGAAGAUUGUUUUAUACCAAUUAAUUAAUUUAACAAGCAUUGGAUAAAUUAAUUAAUUGGAUUACUUAUUUACUGGCUCGGAUUAAUUAAUUAGAUUGAUUAAUUCAUGGACCGAAUUUAAUUAAAUGGGUUAAUUAAAUCUUGGAUCGGUUUAGGAAACGGGCCAAGCCCGUUUGGGCUUGUAUAAAUAUGUGGCUAAGGUUUAGAGUUUUGUAGAAAAAUCAUUCUUCUUGCUAGCACAAGAAAACCCUAGCGUUAUAAAAUCUGUUUCUCUGUGUGGAUUUUCAUUAGAGGCUGGACAAUUGGAUAGUUGUGGGAGGCAAAUCAAGGUUACUAAUGUAGCAUUAUUUAGGAUUACAAGUGAGACAAGAAGCUUCAUUCAGUUUGUUCGAGAUGACUUAUAAAAAGGGCUAUGUAAGGGUUGGUUUUUGAUAUAUUUGUUUGAUCAGUUUUAACCCACAAGAGCGUGAUCAAAACACAAUUUAUAUGAAUGAAAAUUUGGACAGAUUUUUGAUAUAAAGAUUACGCAAAACAAGGAUUAAGAAGGAGUAGAAAUAGAGAAUAAUCCAAUGUGAGACGAUAUGUCUUUCCUUAAGACAAAUUGCCCUACUACGGUGCUCACGGUGAAUGGCACUUGUCUCCCAAGAUACAAUGGAUUCACAACUUGUGAUAGCAGCACUUCAAACCACAAGAAACCGACGAACUUUUGACAGAAUUUCCUCACUACAAAGGAAAUGUAUGAAAUGCUAUGGAAUUAGAAAGGAGAGAAUUGCAAGUGGAGAAUGAAUGCUCAAUGCAAUUGGUGUACCCAAAACCAUGUCCAUAGGGUUCUAUUUAUAGAUGUAGAAAUGGUGCAAAUGAAGUAGUGUGGGCCAAAACAUGCAUCCUUUUAAAAAAGUUGCAACACUUAGCCAAAACAUGCAUCCUCUCUAAAAGUUGCAACACUUCAUUUCUUUCAACUUUGAUCCGCAAUUUUUCAUUCAUCCGAAAUUGGUUUUGAGAUUCCAAAUAUACCACGACGAUUUACUCGACGAGUAGAAUAAGUUGGUCUAUUUAAUUUUUAAUUUGACUAUUGGAUCAGUUCCGAAUAUUUGGUCGAAACUGACACGUAGUCACACCUUUUCAUUUUCCACUUUUACAUACCUUUUCAUUUUCCAAUUUUUGGUUAAUAAUUUCAACCAAUUCCUACAAUUCCCCCACAUGAAUGAAAACUCGGAUACACAUAUGCAAAUGCAAUGAUAUGAUGUAAUGUAGAGAGGGUGCGAAAAAAAUACUGCAUUAGGGAUGGUGGCUUUUGGCCUUGAACCUCCCUUAGUGAAAUACUAUCGAACUUACUCGGCUAAUUGGUGAACAAUAGGUCUUGAACCACUCGACCUUUGGUGUAAGUCAAGACAACUGUACUCACACAGAUAUCUUCCCUAUUCUAUACCUAGUUCUCAUGACUUGGUUCAUUUUGGCCUUGAACCCUUCUUGGUUUCAUGAGUGUUUAGAAAAUUCAAACCUUAAACAAUUCUUAUCGAAGCAGCCCCACUUCACACUUACAUAGGCGGCCUCCUAUUAAGAGUAUUCUGCCCUACUCCACUAGACUUAAUCAAGAUAUAGGAAUUAUUAAAAGAUAAUCUUAGCCUCUAUUCACUCUGCAGAAAGCACUUUAGUAUCAUAGGGAUGAGUUAGGAAUUUUAAUUUCUUAAGUGCUUCAUGGAAUUUUUACAACUUAGUUGUCCCUUUGGACCAAGAUCAUGGGAUAUCCAAUCAACAAGAUAGGGUUACCAUUGCAAAAACUCUUACAUAGUAGACUUUAAUACCAUUCCUCUCGAUAGGCAAUGCAUUUGAUCUCUAGGCAAACUUUUCGUAAAUGGAUCCGCAAUAUUCUGCUUUAAUUUCACAUAAUCUAUGGAGAUAAAGCCAUUUGAGAUCAGUUGCUUAAUGGUGUUAUGUCUACGAUGAAUAUGUCUAGACUUACCAUUAUACAUGUUGCUUCGAGCACUUCCAAUGGCUGAUUGACAAUCACAAUGUAUACUUAUCGUAGGUACUGGCUUGGGCCACCAUGGAACAUCUUCUAAGAAAUUUCGAAGCCAUUUUGCUUCUUCUCCAGCUUUGUCCAAAGCAAUAAACUCAGAUUUCAUCGUUGAUCGAGCCAUGCACGUUUGCUUUGUUGAUUUUCAUGAUACAGCAGCUCCACCAAUGGUGAAUACAUAACCACUAGUGAACUUGGAAUCCUUCAUAUCGGAUAUCCAAUUCGCAUCACAAUAUCCUUCUAGUAUCGCAGGAUAUUUUGUGAAGUGUAAUUCAUAGGUUAAGGUAUACUUCAAGUACCUUAGAACCCCUGUCAAAGCCUUCUAAUGAUCAUGGUUUGAAUUACUUGUAAAUCUACUAAGUUUAUUCACCGCAAAAGCAAUAUCCAGUCGAGUGCAGUUUGUAAUAUACAUGAGACUGCCAAUUAUUUGUGAAUACCUUUGUUGUGAUAUGCUUUUUCCCGUAUUCUUGACUAAGUGCAUACUUGGAUCAAGAGGAGUUCUCGCAGGAUUUUUCUCAAACACGUCAAACUUCUUAAAUACUUUUUCUAUGUAGUAAGAUUGUGAAAGUACAAUUUUAUCCUGCGUUCUAGAGAUUUUAAUCCCUAUGAUUAUAUCUGCCACACCCAUAUUUUGCAUAUCGAAAUGCUUUGUUAGCAUCUUUUUGGUGUUAAACAACAUUUCGUGACUAUUGCCCAUUAUUAACAUGUCGUCCACAUAUAGACAUACAAUUACAUAGGCAUACGGUGUAUGUUUAAUAUAUACACAUUUGUCAUAUUCGUUGAUCUUGAAUCCAUUUGACAGCAUCGUUUUGUUAAACUUUUGGUGCCAUUGUUUAGGAGUCUGUUUUAAUCCAUACAAGGACUUAACAAGUUUACACACUUUGUUUUUUUGGUUAGGAGAAACGAACCCUUCAAGUUGCUCCAUGUAAAUCUCCUAUUCUAACUCACCGUUUAGGAAUGCUGUUUUUUAUAUUCGUUUGAUGAAUCCCAAGAUUGUAUAUUGUCGCAAUUACAAUUAACAACCUAUCGACGUGAUUCUAGUCACAGAUGAGUAGGUAUCAAAGAAAUCAAAUCCUUCUUUUUGCCUAUAUCCUUUAGCAACCAAUCUAACCUUAUAUUUAUCAAUGGAUCCAUCAGUUUUCAAUUUCUUUUUGAAUAUCUAUUUGCAUUCUAAAGGCUUGUUACCGGGAGGUAAAUUAACCAACUCCCAUGCAUGGUUUUGCAUUAUAGAAUCUAUCUCAUUAUUGAUAGCUUCUUUCCAAUGCGGUGCUUCCGGUGUAGACAUUGCUUCAUCGAAAGUCUUUGGAUCAUCCUCUACCAUAUAGGUUAGAAAAUCUGGGCCAAACGUCUUGGAAGUCCUAGCCCUUUUACUACGCCUUGGUUUUUCCUCAUUUGAAGUUCCAUUAGUAGUUUCAUAUGUUCUCUUGUUAGAACUCGCAUUUUUCUUAUCUUUGCAAGGAAAAAUAUUUUCGAAGAAUAUCACAUUUCUUGAUUCAAUUAUGGUCCCUUCAUGUACUUCUUGUAUUUCGGAUUUGUGUACAUAUGCACUACUAUUAUUGGCGUAUCCAAUAAAUAUGCAAUCUAUCGUUUUAGGACCGAUUUUCACUUGUUUAGGCUUAGGUACCUCAAACAUAGCCAAACACACCCACACUUUUAAGUAUUAGUAGGAUGAAGGAUGGCCUUUCCAUAGUUCAUAUGGUAUCUCUUCCAUUUUGUUAAGAGAUAUUUUAUUAAGAAGACUAUUUGCCAUUAAAAUAGCUUCCCCCACAUGUUCUGUGGUAAACCCGAACUUAUUAACAUGCCAUUCAUCAUUUCUUUAAGUGUUCGAUUUUUGCAUUCUGCAACACUAUUUGAUUGAGGAGAGUAAGGUGCCGUUGUUUGAUGAACAAUUCCAUGUUCAGAACAAAAGUCUUCAAACGGUGCCCCAUAUUCACCUCCUCUACCACGACGAAUAUUUUUUUAUUCAUUUUUCAAGUUUUGUUUCAACUUCAGCCUUAUAGGUUUUGAAUGCAUCUAAGGCUUCGUCUUUACUUCUCAAAAGAAAGACAUAACAAAACUUUGUACAAUCAUCAAUAAAUGUCACAAAGUAUUUUUUACCACCUCGAGUUUGUACAAAUUUUAGAUCACAUAUAUCGCUAUGGAUCAAUUCAAGAGUUGUUGUGUUCCUUUGUAUUGAAUGGAAUGGUAUUUUAGCCAAUUUUGUUUCAAUAUAUAUUUCACAUUUAUGAUUAGGAUUGAUUUUAUGCGUCAAAAUUAAAUUUUGAUUCAUUAGUUUGCGCAACGAUUUGUAAUUCACAUGUCCUAAUCGACUAUGCCACAAACAUGAAGGCUCAAGCAAGUAAACGGAAUUUAUAGUUUUAUUCAUAACGACUUGCUUCGGUACAAUUGUAAGAACGUUCAACUUGAACAUUUCAUCACACAUGUAAUACUCCGAAAUUUUAUGCACGUUUAAUUUGCUCAUUUAAUUUUUAGGCUAGCAAUUUAACUUUUCAAAAAUUUUGUAUGACCAAGAUUAUUAAUGGUCGCCAAAUUUGCAUUGGUCAAUUUAUUAAAAGUUUACCAAGAUUAGUUAAUUAGGGGUUUAGAAUAAUUGUCAAAUUCUAUACCUUUUACGUUAAUAUAUUUUCCCUUUGUUUCUAUCACUUUGCCGCCACCUUGUAGAGGAUUAAUGCAAUUAACUAAUGCAUGGACAAGUGGGAAUACAAAUUAAACCAUUUCUCUCAUUUUUUUAUAUACACACAUAUGCAAUAUACAUAUAUAAAUGCAGCAGGACGGCAGAUUAGAGAAGAAUUCAAGUAAGAUUUAACUAAUGCAUGCAUGGGGUGUUAAUUGUUGAACAAGUAGGAGGUGUCAAGCUAUCUUUGUAGUAACAUGCAUGCAUGAGGUGGUUUAAGCAGGUAGGAGGUGUUAAAUUAUGGCACAACCUGACCUUAGGUGUUGAGUUAAGUAUAUGAAAUACAUGCAUGCAACCACGUGUAGAUGUAGGCAACAAUUUUGGUUAAUUAUCUUCACUUUGCUUCUAUAUAUGUAUAACCGAGAGAUGAGCAGCCUAUAUAUCUUUGCAAAAUCAGAAUUUUUAUGGAGAGAUAGAGAGAAAAUCGGCAGGAAGAAAGGAAGAAAAAAAAGAAAAGGAAAGGAAGAAAAAGGAAAACAAAGCCUACACUCUCAAGUUCUUGUUUUUCAACCGAAGUUUCUCCAAGUUUUAUUGUAAGAUACUUUCUUUGCUUAAGUGGUAGGAUUUCAUGGUAAUAUUUAUGCCUAAGCUAUGCAUGAAAAACCAUAAUAUGAAUGUGUUGACAAGUCCACAAAGUUAGAUAUCUAUGCCUUAGGACAAGUCCGAAGGGCACGGGCAAGCCGGAAUGUGCAAGUAUGUAUUUGAUUGCAUUCUUUUGUGUAAUAUUAACAUGUUAAAUCCAAGCAUGGUAUCUUACUUAGUAUUCUUUAUACUCAUAGUAUCCUAUACUAAAUUUUCAGAUCCAUAGAUGUGAAGUUGGUGGAAGUCAGUCGGCAUAAUCGAUGAUGGAUUAAGGACGAAGGUUAUUUUGCAUCGAAGUUUUGUUUUUGCAUGUUUGUUCGACUGAUCUCCAAAUGUUUUUCUUAUGGUGUUGUAUAAAAACUUGUAUAAGACAUGAUCUACAAUGGUACCGGAAGUAAAUUAUGUAAUUAUAUCUUCCAUGUUAUGUUAAGAGACAUUUUUAUAAACCUUUUUCUUGAAUGAUAAAAAAGGGCAGAAUCCGGGCAGUUUCUGGGUCAUUUUCAAAAAAUUAUUUCUAACUCUAUAGACAUCCAUUUGAUAAUCUAAAAAUACUGCUGCGUUCAUCUUUGAGUUUUCUAAAUAUGGGCACAAGAAUCACUCAAUUUGGAUGUCCGUGGCCUGAGAUAUGAAUUUUUAAACAUUGAAGAGUCAAUCUGGAUUUUCUGUGCAACACUACAAUGUUUUCAGUAAAACGUCCAUACUAUAUGAUCUCGUAAAAUUCUCAUAUUUUAACCUAGGAAACUACUUGAAAUUAUCUUUCUAAUGCCACAAAUUUCAUAGAAAACGGAUUUGGGAUGAAUUUUAUAAAAAUAGUUGAACUUGCUGCCCUAACUGACUGUGGCAGUACCGAGUCCUUUUUUUUGUAAAGUUUAAUUCCACGACGACAUGCACUUCUGCUGGCCAUUAAAUUUCAUGAGAGAUAUUUUACCAAAUUGAAAAUAGUUUUCUAACAUGUAAUACUUCUAUUUAAGAGUAUUUACAUGUACCAAAGGUAGAAGUUACUAUGUUUAGUACGUGACCCUGGAAGCCUAAGUUCGGGGCGUCACAGCGCAUAUAUCCUUUCCCUGCAUACAUCUCAUUCUUAGACAACACAAAUUUAUCGGAUACAAAUACAAGUUUAAAAUCAUUCUUGCUAAGUAGAGACCCAGACACAAAAUUCUUUCUUAUAUCCGGUACAUGUAGGACAUUCUUGAAGACGAGUUCUUUCCCGAAUGUCAUCUUCAAAGUGAUUUUGCCUUAUCCUUCAACUUUAGAAUUUGCAGAAUUUUUCAUGUAUAGUUGUUCCCCAUUCAAUUCUUGAUAGUUGGAGAACAUCCCCUUGUCUGCACACACAUGGUGGGUAGCGCCGGUGUCAAUCCACCAUUCUUUAGUAUUUCUAAUCAUGUUGCAUUCGGACAUUAUUGCAGAUAAACUCAUUUCUUGUAGUCCAUCAAAUAGAGUGUUAUUUGUAACCAUGUGGGCUUGAGCAUUCUUCUUUGGCUUUCGACAUUCACUUGAACGAUGUCUAGCCUUGCCACAGUUGUAACAAUUCCCUUUGAACUUCUUAGCCUUCUUGGAAUUGUCUCUUGGUGGUGCAUAAUUAGGAGCCUUUCAUUUCUUGUUUGUUGCCUUUGGUUCCAUUUCAACAAAAUUUGCACCAUCUUGAUCAACCAGCUUUCGUUCGAUUUUCUGAUUGUCCUCUUCAAUCCUCAAGCGCACAAUCAAUUCUUCCAAAUUCAUCUCCUUGUAUUUGUGCUUGAGGUAAUUUUUGAAAUCUCUCCACAUAGGAGGGAGUUUCUCAAUAAUGAUAGCCACUUCUCAAUUCCAUUUUCUCGGCGUGGGUGUCGUGUAACAAGACUUGAAUCUUUUGUGUUUGGCUAAUUACGAUUUUGGAAUCCACCAUCUUGUAGUCCAAAAAUUUGCCAACAAUGAACUUUUUUGCUCCGGCAUCCUUGGUCUUGUACUUUGUCUCCAAAGAAUCCCGUAGUUCCUUAGCUGAUUCCUUUGAACUAUACAUCCCAUAUAGUGUAUUAUGCAAUGCGUUUAGUAUAUAAUUCUUGUAUAGGAAGUCCGAGUGUUUCCAUGCAUCCAAAACAAUAAUCGAUUCACGAUUAUUUUUCCCUUUUUGUACAGUCGGUGCAGUUUCCUUUAGAAAUUUAGCCAAAUUAAGAGUUGUGAGAUAAAACAAUAUCUUUUGUUGCCACAUCUUGGAGUCUACUCCUGCAAAUUUUUCCGGCUUUUCUCCAUGUGGGAUAGUAGUAUUAUGUAACGGUAUGGCCAGGGGUGGUACCACAUUAUUGGAACCAUUUUGACUUGACGAAGUCCCGAUGGUAGUCAUUUCUAUUACACAAACAGAAAUUUAACAAAAUGAUGAUAAUAUCGGUGGAGGAAUAGUACACAAAUCACUAUUCAAACAAAGUAAUGUUUGUCCACAAGCAACCACAAAAACACGAAAUUUGUCUUAAAAUUAUUGGAGACGACUUAUAAAAAGGGCUAUGUAAGGGUUGAUUUUUGAUAUAUUUGUUUGACCAGUUUUAACCCGCAAGAGCAUGAUCAAAACACAAUUUAUAUGAAUGAAAAUUUGGAUAGAGUUUCGGUAUAAAGAUUACGCAAAACAAGGAUUAAGAAGGAGUAGAAAUAGAAAAUAAUGCAAGGCGAAACGUUAUCUCUUUCCUUAAGACAAAUUGUCCCGCUACGGUACUCACGAUGAAUGGCACUUGUCUCCCAAGAUAAAAUGGAUUCACAACUUGUGGUAGCAGCACUUCAAACCACAAGAAACUGACGAACUUUUGACAGAAUUUCCCCUCUACAAAGGAAAUGUAUGAAAUGUUAUGGAAUUAGAAAGGAGAGAAUUGCAAGAGGAGAAUGAAUGCUCAAUGCAAUUGGUGUACCCAAAACCAUGUCCAUAGGGUUCUAUUUAUAGAUGUAGAAAGAGUGCAAAUGAAAUAGUGUGGGCCAAAACAUGCAUCCUUUUAAAAAAGUUGCAACACUUGGCCAAAACCUGUAUCCUUUCGAAAAGUUGCAACACUUCAUUUCUUCUAACUUUGGUCCGCAAUUUUUCAUUCAUCCGAAAUUGGUUUCGAGAUUCCAAAUAUACCACGACGAUUUACUCGACGAGUAGAAUAAGUUGGUCUAUUUACUUUGGUAAUCUGACCAUCGAAUCAAGUCCGAAUAUUUGGUCGAAGUUGACACGUAGUCACACCUUUUCAUUUUCCAAUUUUUGGUUAAUAAUUUGAACCAAUUCCUACAUAGUUUUCUGUGAGACAGUGAAGUAUGGUGCAAACCUUGGUCCUAAUGUAUACGACAUCAUAUUCUAUUCCUUACCUCCCAGCACUCUGAAAAACAAAAAAUGAUAGUCCUUUUACAAUUGGGAAAAUAUUCAAAUUCUUGAACAUACCACAAAACUUUUGAACAAUGUAACAUCGACGGGUAUUGUCUUACUAGUGUUAUGAAUCUAUAUGCAUAUGUAAGUUAAUAUUUCUCCAUUACUUAAAAUAAAGCUUAUGAGUAUGCAAUUUUAUCUCAAUUACUUUUCCGACACUUGAUGAAACGACCAGUGAUGCUCUACAAGUACUUGUUAAUGUGGGUGUUCCAUGCUGCAAGUAACAAAUUAACAUCAUAUCUUAAUCUUUUAUGUUGUUUGCUCACUACUACUUCAUUUCAAUCACUUCUGAAAAAGUCCCACAUUGCAGGUUCUUGUAUUUUCAACAACCCUUAGAAUAUGCUAUGUACUUCUUUCACCAAUUUUAGAAAUUAUACGUAAAUAGACUAUAUUAUAUAACUUGUGGAACAACUUUUCUCACCCUUUACCUCAGAAAGCAGCUCCCAUCUAGCAUCUUGCAAGAAAUAUAACGACAGCAUUGCCUCCGGCUAUCUACAAACAACCUGUACCACGCUACCAAUUAAUAGACUGCUGUUAAGAACAUUUUUGCUGAGCAUAAUCACCAUUGACAAUACCACCAUCAAUGUUUAGAUGCUGGGAUUUUUUCUUCUUUGCAUCUUCGGUAGCUCAUUUCCCGUAAAGAUGAUUGCUUCUGUUACCUUCAUGCUUUUUGUCAUCCUAUAUUACACCUUUUACAAUUUUCGGAUGUUAAGUUUCAUUUGUUAUUUAAUAACAAUUACAUUCUUUCGUAAUUGUUUUUACUUUCAUAAUAUUUGAUAAUAAAGUAGAUUAUAAAUAUUUAUUAACUUGUGUGAAGCAAGCACAUGAACAAAUGCUAUAUUAUAAAUCGAAGAUUAAGAAAAACUUGCAAAAGAAACAAGGAGUACGAAUCUAUUCUUCAAGCACGGUAACGUUACCUUCAAAAUCACAGAACCCGUGCAUUGCAAGGCACAAGACUAGUAAUGUUUAGAUAAGAGAAAAAACAUUAUUAAAGAAAAAUACAUAUAAAAUUUCUGAGAAAAAAAUAAUAAAAGGGAAAUCUACAAUACUGUUGAAUUAUAGAAAGAGAUGAGGUGUGACUAAAUAUUCAACACUUGAUUUACUGAUACGGGCUUCCUCGAAGAUCUGAUACAAGGCUUCCUUACUUGCAUCAUCAGAUUCUUCGAAACAAAUCUCGAGAAUGUAACGGACAGUCUUAGGACUUGGAAGACACGUUUCCCAACCUUUACCCCUAGCUGAAAAGAAUUUCCGUAAGCAAGACAGAGCCUUAGAAAUCCUCCUCUCUUGGAUGUGGAGCAGGGCAAGAUUCUCCCACAUAAAUGGAUUCGGUUUUAUUCCCACUUCAAUCAUUUGGUUGAAGAACGUCUCAGCUUCUUUAAAAAGCCCUUUUCUAACAUAACAAUGCAAUAGAUAAUUUCUUUUGUAAUUACCGGGCUCAUCAAUAACAUCUCCAUAAUCAGAAUCAGAAUCAGAAUCAGAAUUAGAAUUAGAAUUAGAAUCAGAAUCAGAAUCAUCAUUACCAAGCUCUUCAAUAAUAUCUUCAGAAUCAGAACCAUCAGGUUGGGAAAGCCAUUCCUCGUAAAUCUUUUCAGCAUCUUCAAUAUCAUCCAUUUCAAACAAACAAAAAAUUACUGACGAGUAGCAAUCAUACGAGUAUUUUGGAAAGACAGACUUGUAAUUUUCCCAAACUCGGUAAAGCUCCUGUUUGUUGUGAAGUUGAUCGCAGAGACCAACAAGAUAUCUGAAUUUGUGAUGCUCGUCCGUGAUUCUACUCUCAAUUUCGUUCAAACAGUCCUGAGCCUUUUCAAGCUGCCCUAACUCAUUGUACAUAAUAGCUAUUGAGGAGAAGCGAUCCAAAGAGGACCUGCAGGUGGUUUCCCGCUGCGCCUGUUUAAAUAAUUUAUCCAAAGAUUCUUGAUUUUGACAGGACCACAGCCAAAUAUUGAAGGAAUGUCUACUUAAUGGUAUGUUUUCCUCUAUCAUUUUUGAGAUCAAUAACUCAACCUUCUCAUUAUCUUUAAGGUCCUCAUAGAAUUUCAGCAUCGUAAAGAAUGAAAUUUCAUCACUGGCAUAACCCGCAUUUCUCAUUUUAUUGUAAAAGGAUUCAGCAUUUAUUUGCAUUCUGGCAUCCAUAUACCUAAUCAAGAGAGCGCUAUAAGUUCUUUCAUCCUUCAUGGCAUCUGACAAUUUCAUGAAGUAUUUUUCAGCACUUGAAACUCCAUGCACUCUUGCAAUCAAAUACACCUCCCUAGCAGUGUCCUCCGGUGUCAUUUCGUCCCUCUCUUUCCAGUUAUUUAUCCACUGGUUGAUCUGCAGAGUGUACAAGAACAAGAAUUUUCUAUCAAAAAAUCGAUUUUGAGAUUCACAUGACCCAAACUGAAGCUGGUGCGAAUCAUACAGCCUAAUUAAAACGAAGUCUCAUACACGAUGAGGAUGACGGUGACGGUGACGGUGACGGUGACGAGAGAUAGCCGAGUUGAUCAUGCCAAAACAAUAACAAAGUUAUCUAAUCAUGCUGCAACCCUUAUAUAGAGAAAGCAUAGUUACAAAGUAAUCAAAAUCAAAUGAGAUUAAUCAUUUGUUCCAAGGUCAAAUAUUUUUUCUUCAUCAAUGGCAGGACCGGCCUGGCCCAAGGAGACAAAAUAUUAUGAGACCUACAUGUAAUUUUUGUUUUUUGUUUGUUUUUUACAAGCACACUAAACUCUUUAGUAUCUGUCAUGGUCAAUUCAAACAUAAUUCCUCGUGAUAAGGAAUAUUAUUUCGAUCACACUCACUUACCAUUUGAUUUGUCCGAAAUUAAAUCUCGCAUUCAAGAAAUUGAACUAAGGCCUUCUAAAAACCCGUGAGACAUGUGGUUGGUGAUUACCAUUUAUUGCCUAAAAGUUCCUAUAUUUAAUUUAAAAAGUAAAAAAAUUCAAAAGAAGCAAUCAAAUCUGCAAAACAAAAAUUGACCUUGAAUAAUUUGAAAAAACAAUCAUUAUUUGGGAUAACCUUUGUUUUAUUUGUACUACUACAUCUUCCAACAAAUAUUUGAUGCAAGAAAAUUCCAUAAUUUUUUUGUACAAAAAGUAGUCAUUUUGGACUUUAAAUAUUUUUGAGGCCCCCUAUAUGUUGAGGCCAAGGGCGGCCUUGGGCCAGAACCGGGUCUGAUAAAUGGAAAUAUAGAAGCCCGAAAGUAGAUUCGGCAAAAUGUUAUAGAGCGAAUUAUGGAGAAUCCUAAGCUUCAAUUUAUAUUGAACACUUUGAUUUACCUCAAGAGCAUCUUGGUAACGUUCUUCACUCAUGAGGCUUGAGAUCACAUUUCGAAGCUUGGAUAAUACAUCGUCGCCCUCUUUCCCAGGUACUUCAUUCAUGGAACUGUGAUAGCCGUGAAUCAUGUGUAGAAGGUCAGGGCCUGUGUCUGUCUUGUAACCUAGCGUGCCAGCAUCAUACCCUCUUCCGGAGGCACGUAGGCCCUCAAUCGUUUUAUCUAAAAUUGAACACUUUAUGGAGGAUGGAUUCUUAUGGGUUCGAGUAGUAAUAUUAACCGAUUUAAAUGAGAGUUUUGACGAGAGAGAGACGUGGUUGCGGUUGUGGAACUGGAAAGAAGGAGACGGUUUUGAGAUGGGAAAUUGAGAUAUUACGGCAUUGAGAAUCGUUGCCAUGGAAGAUCUUGAAUGCUGAGGAAGACAAGAAAAAAGAGGGCAACAAAAUGAAAAUUUUAGUAUCUUUCUAUUCGAUAUCCUAGCCUUAUGGUUUCGGGUUUUGGGCUCAAAUUUAGGGAUGUCGAGAAAAGAAAAGGGAAAAAAAUCGCAAAUAAAUUAGAAAUUUGAAAUAUUUCUUUAAUUACCAUAAUUAUUCUAAAUUUUAAAUUAUACUACAGAUUCCACUUAAAAUCACCGAAAAUACUGCCAUGCAAACUUUCCAUAUAGGCAUACACACACAAUGAGUGUUUGAUAUGCAUUUUUAUGUAAAAAUGCAUUUUAGAAUAGUAAAUUGAUGUGAAAUGUGUGGUUGAAAAAAAAAAUUUGAUUUAAUAUUAUUUUAAUAAAGAAUGUUGGUUAAAAAGAAGUGAGAGAAAAAUAUAUUUUGAAAAUGUAAAAGAAAAUAAGUAAAUGGCUGAUAUUAAGGGAAAUUAACUACAGCUGGUUGCCAUUGUAAAAUAUUUUUGAAUUCAAAACAUAGAUGCUAAAUAAUGCUAUUGAUUACACCAUUUCGUAACUUUUUCCAUUACAUUGAUUUCCUUCUCACGGACUGUAGCAUCUACGCAGUCUCACACAGUCCCAAUGUUUUGAAAAUCGGACCGGCCAUUGACCAGAAAAGAGAAAGGAUCGAAUCGGGGUCGAACCGUUAAUAAUAAAUAAAUAAAUAAUAUACCACAAAAUUGACAAAAUUAAGUUAAAUUUUCAACUUAAUUAAUAUAUAUAGACAAAAACACCAACUAAUGAUUAAAUUUGGGUACAAUUAUUUUUUAUUUGUCGUAUGGUGAAUUAUUUAAUAUUUUUAUAGUAUUUCAUUGUGUCAAUGUAAAAAAAUUACACGAAAGAUUACGUAAAUUGGAUUGAAAAUGAAAAAAAAAAUUAAAGAGAAAUAAUUUACACCAAAAUGAUUUUUUCUUUUUUUCUUUUUUUUUUUAAAUAAAACAGCAAAAUUCUAAUAGCAACAUAUUUACAAGAAUGGACUAGAGUGGAAUUUCUUUAGGAAAUUUACUGUACACACUUUCCAAAUCCCACAUCGGAAGCGGUAGGAUAAUGUAUGGGAAUUUUAAGUUUUAAAAACAGCAAUUGAAAAUUACAUAGUUGUCAGAUUAGAUUCAGGCACUCACCGGGAAAAUGUAGCAGAUCAGCGGGUCGGUAGUUCAAUCGAUAGGUCAAUUCCUAUAGUAUAUUAUUAAUUAUUUUUAUUGAAUAAUAGAAUUUUACUAUUUUCUUCCAAUAACUAAAUUAGUCUUAUGCUAUUUUGUUAACUAAAGAUUAAUUUGUAUUCCAAAUUUCACAAAUUAUAGAUCAUAUACAGUGAAAUAUGCUUGGAAAAAUAAAACAAAAAUAAAAAUAUCAUUGAAGGGUAGUUUGAGCCUCAUUAUUUAUAGAUUAUAACGAGAUAAAUAAUAAUUUUAAUUUUUUGAAAAAUGAGUGAUUGAAAAUUUUUUUAUUUACGUGUAAUAUUAUAUUAUUGAGGAUUAUGUAAUUAAAAGUAGGAGGGAGAAAAUUUUAAUUUAAUGUAAUGAAAAAUAAUGAGGUUCAAACGGGGCUAAAUCUUAUUCAAUGAAGUCACUCUUUGGCCUUUAUACGAAUUUGAAGUAUGAACUUUGAAGGUGCCAUCAGAUUUCUCUCUCCUUUUCUGCCAUCUCCAUUCACUUGCGUCCUUUUCUGCAAUCUUUUUUCCUGCCAUCUUCUUUUUGUCAGAGAAGAUUAUACCCCCCAAAUAGACAAAACCAAAGAAUCCUGCUACAGAGUUCUGCUAUGAUCAUUUUCUUGUGGGCCCCCCGCACACACAUCCAAGGGCUGAGAUUUGGCCACCUCGACCCUUGGAUCGGAGCCCGGGAUUCUGCAGCUAGAUUCAAAACCAAAUGACUACAUUAUUUCACACAUUGUUUGACACACUUCUCACAGUUGAAGUGUGGGUCUCAAGUGAAUAAAAUAAUGUCAACCUUCCCAUGUGAGUGUAAUAUGUCAACCUAUGUGUCAAGCCUUGUGAUCAUGUAGCAAACCCUUCCCAUCAAGACCACUAAACCAGCUCUCAAAAAUUUAUAUGCAGUGAGCGUGAGUAAAAAAAAAAAAAAAAAAACUAUUGAUCGGAGAGUUAGUGAAAGGCAAAGAAUUUAUAGCCCAAAUUCAAACCUUACGUUAUAAGCUACUGAAAAAUAAUGGGCCUGUCUUUGCUGAGGAAUUAGUUGUGGAAAUCCUAAAUUCAUUCACUAAGACUCUUUCUGGUGUUAAGUUCAUUGUCGAUGACUAUAAUGGUCCGUUCCGUGAGAGUGAGAAGAAGCUGACAAGGAGUCUGGAGACAGUUUUUUUUCAACAAAUAAUAAGACUCGGUCGGGUCAAGGAAAAAUGGGCUGACGGGUUAACCUAAAAAUUGGCGGUUCAACGGGUUUGAAGCGGGUUGUUUGUCAAGCAAUAAAUCAGUGCAACUUGGACCAGACUCGAGUCUGAUUGAAUCGACCGGUCCGAUCCGGUUUGGAUUUUAUAACUAUGGAAAGAACUACUACGCCGUAAGGAUUUUAUAACCACGAUCAUAUCAAUAGCAUAGUAUGGUAUUGGUAAAAUAUCUUCUUUCGAAACUGGAGCUACGGAAUGCCCUGUAUGUGAGGUAAGAAGAUCGAUUUGUGGUCUGAUUUUUUUCCCUUUUCUUGAUUAAUUGAUUUGAGGGUUUUGAUUUUGCUCGAAGGAAGAGAGCAAUGUUAUAUGGGUGUUUUGAUUUUGCGGGAAGGAAGAGAGCAAUGUGAUAUGGGUUUUUUUUAGGUAAGUGCAAGAUUUGAAUAAAGUUGCAGAAAUCUCGGGCUCCGAUCUAGGGGCCGAGGUGGCAAAAUCUCAGCCCCUGAUGGUUUGUGGGGUGGCCCCCACAUGAAAAGGAUCAAGGGCCGAGGUGAUUGCCACCUCGACCCUAGAGCAGAACCCAGGAUUUAAUCCCGGAAUCUGUAGUAUGGUCCGAUUUUUGGGUAAAAAUGUUUUAACUAUAAUUGACGCUUGUUUACAAGGAAAAUAAUGACUUUCUAGUUAAUCCACUUAUUGUUGGGGUUACUUUUUAGUUUUAUUUAGGAGGAUGCUACAAGUACAUCGGGGGUGCCAUAAGGGUGUCCAUAAUGGACACCCGGCACCUCCCUAUUGGAGGAGUGCUUAUGCCCACUCUUAUGGCAUCUCGGAUGUACAAGGAGCUUAAUUCUUUAUUUUAUAAUGUCUAAAAUGCAGUAUAUCAAGGAAAAAAUAAGAUGACAAUUAUAAUAUGAAAUAUAUAUAUAUAUAUAUUUUAUGCUAUGUGUAAUUUUCCCAAAAAAAAGGGAACCCUCAUAUUCAUAAAUUUUAAUUGUAAUUAUAUAUUAUGUCCCUAAUUUUUUCAUCAAUAAUUUAUUACCACUACAAAAAUUAUUAAGUGCAUCACAAAUUUCUUUUUUAUUUAAACAACCUUAAGUAAAAUUACAUAAUCAGAUUAAUAUACUUUUAAUUAUUUACCCCACAUUAUAAUCACACCACAGAUAUAAACCUAGCAUAUUCUUCUUCUUCUUAAAUGUCUGUAGUCGUCAAACACAAUUAAGACCUAUUCCUCUACUAAACUUGGUUGUGAAAGCCAUCAACCCGUUUGGAAUAUAAAUUAUGUUUACGUGCAAUGAAUAACAUUGAAUCACAGAACAGUCAUACAGCCAAGUCCGUACAACAGAGGAAAUAAAUCAAAUUUUCUGGAAUAUUUGCUGAAGAGACAAUUUGCUCGUCGGGAAGACUCAAAUGGACUAACAAAUACUGUGAUUUUUCCUCAAAAAUCAUAACUAUCCAAAUCUUAUACAGACUCUUUUCCCACAAUGGAGAAUCACUUGUACAAUUUGUAACAGGUCUCCGACGACUCAUUGCUGCGAUCCCGAGAAAUUGAAUUUGAAAACCCACUAUCAUGGGACGAUGGGCAGAUGCCAAUAAAUUACCAAGUCAAGUUCAUGCGCAGUUAUGGCGGAAAAAACCACCCUCGUCCUCAUGACCACCUGUUAUCUUAUAUUGGGGGUGAGACCAAAAUCUUGGCAAUUGAUCUAACCAUCAAAUUUGGGUCUCUGCUUUCAAAGCUGAUUGUACUCCUGUGUACACACAAAAUCCCGAUCAACUUCUCAAGUGAGAUGAGGGUAAAUGUGAAUUUCUUUGUGUUUUAAACUAUUAAAGAUGAUGAGCACACUUAUUUUUAGUUUUUAUUGGAUUAAGAGAAUAAUGGUAAAUUUAUUGUGAAGUAUUUAUUAAAAAUGUAUUUUAAUUGUUGUGUAAUUAUAAUGUGGUGUAGUAAUUAAAUUUUGUGGGGUAAUAUAAUUAGCCUUUUUUUUCAUUAAAUUCUUAUUUUCAAAUCAGCACAAGGAUUUUGGUCCCAAAAAAUUGAUAUGGUGAAGUAAAAAGACUUAAUUGCCCUUCAUAUUUUGAAAUAAAGCAAAAAAUUGUACCAAAAAAAAAGGGUAAUCGGCAAAAACUUCCAUACCUUUCAAGCUUAUUGUAGAAAAUGUUUCUAUCUUUCAUUUUUUUUGACAUUUUUUCCUUAUUUCAACGUUUCGUUGCGCUUAACAUCCUUUUCGUUGUUUUUGAACGUAAAAUGACCAUUAUACCCUCUUAUUUAAAACAAAAAAAAAAGUAAAUAAAUAAAGCACAAAUUGCAAUCACACUCCCAAAAGUUUUUAAAAAUUAUAAAUCAAUCCAAGUUGUUUUAAUAGUAAUUAGUAGCUGUUAAUUAAUCUAAAUUAACUUCAAAAGGACAGUCUUCACCCGUAAUUUUGGAUUCUAAAUUAUGCUCUGCAAAGAAUCAUUCAGUAUUCAGAGGAACCAACUAGAAGAUCCAAAAAAAGCAAAACAUUCCUCAUAUGCCUUAAGAAACUGGAUAUUAGAAUCUUGACCGACUCCAAUCACUGACGGAUCAAGCACCUGGCGAGCACACGCGGCCCCGCGUGCUGGAUCCGCCGACAACCAUUUUUUUGGGUUGACAAUAGAUGAAUUUUUUAGAUAAAAUUUCUGAUAAUCAUUUUCCAUUCAAACUUUGCUUUUGGUCAAGUUGGUUAGCAUUGGUUUUUUUACCUUGCUGGUCUCAGGUUCGAUCCUCCAUCAAUCAAUUUUUAUUGUUCCAUUUUUUUUUUGUUUUACAAUUUAAAAUUAAUGGAAUGAAGAGGAGGAGAUUCGAACCUGGAACUAUUGUUAAAAUUAUUAGUGGUUUGACCAUCAUGCUACUUGUUGAAUUGUUAUAACUGAUUUAACAAAUUGUAUGUAUUACAUGUUAGCUUUUUUUACUGCAACAAUAAAAAUUUGAACUCGAGCUUUUCUUUUGAAUUAUAUAAAACUUGGCAACAAUGUCAUUUGAUGAGUAUGAUUUAUUCUUUUAACAAAAUUAUAUAUGUUCAAUUUCAACAAAAUAAUUGUUAUGUUUAAAUUUUAGGUCCUGUUUGAUCCCCAUUUAUUUCAGAAUAUAUUUUUCUCUCUUUUAAUAUUUUUUAAUAAAAUAAUAUUACACGAAACUCUAAAUUUUUCUUAUUUCUAAUUACAUAUUUUCCAUCAAAUCACUAUUUUACAAAAUGCAUAAUAUUUUAUUGGGUCGACGGUCAAUGGUCGCCCAUGCUGACUCAAAAUCCUGGAUCCCCCAUUGACUCCAAUUUGAGCAUGCUACACCGAUUCCCUCCAUACGAUGUUUUCCUCGUUGGAGCAAUUUAUGUAUACCAGCCCAAGAAUCCUUGACAGCGAUGGAAAGCCCUAAAAUUGGCCAAGGUGGAGGUUGUGUUGGUCCGACGGCAAGGUGGCAGGAGAGUGGAGUUUUGGUUGUGAAGGAGGAGGGAGAGGAAAAGGAAGGAAGAGAGAAAAGAAAAGAAAUAGAUAAUUUUUAAAUUUUUAGUAUUUUAACGAUUUAUUGGACUGAUUUACAUUUUUUUUCAAAACUUUGAGAGUAUGAUUGCAAUUUGUGCUUUAUUUUUCUUUUUUUUUUUUUUUUAAAUAAGAGGGCAUAAAUGUCAUUUUACAUUAAAAAAUAGUGAAAAUGACGUUUUGUGUAAUGAAAUGUUGAAAUAAGUGCAAAAUGUAAAAAAAUGAAAGGUAGAGAGUUUUCCUCAAUAAACUUGAAAGGUAUGUACAUUUUGUGCCAAUUACCCUAAAAAGUAAGACUAAAUAUUUGUCUCUCGUUGCAAUAUAUGUUAACAGUAUUUUGGACGAAAAUCAUGGUUAUGAACAAGAAUUACUAGUAAAUAAAAUAUUAAAGAUAAAGUAUGAGAAAAAUACGUAUAUGAGAUAAUAUUAAGAUACAAUUUCAAAAAGGGUGACGUUAUUUACAUCCACGAUUUUUAUAUAUACAUCCACCUUUAAAAUAAUAAGGGUAGUUAUAUUAUCACUACAAAAAUUGUUAGUGACACCACAAUUUUUUUAGUUACUUAAAUAACCUUAAAUAAAAUUACUUAAGUGGGUUUUUAAUAUAUUCAUCACAUAAAAUAAGUUAUUCUCCCACCACAAUUAUAAAACCAUUAAAAAUUUAUCUUCUUCCCCAAUCGCCAAUCCCUCCUCCAACCCUCAACCUCAAAACUUCAUCUUUCAAUUAAGUUUGGUCAUUAAAGAGAAAGAAAUUAAGUCUCUCUCAUCAAAAUUAAAUUGAUCCCAUUGAAGGACAACGAUUAAAAAAUUAUGUUUCAUCAAUGAAGUUGAUCGAAUUAAUUUUCAUCCACAAGAAAACUUCUAGGCAUCACUUGUCAGAAGAAACCGUCUACGAGACAUCAAAUGCAAAAAUUGGCAAGGUUUUCCCCGAGCAAUACUGUUCGUAGUUCAUGCAUCUGACAUUUGUUAACUUGCUUAAAUAUUUUUACAUUAUUUUAAGCUACUUGCACUAUUUUGGGGAAGUCCGUGGUCUUCCCUGAGAAAAACUUUUUGUAGUUCAUGAAUCUCGCUUGUGUGAUACUGCUUAAGUAUUUUUACAUUAUUGUAAAUUACUUUCAGCAUUUUGGGGAAUCUCCUUAGCCAGCUUACGAUUGCAGCAUUUUGGGGAAUCUCUUUUGCCAGUUUACGAACCUAUUUUUGACUGGAAAAAUGAGAGAUUAAUGAUCUUUGGGCAAAGAAUUCCUGCAACUAACACAUCUCAGUAUACCAUUUAUCUUAUUUUUCUUCUUUUCAAGAAAGUUCAUAAUUUAGAAAGAACAGCAGAAAGAAAAUAAGAAAAAUAUAAUAGUAGAUUCAUAUCAUUUCAGAUCCAAAGUAAGUUCCCAUGUGUAUACAUGUAUGUAUGUAUGUAUAUGUCUAGAUAUUAGGGUAUGGAUUUUGAUGGGUACACCACAACAUUAUUAAAUGAUGAAAGAUAUUGAAAAUGAUUCCCCCUUAAAUUAAGAAAUUGAUUAUAUACUUUUGUAAAAAUAAAGUGAAAUUCAUUAAUUAAAGUGGGUGUACUCAAUUGAGAUUGUAAAAGUCAUUCUAAAUUUAGGUGUCUUUAAUUGAGAUUCUAUUGGAUUUUAAUUAAAUUCAUUAAAAUUUAAGUGUCCCCAAUUGAGAUUUUAAUGAAAUCUUUUAAAAUUUAGGUAUCCUCAAUAAUUAGUGAAUUUAUAAAAAUUUCGUUAAUUGAUGGAUUUUAAAAUAUUUGGAUGGAUUUCAAGCUUAAAUAUACAUAUAAGCAAAUCUUUUGAAAUUUUACCAUAUUUGAUGAGAUUCUUAUGAAAUUUGUAAGAAUCUAUUCAUGCUCUCUCACAUAUAAAGGGUGGGACUCGCGAUUAAAAUAAUCGCAAGUCCCACACAUGGGAGAGGACUGUAAUUUUUACAGCACUCAAGUAUCUUUAUUGAAUUAAUAUAAACAAAUAAUAAAAUGACAUGAUGUAUAAAAUUUUAUGAAUUCAACCAAUUUUAUUGUAUUUUUAUUUAAUAUAGAUAUACUAAUAAAAUAUAAUUUAUGAAUUAUUUUUAUUUAUUUUCUUUAUCGAAUUAGAAUAAUGUACAAUAAAUUUAAGUAUGAAAAAUAAAGAUCUUAAUAUACAAAUAGUUCACUUGAAUAAAAAUAUUCAAGGAUCAACUUCAUGACAUGUGAUUGUCUCUCUUUUUUGUUAUAACCAUAAAAUAAAAGUUCAAAUUUUUAAUAAGUGCAGGUUCUUUUCAAUUUAAUUUUUCAGUAAAAUCCUAAAAAUACAAUAUAUUAAGGAUUGCGCUAUUUACAUUCACGAUUUUUUUAUAUACACCCACCUUUAAAAUUAUAAUUAUAUUACAUUUUUAAUUUUAAGUAAAUUUACCUAAAUAGACAUAUAUAAAAUAAAAUAAAAACAUAUCUGAUGUGAUUCGGGAAAGAUGCCAAGCUACCACAAAUUUAAUGAUAGAUGGAGAGUGGCCAAACCCAAGUUGAGCUUGAUUGGAGUUGUUAUCGCUGAUCGAUUCUAUGUUGGAGCCAAGGAAUCAAUGGAAUGAAUUUAACAAUCUUAAGGACGAGGUUGAUCAGCCAAAGUGCAACUACAACGUUGGAAGGUCGAAGUCCGAAGCAAAAGGAAGUCUAGGCAACGCGAACCGCAAGACAGGAACCCAAUUGUAAAGCGUGCGACCGGACAGCAUUGGAGCCUUGCGAUUGCACUACAUGGUGCAGGGAUAUGGGGACUGAGAUCAGCAUAACCAUGCGACCGCAACUGUAUUAACCAUGUGGUCGCAAUUCGGUGAAACAAGGCAGAAUCUUCUGAAUUCCAGAAUUUCCUCAAGUUACCAAAUUGAGGUGGAAUUCUACGUUGGCCGACAAUUCUAUGGUCCAUUGGUAUUUGUUUCCAUUUGAAUAGGAUUUUUAUUAUUUUAUUCCUUUUAAUUAUAUCUUAGAAUUCCUUAAUCAUGGUUUUUACCAUGAUUUAGUAUUUUAUUCCCGUUUAAAAUAGGUUUUAGAAUUAUAAUUCCUUUUUAAUUAUUUCCUAUAUUUUCUAGUAUAAAUAGGGUUUAUUUUUUACAAUGUAACAAGACUUUUAUGAUGAAUUGAAUGGAGUUUUUCCUCUCAAAGCUUUGGCUUCAAAAUAUGGAACUUAUCAAGAUUUUAUAUCUUGUGGCGUUCAAACAAAUUAUUGGAUUGAUUUCUUUGAGCUGUGUAAUCAAAAGUUCCUUGGCGUCGUCAUUACCAUUGGGUUGUUGGAUUCAUUAAUUCUUUGAAUCAAAUCCACAAAUAUGGGUAUAAUUUCGAGGCUUUGUGAUGAAGUGGUCGUUGGUUUAAUGCACCUUCGGUUGCUUGGUUCAUCGAUUAGAGAUUAAAUCCUAAACCUAGGUCGUAUUUGGGCGUUUUUGGAAUUCGGUUUCAAUUCCUACGGGUUCGAUUGUGACUUUGCUAACCAGUUUCGCAUCAUUUGAUACCAGCGCUAAGGCACCAAGAUCGAGGUUAUAUCCCUUUUUUAAAUUUUUGUUGAGUCAGUUGUUAUUUUUCUUUAUUGUUUUUUUCGUGUUCUUUGAGUCAAUCAGUGAUUGUGAGUCUUUGAUCCGUUUAAAUUUCGUUAAAUUUUCAAAAGUUGCUUUUGAGCUAAUUUAGCAUCCAAAUCAACUUUUGUUUGUUUUGUUGGACUUGUAAUUGGAUUUUCUGCUAAGUGAGUAAAAAAAAAAAAGAGAGAGAGAGAGAGAGAGAGAGAAAAAAAGGUGUUAAGUCAAGAAUAAAAAAAAUUCAAAAAAAUUUCGGAGAAGAUGAUGAAGAGAUUUGAAAAGAUGAUUAAAAACAUGGAAAGUAAGAUGGAUGGGAUUGAUGCGAAGUUGACAAGAAUUCAUCGGGAUCAAUGUGAUGAUGAACUCAAUGUUAAGAGACGGGAGCCUAGGAUUAAAAUUUGUGAUGCAUAUGACAAUUGUGGUAAUGGAGAUGCAUUGGUUGAUGUUGUUUUACGGGGUAUGAAAAAUGGAGGCGAUAGGCUUGGAGAACGGAAUUCAAAUUAUUAUGGAUACGGCGUUAAUAGGAGCUUUGGAAAUAUGAAAAUGUCAAUUCCGCAAUUUAAAUGUAGAAGUGAUCCCCGAGGCGUACGUGGCAUGGGAAGAAAAUGUUGAAUUAGUGUUUGGGUGCCAUGAUUAUUCUGGGCAAAGAAAAUUGAGGUUAGUUGUGACCUCAUUCGUGGAUUAUGCUUUAAUUUGGUGGGUUGAGUUGAUAACAUCUAGGCGAAGGUAUGGUAAGAGGCCGAUUAAGAAUUGGGAUGAGUCGAAGGCGAUUAUGAGGAGACGAUAUGCACCUAAUUAUUAUUAUAGGAGUGAUCGACGUGAGCAGGAAUUUAAAAAGGUGCCUAGAAGAACUUAUGGGGUUAAGCAUCCAAUGGAGAAGAAAACAUCUUUUGUGAAGUGUGCGGGUAGUACAUCUAGCAGAGUGUUGGGAUGGAUUAUAAGCGAGAAUUAGCGAAGAUUCGUGAAUUGUUAAAUUCUCAAAUUAAUCACGUGAAGGAACAAGAGAGUAGAAGAGAAACUAGUGGGGUGGUUGAUUGUGAGAAAAAAGAAGAUAAGUCACGAGAAAAUAAAAAGGGGAUCGAGAUUGAAAACAAGAAGGGUUAAGAAAAAAAAAAAAGAGAGAGAGAGAGAGAGAGAGAGAGAGAGAGAGAGAAAAAAGUGUUAAGUCAAGAAUAAAAAAAAUUCAAAAAAAAUUCGGAGAAGAUGAUGAAGAGAUUUGAAAAGAUGAUUAAAAACAUGGAAAGUAAGAUGGAUAGGAUUGAUGCGAAGUUGACAAGAAUUCAUCGGGAUCAAUGUGAUGAUGAACUCAAUGUUAGGAGAUGGGAGCCUAGGAUUAAAAUUUGUGAUGCAUAUGACAAUUGUGGUAAUGGAGAUGCAUUGGUUGAUGUUGUUUUACGGGGUAUGAAAAAUGGAGGCGAUAGGCUUGGAGAACGGAAUUCAAAUUAUUAUGGAUACAGCGUUAAUAGGAGCUUUAGAAAUAUGAAAAUGUCAAUUCCGCAAUUUAAGGGUAGAAGUGAUCCCCGAGGUGUACGUGGCAUGGGAAGAAAAUGUUGAAUUAGUGUUUGGGUGCCAUGAUUAUUCUGGGCAAAUUUAAUGAUAGAUAGAGACUCCAAGCUACCACAAAUUUAAUGAUAGAUAGAGAGCGGCCAAAACCAAGAUUGAGCUUGAUUGGAGUUGUUACUGCCGGUCGAUUCUAUGUUGGAGCCAAGGAAAUCAAUGGAAUGGAUUUAACAAUCUUAAGGAUGAGAUUGAUCAGCCAAAGUGCAAAUACAAUGUUAGAAGGUCGAAGUCUGAAGCAAAAGGAAGGCGAGGUAACAUGAACGGCAAGACAGGAACCCAAUUGUAAAGCUGUACAAUCGCACAAAAUUGGAGCCUUGCGAUCGCACAACAUGGUGCAAGGAUCUGGCGGACUGAGAUCAACAUAACCAUGCGACGUUAACUGUAUUAAUCAUGUGGUCGCAAUUAAGUGAAACAAGGCAGAAUCUUCCGAAUUCUAGAAUUUCCUCAAGUUACCAAAUUGAAGUGGAAUUCUAUGUUGGCCGACAAUUCUAUGGUCCAUUGGUAUUUGUUUCCAUUUUGAAUAGGAUUUUUAUUAUUUUAUUCCUUUUAAUUAUAUUUUAGAAUUCCUUAAUCAUGGUUUUAACCAUGAUUUAGUAUUUUAUUCCCGUUUAAAAUAGGUUUUAGAAUUAUAAUUCCUUUUUAAUUAUUUCUAAUAUUUUCUAGUAUAAAUAGGGUUUAUUUUCUACAAUGUAACAAGACUUUUAUGAUGAAUUGAAUGGAGUUUUUCCUCUUGAAGCUUUUGUUUCAAAAUAUCGAACUUAUCAAGAUUUUAUGUCUUGUGGUGUUCAAACAAAUUAUCGGAUUGAUUUCUUUGAGUUGUGUAAUCAAAAGGUCCUUCGCGUCAUCGUUAUUGUUGGGUUGUUUGAUUCAUUAGUUCUUUAAAUCAAAUCAACAAAUUCGGGUACAAUUUCGAGACUCUGUGAUCAAGAGAUCAUUGGUUUAAUAUAUCUUCGGUUGCUUGGUUCAUCGAUUAGAGAUUAAAUCCUAAACCUUGGUUGUAUUCGGGCGUUCUUGGGAUCUGGUGUCAAUUCAGAUGGGUCCGAUUGUAACCUUGCUAACCGAGUUCGCAUCAAUAUCAUUCUAAAUUCAUCCAUUCAUUUAUUUUCACUAAAUUCUAUCUCUUUUUUUAUUCUUAUUUAUUUUGGCAUAGAUGGUUUCGGAUAUCAAAAUUUUUAAGAGUAAAGGUUGCCAAUCACAGGCUCAAACCCAUUGCACUCAGCAAAAUACACGAGCCCUAAGAAUUAAACAAGAAGAAGAACUAUUAUAAUUACAUAAAAUAAUUGGGCAAAAGGAUCAACUAACCAUUUAAACAGUCGUCUAAACAAACAUAAAAGAACAGUAGAACAAACAACAUCUAAGUCGACAUUAUCCUAGAACUCGAAAAGACAAACUCACAUUGACAUUAACAUUGGACCAUUAUCUGGCAUUUCCAUCCCAGCAGCUAGUUCAGCAUCGAGUUGAGUGUAAGGUGCAGGCUCCAUCAUUUGCUUCACAGGCCUCCCUCUCAAAGCCACGUUAGAAAAAUACCGAUCGCAAUGUAGACAGUAAUAUUGGCCCAUUCCAGGGAGAUCUUUGUGAAUUCUUUUACAUUUAUGUCAGUGUGUAGAGUUUCUUGGUUUUGUAUUUAAUUUCUAUCAUUAGCUCAUUCUUUGAUGGUGGUGUCUGCAGUGUUUUGAAAUUUUAAGAAUUAAGUAAAUGAAGAUCUGGUUAUGUGAUUAAUUUGAGUUUGAUUUUGUAAGAAAAAUCAAAAUGUGAAACAAAUGGUAACGAAAAGCUGCCAUGGAUAGGAUAUAUAUAAUUACCAGUAUGGUUUCGCUAAACUCUAAAGGCUGAACUAGACCAUGUGUGUGCAUAGGUUGAACUCGAAUAUUGGAAAAAAAAAAAGGUCAUUUACUACUUUGAAGCAGUUAUCUAGUAGAUUUCAUAUAUGAUGGUGAUGAAUAAAGGUUGUAAGGAUGUUGAUUUAUGUGUAAUGGGGAUGAAUAUAGUGAAUUUUUUUAGGGAUGUAUUUAGAGUGGAUGAAUAUAUAAAAUUUGUGUGGAUAUAUAGUGUUUAAAUGAAUUAAUUCAAUAAGGACAAUCUUGGAAAAUGACAUGGAUGCGAAUAGUAAUUUUUUAAAAUUUUAAUAUUUUAGUAGGGAUGAAUAUAGAAUUGGAUAAAUAUAUAAAAAUCAUGGAUGUAAAUAGCCAUACACUAUAAAAUUCUACCGACGUGCACCAAGUCUCAUCAGUUUCCGUCAAGCCGAUCUUUGCCAUCAAGACAAUGCAAUUUAGGCUCGACCUAUUCAUUUUAACACCUAACAAAUUAAACGAUGUUCACGAGGGCAGUAAGCAAUUCAUAAUGAAGCCAUUGAAAAAUCUUACCAGGCAAUGUUAUGAUUUUUCACGUUCGUAACCCAUGAGGUUUGCCCAACUCAUCAUACUAUUAAUAUUUCUUACCAUUAUUUCAAGCUUAAACUUAGUAGAAAAAAAUGCUUAAGGAAAUUACAUAAAACCAGGCAUUUAAAAGUUCAAAUUCAAAGUUCAGGGAUGAAAUUUUUCAUGCAAACAUCAGGUAUUAUAUAUAGUUAAUUCAACCAAUUCAAUUAAAAUCCCUAAUCAAUUCCCCAAUUCAAUCUCGUCACUUCCUCUCUUGCUUUACAACCUCUUCCUUCUCUCUAUAACAAAUCGCCACAGGAGAUCAAUCACUGACGGCGCCGAUUUCUAUGUGAGACCGGUGUCGCUGCAAAGAAGACCGGCAGAGGCUGCAAGGAGCGCGACAGUGACUUCUGCCUAGGAGUAUUGCUACUGCGCGAAGAUGAGCUGGAAGAAGACAUCGUCGGAGAUACGUCUUGCUCAUAUUUUUUCGAGCCUUUGCAGCGGCAUCGUGAGCGACUGCGCUCGUCGCAAUGCCUCCGGGCACUGAUUGGGUUAAAGAGGUGUUGUUUUAUAAUGAAAGCUCUGUGAAUGGCAUCGCUUCAUGAUGGGUCCAGAUAUGGUGUAGUGGUGGCCGUGUUGUGGUAUUGUUAUGUGCAGUGGUGUUGGUGGUGUGGUGUUGGUGUGAUUUUUUUGGCAUGUUUUAUUGCGGUUUUAGGUGGUGGUGGCGAGUUUGUGGAUUCUUUGGUGGGGGAUGGUGGUUGGACGUGGUGUAAAUAGAGAUAGAGGAAAUGGUGGUGGUAGUGGUGGUGGUGUUGUGUGUUGUAGGUGGUGCAGUCGUGGUGUGUUGUGGGCGUGAUGGAUUGGCAGUGUUAUCAACACAGUGGUGCUCAUGAUGGUGGUGGUAGGAUGCGAUGAUGCUCAUGUUGGUGAGGUGAUGCUGGUUUCGGAGGUGGUGGUGUCCAACUAUUGUUGUGUUGUUGAUGAUGAUAUUAGUGGUGGUUGUUGCGGUAGCGGUGAUGGGUGGGGCAUUUGUGACCAACAAUUAGGCAUCUGAGACAAACUAUUUAGGGUCCAUGACCAAAAAUUAUGUGUCUGUGACACGCUAAACUGUAACAUAUGUGGGCCAUAAACAAAAUGUGACAUGUAAUUUGAAUGAUUCGUGACCCUGAAAUAAUAUGUAACCUAUAAAAUUUUUGAUUUGUGACUACAAAAUAAUUUUGUGACCAAUUAAUUUGACGAUACGUGACCAGUAAAUAAAUCUGUGAUCAGUAAAUAAAUUUGUGAUCUAUAAUUAUAGAUAUGUGACCAUUAAUCUUGUAAUUGUGACUUUAUUAUCUUCAUUUAAUAAACAUUUUUAACUAAUUAAAUAUAAACCUAAUUUUUGAAUUUUAAAAGUAUCUACCUGAUUUUUGAAUUCAGGUAAACUUAACAUCUGAAAUGUGAACUCUUCCCAAAAUGCUUACCAUAUGAUACUAGGCAAAAUAAUUGCAUUUGUCAUCAUUCAUUGGGCACCCUAUUAACUUUAGGGCUAAAAUGUCAUUAUGGUUCGCUUAUUGAGACAUAUUAGGAGAAUCUUGGUGCCCAUCUCCAGAAUUUAUGCAUUAGACGUAGGAUUCGAUCAAUUGUUUAAAAAUCAAUUCAGUUACUUACUCAAAAAGGGUAAGAGGUUGAGAAUUACAUGAUCAAAUCAUUAAUAAAAACAAAAUUGUUUGGAGUUAACCUGCCGAUUCCCAAGUUAAUAGAUUUUUAAGUUUUUAUAUAUAAUUGAAUUGAAUUUUAGAUUAUUUCCUUAUUUUUCUGGAAACCCUCAUAGUUCAAAUCGGAAUUGAUUACACACAUACUAAAUAAUGUGCAAUCUAAAAACUUCAAACGGUAAAUAUGCAGGCAGAAUAUACUGUUAGAAUUUGGAUGUAACCUGAAUUCUUUGUUGAAAAUAAUUAUGAGUUCUAAUUUAAGUGCAUAAUAAUUAGAAUCCUGUUUGGAAUGCAAUUGUGAAACUUUUGGGCAUUCUAUUUCGUCUACAUUUUAGGGCUUGAAUUUUUUCCUAUAUUACUAUACCGUUCUUCUAGUUUUGGUGAGCUAGAAGCAUUAUCGUUGGGUAGUAAUAUUCUCUCCGUUGGUUGUCAAUAAAAUUACUUGGUUUCUCUGCCAAUCUUUCUUCUUUACUUUUAAUCUUGUUCUUGUUUGUGCGAUUGAAUACUUCAUAUUGUGUCAUAUUAACUUCUCCAAUUUUCUAACAAGUGAUAUUAGAGUUGUUCUGCUUUUAAUAAAGUGGUUUCAAAUCUGGUCCGAAUUCACAACAAGUGGAAUCGGAGCUAUUGGCUGAUAAUUUUGUUUGAGGUUUCUAUUAUCGAUGACAAUCACAAAAUAUGAAAUUUCUCUUUUGGAUCGCAACACAAGAUUUUCGUUGUGGCAAGUAAAUAUGCGAGCUGCAUUGGCUAGAUAGAUCUGGAUAAUGCAUUGUUGGGAUUUGACAAGAUGUCCAUAACUUAGACAACAGAGAAUACGCAACAAAUGAUCGGAAGGCACUUUCGUAGAUUCAUCUUCAUCUAUCUAACAGCAUUCUUUAGGACGUUUUAAAGGAAAAGACAACUGCUGCAUUAUGGUUGAAGUUGGAGCAGCUAUGCUUGACCAAAAGUCUCACGAGCAAAUUGCAUUUGAAGCAGAUGUUGUAUUCUCAUCACUAGCAGAAGGAGGAUCUUUGGAAGACUAUCUUGCUGUGUUCAAGGAGAUCAUCCCUGAUUUGGAAACGCUAGAGGUAAAGUACGAUGAAGAAUACUUGGUCUUGAUCCUAUUGUGCUCACUAUCCUCUUUGUAUUCAUCAUUUAGGAACACAAUUGUAUAGUCAUAACACACUCACCAUUGAUAAUGUUUAUAAUGCUUUGUUCUCAAGUGAGAAAAUGAAGCAUCUGGUAGGAGUUGGAUCUAGACAUGAUGAGGCUCUUGUUACUCAUGGUGAUUGAUGAAGGGGUAAGUCGAGGAUGAACUUCAGUGAUCAAGUCCGCUUCUAUUGCAAGAGAAAAUGACACAUCAAGAGGGAUUGUGAUAAGUUGCAGAGGAAAGGUAAUGCAGCUGCAAAUCAUAGAAAGCAAUCAAAUCAUUCGGACGAAACUAAUUUUGACGAGGACUAUUUAGAUGGCGGAGAUGUGGUGUUGACUAUAUCUAACAUUGAAUUCAAGCCUGUCGAGGAGUGGAUUUUGAAUUCAACUUAUUCGUUCGAUAUGUGUCCCAAUAGGGCCUGGUUUGAAACAUAAAAAAGGGUAAAGUAGGGUGUUGUUGUCAUGGGAAACAACAAAUCUUGUAAGGUAACUGGAAUUGGAAGGGUUAGAUUGAAGUUGUUUAUUUGGGAUAGUUAGAAUUCUUGGUUUGGUUCGACAUGUUCUAGACUUAAGGAAGAAUCUUAUCUCACUUAGUACUCUGGAUUCGAAAGGGUACAAGUUCUCUGGUGAAUGUGGAGUCUUGAAGGUCCAAAAGGGUGUCCGAGUUGUACUGGAGUGAUGAAAGAAAUCUCAAUUGUACAUCUUGCAAAGUUGUAUAAAAUCAAUAAAAAAAAACAUUUGGACAUGUUUAGUAUCGUGAUGGAUAUACAGUUUGGUACAGUACCUUUGAGGAUUGGCUCCGAGUCAUUAUUGAAUAACACUACUCAUGAGAGUUUGGGAGAUAUUGGUAAUUCUGCUUUGCCACCAUCAACCACGGUUCCAUCGUGUUCAUUUGCUAGGGAAUGACUCAUUGAGAAUACGUAUGGUGUUGCAGAUGUUGGUAUUCAUGCUUUCGUGUGUUUGAAGUUGUAAAAACUAGCAAGUGGCCUUCAGUUAAAGCAUUUGGAGGGAAUUCUGCUAUAGGGUGUGUUUCGACCCUGUUUGGUAAAUUUUGAAUUCCUUGUAGAAUUUUGGGAACCUAGUGUUUGGGUUCGAGUAUCAUUUUUUAUACUGUGGAAGAGGAAGAGUAAUUUUUCAUAAGGUGAAGGAGUUCGGUCUUAGAUGAAGAGUUUAUUCUAUUUCGCUGCAGUCGGACUUAUUUUUCGAGGUAGAAAAAUUUUAGAGCUUCGUUUGUUUCACUGAAAUUCGUGUCAAGGUGGAGAUCGUUAGAAUUUGGGUGUGACCCAAAUUCUUUGUUGAAAACAAUUAGGAGUUCUAAUUUAAGUGCACAUUAAUUAGAAUUCUGUUUGAAAUGCAAUUGUGAAAUUUUUGGGCAUAUUAUUUGUUCUACAACUCACUUUUAUGGUUUAGAUUGUUCCUUAUAAAUAUUAGACUAUUUUUCUAGUUUUGGUGAGCCAAAAGCAUUAUUGUUACAUUGCAAUAUUCUCUCCAUUGGUUGUCAAUAAAAUUAUUUUGUUCCUUUGCCAAUCUUUUUUCUUCACUUUUAAUCGUGUUCUUGCUUGUGCGAUCAAAUACUUCGUAUUGAGUCAUAUUGACCUCCCCAAUUUUAUAACAAGUGUUAUAAGAGCUGUUCUACUUUUAUAAAGUAGUUUCAAAUAUGGUCCGAAUUCAUAACAUAGACUACUUAUUUCUCUUUUUUCUCGUACAAUUUUAAUUUGUGCUAACCAUACAUCUAAAAUUAUGUCAACCACUAACUAAGCAUCACAAGAUAAAAAUGGAAAAAGUUAAUCAAAGAGGACUAGUAACAUAUUUGACAACGUACAUUCGACCGUAUUAAAUAAUGUAUAUUGGCGUUUCUAUCUAGUACUCUAUUCUAACUUGUCUUUGGAUAAAUACGUACAUAAGAAAUUUGAAUGUACUGUGAAAAUGGUAUAUUAUCACAAUUACAAAUCCAAACCCAAACAAAAGAGAACCAAUCCAAGCCAUUAUUACAAAUCUUCGGAUGGCCAAGAUAGGCCCACCCAUCAUUUUGAGUGUAUACAAAUACAACUCAAAUACCCAAAAUACCCUUAUGUCAAAUUCCUAAAAUACCCCUUCAUCGUUCAAAAGACGCCAUCCUCUAAAAACUUCAUCAUCAUAAUCACAGUAAAGUGGAAAAUCCUUGCCUGCACGACACACAAGCCGCCUUCUUUGCACUAUAUAUAUCCACACUUUAUCUCCAACCAAACAAACACACCCUUCAUCAUUCUUGUCUUUUUAUUUGAGUAAAUGUAAACACUCCCUUACAUUUUUGUUAUUAAGUUUUUUGUAAAUGUUUGAUAGAAAUGGAGAGGCUAAACUCAAAGCUAUACUUGGGGAACUGCUACAUAAUGAAGGAAAAUGAAUGGCUGAGGAAGAAGGCUGAGUUACUGAACCAGGAGAAUCAAGCACCGUUGAAUAAAUUGAAGCAGAAGCUGUCAAAGGAUGCCAAGAUACUAUAUGGUUCAAAUAAUGCAUUGAGAAGACUGGUAGAUAGAAGAUAACUCCCACUGUGUCGGACGACCAUCGCUAUGCUGGAUGGCGCCUAUCAUGAUAUAGUGACUGCCGUUGUGCCAACUUGACUGAUGCUAUGCUUGCUUGCUCAUAGGGUAUAGAUAGCUUCUAGCAUGGUAGGUGAUGUUCGCCAUGAUAGAGUGCUUACUGCUAUGCUAAUCUGACCCUUCCACGUGUGGACCAACCACUAUUAUCUAGAUUACCCGGACAUCAUUGAAACUGGCGAGUAACUGUCUUGAUGGUUAACAUUAAACUCGCCAUUCAAGUAGUGGGCGGAAAGUAACUACUAAAUAAAUGGGAAAAAUCCUCUGAGGAGUGGGCAGAUCUCAUAAGGAUACGUGGAUGGCAACUAUCCGACGGUUACAUGGUGCCAAACACCUAUAAAUAUCUCAUGGACAUGUCAGGUAAAAGGGAUUUUCCUUUUCAGAAAAAAAUAUUCUCUUUCGUUAUUGCCACCGUUCUUUAACAUCCUUGAUUGUGAAAACAAUCAUUGAUUCUCACGUCGAAGGUAAACCAGGAGAGGACACCCAGCCUCUUUUUUACAGGAUCACCGGAGGAUUAAAGACAACUUUUUCCCUCUCAAGAAGAUGCAUUUAGACUAUUUCAUUGGCUCCCUCUGUGGGAAACUUCACUAAGCAUAAAAGCUAUAUCAAGAAGACGAACUAGGAACGAUACGCGGUGCUCGGUAACACUGCAGAGUCAGAGUCUGUCGCAAAGGGUCAAGAUCCGUAGUUGAAACCUCAAUAUAUGACGCAGAGCCAAUUUAGACUUCUGAAAGCCCAGUUAGCCACUAUGAUGACUCUCUUGCGAAGUCGGAAACGGAGAGUAGCCAAUCCAUUCCACAAUCUACUAGAAGUAUUGUCAUAAGACACAAGUGGGCAACUGUCCCAAGCGAACCAUGCAAUUGUCCCACCAGUCGUUCAGGAAACAGUUGUCGACCAAGGGCCUCACAAAGUCACAUAUCUGCAGGCCUCACGUCUAAUGGUAGACCUGGAGCGUAGGAUGGAAGAAAUAAUGGCCCAGAAGAUUAACAAUGCACUGUCGAGGUGGAAGGAUGGAUGACGAUCGAUGGUUUUGGAAAAAGACCCAUUCGCCCUAGAAAUCAUGGUAGUUCUUCUACCAAAGGGUUUCAAGUAGCCUAUGAUAGAAGCGUAUGAUGGAGUCACUGAACCGCUUGAUCACCUACGCACUUUUGUUGAUUUGAUGAGAUUGUAUACAGCCUCAGAUACCACGAUGUGUCAGUCCUUUUCACCGAUGCUAAGAAGAGAAGCAAGAGAUUGGGUGGCCAUACUGGCGUCUCGAUCUAUCAGAACCUUGACGAGCUCUACAGAAGCUUUGUAGCAUAUUUUAUGAGCAGCAAGAGGAAAAGGGAAAACCGUCAUAAGACUAAUGCAAGUUUGUCCAGGAUAAAUAUGAGCUAUUGUAAGAUUAUUUGGAUGCGUCUAGUCGGGCAACACGGGUAUAAAGGAUCUUUAUAUGCCAGUGAUAGUCACUGCACUGUUGAAUGGGACCCAAAAUCGAGCCUUUAAAAUGUCACUCUCGAAAAGCCCUAGGAGUCAAUGCAUGAUCUGUUGAAAAAGGGAAACAAAUAUGUAGACACCUAGGAAGCAGAGAGGGUCACAAGAAACCUUUAAGAAGGACGGGAGCCAAAAACUAACAAGGAAAAAUCACGCGACGAGAGAAAAUUUGCCAAUAAAAAUAAGUCAAAGAACGAGCAUGUGGGCAAAGGAUAUGCGCAGGAUCGAUCAAUCAAGCAAAGAUUAGAAGAGGUAAAAGCCUUCAUCCCUUUAAAUGCUCCAAUGGCUAAGGUAUUAAUGGAAAUUCGGGACAUGAAAGAGCUCGACUAGUUGAAGCCAAUGGUGGCAUCCACAAACAAGAGAGACAAGAACAUGUAUACUCACUUCCAUAGGGACCACGUUGUCGACCUGUGGUUUAUUUUAUAUUUUCUCAAACUAAACAUUGGCAUGCCAACGAGUGUUUACUAUGUCUAUCAUAAAACUUAUCCAAGCUGGUAUUAUUUUACUGCGAGAUUUUGAAAUUUUUUGUCUUCUCUUAUAAAAGAUUUAUUUCCAAAAUAAGCAAACAUAUCUUUACUCUAUCAUAUCAAUUAACUUGAUUUAUUUCAUUCAGGUCAAUUAGCCAUUUUUGAGGAAAUAAAAAUGGAAUAUUUCCAGAAUUCACUUUUGUAACCGAUAUAAUUUCCUCUUGAAUCACGCCAUUUUCUUCAUUUCCAAAAAAAAAUAAAAAUAAAAAUCCAUCACACUCUAUUUAAGCUCGAUAGUCACUGCACUGUUGAAUGGGACCCAGAAUCGAGCCUUUAAGAUGUCACUCUCGAAAAGCCCUAAGAGUCAAUGCAUGAUCUGUUGAAAAAGGGAAACAAAUAUGUAGACACCUAGGAAGCAGAGAGGGUCUCAAGAAACCUUUAAGAAGGACGGGAGCCAAAAACUAACAAGGAAAAAUCACGCGAGGAGAGAAAAUUUGCCAAUAAAAAUAAGUCAAAGAACGAGCAUGUUGGCAAAGGAUAUGCGCAGGAUCGAUCAAUCAAGCAAAGAUUAGAAGAGGUAAAAGCCUUCAUCCCUUUAAAUGCUCCAAUGGCUAAGGUAUUAAUGGAAAUUCGGGACAUGAAAGAGCUCGACUAGUUGAAGCCAAUGGUGGCAUCCACUAACAAGAGAGACAAGAACAUGUAUUCUCACUUCCAUAGGGACCACGUUGUCGACCUGUGGUUUAUUUUAUAUUUUCUCAAACUAAACAUUGGCAUGCCAACGAGUCUUUACUAUGUCUAUCAUAAAACUUAUCCAAGCUGGUAUUAUUUUACUGCGAGAUUUUGAAUUUUUUUUUCUUCUCUUAUAAAAGAUUUAUUUCCAAAAUAAGCAAACAUAUCUUUACUCUAUCAUAUCAAUUAACUUGAUUUAUUUCAUUCAUGUCAAUUAGCCAUUUUUGAGGAAAUAAAAAUGGAAUAUUUCCAGAAUUCAAUUUUGUAACCGAUAUAAUUUCCUCUUGAAUCACGCCAUUUUCUUCAUUUCCAAAAAAAAAUAAAAAUAAAAAUCCAUCACACUCUAUUUAAGCUCGAUAGUCACUGCACUGUUGAAUGGGACCCAGAAUCGAGCCUUUAAGAUGUCACUCUCGAAAAGCCCUAGGAGUCAAUGCAUGAUCCGUUGAAAAAGGGAAACAAAUAUGUAGACACCUAGGAAGCAGAGAGGGUCACAAGAAACCUUUAAGAAGGACGGGAGCCAAAAACUAACAAGGAAAAAUCACGCGACGAGAGAAAAUUUACCAAUAAAAAUAAGUCAAAGAACGAGCAUGUUUGCAAAGGAUAUGCGCAGGAUCGAUCAAUCAAGCAAAGAUUAGAAGAGGUAAAAGCCUUCAUCCCUUUAAAUGCUCCAAUGGCUAAGGUAUUAAUGGAAAUUCGGGACAUGAAAGAGCUCGACUAGUUGAAGCCAAUGGUGGCAUCCACUAACAAGAGAGACAAGAACAUGUAUUCUCACUUCCAUAGGGACCACGUUGUCGACCUGUGGUUUAUUUUAUUAAUGGAAAUUCGGGACAUGAAAGAGCUCGACUAGUUGAAGCCAAUGGUGGCAUCCACUAACAAGAGAGACAAGAACAUGUAUUCUCACUUCCAUAGGGACCACGUUGUCGACCUGUGGUUUAUUUUAUUAAUGGAAAUUCGGGACAUGAAAGAGCUCGACUAGUUGAAGCCAAUGGUGGCAUCCACUAACAAGAGAGACAAGAACAUGUAUUCUCACUUCCAUAGGGACCACGUUGUCGACCUGUGGUUUAUUUUAUUAAUGGAAAUUCGGGACAUGAAAGAGCUCGACUAGUUGAAGCCAAUGGUGGCAUCCACUAACAAGAGAGACAAGAACAUGUAUUCUCACUUCCAUAGGGACCACGUUGUCGACCUGUGGUUUAUUUUAUUAAUGGAAAUUCGGGACAUGAAAGAGCUCGACUAGUUGAAGCCAAUGGUGGCAUCCACUAACAAGAGAGACAAGAACAUGUAUUCUCACUUCCAUAGGGACCACGUUGUCGACCUGUGGUUUAUUUUAUUAAUGGAAAUUCGGGACAUGAAAGAGCUCGACUAGUUGAAGCCAAUGGUGGCAUCCACUAACAAGAGAGACAAGAACAUGUAUUCUCACUUCCAUAGGGACCACGUUGUCGACCUGUGGUUUAUUUUAUUAAUGGAAAUUCGGGACAUGAAAGAGCUCGACUAGUUGAAGCCAAUGGUGGCAUCCACUAACAAGAGAGACAAGAACAUGUAUUCUCACUUCCAUAGGGACCACGUUGUCGACCUGUGGUUUAUUUUAUUAAUGGAAAUUCGGGACAUGAAAGAGCUCGACUAGUUGAAGCCAAUGGUGGCAUCCACUAACAAGAGAGACAAGAACAUGUAUUCUCACUUCCAUAGGGACCACGUUGUCGACCUGUGGUUUAUUUUAUUAAUGGAAAUUCGGGACAUGAAAGAGCUCGACUAGUUGAAGCCAAUGGUGGCAUCCACUAACAAGAGAGACAAGAACAUGUAUUCUCACUUCCAUAGGGACCACGUUGUCGACCUGUGGUUUAUUUUAUUAAUGGAAAUUCGGGACAUGAAAGAGCUCGACUAGUUGAAGCCAAUGGUGGCAUCCACUAACAAGAGAGACAAGAACAUGUAUUCUCACUUCCAUAGGGACCACGUUGUCGACCUGUGGUUUAUUUUAUAUUUUCUCAAACUAAACAUUGGCAUGCCAACGAGUCUUUACUAUGUCUAUCAUAAAACUUAUCCAAGCUGGUAUUAUUUUACUGCGAGAUUUUGAAAUUUUUUGUCUUCUCUUAUAAAAGAUUUAUGUCCAAAAUAAGCAAACAUAUCUUUACUCUAUCAUAUCAAUUAACUUGAUUUAUUUCAUUCAUGUCAAUUAGCCAUUUUUGAGGAAAUAAAAAUGGAAUAUUUCCAGAAUUCAAUUAUGUAACCGAUAUAAUUUCCUCUUGAAUCACUCCAUUUUCUUCAUUUCCAAAAAAAAAAUAAAAAACAAAAAAAUCAAUCACACUCUAUUUAAGCUCGAUAGUCACUGCACUGUUGAAUGGGACCCAGAAUCGAGCCUUUAAGAUGUCACUCUCGAAAAGCCCUAGGAGUCAAUGCAUGAUCUGUUGAAAAAGGGAAACAAAUAUGUAGACACCUAGGAAGCAGAGAGGGUCACAAGAAACCUUUAAGAAGGACGGGAGCCAAAAACUAACAAGGAAAAAUCACGCGACGAGAGAAAAUCUGCCAAUAAAAAUAAGUCAAACAACGAGCAUGUGGGCAAAGGAUAUGCGNNNNNNNNNNNNNNNNNNNNNNNNNNNNNNNNNNNNNNNCAGGAUCGAUCAAUCAAGCAAAGAUUAGAAGAGGUAAAAGCCUUCAUCCCUUUAAAUGCUCCAAUGGCUAAGGUAUUAAUGGAAAUUCGGGACAUGAAAGAGCUCGACUAGUUGAAGCCAAUGGUGGCAUCCACUAACAAGAGAGACAAGAACAUGUAUUCUCACUUCCAUAGGGACCACGUUGUCGACCUGUGGUUUAUUUUAUAUUUUCUCAAACUAAACAUUGGCAUGCCAACGAGUGUUUACUAUGUCUAUCAUAAAACUUAUCCAAGCUGGUAUUAUUUUACUGCGAGAUUUUGAAAUUUUUUGUCUUCCCUUAUAAAAGAUUUAUUUCCAAAAUAAGCAAACAUAACUUUAUUCUAUCAUAUCAAUUAGCUUGAUUUAUUUCAUUCAUGUCAAUUAGCCAUUUUUGAGGAAAUAAAAAUGGAAUAUUUCCAGAAUUCAAUUUUGUAACCGAUAUAAUUUCCUCUUGAAUCACGCCAUUUUCUUCAUUUCCAAAAAAAAAAUAAAAAAAAAUCCAUCACACUCUAUUUAAGCUCGAUAGUCACUGCAAUGUUGAAUGGGACCCAGAAUCGAGCCUUUAAGAUGUCACUCUCGAAAAGCCCUAGGAGUCAAUGCAUGAUCUGUUGAAAAAGGGAAACAAAUAUGUGGACACCUAGGAAGCAGAGAGGGUCACAAGAAACCUUUAAGAAGGACGGGAGCCAAAAACUAACAAGGAAAAAUCACGCGACGAGAGAAAAUUUGCCAAUAAAAAUAAGUCAAAGAACGAGCAUGUGGGCAAAGGAUAUUUGCAGGAUCGAUCAAUCAAGCAAAGAUUAGAAGAGGUAAAAGCCUUCAUCCCUUUAAAUGCUCCAAUGGCUAAGGUAUUAAUGGAAAUUCGGGACAUGAAAGAGCUCGACUAGUUGAAGCCAAUGGUGGCAUCCACUAACAAGAGAGACAAGAACAUGUAUUCUCACUUCCAUAGGGACCACGUUGUCGACCUGUGGUUUAUUUUAUAUUUUCUCAAACUAAACAUUGGCAUGCCAACGAGUGUUUACUAUGUCUAUCAUAAAACUUAUCCAAGCUGGUAUUAUUUUACUGCGAGAUUUUGAAAUUUUUUGUCUUCUCUUAUAAAAGAUUUAUUUCCAAAAUAAGCAAACAUAUCUUUACUCUAUCAUAUCAAUUAACUUGAUUUAUUUCAUUCAUGUCAAUUAGCCAUUUUUGAGGAAAUAAAAAUGGAAUAUUUCCAGAAUUCAAUUAUGUAACCGAUAUAAUUUCCUCUUGAAUCACGCCAUUUUCUUCAUUUCCAAAAAAAAAUAAAAAAUAAAAAAUCAAUCACACUCUAUUUAAGCUCGAUAGUCACUGCACUGUUGAAUGGGACCCAGAAUCGAGCCUUUAAGAUGUCACUCUCGAAAAGCCCUAGGAGUCAAUGCAUGAUCUGUUGAAAAAGGGAAACAAAUAUGUAGACACCUAGGAAGCAGAGAGGGUCACAAGAAACCUUUAAGAAGGACGGGAACCAAAAACUAACAAGGAAAAAUCACGCGACGAGAGAAAAUCUGCCAAUAAAAAAAGUCAAAGAACGAGCAUGUGGCCAAAGGAUAUUUGCAGGAUCGAUCAAUCAAGCAAAGAUUAGAAGAGGUAAAAGCCUUCAUCCCUUUAAAUGCUCCAAUGGCUAAGGUAUUAAUAGAAAUUCGGGACAUGAAAGAGCUCGACUAGUUGAAGCCAAUGGUGGCAUCCACUAACAAGAGAGACAAGAACAUUUGUUCUCACUUCCAUAGGGACCACGUUGUCGACCUGUGGUUUAUUUUAUAUUUUCUCAAACUAAACAUUGGCAUGCCAACGAGUGUUUACUAUGUCUAUCAUAAAACUUAUCCAAGCUGGUAUUAUUUUACUGCGAGAUUUUGAAAUUUUUUGUCUUCUCUUAUAAAAGAUUUAUGUCCAAAAUAAGCAAACAUAUCUUUACUCUAUCAUAUCAAUUAACUUUAUUUAUUUCAUUCAUGUCAAUUAGCCAUUUUUGAGGAAAUAAAAAUGGAAUAUUUCCAGAAUUCAAUUAUGUAACCGAUAUAAUUUCCUCUUGAAUCACGCCAUUUUCUUCAUUUCCAAAAAAAAAAUAAAAAAAAAUCCAUCACACUCUAUUUAAGCUCGAUAGUCACUGCAAUGUUGAAUGGGACCCAGAAUUGAGCCUUUAAGAUGUCACUCUCGAAAAGCCCUAGGAGUCAAUGCAUGAUCUGUUGAAAAAGGGAAACAAAUAUGUAGACACCUAGGAAGCAGAGAGGGUCACAAGAAACCUUUAAGAAGGACGGGAGCCAAAAACUAACAAGGAAAAAUCACGCGACGAGAGAAAAUCUGCCAAUAAAAAUAAGUCAAACAACGAGCAUGUGGGCAAAGGAUAUGCGUAGGAUCGGUCAAUCAAGCAAAGAUUAGAAGAGGUAAAAGCCUUCAUCCCUUUAAAUGCUCCAAUGGCUAAGGUAUUAAUGGAAAUUUGGGACAUGAAAGAGCUCGACUAGUUGAAGCCAAUGGUGGCAUCCACUAACAAGAGAGACAAGAACAUGUAUUCUCACUUCCGUAGGAACCACGUUGUCGACCUGUGGUUUAUUUUAUAUUUUCUCAAACUAAACAUUGGCAUGCCAACGAGUGUUUACUAUGUCUAUCAUAAAACUUAUCCAAGUUGGUAUUAUUUUACUGCGAGAUUUUGAAAUUUUUUGUCUUCUCUUAUAAAAGAUUUAUGUCCAAAAUAAGCAAACAUAUCUUUACUCUAUCAUAUCAAUUAACUUGAUUUAUUUCAUUCAUGUCAAUUAGCCAUUUUUGAGGAAAUAAAAAUGGAAUAUUUCCAGAAUUCAAUUUUGUAACCAAUAUAAUUUCCUCUUGAAUCACGCCAUUUUCUUCAUUUCCAAAAAAAAAAAAAUAAUAAUAAAAAUCCAUCACACUCUAUUUAAGCUCCAAAAGAAUGGACAUUUCUUGUAUUUUAAGAAAAACUUUGUCGAAAAAAUCUCAUCAAUGGCACCUUGCAAAUGGAUUCGUUCAUUUAAAGAAGACAAUUCCGCAUUCAUGGUAUUAUAUUCUCUCAUUAUAUUUCAUCUGUAUUUUCCAUUUUAUCAAAAAGAAAAUCAUGUUCUUUUUGUAUUUUUUUUCCUCCAGUCAUGUAUUCUGAGAGUAAAUGUACAUAGUCCAGGAUGGCAAAAGGCAGUCAGGGGUGUGCUAUCCAGUAGCCGAGGUACAAAAUAAUUAAUUUCUUAUAAAAACACUUAUUUUCAUGAUAUAUUCUGAUUUUUUUUUUUUUUGCGUAUCGAAUAAAGGAGUACGAAGUUUCAAGAUGGAUGAAUUCGGCAUUGUGCGCGUGUCAGGUUUGAUUGAUCCAAAAUUACUUAUGAAGAAGCUUGGAAAAGUUGGAAGACAUGCAGAAUUAUGUUGGUUUCAAUUUGGACAGUGUCCGAGCAACUUAUUUUUGCCGAACCACGAUAAUCCACACGGUUACUGGAUGAGCGGCUACGAUGAAUAUGGUCGUUAUUUUCCUUUCCGACAAGCAUUUCAAGAAGCUUGUUUAGAAUCCUCGUACGAGCAUGUGCCACCGCCAACGGCCCCGCCCUUGAGCUUCGAAAGUAGUGGCUGUUGCACUAUCAUGUAAAAAAUGCCAUCAACUUGGGACAAAACCUAGGAUCUAGGAUGAAAAAAUGUUCAUUUUUAUGAUUUUUUUUUUUUGUCCUAUGGAAUCCAAGUAGGGUGUCUGACUUUCUUCUUAUAGUGGCCAUGGUUUUUUUCUCAGCUGCUUUGUUAUAUAGAAAGAACUACCACCUCUCUUUUUCAUGUGUAGUUGUUUUUAAUGAAUUGUUAUGGUUUUGCUAAAACCAGUUUUUUAGUAGAUUUUUUACAAAAGUUAUGGUUGAAAAACUAUUAAAAUUGAGGGCCCUAUGAAAUGUGUGGUUGAAAACGAGUUCGAAGAAAAAUGUGUUUUAAGAAAUGAGGACCAAAUGGAGACUUAGUGAUCGCCGCGAGAUAAUCCAAAGAUUCCGAGUUAUUGUCACGAGCUUUCCAGUUUAAAUGAUGAUGUUAACUCACCCUUGGAGAGGGUACCCGAGACAUCACAAUCAUCGAGAAAAUCGAGCAACUUUGAAUAAAAAGAGUCGUAGUUCAUCAAAAGAAAGGGAACAGGAAGCAUAGAUCCAAUUCUUUCGAGUUGAAUCAAUGCAAGAAUUUCAAACGUUUCAUCUAAAGUGCCAAUCCCACUAGGAAGGGCAACAACAGCCGUACGAUCAGAACCUGUAGCUAUAAACCCAGUAGAUACAACGUCCAUGAGCCCGAGUCCAGCCCCCGGCUUGCAAUCUUCCAAAUAAAAUAGUAAUCGGAGAGCUUGAAAUCUAGCAACUUGUGUAUCUUCAUGCAUCUGAAAAGGGAUCUACUAUUUAUUUAGGUUUAUAUUCUCGUUCGGAUAAUAAAUUAAUAAAUUAUUCAUAAUCAUGAGCAUCAUUUUCUUUGCAUAGUACGCUAAAUUGGCGUCUUUUGUCAAUAUUGACGCUUUUGAAGCAAUGUGUCUAAAAGAUUAAGCCGUUAAGAAGAACAUAAAUUUAUUUAUUUAGAUUGUCUUCAACACGUUUCUUUAUACAAGCAAGAUACAGUUCCCCCGUCAUCAAAAAGAAAAAAAAAAGAUACAUUUUUUUUUUCUUGAAAGGCCCAAGAGUUGCACAAUUUUCGUAAACAUUUGCCUAAAGACUCGAGCUAUCCAUUAGAGAAGAAAUACAAUGCUGAAAUUGCAUCAAAACAUACGUCAUCUGGGCUUGUUCUCUCUUGAAAAUUAAUUCCCUCUAGUUUGCAGCAAAAUAACCUUCUUGAUUGAGCCCUGCUGAAGAAUUUUGAUAGUUUAAAAUUUCCAUUAAAAGACACAAACUUUUUUUUUUCCCUAUCCUUUGAUGUUGAUAUUUAAUAAGAUAUGAAUGGCCAAAUGGGAACAUUGGCACAAGAACGUUUUUAUCCUGAUCCCACCUUAUCCCCACUGCACCUCCCCAAAAUAUCUGACAGUGCUCGAGCAAAGGGCUAUCCUGCCCAUUGCCAUCCCUAAUUCUUAUAACAAAUUCUUGAAAAUUUUGCACUUUGAUAAAUGUAUAACUAAUUAACUACAAACCUAAAGCAUUAACGUACUUUCUAAAUCACAUCAUUUAAUUUCUUUCGGUGUAUAAAUUUAUAAAUUUUUCAUUAUUUUUGUCUAAACUUUCAAAAAUUAAAUUGAAACAUAAAAUUUGGUGACUAAAUUGAAAGACUCUAUUAAUUCCUAACUAAUGGUGUUUUUAACUAAGCACGUGUUUCACAAGUGUUUAUUUGUUUAUAAACACGUAGAAAUGAGUGACAAUAAGUAUAUAAUACUUUUGAAUCUCACGGAAUAUGUGAAUAAAAAUUUAUUUGGCUUUUAGCAAAUAUUUAUUUAUAAUACUCUAAGUUAAAUAAAAAGGAUUUUAAGUGGAAGGAAAUUGUAAAAAUUCCUAGGGGCAAAGAUCUUUUUGGUGAGGGAAACAAAACUUCUUGGGUCUGUAUGUAAUUUAUGAUAAUUCUUGGGGGUCUCAUACGAACAUUCAUAGGCAUCUGGGUUAAAGACAUAAAAGGACAGCUUUAUAUGCUGCGGACGGCGUCGUUUAAAUUUAAAAUAUUAGCAGCUUGUUUGAGAGUUAUUUUUUGGCUUAAAAAAUUAAUUUUUUGACUAUUAUUUCACUAUUUCUUUUCUCACAGAUGGAGCCUAAUUUUCUCCUAACUAUCAAAAAAUCAAUUCUCAAAAUCUCUACCAUAAUUAAAUCAACUAGGGUUUUGAAGUGGGCUAUCUACAAUUUAUACUUCUUCUAUUGCGUGGCUUGAAGUUUUGUCCCGCCGAUUCUUCCUCUGCAAUAAUUAGUGGACUCGCCGGAACCCUAGAAACCGCCACUUGCAACCAUGGGUAACAGAUCAAUUUAUUCACUUCUUGUGUCUUUUAAUAUGUUAUACACGUUUCGCAUUGUAUACACCGAUUCCGUAUGAAUUGACUGCAAUGUUGUUUGUGUACAGGUAUUUCACGGGACUCGAUGCACAAGAGGAGAGCCACUGGAGACAAGAAGAAAGCUUGGAGAAAGAAGAGAAAGUAAUUUUUACUUAUUUCAUAUUUAAAUUUUUUGUCAUUAGUGAUUUUGAUUUAUUGGUUGCUUUGUCUAAUAUGUGUUUUUGUGUAUGUGUCCUUGGUUUAUUUCGAUUCCCAAUACAUCUUGUUGCAUUAUUUUUAUGCAAUUCACAGUGUGUUUUAUUGAAGUCUGUAUGACUGAAAUUUUAAAUUUUUUAGCAAAUAGGGUUUUCUAGAAUGAAACGCUGUUCAAUAAAUCAGAUUUAGAAAACAAUAUAUACAUUUUUAAAUUUCUUGUCAAAAUUAAAAAAAGAUCGCACCAAUGAAUUUCCUCCAUUUCUAUUCUAAGAUGCUAGUUCAGUUAUUCAACCAUUAAACAGUUUAUGAAUAUUUUUUUUUUAUUUUUUUUUUAUUUAGCUAUGACAACAUAGAUCUGAAUUCUGAUUGACGUAACUUAUUACUCCCAUGUGAUUGUUAUUGGAUUAAUCUAUUCUCUGUCUACUCGUAGGUAUGAGCUUGGAAGGCAACCUGCAAACACUAAGUUGUCAAGUAACAAAACAGUAAGAAGGGUGAGAGUUCGAGGAGGUAAUGUGAAGUGGCGUGCGUUGAGGCUGGAUACAGGAAACUAUUCUUGGGGGAGUGAAGCUGUGACCCGUAAGACCCGUAUACUUGAUGUGGUUUAUAAUGCAUCAAACAAUGAGUUGGUUAGGACCCAGACUUUGGUGAAGAGUGCCAUUGUUCAAGUGGAUGCUGCACCAUUCAAGCAGUGGUAUCUUCAGCACUAUGGAGUUGACAUUGGUCGCAAGAAGAAGACAGCUGCCAAGAAGGAAGGAGAAGUAAUGAACUAUCUUUCUUUUCUACUGCUUUAGGAUAUACUUUACCCAGUACUUUUUGUUAGACUCGAAAGUGCUUCAUAAAUUUUUAUUGCUCACAAAGCACAUUUUACUCCAAUUAGAUACUAAUAUAAUUAGGUACAUAUUAGUAGCUGAACUGUGAGUUGAUGGACAAGAUUGCAAUGCAUCGAGACCAUCAAUGAAGCUAUAUAAUACAUUUGAAGGCAUCAUUGAGGACGUUUCUAAAGACCAGGGAGCAACUGGGAAAAACAUGUGAAGUAGAGUUACUGAAAUACGCAAUCUAUAUUGCAUUUUAACUCUAUUGGUAUCAAUAUCUAUUAUUUGCUAAUAAAAAUGUAAGACAUAUUUAAGUUGGAGUUUCUUAUCGGGAUUAGGGUAAAAUAAGAAAUUGAGCGCUCCAGUCUGGGAGGCAUAAGAAAUGUCUUGACAUGAUUUAAAGGAGGAAGAUGCCAAUUGCGUGGACAUAUUUUUUAAUAUAUGCUCUUGUUUUAAACAAAGUCUAUUGAAGAAUAUCUAUUCAGAGCUUUUUAAUAACUUUUGUUUGCUGGGAUUUAAUUAGGAUGCUGAUGCCGCUGCUGCUAAAGAGACGAAGAAGAGCAACCAUGUCCUGAGAAAAAUUGAAAAGCGUCAACAGGAUCGCAAGCUUGAUCCCCUUGUUGAGGAGAAAUUUGGCAGUGGCAGUUUAUUAGCUUCAAUCUCUUCACGCCCUGGACAGUGUAGGCGUGCUGAUGGGUAUGUGUAGUCUUUUGUAUUCCUUUUUAUCUCAUGGCUACUGAAAUGUCAAAGGCCAAAUGUCCCUUUUUCAUUUUUAUGACGAACAUAUUAGAAAAAUGCUCAAAAUCUCGUGAUUAAUGAGAGGCAAAUUUUAANNNNNNNNNNNNNNNNNNNNNNNNNNNNNNNNNNNNNNNNNNNNNNNNNNNNNNNNNNNNNNNNNNNNNNNNNNNNNNNNNNNNNNNNNNNNNNNNNNNNNNNNNNNNNNNNNNNNNNNNNNNNNNNNNNNNNNNNNNNNNNNNNNNNNNNNNNNNNNNNNNNNNNNNNNNNNNNNNNNNNNNNNNNNNNNNNNNNNNNNNNNNNNNNNNNNNNNNNNNNNNNNNNNNNNNNNNNNNNNNNNNNNNNNNNNNNNNNNNNNNNNNNNNNNNNNNNNNNNNNNNNNNNNNNNNNNNNNNNNNNNNNNNNNNNNNNNNNNNNNNNNNNNNNNNNNNNNNNNNNNNNNNNNNNNNNNNNNNNNNNNNNNNNNNNNNNNNNNNNNNNNNNNNNNNNNNNNNNNNNNNNNNNNNNNNNNNNNNNNNNNNNNNNNNNNNNNNNNNNNNNNNNNNNNNNNNNNNNNNNNNNNNNNNNNNNNNNNNNNNNNNNNNNNNNNNNNNNNNNNNNNNNNNNNNNNNNNNNNNNNNNNNNNNNNNNNNNNNNNNNNNNNNNNNNNNNNNNNNNNNNNNNNNNNNNNNNNNNNNNNNNNNNNNNNNNNNNNNNNNNNNNNNNNNNNNNNNNNNNNNNNNNNNNNNNNNNNNNNNNNNNNNNNNNNNNNNNNNNNNNNNNNNNNNNNNNNNNNNNNNNNNNNNNNNNNNNNNNNNNNNNNNNNNNNNNNNNNNNNNNNNNNNNNNNNNNNNNNNNNNNNNNNNNNNNNNNNNNNNAAUUUGUACGUUAAUUUUUCUUUUCUUUUUUGUUUUAUUUAAAUAUGCGGGUAUAUUUGUUAUUUUACAUUUUAUUUAUUGAGAAAUUGAAUAAAAAUGAUCUUUUCAACAGUGAAAUGUGAAAAUAGGGACGAAAAUACCAAAAAAAAAAAAAAAGGAAUGAUAAGGACGUUUUGUAUAAUAAUAUCAAAAAGAAAGGACGGUUUAUGUCAAUUACUCUAAUUUAAAUAUUGCAAUGUAAAAGAAGAACUUUAAUUUUAUUUUUAACUACAUAGAAUCAAUACCUUUUGUUAUUUAACGAAAUAAUCUAAAAUUUAUCCUUGGCAACAUUUCAUGCUAUUUUCUUGAGAUCAAAAACCAAAAUUAAUGACAAAAGAUAUGAAAAUUUACAAAAUACAUCCCAGCCUAUAGAAUAAGGUGACGCCAUAUUCUUUUUAUAAUGAUAGAGCUUAUUUUCUCAAUUUUUUCCCCUCACAUUCAUAUCCUCAACGUUUCAUAAUUUGCUUAUUUUUCCUGAUGACUUUUUCGUCAUAGAUUCCAUUAAUAAAUAAUAAGGAGAAAAAUGACUUAAUUGUCCGUUGUUUUUUAAAAUAAAAAAUAAAUAUAAUAUUAUGAUUAUACAUUUGUCCUCAUUUUAAAGUAUGCUAACAUAAUUUUUGAAUGAAAAAUAAUCAUUAGGGACGAAAUGUGUAAAUUUAUGAUAAGUAUUAAAAUACAAUGAAAGGGGAAAUAAAUGUAACAAAAAUAAAAGUUACGAUCCUUUAAUGCAAUUAAAUGUGAUAAUAAGGAGAAAAAUGACUUAAUUGUCCGUUGUUUUUUAAAAUAAAAAAUAAAUAUAAUAUUAUGAUUAUACAUUUGUCCUCAUUUUAAAGUAUGCUAACAUAAUUUUUGAAUGAAAAAUAAUCAUUAGGGACGAAAUGUGUAAAUUUAUGAUAAGUAUUAAAAUACAAUGAAAGGGGAAAUAAAUGUAACAAAAAUAAAAGUUACGAUCCUUUAAUGCAAUUAAAUGUGGUCAAUAUAACCAUCAUAACAAAAAGUACCUACUAUAGUUAAUAAAAGAUUAAAAUUUUGACAUUUCAAAUAGUUGAACAAACCAAAUAAUUUAUAGAACUGAGCUAUACGUACAGAAAGAAAUCUUACAGAAGUUUUACAGAUCACUCAUAGCAGGUGGGGUCGGUAUUUUUUUGGCCAUUUUUUAACACACAGGGACCCGUGUGGGGUUGACCUCCAUUGGAGAGCUCUGUAACUCCACUUUUGUACAUCCAAUUUUUGUGUAAUUUAUAAUAGAAAUAACAAAUUAUAUCUUAUAUAUUAAUUAACAACUAUUUUUCAUAUAGUUAGUUUAACUACAUUAUCACUGGCGGAGGUAGUUUGGGGGGGGGGGGGGCAUGCUGGGCUGUAGCCCAGCAAUGUCCCCUAACACAUUAGAAUUUUGGCCCAAGUUUUAACAUUAGCCCAACUCUAAUUUAAAUCCCAACCUAAGUCCAAUACUCAAUUGUUCAAAUUAUUUUAAAGACACUAAAAUUAUUAAUUACUCUUUUUCAGACAUUUAUGAAAUGUGAAUAUUUUAUUUUCAAAUUAGAUGUUCUAUUUAAUGCAUGUUUGACUUAGAUCUAAAAGUAAAUUACUUAUUUUAAUAUUUAGAGACACAACAUAUUUUUCUAAAUUAUGUAUGUUUUCAUUUAUUACUAAUUCAUAGUUAUAAAAAAAAUACUUAUUUUGACCAUAAAGUAGAUAUUAUGUCAAAAUAAAUAACUUAAUAUAGAGUUGAUAUUGAUAAUAAAAAGAAUAUUUGUUAAAACUUUCAGUUGUUUAGAAAGGCUGGUUAUUAAAGUUACUAGAAAAAUACUCAUUAAAUAAGUUUUUAAAUGUUCAUUGGUGGAUAUGUAUUUUUGCUUAAUUCUAUCAUGAUUCGGUUAGUUUAAAAAUUUUUAAGGUAAGCAUUGAUUUUCUAUUUGGUAAAAAAAAAAAAAAAUACAAAAAAUUUAUUGGAAUAUCUUAAUGUGAGAUGUUUAAACUUUUUUUUAUUUUAUUCAGUUUCGUAUACUUUUAUCGUGAAUGUCACGAAAAUAGCUUUCGAAACUCAAUUUCUUGUGACAUAAGUUCAUUCAACAAUUUUUAAAUUUUAACACAUUCUAAUAUCAUUUUCAGUACAUUAUUAUUCUUUAAACUUUAAUUACAAUAAACUUGUAAUGUUUUAUUGAAUGAUUUUUGCUUGAAAUACACAGUUUUCUUUAGUGUGAGAUUUACGAAACUUAUGAUCCUCAUUUACUUAAACUAGAACUUCAUAUGACAUAAGUCACAUAAUAUAAACAUUAAUAAUUUAAUAAUGUAUGGAAAAUGUAGCAAAAAUUUCAUUUUAAUUUUUUCCAGCAUUAUUAUGUGGACAAAAGGAAAAUAUUAGGUUUCAUCGUCUAAUAAAUAAUUUAUUUUCAAUAUAAAAAUUUUAAAAAAGUAAAAUUAUAUAUUAUUCUACAAUUUAAAAUUUGACAUUUCAAAUAGUUGAACAAACCAAAUAAUUUAUAAGAAAAAUAACAAAUUACACGUUAUAUAUUAAUUAACAAAUAUUUUUCAGAUAGUUUGUUUAACUGUAUUAUUAUUAUCGAAUGAUUUUUACUCGAAAUACACAGUUUUCUUUAAUGUGAGUUUUACAAAACUUAUGAUCCUCAUUUUCUUAAAUUAGAACUUGAUAUGACAUAAUAUAAACAUUAAUAAGUUAAUAAUAUAUGGAAAAUAUAGAAAAAAAAAUUCAUUAUAAUUUUUUCCAACAUUAUUAUGUGGACGAAAGGAAAAAAUUAGUUUUCAUCGUCUAAUAAUAAUUUAUUUUCAAUAUAGAAGUUAAAAAUAAGGAAAAUUAUAUAUUAUUCUACAAGUAAAAAUAAUUUUCUUAAUCAUAUUAUUUUAAGUUGACGUUACAUCUUCAUGCCAUUUUGCAACGUAAUAAAUUUCAUAUAUAACUUUUUGGUUUCUAUGUUUAUGUUCUUUUUCUUUUAUUUUUACGAGAAAAAUUUAAGAAUAGAUUGUAAGGAUUUUUCUAAUCAAUUGUAUGGGCUUAUAUGUGUAAAUUAUUGUGCAUUAAAUUAAAGGCUAUCGAAUUUGGUUUAGCUAAUCUAAAGUGAUCUAAUAAGGAUUCGAUAUUGGGCUUUAAUGCAUCCAAUUAAAGUGUGGAUUUAUAUAGGGAACAACACAUAACUCAGGCUUUUAACGUACACCAUUUCAUCAUCUGCAUGGGUAGCCUGCGGCUGGGGUGCAGUAUGGAUUUCAUGCCCCUCUGGCUCUGUAGGAUAAUAUUCCCGCGUUGCAUGCUCCUUAAUAGAUGAGUAGAAACAGGAAGGUGUCUUUUUCCUUUUUGGUGGUGUAUCAACAAAAUCAUUGUCGUCAUCAUCUUCAACAUCACUUGAAUGUUCUUUACAUCCAUUUGUAAUCAUUAACAACCACGGUGUUUAGAGAUUGGACAAUGGCACUCGUGCCUGCAUCGCCCGUAUAUCCAAAUUGCAUGUCCUCUCGUACAUGUGGUUGCAAAGGUUUCUUCUACAAAAUGUCUUUCAUAUAUGGAGCUACAAUUUCAUCGUCAGACGAAACAACGUAACGAACUUCGAUCUACAACAGUGAUAUAAUUAACAAUCAUAUUAGUUAUCUACGAACAUAUUGAUUAUCAAAGUUUUGUGACAUAAGCAUGUUAAGUGUCAUUAUCGAGCGAUGAAAACUUGAUGACAUCACACGAUGAAUGUAGCAUAUAUUUCAUGUGUGUGAUCUGGGAAACAUGCAAUGACCAAAUCAUGUGUGACUAACAUUUACAUAACUGUGACCUUUACACUAUAUAUUAUCUAUUGUGACCCUUAAUAUGUAACUGCAAUAGCAAUGAACAACAACUAAGAACCAAAAGUUUCACGCUUACGUCAAGCUUGGAAAAGACCUCUUCAUCCAAUUUAACUACAGAGGGUUGUCUGUUCGACGCACAGUUCACAAUGUGGGGGUGCCUAUUCCCCACCCUAUUGGUCACAGGUCUAGGAAGACUAGGAAUUGAUUCAUAAAUCCAGACUUGAAAUGCAAUAAAAAACCCUUUCAGCCUAUAAUGGGGAUUCCUAUGACCCAAACCCGCUUUUAGAGAUUUUAUAGACAUCUCAAACAACUCCUUACCCUAAGAAAAUCGUUCCAUCGCAGCAAAGUCUUUUACUAAGGCAAAUAUGUAAUUUUUAACCACCUUCUUAUACGAUGUGGAGAACAAGAAAGACGUUAUCAAGUAUAAAAUCCCGAUACUUACAACAUCAUGAUCGUCUGCAUCUAAUAAGUCCAAGAAUACAUCGCGCACAUCUUCAUUUGCGACUAGUUUCAAAUUUUCAAAAUACGUUCCCUUAAUCCUGGAAGGAAUAUGCUCGAGAUUUUUCCUGACAUCCUUACCAUUACAUCUCAUACCCAUGACUACACAGAACUUAGACAACGAAAAUUGAAUAUAUUUGUUUGCAACUUUGAAUCACAUCUCAUUGGGAUUCGGUUGCUUCACCAACAAAAAGUAGUGUAUCAGUUGAGGCUGCACCACAAUUUCCUGGCAAUCCAUGUAAAAGGAAAAACAAGUGUCUGCCAGAAUAACCUUUUGUUCAUCUAUGAACUUUGAUUUGAAGUUGGUCAACAUAUUCUUGGUCACAUUGGUUGUAAUUUUAAUAGGAAACCAUAGGUCUUGGGGGAUUAUGUAAUUCCAUUCCUGCAAGACAUUACAAAAAUUGGAAACAUGUGUCAAAACCUUUAUCAUGCACACAUGCAAAUCCAGACAUAAAAACAUAUAAUCACAUAGGUCACAACCAUUACUCACAACACAUUGAUGGAGUCACAAGUGUAUUUGAAAAAUUGUAACACGUGUUACCAGUAUGAUUUCAAAAAUCACUCAAAACAUUUACAACAACCAUAUCAAAUAACAUGUGCCAUUUUCCAUAGUCACAAAUCUGCAUUGGACAAAAAAUGGUCAAAAACCCACAGGUCACAAUCAUUUAGCGAGUUCAAAAAUUGGUCACAAACCCAUAGGUCACUUGAAACCGUUGAGUCACAUUUGAAAUUGAAAAAUAGUCACACAAGAAUUACCAAUAAACCACGUCUAAAAUUGAAAAUUCGCGCAUCAAUAAAGCAAUACUCCGUUCACAGUAACUUAGGGAGUUCAAAAAUCAAUUACCCAUAUACUUAUUUAACUCAAUAGACUACAGAGAAUACUUACAUUGUUCGAUUUUUGUCUUCGAGACCUGGUCGAGGUUUUUGGGGUUUCAUUGCGGACACGUUUACCGACUUGUAGACUUCUGGCGGUCUAUUUUUGGUUGUGAUUUCCGGUCACAACUUCGGGUUUUCGCCAUUACCAAAGCCUUACAGUGCUUUAUUCGACUUCGGGUAACAAAUACGGAAGGAUAGAUGAGGACGGUUUCAGACUUAUGGUAAAUAUCUUAUAUCACGGUUGAUCGUUGAGGAAUGUGGAGUGCGGGUUUAGAAAGAUUUCUUUCCCUUAUUUAAAAAUUUUCUCUCUCUACUAUAAACGUAAAAAGUGGGAACGGUUAGAGAUAGUAAAUAUAUUAAAAUGUUGAUAAAUAAUUAAUUACGACCUGAUUUCUAAAUUAAUGAACCUAAUUACUUAAUAAUGAAAUAUGAACUUAAAAUACCUCAGUGGCUAUAAUUUCCUCAUUUAUAUAUGUGUAGAAACGGGGCCCAAUUCCUAAUUCCAUGAUAUGCCGAAUUAGGUCAAAAGGGCAUUUAUCUAUAAAUAGUGGUUAUGGUCCCCGAAUCACACGUAGAGGGUAUUGUAAGGCGUGGUUUGUUCUCGUCUGCAUCACAUCACAAAGAGAAAAGAGACUACGUGUUGAUUUGGAAGACCGAGCCCAUGAUUCAAUUAUUGCAAUGACCAUUCUAAUUCAGGUACACUUCCGCUACAGAUCUAAAAUUUCUUGAUGAUCCAACAUGAAAGAUCCGAUGAUUUAAAGUAAUAAAUGAUCCUACAAGUGGUAUCAGAGCCAUUUCAUAGUGAAUAAUUGAGAAUCAAAGUUUAAAAUUUAUCCUACAAGUGGCUGUAAAAAACGACGUCGUUUCCUUUGCCUACUAUAUAUUUUAUUAUUUUAUUUAAGAAAGGACAAUCUAAAUUUAUUACAAUACGCAACUUUUCAUAUCUACCACAAAUAUUUAAAGCAGUAUUAUUACUAUAAAAUUAAAUAUUAUCUGAAAUUAUUAAAAAAUAAAAAUAUUAAUAAUAUAAGAUAGAAAAUAUUUCUAAGAGGUAAAAAGUUACUUGCGAGUAAAAAAAUUAAAGAGAAAGAAAUUAAAAAAAGAAUUUUAAGUUGAAAAGAAAAAUUAUUUAUAAUGCAAAUCAAAACUAAGUUUCUGUUUGGAAUUAUUAAGAGAAAAGAAUUUCAAAUUGAAAAAAAAAAUUAUAAAGUAAACAACACAAAUAUUUUUAAAAAAAAUAGUUAAACGGAUAUUAAACGUAUGUGUUAAUAAAUACGUAUAAGUCGUUUUAUCUUAAAAAAUCAAUUAUUUUAUUAUUAUUUCGAAAUUUUCAAUAACAAGUGUAGGCAGUUUAUAACUAUUUCCAGAUGGUUCAUGUGUUCUGCCACCGAUCCACUGUAAGCUAAAAUGUCAUCAAAGAACACAAGUACAAACUUUCAUAAAAAUGGCUUGAACACCUCAUUCAUUAAACCUUGAAAGGUCGCUGGGGCGUUAGUCAACCCAAUUGGCAUGACUAAGAAUUCAUCGUGACUCUCAUGUGUGUGAAAAGCGGUCUUAGGAAUGUCUUCCACUCUCAUUCUGCUAUGAUGAUAACCAGACUUCAGGUCCAACUUGGAAAAAAUCUUAGCUCCAAACAACUCAUCCAAAUGCUCAGCGAUAAUAGGGAUCGAAAAUCGAUCAGGCACUGUAAUCUUAUUGAGAGCUCGAUAGUCUAGACAGAAUCACCAACUGCCGUCUUUCUUUUUAACGAGCAACACGGGGCUUGAAAACAGGCUUGAGGUAGGUUGAAUGAUCCCAGCUGUAAGCAUGUUUCGCACCAUUUUUUCAAUUUCAUUCUUCUAAAAAUAAGAGCAAUGGUAGGGUCGAACAUUCAUCUAUCCAGGUUGCAGUACAAUGGAAUGGUCUCAGUUACGAGUUGGGGGCAAUUCAUUGGGCUGUCUAAACAACCCUCAGUGGCACUGCAAUACUUCUACUAGUGCAGAAGGAGCUGACUCUAAUCCUUCUUCAUGCUCCACCCAAGCAUCCCAAUUCAACUAGCAGCCCUUGCCCACCGUCUUUGAAUGCUUUAAUCGUAGUCUUCAAAGAAACCUACGAUUUUAUCAAGCUAGAAUUACCCGGCAAUACGAUCGUUACCCCAUCCACUUUAAACUUCAUGGUCAACUCCCCCAGUUCACUUGUAUCUUACCCAAGCUCCCCAACCACUUCAUCCCCCAUAUUAUAUCUGUGAACCCUAGUGUCAAGAAAGUAAUCUUUUGGUGAAUGUUUGUCUGGAGUCAAAUAUUGUUGAUGUUGUCAGUAGAAUAUAAUAAUAUAUAGGAUCAAUAUUUCUCCAUGAUAGUUUUCCAAGAGUGUAGGAUUAUUUUCUUUAAUAAUUGAUUGUGUAAUUAUUACACAAUAUUUCAUCUUGAGUUAUUUCCUUUUAGGUUUAUAUAUAACCAUAUAAAUAGGUCUUCUCAUUUGUAAUAUUCACAAGACUUUAUUAUAUAAAAUUUAAAAUUUUCUUAACAUGGUAUUAGAGCCGUUCCAAUCCUAAACAAAAUAACCAUUGAAUUUUGUUUCCAGCAAGCAGCCUUGUGUUGCUCAUCGACCAAAAUUUCUUUUAGUAGAAAUCCCAAGUUUUUUUAAAAUUGCUCGAGAAAAUAGAGAUUCCAAAACUGGUAAAAUACAAAAUAUAUCUCUUUCUUCCCCUAUAAUUGCAUUAUUAGCAUUAUUAGGGGCCGUCUAAAGAGGCGGCAGAGGUAGAACAGCAAAAGUAACUAAGAUAAAAAUAAAAUCUGAGAUAGACAUCAAAUGAAUUCACAAGUGGUAGCAGGAUCCAACGUCAGGAGGGUCGAAAACCUCGAUUGUUGAUUAGAGUGACUCGCAACUUGGGUUUAGAUUCUGUACUGGAUUUGCAAGGUGCAUUGCUGGCAGAGACGACGGAGUCAAAAUAUAGGAUGUAGACGAUCAUAUGUGGGUUAUUUAUUUUUUGAUUUUGGAUAUGAGAGUUAGAGGUGUAUGGUGGAUGUGCAUGGUUAUUAAAUGGUGUGUAGCGGUGGAAAAUUGUCGGCGAUGGUUUGUUGGAUGGAGAUAGCGAUUUUGCAGUUGCGAUUUUAGCAGUUUGCAUACUUGCGUGGAUGGUGAGUGGUUUGUUGGAUGGCAUGGUGGAGAUAACGAUUUUACAGUCGCCAUUUUACCAAUUAGAACUACUUGCGUGGGUGGUGUGUUAUUGAGUGUGGAGUUGGCGAUCUGACAUGGCAAAAAAUUGGGUUCUUAGAUAUGGUUGGAGUUUUGUGGUUUUCAAAAAGCGCAGGUGCAGAUGACAAGCUUGGUGAUGAUGUGGUUGUCGGCGAGAGGUGUGGUGUCAGCGAGAUGAGACGGUGAUGAGUUAAGUUUAGAGGAAACCUUAAUCAUGAGCAUCCAUCUUUCUAGUACAAUUGGGCUGUGAUUUGUGAGAUUUGGGCAUGUUUGUGUUCUGGGCUCGUCUUGUGGGCUAGUUUAUUUAGUUGGGGUUAGAGCCUUGUUGGGCUGGGUAAUUUAAGAUAUAUGGGGUUGUUUGUUAUUGUUUCAUAUUAUUUGGCCUACUGGGUUAGUGGUUAUUGGGUCGUCAAUAAGUUGGAUCUUUAACAAUAUGUGAGUUUUCUGGACUUAUCUUGGGUUUUAUAGGAUCCAAAAUUUGAAUUUGAUUGAAAUUAAUUUUGUUUGUGGUAAUUCAAGAAAUUCAGUUCAUAUGGUCAUUUAUUGAGUUGUUGGGAAUUUAAUUUGGGAUGUAGCGAUUUGGUUUGGAUUGUUUCUUCUUAGUUUAGUGUGGGCUUCAUUGCGGGCCGGUUUGGUUGUAAUUGGGAUGUAAAUUUGGUUUGGUGUUGGUCCAAUGUAUCUGGAAUUUGGAAUUUGACAUAGUUGGAUUUUGGAAUUGAUAUGUCAAGCUCAAGUGACAUUUUUUUAUGUAAGUAGUUUGGUGGGAUAUCUUCCAACUACAACAUCUUAGUCAGCAAUAUUGCUGAAUUUCGGUCGGUGUAUUAGCAUUAGAGCUUUUGCCGAAACAUGAAUUAUGUGUUCGACUGAGUUCUCUCAAUAGAUAGAGCUCACUGUGUGGGUCGCACACUUCGUGAAUUUCUUUUGAAAAUUCUUCUUAGAGAGUGAGUUCUCUCGAGUAUCUUUGGAGUGGUUGAAUCUUCGCUUCUCUUUGGUCAUAACUCAGCCUUUUAGGUGUGGAUUUCUUGUAGUUGUCCAUGGUUGACAGAAUUUUUUUGUUAAUGUGUGACUCUUCAACGCAUCAAGUGUGUUACGAGCAUUCGGCAUUUUGGUGAUGAUUUGUUUACGUCAUCAGUUUCUGGUCAGACAUUGAUUCUUUGUCGGGAAUCAUAUCGAGUUUUGAAGUUCAGCAACGUUGAGUUAUUAGUUUAUGGGUUCUACGAAAAUGUUGACUCAACAGCACAUCCAAUUCGUGAUUGCAAAUUGAUGCUUUUACCAGCAUCAAUUUGAGGGAAGAUGUCAAUAGAGUUUAAUAACACAUAGGAUCAAUAUUUCUCCAUGACAGUUUUCCAAUAGUGUAGGAUUAUUUUUCAUAAUAAUUGAUUAUAUAAUUAUUACACAAUCUUACCUUUUGAGUUAUUUCUUUUUAGGUUUAUUUGUAACCGAGCAAAUAGGUCUUCACCUUUGUAAUAUUUACAAGACUUUAUUAUAUACAAUUUACAAUUUUCUUGACAGAUGUGCCUUCUAAUACUCAGUGGUUAGACACUGGUGUUACAAUUCAUGUUACCGACAAGCAGAAGGGAACCAACUAGUAUGGAGUAGCAUGUAUAUAUGGAAGACGGUACAAGAACUGAAGAUGAAUUUUUGGGGACAGUCAAAUUAUAGCUUACCACUGGAUAUUUUUUGAAGUUCAAUGAAGUUGCAACAUACCUUCGAUUAGGAGAAAUUUAAUACCUGUGUCUAUUUUGGAUAGAACUGGUUACAGUUUUCUUUUGAAAUCGGAAAAGUUAUAUUGUACCGUGACACUGUUUUGAUUGGAAAUGAAAUUUUAUGUGGAUCUUUAUAAACUUGAUUUGGUGGAUGUGUCUCUUAUUAUUUCUCCUUCUUUUCUUAAUACUGUUGCUACCACAAAAAGGUCAAGAUUGGAUGAAAAAUCUUCCAUUCUAUAGCACAAGCAAUUAGGCCAUAUUUCUAGGCAACCAAUGAAAAGAUUGAUAAAGGAUGGGAUUCUGCAGGAUCUUGACUUCUCAGACUUUGACACUUGUGUUGACUGCAUUAAAGGAAAGUUGACUGCCAAGGUUAGAAACAACAAAAUUGACAGGUACACAAAAUUACUUUGAUUAAUCCAUACCGACAUUUGUAGGCCUUUUACUCCCCAGCUAUGGAUGGUUAUGAGUACUUCAUUACUUUUAUUUACGAUUUUCCCGUUAUGGCUUUUUUGAGCUCAUUUAUGCGAAGUCUAAUUCUUUGGAGGACUUUAAAGCCUUCAAAGCAAAGGUAGAGCUUCAACAAGGGAAAAAGAUCAAAGUGGUUCAUUCUGAUAGAGGUGGUAUAUAUUAUGGGAGAUAUGAUGAAACAGGACGGAACCUCGAACCUUUUGCAAGGUACCUACAAAAAUGCGGCAUUUAUGCUUGUGCUCGAUAUACAAUGCCUGGUAUACCUCAACAAAAUGGAAUUGCGGAGAUAAGGAAUCUCACACUUCUUGACAUGGUGCGAUGUAUGUUGGCAAACUCUUCCUUGCCAGAGUUCCUAUGGGAUGAUACUUUGAUGACUACAUUGUCUACUUGCAAGAGCAUGAGUAUGACAUUGGUGACACUUAGAUCCAACUACCUACAAAGAAGCCAUCUCUAGUCCUCAAUCCAAUCGUUGGAUGAAUGCUAUGAUUGAUGAGAUGAACUCUAUGUCACAAAAUGAAGUAUGGCUAAUGGGUAUUCAAAACCAAGCAUGAUGCCAAAGUUUGAGUGGAGAGAUAUAAAGCAAGGCUAGUAGCCAAGGGCUAUAGCCAACGAGAAGGUAUUGAUUACAAGGAAACCUUCUCACCUGUUUCGACUAAAGAUUCUUUAUGAAUCAUUAUGGCAAUUGUGGCACAUUUCGACUUGGAACUUCAUCAAAUGGAUGUAAGAACGGCUUUCUUGAAUGGAGAUUUAAGUGAAGAUAUUUAUGUGACUCAACCUAUUGGUUUUGAGGUAGUUGGAAAAGAAAACAUGGUUUUUAAGCUCCAGAAGUCAAUUUAUGGGUUGAAACAAGUUUCAAGUUAGUGGUAUCUCAAGUUCGAUGAAAUUGUCACCAAUAAUGGUUUCAAGGAAAACAUUGUUGAUCAAUGUAUAUACAUGAAGGUCAAUGGAAGCAAGUACAUAUUUCUAGCUUUGUAUGUUGACGAUAUCUUACUCGUUGCUAAUGACACUGACUUAUUGUUUGAGACAAAACAACUAUUGUUUGGCCAUUUUGACAUGAAAGAUCUUGGUAUAGCAUCAUAUACCUUGGGCAUAGAGAUUCUUCGUGAUAGGGCCAAUGGUGUUCUCAGAUUGUCUUAACAUACUUAAGUCUUGUUCUUUUGUAAAGACUCCAAUUGUGAAGGAUGAUAAGUUCUCCAAGGCACAAUGGCCUCAAAAUUAUGUUGAGAGAGAUCAGAUGAAAAUAGUCCCUUAUACUUCUGUUGUUGGUAUUCUAAUGUACGCUCAAGUAUGUACACAUCCUGAUAUUACCUUUGUGGUUAGUGUGCUUGGUAGAUACUUGAACGAUCCUGGUCAAAGCCAUUGGAAAGCGGUUAAGAAAGUUUUGAGAUACCUUCAAGGUACUAAGGAUCUCAUGUUGACAUAUCGGCGUACCGACACUCUUGAAGUGGUUGGUUUCAGUUAUUUCGAUUAUGCAAGCUGUGUGAAUGAUAAGAAAUCCAUUUCUAGGUACAUCUUUAUGAUGGAAGGAGGAGCUGUUUCGUGGAAAAGUGUUAAUCAGACACUUACAGCUUCUUUGACCAUAGAGGUAGAGUAUGUCGCGUGUUAUGAAGCUACUUGUCAUGCAAUGUGGCUACGGAACUUCAUUUCAGCAUUAGGAGUUAUGGACUCUAUUUUAAGACCCCUAAAAUUAUACUUCGACAAUUCUGUAGUCGUAUCUUUCUCUCGGAACACUAGGAGCGCUUCCCGCUCCAAACAUAUUGAUAUCAAGUUCUACUUUAUCAAAAAGAAAGUUGCAACGUCCCUCAUUACCAUUGAGCAAACACCUAUGAGUAGCAUGUUGGCGGGCCCACUAACUAAAGGCUUACCUAUUUGUCUGUUCCAAGAAUACGUCUCCCACGUGGGAUUGUUGGGAGCCUAAUUUCUUAAUUUCAGUGGGAGUUUGCUGUUCUUUGUAUGUUUUGUGAGGAUUGCUUGAACUUUUGGUAUAAUUGAAGCAUAUUAUGGAUAUACAUAUCAAUAUUUUAUGAUACCAUAUAUCUUUGUAAUUUGACAAGUCACGAAAUGAUGAUAUUAAUAUUAUUGUCAUGCUUCUAGAUUAUUAGCAUUUGGUUAUAUAUAUCCUAUGCAUCCUAUCGGUAUGUUGGUUAUGUGUGAUUAGUUUUGAACUGUGUUAAGAUUAUGUAGUCCAAUAGGAGAAUGUUGGAUUAAUUUUGUGGACUAACAUAAUAUAAUGACAAUUGACAUUUUGGGCCAUUUAUGGGAUGGACAACAUUACACUACUUGCCAUGAUUUGGGCCCUUGGGUCCAUUCUUCUUUCUUGGCUAAGCCUACCCAUUGGGCUUGUGGGCCACCAAAAGGUUUUUAGAUUUAUAUACACAUAUAUAUGCUCUCUUUGGCACGUGAAUAGAGUGAACAAGAUUGAAGAAUUGGAUUCAAAAGAACUCUAACCUCCCUGUCUCGUUUUCUAUCUGGUUUGUUGGUUCUUCAUUGAUAUCUCAUGGCUUCUAAUCAAAUUUUACUAACCAUUGAAGGUACAUUUUUUUAAGGGAAAAUUGCAGUCGAAGUACCAAACAUUUCGUUUAUUAGCAGACUUUGCCCAAACCUUUGAUUUGUGUCACCGUGAGUAUCAAACCUUUAAAAAAUAUGCAGCUCAAGUCCAAAAUGACGAUUUCCAUCUGUUUGACCCCAAAAUCCGUCAGUUGACCCAGAAAUUAAAAAUCUGAUUCUUAUUCCCAAAUACAGUAAGGGCAAUUUGGACAUAUCUUAUUUUUCCUAUUAACUUAAAAAUUGAAAAUGCAAAAAGGAAAAUCACAACCCCCUUCUUCCCCAACCUCGUCUCCCCAAAACCAAACCUUCUUCUUCCCUAACAAUGACGUAGUUUCACAUUAAGGGCAUAGCUGAUUGUAUGAUUGGAUCUGGUUAUGGAAAAGAAUGCGUUAGAAUAUACGAUUUAAUCAGAAAAUCAAUAAUUGAUGAGAGUUUGUAUAAUUUGGGAGUUGAAAAGAUAAACCCUUCUCAAAUUCAGAAAAUGGAUUGGAAUGUUCUUGAAGCGAAAAUCAAAUGCUGGUUAUACGUUGUCAAAAUUGCUGUGAAAAAUAUGUUUUACGACGAGAGGAUUCCCUGUAAUUCAGUCUUUUCUUCCUCCGAAAAAAUUGCAGAAUCGUGCUUUGCAGAAAUCUCGUGAGAUGCAGCAAUUAAUUUAUUUGGAGUCCCAUAAAAUUUUGCGAAAUCCAAGAAAAUAUUAUCCCCGGAGAAAAUGUUCCGCACACUUGAUCUCUACAAAGCAAUCUCAGAUCUUUGGCCAGAUAUUGAAAUGAUUUUCUCUUACGAUUCAUUGUCGGCGGUGAAAUGUCAAGGGGUGGUGAUGUUUGAUUUUAAGGCAGGGUUGGGACCAAUGUUGAGUUGGUGGUGCCAGAGGUGGUUUUAGGUGGUGGUGAUGCUUAGUGCUUUGAGGUGAGGAGGUUGGGGAAGAAGGAGAUGGGGUGGGGGUUAUGGUUUUUCUUUUUGCUUUUUUAAUUUUUAAUUUAAUAGGAAAAAUUAGAUAUGUCCAAAUUGUCCUUGCUGUAUUUGGGAAAAAUAAUUAGAGUUUUAAUUUUUGGGGUCAACUGACGGAUUUUGGGGUCAAACAGACGGAAACCGUCAUUUUGGACUUGAGCUGCAUAUUUUUUAAAGGUUUAGUACUCACGGUGGCACAAAUCAAAGAUUUGGGCAAAGUCUGCUAAUAAACGAAAGGUUUGGUACCUUGGUUGCAAUUUUCCCUUUUUUUUAUUGUUCAUUACAUUCUAUGAUUAUGAGAAGGUUUUGUCAAAUCCAUUAAAGUUUAGCACUAAUGGCAUAUAAUAAGGCUUCUUAUUGCCUUACAAAUUAUUAUGGUAGGGAAUUUCCUAGACAAUUUACUUUGGAUAUUUUGUACUUUUUAUAUUUGAAAUGCCAUUUAUGCUAUGCGCAUCAAGGGCAUCAGAAAACAUCCAAUCAAAAAUCUCACCUUGCCGAUGGAUGCUCCAUAUCCCGAAUAGUCGUAGCUGCUAAAGGUAAAAGAAAAUACAUUGUUAGCAACAACUAUCCAAGAUAUAAGUUUCGAAAUCCAUAUUAUUUUCCGUUCUUGAAUUAUUACAAAAAAGAAAAAAUUAUUAACUCGGAAACACUCAUCCUACCAAUUACAACAGUUGGCUGGCAAGCUGAAAUCAGAACUACUUUUUAAUUGUGAUAGGCUGCUUGAAAUCAAAUUCAAAUUUGUAGAAAAGAAUUUCUAUCCAAUUUCGAGGUCUCAACUUAAACUAUCAAACAAUUUCUUAAACGAGUCUAAAAUAAACAACCUCAGGAAGAACCAAAUAUACAACUAAAGUCAAGGAGUUAGAGAGAGAUACUCUCAACCUAGUGAGAGAAAAUCCCACUUUGGUGCUCACUUGACUUGAGUUUUUUUCCUUCAUUUCUUCUUGUGUUUUGUUAGAUUUUUACUUCUCUUGGGUGAAAAUCUAAUUAAACAUAUUGGAUACAGUUUUUGUGGUGCUCAUUUUGAGUUUUUUGAAGUGUUCGUGUGCCUCCAUUUGCGGUGCUGCAGCUCCAGAUUUCAGUUAUGGUAAGGCCAGUUUGGCUUCUUCAUUUCGUGAGUUUUGAAGAAGUUGCUGCCUCCAGGUUCAACUUCUACUGACCUACAGCUUGGAGCCUUGUUUUGCUGGAAGUUUCUCUCCUUCUCCAUCUUCAGCUGGAUAUUCUGUCCAGUUUUGGUUUUUGCUGGGUAUUCAGUUCAGCCACUCUUUGUUAGAUAUCUUAUUGCUGUUUUGUUGGCUUACUCUCUGGACGAGUUCAAACGGUGCAGUAACUAGAGUAAAGGGUGCACCUAAGUGACUGUUCAUGGUCAUUUCUGGGGCAAACUUGAAAACUUGAAGAUGGCUGCUUCCACUGUGUUAUGGGGUCACCAGGUUUUUUAAAGUUUCUGUCCAGUUUUCAUAUUCCUCCUUUGGGGUAUCCAGAUUCUGCCUUUUUUUUUGUUUGGAUCCCUUCUUCUGCUUGUUUUUGAGGUUUAUUCCAGUAUUUGGAUGCAUCUGUUGCUGUUUUCAUGGUUGUUUUUCUUGGUAUCCUUGGAGAUUUGAAAAUGGCAGUUUCUUUUGUGUUUUCUUAAUUGUUUUGCUCCUACCCGGUUUGGUGUUCUCCAUUGUUACAUGUGAUCUAUAUUCUGUCCAGUUUUUAUUUUCAUCUUGCUAGGUUUUCAGUUCUGGCCUUGGUUAUUUGGGAUUCAUGCUCCGGUUUGUGCUUCUUCACCAUCCAUGGAGUUCUUGGUUUGUUUGUAAGCAUUGUGUACGCAUCUGUGCAUGUCACUUUGAUUUGUUCCUGUGAUUGGCCAUACAUUUUCUGCUACUACCCCCUGCUGUGCGACCCUUCAGUUUGUUUUUUUGCUAUUUUAGUAUAACAUUUCAGAGGGUUGGUGGCUGACCCGGUUGACUCCUGUUUGGCCGGGUUUCAUUGGUUUUCUGGACGGGUUUUGGGCUGCUAUUUCUCUGGACAGGUUUUGGGCUGCUCGUUAUUUGUUUGGACGGUUGGCCUAUAUUAUAUUUUGUGGAUUGCUGGACUCCCCUUUGGGCUUGGCUGGUUUUUAUUCUUCUUCUUAGGCUGUUUAUCAUCUUAUUGUUGGGCCUCUUUGCUGGAUACUCUUGGGCCUCUGGUGAUUGGAUUGAGGUGCUUCAUUUGGGCCUUGUUGGGGCCACUUUCUGGGCCUUUGCUGGACUGUUUUAUUGGGAUUCUUUGGGCCUGUGCUUGGACUACUGUCUGGGCCUUUAUUUCCUAAUUGGGUUGUAUUUUGCUGGGAUUUUCUUUGGGCCUCUUUCAUCAGUUUUUGUUGGGCUAAUCUGUUCCUUUUCAUUUGGGCUUUUCUGGACUUUCUUGGGCCUAUUGUUGGGUGGAUUAAGGUGCUUUCUUUGGGCCUUGUUGGGCCCUUCUUUUGGGCCUUGUUGGAUGGAUUUUAUUGGUUCUCUUGGGCCUGUUUUGGGUCUUCUGUCUGGGCCUUUUUCUCCUGUUUGGGCCAUUCUUUUGCUGGGUUUUCUGGGCAGUUUUGGCCAUUUGUUUGUUGGACAGGUUUUGGACAGGUUUUGGGCCAUUGCUACUGGUUUCUUUGGACCGCCCUCUCUCUCAAUUUUGACGUCAAUUCCCUUUUGUUUGGGUUUUAUUCUCAGCCGGCUGCUGGGAUUUGUUUUCUUCAAUUUCCUUCCCAAUGACGUCAACUUUUAUAACUUUUAUUCUGGCUGGCGGUUUGCUGGAAUAAACUUUCUGCCUUUGUAUUAAUCUUUGGGUCGUUUAUUGCUGUGUUCAUGGACUUCUCGUUAUGUAUAGGACAAUUUGUCUAACCCACGAAUAAUCCAUUGUGAAGUAUUUGGAUUUGUUGGCUCCCAUUUGAACCAUUCUCUCCAUGUCCCUUUUGCUGCAUGCAUCAGAUUUUCUUCUCUACUAUGUAGUCACAUGUCAUCUAUUCUCCGAUAUCAGAAGAAUUAAUCAAUUACUAGAUAAGGAAAAAAAAGUACAUCCACAUUGAGCAACUUAUAUUGUCGGCAUUUUUCUGUGCUAAAAAGCCACCUUUUAACUCUCUUUUUUUAACAUGUCGAAGCAACUAGAAUUCACCUUUACAUGUUGUAUUAUACAUACAUGAUGAAGCAUCUAUUGCCAUCGCUUGAGUCACAAAAUAUUUGUCUGUAGCACUUUUCACCUAUUUAUCAUACGAGGAAUAUAAAAUUUAGAAGAAUAUAAUAAAGCCAAAGAUAGAUAGGGUACAGGUAAAUAAAUAAAAAUGUAUGCAUGUAUGUAAAUUGCCUCUUUGAGUUUGAACUUCAUGGCAGUGAAGGGAUAGUAAACUUGGCAUGAUUAACUGCACAAUCAAGAAAGGUCAUAAGAUUAAACCUAAGGAUUGUUGGAAAUAUAGAGGUAGUAAUGAAAUCGGAAUACUAAUUUUAAGUGUACCGUAUAUGCCACUUACCAUAUUUGCAGGUAGCUUACCGUAUAUGCAGCUUACUGUAUUUGUAGCCUACUGUAUAUACAAGCAACUUACCGUAUUUGCACAUUACUGUAUCUGCAGCUUACCAUUUAUGCUGCCUACGGUAUUUGAAAAAAGCUCAUCAUAUUUACAUAAAAUUUUCAUUUAUUCUAUUUCAUAUACAGUGAGUGAUUUACACAUAUUUGCUAGAUGCCGUAUAUGCAACUAACAUACCGGAUAUGCACUUACAUACACCAAAAUGUAGAAAUACUGUACUUGCAUAUAUUAUCUAAAUAAAUACCGAUUGGACAACUACCAAAUCGAAUGUUAUUAAAUUAAUUAAUUUUCUUCAAAUUUUUUUCAGACAUACAGAUAAUAUACUGUAAAAUUAUAUAAAGUACAUAUAACAAAAUAAACUGAAAAAGCUGCGAAGCAUAAGAUUAAACUGCAAAUAUGUAAAUCGCUAAAUAAAUAAAUAUGUGAAUUGUAGAAAAUAAAUAAAUCUUCAACCCGAGACCUUUAUGAACACAGUUUUCUUAAAACAGAUUCGUCCCCUCGUCGUAAGUGCUUGAGGUCUAAUUCAAGCGUCUGUUUUUUCAAGAUACAACGGUAAAAUCCAUAGAAUCUAAGCACUGCAGAAAUUACUUCGGCGAACUGAGUUUGUAUUUAAACAAUAUCAUCACCACAACUUUGGACAGAAACUGAGAUUAUGUAUACAGACAGAAAAAUUAUGUAAUAUGCAGACUAUAUUUUUGUGUCUGCAGACACAAAUUCUUUUUUCUCCUUUAUUUUCGAGUGUGCUAGAAUUUUCAAAAAAAUUAUGAGAUUUAAUAUAUAAAAUAAAUCUGCCAUCUGCCAUUAACUCUAGCAAUAAACAUUGGAGCCAUUUCAGAUUCUGCUGGAGUUUUGGCAGUUUUCGAAAACUCAAAGGUCAAUUAUAGAAAACAAAAAAUUGCAAAAUGUGAACACUCCAAACAGGCCAUUUUUGUUCCGUGUGGUCCGACAUUCGUGUAUGCAGGUCACGCAUACACACAAAUUCAAAAUCCGAAAGUAAUUUUGGUCGGUGAUUUGCACUCUCUACGCGCGCACGUGGAGAGAGCAUCUAUGCUACACAUGAUUACACCCUUCCAAUGUGCAACCAUAUUUAAAUUGGUUCUUACUUUCAUAUUUUUUCUAUGUGGGACUAAUGCAAUUUUCUCACUUAAACCAUCUUUCAAUGGUCAUUUUUAAGUUUCAAUUUCUCAUUCACCCGAGCUUCAUUUUUGGCAAAUAAAUAUAUGAUUUUAAUACUCUCACGGAGGAGAACAUGGAACAACUUUGAUCUUCCAAAUUGAACUAACGAGUCCCACCGAAAAUAUUGCCAAAAGUGAGCUAUUUACUCUUUUUUUUUCAACAAUCCCCUACAUGAAUAAAAAUUGGAAGAGAGACGAGACCGUGAGACAUAAGAUGUGAUGAUAAAGUUUAAUGGUUGAAGCCUACAUAGGAUAGGUAGGUAUUAACCCCUUUGAACCUUUCCUUGUGAAAGUAUAUUUAUGUAGACGUAUUCUCCUUGAACUAUUCUGCUAUUUAUGUAGACGAUGAUAUAUUCCACACGGGAUUCUUCAUAACAUAUUUCAGUUCUCAUUAUUAUGUUCGUUUUGCCCAUGAACAUAUGCCUGAUUUUGUGAGAGUUCUUAAGAAUUGAGCCCCACAUAAUUCUCUUAGAAGCGGCCCCACUUCUCUUUCACAUAGGUGAUUUCUUAUUACAAGUAACCUGCAUUACUUGGCUCGAACUUUGACGCAUAAGAAUUAUUAAAAGUCUAUUGUUUAUCCUUCAUUUUUACGGGCAUCACUGUUAUAUCAUAGGAAUGGACAGGAGGAAACACCCCCACAAUGAUUAUAUUAAGCCUUUACAAUUAGGUUAUCCCUUUGAAUCUAGAUCUUGGGAUUUCUAGUCAACUAAAUUGAGUUUCCAUUGUAAUAACUUAUUCAUUCAAGGGCUUAAGUCACAUUCCUUUUGAUGAUUUUUCAAUUAACUCUCUAUUUAACCCUUUGGUUAGCGGAUCGCAAUGUUAUCUUUUGACCUUACAUAGUGUAUAGUGAUCACUCUAGUUGAGAUUAGUUGUCUUAUGGUAUUGUGCCUACGACGUAUAUGUCUAGACUUACCAUUGUAUAUGUUAUUCUGUGCCCUUCCUAUUGCUGAUUGACUGUCACAAUAUAUACAAGUCGUUGGCAUAGGUUUUGACAAUCUUGGAAUAUCCUCUAAGAAGUUGCGCAACCAUCCGACCUCUUCACCACAUUUAUCUAGAGCUAUAAACUCAGAUUCCAUCGUAGAUUUGGCUAUAACUGUUUGCUUAGAGAAUUUCCACAAUAUGGCAGCACCUUCCAAUGUGGAUAUAAAUCCACUAGUGUACUUUGAGUCUUUUAUAUCAAAUAUCUAAUUAGUAUCAUUGUAUCCUUCAAUGAUUGGUGGAUAUCUGAUAUAAUGUAGUCCAUAGUCACGAAUACAUCUUAAGUAACUUAAUACUCUUACUAUUCCUUUCUAGUGAUCAGCUCCUGGAUUACUCGUGUAUCUACUCAAUUUACUGACUGUGUAGGUUAUGUCUACUCUUGUACGUUCAUCAGGUACAUUAGACUUUUCAUAACUCUCGAGUAUUCUACUUGAGGUCCUUCACCUUUGUUUUUAGAUAGAUGUUGACUUGUAUCUAUCAGUGUUCUUGUCAAACCAAUAUCAUCCUUAUUGAACUUUUCAAAAAAGAAAAUUUCCACAUAAUGUGACUAACUUAGAAAUAGCCAUCUGAUGUUCCUGAGAUUUUAAUUCCAAGUAUAACAUCAGCUAAACACAUAUCUUUAAUGUCGAGUCUCGAAUUCAACAUAAUUUUAGUGGAUUCAAUCAUCUUAUUAUCACUACUAACAAUAAGCAUGUCGUCAACGUAAAGACAUAAAAAGACAUAACCAUUUUUAGUGUCUUUGACGUAAACACAUUUAUUUCACUCAUUGAAUUUAAAUCAACUCUUUAUCAUGACAUCAUUAAAUUUUUUAUGCUAUUGUUUGGGUGCUUGUUUCAAGCUAUAUAGUGAUUUCACCAACUUAGAAACUUUCUUUAGCACUUGAGUUUCAUUUUUGACAAGUAAAUAUAUUAUUUUGAUGCUCUCACGAAGAACACGAAUCAACUUCGAUUUUUCAAAUUGGACCAAGGGAUCCCACCAAAAAUUUUGCCAAAACUGAGCUAUUUAUUAAUUUUUUCCAACAAGGAUGAGACGACUGGUACACAAUAUAGGUGGACCGGUCGAUCAAAUUUAAAGUUGAACCACGAGCAAUUACCUUGGGGAAGAAAUUCUUGCAGCUGUUCUUGAUCAGUGUGCUAACAUAAAAAUACUUGAAUCUAGCUAGAACGCCCUCGUAAGGUGUAGGGAAAGGGAUUUGUAAUUACCAUACACAUGUCGGAAAAGUUAUAAAGGUAUUGAGUGAUACGAACCUGCAACUUACCGUAGCAAAUCCUCUCCUUCACUCAAUUCAUAUCACUUUAUUCUCUUUCAAACAACAAAACGAGGUGUCCUUCCUACACACUAGAGAGAUGGAGAUCUCAUGGAACAGACCAUUACUCACCGAUAUAUGGAGUCUAAUCUUGCCAACUGGUAUGAGACAUCGAAGUGGAUUUUUUUCUUUUUAUUUAUUUAUUUUUUUUUUUGUGAGUGGUUGAAGAACUAAAAAAACCGAAUAAUUAUAUAUUAGCUAGUCAAAGUUAACACUGAUGCACUAUUUCCACGAUAAAUAUCCGUAAGUCAAAAAUAUAACAAAAAAUAUAGACAUUGCUUUAUAAUAAAAUCAAAGCACGACCCUAUGAACACAACACACAAUGCCAACCAAGCCUAAGAAAUAUCCCUACAUAUAUACUUGCAGGCAGCCCUCAAUGACUAAAUUGGGAUGUUGAACCUAUAAAUGAAUGGAAGCAUUCAGAAUUUACAGCAAAGAAGACCCGAUCUCCAACUCCUGCGUCUUCGAAAAUGUCUCCUAUCAGCUUUUUCCAUUCUUACUGGACUGAUAUUCCAUUCAGAUUGUAAUCUGUAGAGACAAGAAAAAACUGAUUAGCAAAUAGCUAACAUCCCUACAUACGAAGAAUCAAUGUCAUAGACUAAAAUAAAGUUUACACUGGGAAGGCAAAGGAUCGAGCGCUAGCGGCACCGGUAUCAGAUCGAAGAGAAAGGCUCCCAGAAUAAGAUAUUGGCCCUGAGAAAGUGAUAAGACCUGCAUCGGAGAAGCUUGACUCUCCCUCAUCACAUCGGACUUGGUUUACAACCGGAAAGCUGCCACAUUCCACGACCUCAUCCUUAAAAACAUCAUGUGUCUGAAUGGCUUCGUCAUGAACAUUUUGAGCAUUUUUGUCCUUGAUGCUAGCAGACUGGACUUGGCCAUCCGGAGAAGUAGAGUUCGUGUCUUGGAGGUCGAUGGAAUGUUCAUGAACAUUUCCAUUGCUAUCGAACUUGUUUCCGGUGCACUUUGCCGCGCUAGCUUCCAAAUGUUUGACGGAAUUUAUAAACUCAAGAUGACAUUCAUCCUCUGACUUGACAGAUUGUGCAUCGACAUUUUCAGCACAUCCAUCCGUACUGCCAGCUGCCACGGGUUUGGGUGAGUUGAAGUUAAAAGUAAUAUCUCCGCAGUCAACUUUACUGUUGCAUAAUAAGUUGGCAGCUUGGACACUAUUCUUAUUUAAUUCUGUAUUCGUCAACAGUGCAGCGUGGCUACUUGAAAUUGCAUCUUCAGAUGGAAUCUGUGAAGCAAACAAUUAUAAUUGGAGUAACUUCAACAGACAAAAAAAGCAUCUCCAGCAUGUCUACGCAGUAUUUCUAAGUAUAAGUUUUUAUGUCCUAGUCAAUACGCAUAAACAUGCAUUUACAAAAUUCUGCAAGGAAACAAUAUGCUAAAUUAUUCUUCAACGGCUUCUGAACCAUAUCAUUUAUCAUGCGGGCAAACACGUGUUUUAAGAAGUUAAACAAUAAAAAUAUGGAACACAAACCUGAUUGGGUGAUUGAGCAAUUUCAUUUCCAUCGCUACUUAAUGAGUUGAGAAAAGAUCUAAGGGAACUACAAGUACCAAAAUUCAGCACUGGAAGUUUGCUAUCUACAAAAGAUUCCGCCUCUGGAACAUCUCUCUCAAUCUUAGCAUAUGCACCAUCAUUUGGUUCAGAAAAGUGCAUCGAGUCCUCUACAUCACAUUCCCCAACAGAAUCCUUGUCCAAAGAAAUUUCUGAGGCAGCUAUUGGCCCAAUUGGCAAAUGUGAUUUUUCAUAGCUAUUUUUGGUCCCACAAUGAUUAUUGGCAUCAUCUUCGUUAUUCUCCAAAGAAAAAGAUUUUAAACCGUCCAGAAUGAGCAUUUCCAUAUCAAUGCCUUCUUUUGCUGUUUUACAAUGAUCCUUAAUGCUUUUGCUCAAAACUUUGUCCUCCUUGGGCAUCCCAUCAUCAACGCAUAUAUCUUUGACAAUGUUAUAAUUAACCUCUUUGUAGAAUACUUCCAGCUCAGGCAGUUCACGAUCUGUAGUAUCUUUAUCAGUACAUAAAUUUGUACCAGACUCAAACAAAUCUGAAGCAGCAAUGCAUGGCAUAUAAGAAUCUCUUGGAUCAUUAUCAUGAUCAUGGGCAAAUCGUUUAUCAGUACAUAAAUUUGUACCAGACUCAAACAAAUCUGAAGCAGCAAUGCAUGGCAUAUAAGAAUCUCUUGGAUCAUUAUCAUGAUCAUGUGCAAAUCGUUCUACAAUCACAGUAAGUUCAAACUCCAGGAUUUUUCCCAAUUUGCCAUUGUUCUCUGUAUCAGAAUCCAAUGGAUCUGCAUCCCUCUCACGGUCACUUGGAAUUUCAUCCCAAUCUUCCUUUCCUGGAAAAUUUAAAUUUCCAUAUUCAUUAUCCUUGGCAAAAGCAUCCACAAAUUCAUUGUCCCAAGGUUCAUUUCCAGUUUUAACCUCAAAUUCUAAAGGGCCUCUCUCUCUUCCAUGGCCAUUUAACUGAUAUAGAUCUUUAGCAGUGAACUCCAGGGAAUCCAUCUCCCUUCUGAAACUACUAGAAUGAUACAACGUUGUAUUCUGAUUUUCUUUCAUGGUCACCUUUGGUUUAGCCGUGUAAAGAACACUGUCAUCGCAUUGAAAUGGUUUAGAAUGAACCUUAAAUUAUCUGCAUGUAAUUUUAACUUAUAAUACAUGUCAAAGCUUGGAAAAGCAACAAAGGAGCAUUUAUAAGUGAGAUAACUGUUCCGAAUGAAUGAUGGAGGGCAUAAAACAUCAAGAAUGAAACACAAAACAAAAUGUGACAAACAGAAAGACAUUGAUAUAAUGUGAUUAUUAGAAUCACCAUGAAAAAAAUGAAUAAUGUAACCCUUCCAAAAUGCAAUCAGCACAGAAAAACACAUAGAUGCUAUUAUUUGUAUAUUACUCAACCCCCAGAAAAAAUUCAGCUGUUUAGAGCUACCGGUAAGGCCAUCAGGCAACAAUCAAGAUUUCAGUAACAGAUUUUUAAAACAAAAUUUAAUUUUGGAAAUACUACCAGGCUUCAUAAUUCACAUCCCUUGAGAUAUUUUCGAAAAUUUUAACAGCCGAGAAGCAAACUAUCCACUAGUGAAGCAUAUAUUAAAGCAGAGUUGAGAGGCCAACCUCUACAGUUAAUAAUCAUAUAUGAGAUUGAGAAACACAAAUUUGAAGGAAUGAAAAUCGUGCACCAAGUAAGAAUAAAAACCUCUCCAAUAAAGUAAAAAAAUGCUCUCGUGAGUGAUAAUUAAUCCACCAAUCAGGAUAUACACAGUAUUAGCCAUCUUCAUUCUCAUAUUAGCAUUCUAUCAAAAGCCAGAUACCAUGAAGCAUGUUUGUUAACUACAGUACCCACUAAAGCAAAACCUUGAAACGAUCGCAGGCUUACAAAGAGAUUAAAUUAUCAAUUAUGUUCAGUACCAAGAACAGAAAAAAGCACUGAGCAUUGGAAAUUCUAGAAAAUGUAUAAUUUUGGAACCAAAUAAUAUCAUAUGGUUAUAUUCAAUAUUGACAUCUCAAUUCUCACCUUGCAAAUUAUUUUUCGAGUAUAUAUUUCACCUUACUAAUUUUUCUCAUUUUACGGACAAUUUCUUAAAGACUUUCCGGGAAAAGAAAGUUUGAGCAAGUAAAAAACGAACGGUAGACAAGCUUUGGAAUCUUCCCUUUGCCCAUAUACAAAGAAGAGGACAAGAAAAAGUCACCACUUUGCAGAAAUCCCGACAAACUUUUAACAGCUAAAAUAUACUAAUCAUCCAUUUAAUUACUAAAAAGUCAAUACCCCAAUCCCCACCAUUUGUUCUGUCCUUUAGCUCCCUAUCACACUCACAUACAUAUGAACAAACCCUUUUAUAUAAAAUAACUAAUCUAGCCUUUUAAAUAAUCUCAGUAACAUAGAGAAUUUCAGGAAGAUCCCAACAGAAAAAUAAAAGUAAAAAAACUAAAAAAAUAUAUUAAACAAGAACAGAAAAUAAUUUUUACACCUGAUUGUUCAACACCCUAAAGAGACUGUCCUUUAUCUCUUCAAAACAAAUUAUAAAAACCCUUUUUACAGCAAAAUUUCAGAAAGAUGAUUAUCCUAUGUAUAGUAUAUACACAAAAAUGAGAGUAUCCAUGUAACUCAAUAAAACUACAGAAAAAAAAAAAAAAAAAAGCUCCCAAAAAAAUGUAGAUCAGUGAAGGCAGAUCAACCCUAAGAUCUAAAUCAUCCACACAUAUACAAAUUAAACACAAAAGGGUAUACGUGUAUACAUACAAAAAGACUGAACUCUGUUUGUGUUAGUGAGAGAGAAAAAGAUUUACACCUUGUUUCGUAUCUGUCUGUACUGCUACUUCGUAUAACAUCGACAGAAAAAUGUUUAGGGGAGCGUUUUUAUUAUUCACGAGAGACUUUGAUUACGAAAUUCCAGCCUGCUAAAUAAGGGUAAGAAUAUUGAGCCGUUUGAUUUUCUCUUCAUAUGGACAGAUACAUACACCCUCACCCAAAAGGAUUUAUGGUACACAGAGAGGGGUGUCGAAAUUGUGUAUGCAUACUGUAUAGCAAAGUGUUAACAGAGAGAGCAAGACAAAUGCCCAACAGUCAACUCUUUUUCUCUCUCUCACUACAUAUUUGUAUGUCAAUGUCUCUCUCUCUACAUGUAGAUACACACACCUUUAUGUAAUGGUGAUGGUGCCAGGUUGGGUAUAAUAAAUGGUAGAGCAUAGACAGUUUAAAAGGCAUUAACUAUGUGGAAAAAUAAUGUUGUAAAAUAAUUUUCGUACCUUAAUUUUGGACGAAGCUACAAUAAUAGAGACUAUGACGUAGGGGUUGACUGCACACACACAUACAUAGGAGGUUAGCAUUUUUUUUAUUCAUAUCGAACUUGCGACAAUGUAAGAGGAUAUCACCCCAUCGGUCCAACAUUUUCAAGUACUUCAGCAAAAUUCCUUAAUUGUGUUACUUUAUAUUCGGAGGAAAGCAACCUCAAUUAAUCGGACAUUGUUUUUGUCUUAGGAAUUGAAGAUGUAGAGAAUUUUAAUUUUUUUUUUCUUUGUUAACAAUAAUGAGAAAGUCAAACCCUAUUUUUAAUCACAAAAUUGAAAGUAUAAUUAAAUUUGGUUCGAUUCAUCAAAAUGAAACAAUUACAUAAAAAAGCUUACGAUUCUAUGUGCAACAACAAAAUUGAAUUGAAACAUAACCAAAGUCUAAUGAUUUUCAUUUUUAAGACAUGGAAGCUCUUGUUUAAUUUGACUGAAAAUUAAUUUUUUACUAAAUUUUAAUAAAAGUUCACGAAAUAUAUAGGUUAAAAGUUAAUAAAAGUCGUGAGUCCUCUAAAAAAGUGUGAUUGAAAAUAAAUUUAUCCAAAUAUGAAUUUAAAAAAAUUAGGAUCAAGUAAAAACAUAGAACUUGUUCGAUUCCGAUUAAACUAGAGAAAUGAAUUUUGAAAUAGUUGAUUGAUGAAGAAUAUGCAAUUAAAAAUAAUAAAAAGUUUUAUAUUAAUGUAUAAUAUUAUUUUAUUGAAGAAUGUGUGAUUGGAGGAAGAGAAAGAGAAAAAAUGCAACUUAAAAAAAUAAAAAUCAAACACAUUCAUGUGUGCGCGCAAACAUUGGGGUUUGGUGGAGUUUGUUUGAGCUUUGAACAAAACACAACUCAUGACAAACAAAUGACACAUACGGAUUGAGCUGUGGAAUACACUGGGUUUUUCUUUAUCUUUUAUUUUUUGGGUUUUGUUGUAGUCUUGUGGGGGCCAAUAAUUAUGUUUAUAUUUUUAUAAUUAUUUUAGUUAUGAAGUAAAAUGGAUUUAGUUUUUGAUUGAAUGAUAUACUUUUAUUUGCACUAAAUUAGCAAAAUUCAAUUACCAUCAUAAUUAACAAAUAAAUUCGAAAAGUAUGUGCGAUUGUCAUCUUCAAUGCACGUCAAGAUAAAAAUAAUUUUAACCAAUUAAACAUAAUGAUUAAUGCUCGAUUAAAACCAUAUAAUUAAAACAUGAUUCAUUAAUUCAAAAAGUUUAAAUUACUACUGAUAUAGUUAACCCGUUUUCUUCAAAGAGCAUGUUUGGCACAAAUGUUUUAAAUACUUUUUCUUUCUUAAUUUACUUUUUUUUUUUUUACUUUCACUUAUAAGUAAUAUAAUUACUCGUGAGUGUUUAUUUUUAAGGUUAACCAAACAUGGUUUUAGUCUAUCAACUAGGAAAAUGCAGCAUUGGGCUAUAUAAAGGGUAACAUCCAAGAAGACACGACUGUUCAAAUUAAAGUAUACAUUCUUUAGACAUUUGGGGGCUGAUAGUGACAUUGUUGGCCAAUGUAAUUGUAUUUUAAUGUUCAAUUAUACAUGCAAGAACAUGACUGCUUCCUCUUUGUCAUUUUUACUUUUCGACUUUUGCAAUUACAUAUUUCUUUUAACAUAAUCGACUAAGCGAAUAGAGUGCUUUUGACAUAAUAUAAACAAGAAAGUGAAGUAAUGGUAUUAUUGGUCUUCAACUUUUUUUGAAACAGUACAAAUUGAUCACCAAUCAUUUAUUAUAAUUGUAGAACGAUGAUUAAAAUUGUCUAAAUUGUUAUUAAAUUGUCAUGAUAUUUCAAAUCCAAUUUUAUGAAUUAUGUUGUUUUUGCACUUGGGUUGGUUUUUUUAAAUUUGAAGUGAGACAAGCUACCAUUAAAACGACUAGAUCCUGGUUUCUAUAGUAGAAAUUAUUCCUUCUAACAAUCUAAAAAUAAUACAUUGACAGAAUUACGAUAGUAUAUUUAAAUAGCGUAACAAGCUGAUCAAUAAGAUCAUAAUGUUAAUUUGAGUCCACCGACUUCACGAUAUUUCUUGAAAACGAAUUCACUGCCUUCAAAGGUACUGAAGGCGUGCAGCAAUUGUUUCUCAGGAUAAAAUGAAUUUUGUCUCAUAUGGAAGUAGCACAAUAAUCUAUAGAAAUUUCAACGAACUCAAUGAAAUGCUUUUACUUGGAGAACAUAUCAAAACAAGAGAGAGAAUGAGAUUCAAAGUAAAGAAAGUUUGUAAUGAAAAUGGUGUAAUUAUUUUGAUAGCAGGGCAGGGUAUUUAUAAAUUCGUUCGUGGCCAUUUAAACAUCCUUCAAGCCUUUUUAGAACGGCAGUCACUGUUCGGAUAGCCCUCUAAACCCAAACAAAUAGCAUUGUUCAGAAUGAAACACUGUGUCCGUUAAGUCAGCUAAUGGACGUCUGUUAAGUCGGUUAAUGGUCGACCCACAACAGAAAAUACCCAAAAAAGGCUAAUGAUAAGCAAUAAAAAAGUAAUAUUUAAAAAUAAUUUAUUUAAGAGCCCGUUUGGUAUAGAUUAAAAUCUGAUUUUAAUCUAAGUCAAAGUUAAACAAUCAAUAUUAACUACAUUUUUCAUGGAUUCCACCACUUUUCAAUCAUACAUUUCAAAAAGUUCUAUCAAAAUCUACUAAAAAAAUCUAAUUUUAAUCUCCAUCAAACACCUCUAAAUGCCUGAGAAUCUGAAUAAUUACAAUUUGGCCUAAAAUUUAAAUGAAUUUUAUCCAAAAAGAUAAUAUAUUGCAAGGACCCACCUGCACCUGUACACGAACCGGACCAAACUGAACUUGAAAACAACAUGUCCUAGUGUUUAUGCCAAGCCAACCCAAGCAGGCCGAAUGGAUGGCGACGACGACUCCACGUGUGGGGUAUAGGACCGAAUUCAAUAAAAUAUAGAUCUAUCCCUUCCAAAUACUAUUGGUACCCUCUGUGUCCCCAACCCAAUUGUCAAACUUUCACUAUAUAAACCACACCAAAAUUUCUUAACUUUUAUAUAUAGGAUAAGUGUUUAGCGAUUUUCAAUAAAUCAAAUUCUGCACUAGUUUAUAGUUUUAAGUGUGUUGCUUUAACAUCAAAUAUUUCAUUCAAUUCUAAAUGGUUUUCAAUAAGUACACCACAUUAUGAUUCUUGCGGAGCAUGAAUAUGCUUGGUCCCAUUUAAAUUAAAGUAUAGGUCCCAGUAAAAUUGGAGCUCAAAGUUGAUCUAAUUCACUAAUUAAAACCAUUUCUAACAAUCCUCCAUAUGAACAAAAAUAUGUCUACUUUUUCCAAAUAAUAACAUCUGAUAUGUUUUUUGAAGUAAAAAAUAAAGAAAAACUGCAUCGGAAUAAGUAGCUAAAGACUUUAAACUUUCCCUAGUAAAACUAUCGGAUUUACUUGGUCAAUCAGUAACACGAUGCUUUGAACAGUCAAUUGCUCACAUAAACCUAUACUCCAUUUUGGCCUUGGACACCUCCUGAUUUAUGAGUGUUUUUUGAGAAUUUUUCUUUACAUAACUAUCGUAGAAUCAACCCCUUCUCACCCACAUAGGUGAUCUCCAUAAAGAGAAUUUUUCUAUAUCUCUCUUGAACGAAUUAGGAUAUAGAGAUCAUUAAAAACGUAACUUAACCUAUUUCACAACAGUUACGCACUAGCUCAUCAUUGGAAUAGGUAGGAGUUAAAAAUCUCCCUGAUACAUACUGAGUUUUUCAUAGUUUAGCUGUCUCAUUGAACCCUGAUCUUGGGAUCUCCAGUUAACUAGGUUGGGUUGCUACCAUAGAAACUUUUGGUUAUUUUAUCGAUUUUAAACCAUCCUCUUUGAUAAACUUUCGACUUGUUUUCUCAUCAAACCUUUAAUUAGCAGAUCCACAAUACUCUUUUAAUUUCAUAUAAUCUACAAAGAUAACAUUAGUAGAGAGCAAUUGUCUAAAGAUGUUGUGUCUACGAUGUAUAUGUCGAGAUUUAUCAUUAUACAUAACAUUCUGUACCCUUCCAAUUGUCGAUUGACUAUCGCGAUUGAUAUAUAUAGUAGACAUAGGGUUUACCCAAUAUGGAAUAUCUUUAGAAAGUUUCUUAUCCAUCUGGAUUUCAAUUGUGACUUAUUGUCACCAGUGUUGGAAAUAAGAUAUAGAAUAGGAUCCAUAAGUGUUUUCAUAUGAAUAAUAUCGUAUUAUCUUGUAGUUAUCACAAAUCUUUUCAAUAUAGUAUGAUUGAGAUAAUAUGAGACCAUCAGAUAUUUUAGAAAUCUUAUUUCUUAAUAUAACAUAAACCACACCCAAAUUCUUCAUUUCAAACUUGUUAACAUUCUUUAAAUAGUUUGAAUUAUGGUAUCAUUGUUAUCCCUAUAAUCAGCAUGUCAUCUACUCAUAAGCAUAUUAUGAAAUAUCCAUUUUGAGUGUGCUCUUGAUGUACACACAUUUGUUACACUCGUUAAUUAAGAGUUUGUUUUAAUUUAUAAAGUGAUUUAUCAAAUCGACACACUUCUUUUCUUGUCCUUGGGCCACAAACCCUUCAGAUUGUUUUAAAUAAAUGUCUUUAUCUAGCUCACUAUAGAAGAAAAUCCAUUUUAACAUCCAUUUGAUAUACAUAUUCAAACCAUUCAACACUACUAUCACAACAAGCAUAUGUAUGGAAGUGCUUCCUCUUGCAGGUGAAUAUGAAUCGAAAUAAUGAAGACCUUCGUUUUGCUUGUAGCCUUUAGCUACAAGUGUAGCUUUAUAUUUGUCAAUUGAUCCAUCUCUUUCGUUUUCUUUUUGAAAAUCCAUUUACACCAUAAUGAAUUAUUGUCGGAAAGAGAUAUACUAAUUUCUAUGUAUAAUUUUGUAGUAUGAAUUCAAUCUUACUAUGAACAACUUCUUUCUAAUAUAGUGUUUUGGUCAAUAACAUAUCAAGUAUUUUAGACUUAUGUACAAUAAAUUUGCACGCACUUAGGCAUAACCAAUGAAAACACAAUCAAUGGUUUUAGGUCCUAUCUUAACAUUUUUAGGUUUAGGAAUAGCUACUUUAGCUAACAUCCCCACCUCUUUAAGUAUUUAUAAUUAGAUUUGUAACAUUUUCAUAAUUUAUAAGGUAUCUUGUGCAUUUUUCGAUAUGAUAAUUUGUUGAGAAUAUAAUUAGCAAAAAGCAAAGCUUUCCUCACAAGUUUUGAGAAAAUCCCGAAAUUAUCAACAUGGCAUUCAUUAUCUCCUUCAAUGUUUGAUUCUUGCAUUCAAUAACACCAAUAGAAUGAGGAGAAUAAGGCGCGGUAGUUUGAUGAGUAAUUUCAUGUUUUGAAUAGAAUUGUUUAAACGGAGGAUUAUAUUCACCUCUUGUAUCACUUCUUAUUGCCUUAAUCUUUUUGUUAAGUUGAUUCUCAACCUCUAACUUAUAGUAUUUAAACACUUCAAUUGCUUCAUCUUUGCUUUUGAGUAAAUUCCAUAGUAAUAUCGAGUGCAAUAUUGAUAAAAGUGAUAAAGUACUUUUUACCGCACCUAAUUUGAGAAAACUUUAAAUCACAUAUGUUACACUAUAAAUUACAUGGUAUGCACAUGACGGAGGAGGUCCCACAUUGGCCAACUCGACUUUUAUCAUUUAAUUUGAUUAGGCCUAUUAAAUUAAGUGACCUUGUGCAACCUUAUAUUGGGCUCGAAUUUGGGCUCAUUCCAUUAGCAAUAGACAGCAAAAGACUAAUGGAUUCAAGUCUGGCCACAUGUACAAAGGUCUUCUCAAAGUCCAUUGAUUUAACUUGGUGUACUAUUGUGCUACAAGCCAUGCCUUAUUUCUGAAAAUGUUACCAUGCCCAUUUGAUUUAUGUUUGAAGAUCCAUUUGGUUUCAAUCAAGUUCAUAUCUGUUGGCCUAGAUACCAAAUCCCAUACGCUAUUUCAUUUAAAUUGAACCUAUUCUUCAUGUAUUGUUAGUACCCAAGAUUGAUCAUUACCAAGUGCUUCAGUCACAUUUUUAGGUUCAAUGUGAGAAGUGUAGCCACAUUCCUGAGUUUAAUGGCAAGUCUUCUUCUUGUCAACAUUCCAUUUCCAAGAUCGGAGAGUAAAUUGCGCUAAGAAUAUGCCUACUAAAUCCAAGUAGAAGGUUGCUUGCUAUUUAUGAGUUCACUAUUUUCCUCUAGUAUGUCACAACCUAUAGUGAUUGGUUCGAAAUCCACAAGACGGAGAACAGGUAGCUUUGUUUGACUGUCAUUUCCAAAAUCUACAGCACAGGUCUCCAGAGUGUUCUAGGUAGUUUCAACAUGCUCCUCCAAGUUUUGUAUUUCCAGUUCCUGUGAGUAAGAGGACUAAUCACCAGUAUUUGUGGGUUGAACAAUAGUUUGAGUCACAUUAUACACUUUAUAAGCCAAACUAUUUUUUGAAUAUCCAAUGAACAUUGCUUGCUUCCGAAAGUAUGAAAGUACUUGAGACUUGGUUUCCCACCUUUGCAGUAAUCAUAAGUGUUUGUGAGGUACCGUUCUCAAAGAAACACGAUUUAAAAUAUUAGAAGUCUAAACAGCUUCGACCCAUAAUUUAAUGGAGAGUUUUUUUUACUAUUCAACAUUACCCUAGCCAUCUAUUCUUCUUCUCAACAGCACUUUGUUCAGGUUUUAGAAGCAGGGUAUUUUUGAAAAAUACCAUACACUUCAUAGAAAUUAGAAAAGCUAGCAUUUUCAAACUUCUUACCAUUAUCACUUUUAAUUCUUACAAUUUUUGUCCACUUGAGAUGUUUUUCGUUGGUUAUUUUUGAAAAAAGAAUACAAUUUUUUUAAAAAUAUCAGACUUCCUUAAGAAGUCUACCCAAUUAUAUAUAGAGAAAUCAUUGAUAACCACGUAUAUAUAACUCUUACCAGCAAGGCUUUCAGUUUGAAUUAGCCCCAUCACGCCCAUAUAUGGAAAUUCAAUGUAGUUAGGAUCUAGUAAGAAAUUGACAUUAUUUGUGUGCAGUUCUAUUUCAUUUACUUUUCUAGCAUGAGCCACACAUAUCUUCAGGUUUCUAUAUGAGGUUAGGAAUUCCUCUUACUGCAUCAAGUUUAGUAAGUUGACAAGAUCUACAUAGUUCAGAUGUCUCAAUAGUUUGUGCCAUAGGUCAAUAAAGUCAGCUUUUGAAAUAUGACAUAAAAUAUCAUAUUUAAACAAAUAGCAUUUAUCACUAGACUUGGCACCAUAUAGGACACAACUACCAUUUCGAUACCUUACAGUGUUUUUAGUAAACAUUACCAUAAGCUUAUCAUCACAUAGUUGACCCACACUAAUCAGGUUGACUUUUAAGUUACCUACAAACAACACAUUAUUGAAAAUAGGUAAUCAAUUUAUCACAAUCGUACGAGCGCCCUCAAUUUUACUUUGGCCAUCAUCCCCAAAAGUAACAAGUCCACCUACAUGACUUUUAUAAUUUGUAAGCAUAGAAUGGUUAUUAGGCAUGUCUCUAGAAUAGUCACUAUCAAAAUACCAAGAGUUUUGCACAACGGAUUUAUAUGAUACAUUAACAACAUAGCAACUAAAAUCAUUUUUUCUUACACAGAAGUACUUGCCUUAAUCUAGGUUGUCGUUUGUUCUGUCCUCCUCGUUUGAGUUUGAAUAUUUAUCCUCAUCUUUUCUUAUGUUUAUUACCUUCUAGCUUGGGACUUCUUUAAUGCGUUUGCGCAUUCAACGGCAAUGUGACCAAAUCCUUCGCAUGUAUGACAUUGAAUAAAAUUUUGUACUCUUUCCACAAAUGAGGUAGUAGAGUUUUGCCUUAAGUUGUUAAAGAACUUAUUCUUUUGUGGUGAUCGAGGUCUUGAGCUUGUUUCUUUUGGAUUGCUCGAUAGGAAUUUCUUAAAAUGUUUAGUGAGCAUGGCCAUAUGCUCAUCAUUAUCACUUUCAUUAUCCUCCUCUUCUACCUUAACUUUCAUGAUUUUAAAUACAAUACCCGAUCCUUUUUCCUUCUUUCUUCUAUGGAGAUGCAGCUCAUAGGUCAUUAAAGACCCUACCAGUUCUUUCACCUUCAUGCUCUCUAUGUCUUCUCUCAUAGAUGGCAGUCACCGUGGAAUAGAAUCUGUAAGGUAGCGAUCUAAGAAUUUUUUUUUUCACCAUUUUACUUUCUGAAUACUUCUUUCCCAAGGUGUAGGGUUGAGUUGGUGAUGUCACUUAACUUGGCGUAAAAAUCUUUGAAGUGUUCAUCAUCUCUCAUUGUUAGUUACUCAAAUUCAAGUGUAAGCAUUGUUGGAAUAUUUUGAAUGAUGGAUGAAAAGUUAUUUACGUUUUGAAUGUUCACUACAUCAGUUUCAUCAAUUUGAAUGCAUAUUGAAUGUUGUCAGUUUCAUCAUUUUGAAUACAUGUUAAUGCGUAUGAAAACAUCAAUUUCUUCCCAUUUGAAAUAUGUCGGUUUCACCCUGUUCAUUCAUCCAUAUUGUAACUCCCUAUUCAAUGUAUUUAUGAGCAAGCUCCUCCUAUAUUGGUAUAAAUAGGGUAUCACUCUAGGCUAGAAAUACAACAAAAAAGAAAACACAACAAAGAAAAAAAUUCAGUUUCCUCCUCCAUUUCCAGCAGUUCCGGUUUUUUUUCUUUUCUUUGCUAAAGUUCUUUGAGAGAUAGACACAGCUAGUUCGUAGGUCGGUAACGUUGUGCAGCGUGAACCGUCAACCGAUUGUAUCCUGGGAAUCGAACACCGAUUAACACCUCUUGCACCCCGGUGAGGCGGCGAAUUCGAUUUAAGGAAAUCGUGUAAACACGGGCCUUCGGUUUUGGUUGAUUUAUUCUGAUUCUCCAGUUUUUCCCUACAAGCUUAAAUCGAAUUCUCAUUUUGGGAAAUUUUGAGAAUCGGUUUUUUUUUUCCAGUUGAUUACUGUCGUCUUUUUUUUUAACCUCCAGUUGUUUGCUGUUUACUUAAUUUGUCCUUUAGGAAAAAAGGCUGACAAUCUAUCUAUUUAAUUACGUGCAGUAAAUAUAUUAGGUUUAAAUCAGUAAGGUCGAAAGAAGAAAAAAAAUUGGUUUACAGGAAGUUUCUUAGUUCAUGCCUGCGUGGUUUUGGUUCUACAGUUAGGUGGUUUUGCAUGGUUUAUCCUUUUUUUUUUGGUCUCUGUAUGGAUUAUGUAUAAUUGUCUGGUGUAUAAUUUGCAUGAUUUUAUCUCUUCCCUCAACAUAGUUUUCAGAGAUGGUAUUUUGCAUGAUAUUAAAAUCAUUUAAUAAUGAUAGUCAAUGAUUGCCUCAUUAAUGUAAUGAUUACUUGUUUGCAUAAUUUUAAAAUCAUUUGGUAAUUAUUUUCUAAUUAUCGGUAAUAAUUGCCCAUUAUUGCUUGAUUUUUCCUUUAAUAUUUAAAUUUCAGUCAUUAGGUAAUGAUUUUUAAUUCAAUUUUAAAUGAUUGUUAAGUUGUUGAUAUUUGGACAAAAAUAAUCUGUUCUACAGUUUAUUUUACUCGAACAGAUAACUUGAUCUCAAAUCUAUAAUUAUUCUAAAUUGAUUGUUGUGUGUUCUAAGGUUAAAUGGCGUCACAUGAAAAUGACGAUGUGAACAAUGGAAGCAACACUGUUGGGACCGUUGUGAACCCUGUGGAGACCUCGACUGGCAUUCCUCCUGUUGAUGGGACAAUUGGUGGCGGGAUUCCUCUUGUUGGAAUGAA